CCCCAAAAUCAACCACCUAUCAAGGAAAGCAACAAGUAGGUAAAAGAACUAACAAACUAUUUCAUUCUUCAGUCAAGUAAGCCACACAAACCAAUUUACAUGAUAGAAGUGACCCUACAUGUUUAGAAUAUAGAGCAAGUAGAAAUGAUAACAGAUAUAUAACAAACAUAAACAUAAGAUCCAUGAUGAUUAGCCAAAACGAUCUCCACUCUAGGGAUCACGAUCAUUUCUUUUUCUUUUUUUGUUUUUUGACAAUGGUAACAUUUGUAUUUAAAUCAGUACUUAGGUAGUACUAAAAAACCAUACUUACAACUAUGAGAAACAAGUAUAGUCUUCCCCAAAGCAAAACCAAAAUCUAGAUGGACCCUAGUACAUCUAUGAUUGACUCAGUCUCAUUGGAGUAAAUAGUGGUACACCAAAAGCAAAACAACAAAAUACAUUUAAGCUUGACUUCUUGUAGGUUGUUGUCCCUAUUCUCAAAACAUCUAUCAUUUCUCUCUCUCCAUAUAGUCCACCAUAUACAAGCAUCAUCCUCUAUCUUUCUUGUUUGUAGCCCCAACUCCUGCUUCCUCCCAACUGAAAAGAGUCAUCAAUUUUACUAGGCAUAUACCAGGAAAUGCCUCUGAGAUUUAGGAAAAUCUGCCAGAGCUGGACAGUGAAUUUGCAGUGCAGGAAAAGGUCUUACUGUCUCCAUAUCCUUUCCACAUAAGGAGCACCUGUUGCAUAAAGAGAUACCUCUCUUAGCCACAUUAUCCAAUGUCAAAACAGCUUCAUUGGCUAACAACCAAGUAAAGCAUGCCACUUUAUAUGGCACUUUGACUCUCUAGAUAUGUUUCCAAGGCCAUUUGAGGACUUGAUUGUCACUAACAUUUGUGUCACUAAGACUUGUCUAUUUAUACCCUUCCUUUACCCUUCCUUUACCUUUGUUGUGCCCAUGCCACCAUAAAUAAUACUCACCAGUCUGUGUUUCUUGAAAACUCUCAGUAGUUUGUAAAGUUCGACUAUUCUAUGAAUUUCCCAAUCAUUUAGAUUUCUUCUUAGGACCAAAUUUCAUCCUUGUUGCGACCACAUAUCAGCAAUUGUGUUCUGUUGAUGUUGAGCCAAAACAAAGAUGCCAGGAAAAAAAUCUCUGAGGCUCUCAGCACCCAUCCAUUUGUCAGCCCAAAAAGUAGUUUUUCUACCAUUUAGAACCUUGACAGUUGAUUGAUUAUUGAGGAAAGGCCAGAAGAUUCUGAUUGACUUCCAAAGGCUAACACCAUAUGGAGCAUUUACCUCUUUAGCCAUCCAUUUGUUCAGUUCCUCAUACUUGCUCUUGAUCACCCUACCCCAUAGUGCUUUAUCCUCCUAAUGAUACCUCCAUAGCCACUUCACCUUCAAAGCUUUGCUCUGGUUUUUGAGAUUCUUGAUACCUAAGCCACCUUGUUUCUUUGCUUCUAAUGAUAUUCUUCCACUUGACAAAGUGAAAGCCUUUCCUUUCCUAAUUGCCUUGCCAUAAGAAGUUUCUUCUGAUUUUGUCCAACCUCUGAAUUACUGACUGAGGUAUAUGAAAGAUAGAUAACAUACAUGUAGGAAAAGCAUCUAGAACUAAAUUUAUCUGGUCAGUCUACCUCCCAAAGAUAGAUAUUGGGAUCUCCAUCUAUCUAAUUUCUUUUCACACUUCUCCAGAAUUGGGUUCUUGACUUUGCACCCAAAGGCAUGCCCAAGUAUACUGAUGGCAAAUUUCCCACCACUCCUCCCAAAAUCCGAGAAAGAUAAUCCAUCUCUGGAACCACAUUAAUUGGGUACAAGUGGCUUUUGUUCCAAUUUAUAUGGAGACCAGAUAUGGCUUCAAAGUAAACCAGUAUAAGUCUUAAGAUCAUCAGUUGCUCCUCCUCAACCCCACAAAAAAUUAGUGUAUCAUCUACAUACUGCAGAUGUGUGAUUUCCACACUGUUUCCCGCUACCUUGCUAACUUCAAAUCCCUGGAUUCUUCCUGCUUCCUUGGCUAUAUUCAGCAUGUUAUUUAGCCCUUCCAUAGCUAUGAUGAACAAGAAGGGAAAUAGGGGGUCUCCCUGCCUAAUCCCUCGGUGUGCAUUGAAAAAACCUCCAGGUGAACCAUUGAUAAGCACAAAAAACUUCACAGUUGACAUACAAAAGUUGAUCCACCCGAUCCAUCUCUCACCAAACCCCAUUUGUCUCAGAAUGAAAUCCCAAUUCACGUGGUCAUAUGCUUUCUCGAUAUCAAGUUUGCAUAAUAUACCAAGUUUACUUUGGGACAUUCUAGAAUCAAUUGCUUCAUUAGCUAUAAGCACUGCAUCUAUUAUUUGUCUGCCUCAGAUAAAAGCCAUUUGUUGUUUGUCUACCAACUUAUCCACGACUUUCUUCAGCCUUUCUGUCAGUACCUUGGAGAUAAACUUGUAAAAGCUUCCAAUUAAACUGAUAGGUCUGAAGUCUUUGAGCUCCUUUGCUCCUAUCUUCUUAGGAAUCAAUGCUAUGUCUUGUUUAAUUAUCUCCCAGCAUGUUAGAUAGAACCCAUUGUGUAACCAUCAGGGCCAGAGGUUUUGUCAAUAGCACACAUCUUUAAGCACUCAAAAACUUCUUGCUCUUCAAAUGUUGCCUGCAGUGCCUCGUUCUCAUCCUCAGUGAUGGUAGGAUGGUAGGAUGAUUGCUAAUAUUUUGAGGUCUCCCGUCUUCAGGUUCUAUAUAUAACUUCUUGUAGAAGGAAAUGGCUUCCUCCGUAAUUCUAUUUGGAUCAGUUAUGGUCUCUCCCUGCACUUCCAAUUGAUUAAUGUGAUUAUAUCUUUUGUGGGUAUAAGUAGAUUGAUGGAAAAACUUUGUAUUUCUAUCCCCUUCCUUGAGCCAUAAGGCCCUUGAUCUUUGUCUUCAGGCCACUUCUUCCUUCCUUAAACACCCCUCAUACUCCAUAAACAGUGUUGCUUUCUUGGCGAUUUCCUCCUCUGUCAAGGCUCUAAUAUUCAACUAAGAUUCUAGCAUAGCCAUCUGAUUGAGAAAAUUGUUCUUGUCUACUCCAUUCUUUCAAUUUCCCUUUGCGAGCUUUGAGUUUACAUGCUAAGAUGUAGUCUGGCUUCCCAUAAAAUUCAAAUUCACUCCACCAAUUCUUGAACCUUUCAGCAAAACCUUCUUGAUUCAGCCACCAAUUUACAAACUUAAAGGGAAUUAGAUUGCUCCCAGUGUCCACAAAGCAGAGCUAUUGGGACAUGAUCAGAGGUCACUCUUUGCAAUGUAGUCUGUUUUAGAUUAUUGAAGAGAUUGUUCCAUUCUAUGGAAACCAUUAUCCUGUCUAUUCUUGAUGCAGUUGUAUGAUUAUCCCCUCUAUACCAGGUAUACUUUCCACUGCUCAGUUGUAGAUUAAUUAGGUCCAAGUCCUCGAUGCAAUCUGAAAACUCUCAUUGCUGAAUUUCUCUUGUUCCAACCCUUUCUUUCAGAGGGAAAUCUACAGACGUUGAAGUCACCACAGAUAGCCCAUGACCCAUCAAACAAGCCUCUUCCGUCCAUAGGUGCAUUGGUAGACCCAAAGCCUUAAUCCAGAUGGAUUUGGGUUUGUGAUUGAUAGGCACGCAGCCUGCAGCAUGGUUCUACCAUUCUAAUUUGAGGCUGGUUUUCUUCCACUGCCAUUCUCCCUAUAGAACUUGUUCCGCCAUGUAUCUAUUUGGAAACUCAAAGAGAAAACAGCUGUCCAACAUCUCAUAGACAUUAAUCCCAAACGCCUUCUUCCACAUCAUCGAGGACCAUCAUCUAACUUCUGAAAGGGAGGGUGUUUCAGCUUUUGCGUUACCAAAAGACCCAAAAAUACAUCUUUCCAGUACUCCUUGAUCUUUGAUUUUGGCUGCAACAUUAGUUUCAAUCUCUUUUCCUUGGGUUGUGGCUAUCUCAGAGCUAUUGCUUUGCCAUUUGCUGGUUGUAAAUGUUUUUGCAUAGGUCAUAUUUAAAACAUUUGGCUUGCAUUAUGUCUGUAUCUCCUUCUGUGGUGGAUUUUUAAUGAAACUUUGAAUCUUAAAUGCUACACUUUUCCAACCAGCAUUUCUGUCUAACUCGGGUACAAUAAUAACUGCUCUAUCCUCUCCCUUCAGUGACAAGAUACUCAUAUGUCUCCCAUGGGAAUUGUAUUUCCUCGUACCAAAAAAAUCUGCCAUCUAGUCCUUGUAUCUCCGUCUUCUGACCUGAUUUUUUCGGUCUACUGAUGCUUCUGUGAGGAUGAAGCAGAUCCAUUCCAACACCUUCUCACUGAGUGUAACCCUUCUCAUCAUAUUUCUGCUCCUUUCCACCCAGUCGUACCAUGUAACAUUGUUUGAAGUCCAUCUGGUUAUGUCAUAAGAUUUAAAACCUUGGUUGAAAUAUAUAUUCUAUUAUCUCUCAUAGGUUUAGAAAUCGAAGAUCUUAGUAAAACAGAAAUCAAAAGAUGUAAAGAUUGGGUUGUUUGAAAGAUAAAGGGUCAAUUCCGGCAAGUCUACCAAAAAAGGUCUUGAGUAACGGCCUGAGUCUGUAGGUAAUAGCCGGAAAUUAGUGUUGGUGAAACCGAAUAAUUUGAAAAACUGAAUGAAUGGUCACACGCGCCGGUGCGUGAGGCGCGUGACGGCGGUAGCUGGGAGAUCUGGGUGGUGCAUGAGAGAGCGUGGGGUAGUUUCCGGCGAUAGGUUUUCUGGGGUUUGGUCGCAAUAGGGUGUUGGUGACUAUGGAGGGGGAGGAUUGAGAGAAAGAGGAAGUAAAAGGGGUAUUCCAGUGAUCAGAAGGACCACCGGAGAUGUUUUUGGUUGAAAAGGGGUCUUUUUUUUAAAGUUACAUUGGGACCAAUAAGAAAAAGAAAAAGAAAAAGCACACUGCCCUGACCUCCUAGGGUCACUGCAGUCAAUUGUACAUCUUAGAACAAAUCAAGCCAGUAAUACUUCAACAGAUAUCAACAAACACAAUUAAUUGUAAUAAUCACUUAUAAAGAUCUUGACACUACAAAUAUCAUUUGUUUGCACAUAAUAACUUAAUUUUCGGUUAAUCACAUACAAGACAGUUCUGCUUUUGUCUUGCUUUGAGGCUAUGUCCUAGUUGUGGAUCAAAAUUAGGAAGUCCAAAAUAGUGUUUUUGUAACUGACGGAAUCCUAGCCUGUGGCUGUCUAUUUCUUUUAAUAUAAAACUUGCUUACCUUCUAAAAAAAAAAAAAAAGAGUCCACAAUGAUUCAGUUGGAGAGGUACAUAAAAAUCAAGAUUAGCGGUUAUGUGGCAACAAGUAGCUAAGCUACUAUCAAAUUACUUGGGCCUACAACAUGGGUGAAAGUGCAAAACAGCUCUAGCUAUCAAAGGUUGAAACAGAUGAGAAAAAACUGGAGACAUGGAAGCAAGGAGGAGCCAGCCUUAAAGAUACGGGUUUGGCAGAAUCCAAUAGCUUUGGCUCAAAACCCGUGCUUGAGUUUUAAGUAUAGAAUCUUUUUUGUUCUCAAAAGGUCCCUUUAAUUCCUUCUCAAAAGAAGUCUUGUUGUUUCUUUCCUUCCAAAUUGUUAUUCCCUCAUGCUCUUAGGAUAAAAUAUAACAUAUAUCAUCCUUCAUAAAGGAAUGCCAUUAUUUACCUCGAACACUAUUACUUUGCAUGUUCCGUCAAAGGUUUCACACUUCCAUUUUUAGCCUGUUCGAAAAGAAUGAUGUUACUCUACAUUUAGAAAUAAUUUCACUUUAAACUUCCUUUUUCACCCACAAUGACAUGAUUUUAUAGCCACAUAAAUAUCACGGCAUGUUUAAAACCACAAAUUCUACAAUUCUUGUUCUCUCCACUUAAAUGUCAUGCCCAGACAGAAAGGUUCACAUAUAAUGAAACAUAAGGGUACAAAAAGGCUAUUAAAAUUAGAAUACAUAGAUGGCAAAAAAUGCUUUACCUGAAGGGGCUCUUCAGAUGGAUGAGGAAGAGCCAAGGGCUGGACCAAUAAAGCCAAUUGCAUUGCCGAGGUUGUCAAAAGGUCAACAGUGCACGGUAUCUGUUACACAAACAAAGAGGACCAAAUCAUCUACCAUUAGUGCUUUAAUUAAAAAAAUAUAUAUAUGGUUAAUAAGCUACUCAUUCCAUAGAAUAAGAAAGAGUAUAAUGCAGAAACCAUAGAGGGAAGAAUAACAGAGACAGAAAACAACGCAAAGAAGUUUAUUACCUGAUUAAUAGUACACCUCAUGUACCGUGGGCUGCAAUUUCCAGUGUCCCUAACAAUAUAGUCACUUGUGGCAGGCUUCAAGUGGACAAAAAAGGAUAAAAGGAAAAAAGGAAACAGCAGCAAGAACAAAAAAGUUAGUUUAGUAAGAAGCUUUAGGAGGCAAGCAUAACCAUUUGAAGAAAAGAUGGUUCAGCCGUAUAAGCAACAGUACUAAAUAAAACAAUAAUUUACCGGAGGGGGAUUAGCUUGGUAGCCUUGUCGGGUUUCAUGCAGAACUACAGAAGCAUUUGGAAUAGGGCGCGGGAUUUGAUUUGGAUCAACUUUUGAUGGGCUGGAAUGGCCAAUAGAAGAAGUUAUCGAAGCCACUGCCUGAUUUGGAAGAGGAGGCGCCAUCCCAUACAUACUUGGUGGUUGCAUGGAACCAGGAAUAGCCGAAGAUGGAGCCCCCUGUCAAUAAGUAAAAUCAGGAUAUGACCUUCACAUGAAAGAGGAAAUGGAGUAAAAGCAUGCUGAAACCAAUUUACUUGAUCCAACAUGUGAUCCACAUUGGAAAUGUGCCAUGCACGUAAGGGUCUUUUUGAAUUAAAUAUAAGUUUUAUCAGAGAUCCUUUUACCUCUUCUGAUUAAGAAAGGAUAGACAGGUUGUUGUAGCUUCAAAUGUUAAAGUUAUCCUUUUCGGAUGGUCCAGCCAAACAGAAAAGGUGGUGCAAUAUACUUUGAUACUGUUUAAAUUUUUCAUGCUUGAGGAAACUUGUGCACUUAAGAUUUUUCUUUUACAAGCACUUAUACACUCAAGAUAUAAUAUAACAAUUAUUUAAAUAGCGGCAGAUUUUGCAACAAACUUAUGAAAGGGUUUCUCUAUUUAUAGUUUGAAUUGAUUAGACAAAGUAAAUAAGUGAUACUGAAUAUAUCUUUUUCAUUACUUUCAAGCAUAGAAAAAUACCUAGCCAAAAUAUAACAAUUAAUAAAUAAAAAUAAUUUUUAUUUAUGGAGUAAUCAAAUAUAUUAUUUAAUAACUUCGACUAAUGGAAGAACCCCAAACAACAUAUUCAAAGUUCAAAAGGAAAAAAGAAUUCAUGUAGGUAAUUUCGUUAAUGAGAAUUUGAACUCUGUUUUGUGUUGACGAAAAAGAUAAAUUUUAUAAUGCACAUACUACUAAAUAAAAGUUAUUUAAAAUAGCAGCACAUUUCAAUAUUUUAUCACAAAUCCAUCAAAAUACUUCACGAUUAUCGCUGAAUGAAUAAAAUAUGACAUCAUUGAUUAUUAUGGGAGUAAUAAACUAGAGAUGAAAUGAGUUAAACUAUCAAAGAUAGAAAAAAGAAAAGAAGGUACAUAGAACGUAAGGGCACAGUAGACAUUGCAUGAGGGAAAAUUGCAUAAAGCUGGAGGAAUAUUUGACUUUUUAUACCAAGUUGGAGCGAGAAAAUUAUUUCCACCCCUUUCUAAAUUUUAAGUCAUGACAGCACUUCACAGUGUAGCUUUUUUCUUCACUUUUAGACCCUACUACUUCCACAACAAAUUUUCCGGUAUUACCAAUUGGUCAUUAACAGAGUCUCGAUAUCAUUCUCACAUUACUCAUCAACAGCACCAAACAGUAACCGGUUUCUGAAUAUUAUUGAUCAUUCUAUCCUAAAAGUCAUGAAGCAUCUCUUCAACAUUAGCCCCCUUGAACCAUUGUAAUUCCUUGAUGCCAGAACCCAACAGGCCAACAUUUCUUGUUGGUUAUUAAAUAUAAUAAAUACACGCAUAGAAUUUGAUUAAAAACGCAUCUUGUGUGGCUUGUUGAUCCAAAAGAUGUUGGUGCAAAUUAAAAAUACAAAUCCUAGGACUUCUUUUGUAGUCUAGCACAGGCAAGAACUAAAUAUAUCUCUCAGCUCCAUAGAUUACAAAAUAAAUUACACUUCGCUAAUGGGUUUAGGGAAAGUUCUUAUUUUUCCUUCAAUAACAUUUGCACAUAAUAUCAAAUUUUUCUUUUGGGAAAAUACAUAGAAUUCACCUUGCAAAACAAGUACAGUAAGAUAGGCAUAGUAAGAUAGGCAUAUAAAGAUCACCUGAUGGGGUGGCAGUUGCCACGACUGUGUUCCAUAAGGAGCACCCAUGUGUGGAGCGCCCAUGGGUGGAGGCAUGGCUUUAGAAGGUGCGGGAGGAACCUGGAGGAGGUGGCACAUUCUGAAAUGAUCCUGAAAAUGGUGGUGGUGGUUGUGCUGUAACUGGUGUCGUGCUGACAGAUGACGAACUUCCAAAGGGUGAGCGCAUGCCUGAAGGCUGAGAAGAAGCGCCUGGUGAAACCAUAGCUGGUGGAGGAGCUCCAAAUGGUGGCCUCAUUGCAUUGCUUGGAGGAGGAAAACGUGUUCCACCCUGCAUCAUUCCUGGACCACCUGACGGUGGCCCAUUACUAACCGAGCUAGAAAUGCUUGAUGGUGGCGGCACAGCAGGACCUGUUGUCAACGGCGAAGAAGAAAAAGGACCCGGAGACCCGGGACGAGGACCCAAUCCAGAAGGCAAAGACCCAGGUGGCGGGGGUGCACCACCCAUAGAAGGAGGCAUUACACCAGGAGGAGGUGGCCGAGAUGUAAAGGGAGGAACAGACUGAACCACGGGAGGAGACAAUCCAGUGUGUGGAGGACCACUAGGAGGUGCAGGGCCUCUUGGGAACACACCAGGCGGUGGAGGUCCUGGACGACUAGCAGGUGGUCCACCAGCAAAAGGUGGCUGCUGCCCAAAUGGGGUAUUAGGCCUAGGAGCACCUGGUGGCUGAUUGGGCCUAUUUACUUGUAGAUUUUGCAUACCAUCAGCAAGUGCAUUAGGGUUAUAAUUGGGUGGAGGCGCAUUCCUUGGUCUAGGUCCCCCUGGAGCUGCCAUUGAUUAUUUCCAAAUUUCCCAAAACUCUAGAACAGAUGCGAGAAAAAAAAAAGGUUAAAUAAAUAGAUAAAAUCAACAGAAACAAAAAAUAAGAACAGCAAUCUUCACUAUAUCAAACAUUCAGCAAGCCAAAACAAAACAUAUUGAUUCAAAGGAAAACAAGUCCAUAAAAUCAAUCACAAAAUAAAAAUAACUAGACAAUACAUCUUUUUGGGAAAAAAAAAAUCAUCAGAUAUUAUCCCUCCCCCCCUCCUCCUUCAUCUUGACUAUCGGUUUGUAAUAAAGCUAAACCAUUAGGAAAUAUAGUCCAUAUUGUCAAACCGAUAAACUUCAAAACCGAACCGAACCGACCGAUAUGCAGCCCUACUUUUGCUGUUCUCUUCCCUUUAUGGUGUGUGUCUAGUUCUAAAGCGGGUAGGUAUGUCGAUGCAUGUCAUCCCUGUUUAGCUAGUUAGCAACUUAUUGUGUUCUAGCUCUCUGUACAUCUAUAGGGGCAUCCCACUCAACACCCAGCUUCUUCUACUUAUCUAUGCACAAGCACACACAUACUCCAUUUGUUGAACCUCACAUAGUCUAACCACAUCUGCACAUAAUGCACGGACUUCAAAUGUAUCCAAAGACAGUCAACCAACCAGUCAUUGCUCAUGUCGAAUUUCCUUUAAACAACCACAGUUAACAGGUGUUGAAGCUUCACUGCUGAGCUAAAGCUGCUCUCUACCGUGACAAACACUACGUGAAACGAUAACUUUUGAACUAAAAACUGUUUUAUUCACCAUAUGUACCAUCUACUAUUACCUAAUACGAAAACUAUAUAACCCCAUAUUUAGCUGCUACUCAGCACUCCUACCAUACAUUCAUUAAUCUGUAAUUUCAAGGUUGAGCAUGCGACGAAGAGUCUGUGUCGCAAAGUCAAUACUGUCAAAUACAAUUCCUGGAGAAGGGCUGCGCUCCCUGGUUGGGGUUGCUGGUGCAGAUUUGGCGAAGGGACGUAAAUCAAUAUCAGAUGCUGAAACAGGAAAUUCAAGAGAGGCAGCCCUCUUAGGCCUGAGGGAUAACUUGGGCAUGGGCAGAGAACUAGGAGGAGGAGAAUUCGAAUAAGCUGGCCCUGCCCAUAGUUCAGAGAAUGGAAACUCAUCACUCAAGGAAUUCUCAUUCCUAGAACCAACAUCCCCAUUGAGGUUAAAUGGUAUAGUAAUCGUGUUGCUUCUGCCUGGUUUUCUUGAUUUCUUCUGAUCUUCAGAGUAAAACUUAACAGUAUUAACAGGCAGUGGUGUUAAAGGUGAUCGCUUUUGGGGAGACAAGAAACCCGAGGAGGCUCUUUUGUUGACAGGUUUCUUGACAGACUUCGAUUGGGUUUGAAAUAAACCUGCUCUGGACUCAAAAGCCCUACAAUUUACCUCCCUAAACCCACCAGAAGGAGGUGAACCAUAUGACCCAAAUCGAGCAGGACCAUGUGCCCUGCUUCUCCCAUGGAACUGAUUCCGAUGCUGAGCAACAACAAUCAUUUCCGACAACAACCAAUUCAAUCAAAUUCAACUAUAACUCACUAUCUGAAGAUCUAACAAGAAACAACAGAGGUCAAAGAUUCAUAUUGGGGCUUUGAAAUGCUUUAAAUAGACUGUCAAUCACCAGAUUAUCAGCAAAUCAAAAUCACUAUCACUGUAUCCAAUACAUAAAAUUCAUCCACAAUCACCACUUUCACCCUUCAGUUUCUUCAGAUCUAUAAUCCAGUAACAAAAAAAAAAAAAAAAAAAAAAAAACAUAUAGGAAAACAAAUCAGUAACUCAAAUCCGAAACACCCAAAACGAAAACUGCAAAACACAACUACUACAACUCAAUUUCAGGGCAAUAUUCGUAUGUAAAUCAACUUUAUUCCAAUACAAAAAACUAAGAAUUGUACUUUCUUUCAUAUAAAUAGAAGUUGUAAAUUUCAUUUUCAAGUAAAAUUACCUGAUGUCAGGAAGUAUUAGUGAAGCAGAGUGUCUGGACAGUGUGAUUUAGGAUGAGAUUUUCCUCCCCAACCUAAAAAUACUAAUAGUACUGUACUUAAUAGUAUGGUUGUAAGUUCUCUUUGUAUUAUGGAGCCACCAUAGAUUCAACGACCACUAAAGCUUUUCCGAAACGUGAAUCUCCGGAUCUGAAAUGGACCUAAAGUCGUAUUCUAAAUUAGCUUUGAGGUCCAGCGGCGUUAUUGUACAAUUUGCACCCCGUUUGUGAGUGAAAUUAUGAAAGUGUCACAAGCGGGAUGCAAGGAACAGUGACACUCUGGUUCAUCAAGGACAUAUUUAAACCAUUUACUAAUCUGGCAGGAAUCUGUGGUGACCAAGCACAACAGAUAAAGAGGCAACCACUAGCUUGAACUUUGCCAUUAACAUCGUGAUGUUAUUUAUAACCCCACGGCACAAACAAGAGGACGCCACAGUCCCAUCACACAAACUCAUGGCCAUCAGAAAGGGAUCAUUAAUGGCCAUGAAACAGUUUGAACCUGCCAAAUUGACAAGACUCCAACCAUCAUAGAUCGUUUUCUCAAAAACAUAUAUAAAUUGGGUUCAUUCAUAGUAAUCACAGUUCUCAUCAAAACAGCACAAGAAAUUCACGACCGGUUCUGGGACGACAUCUUCUCAAUGGAGAGGAAAGCAUCAAGAUUUUGCCAAAAAAGCAAAUCAAAGAGUAAAUAAUCAAGGGAAUCUCAGUCAGUACCUUAGUAAGAUGAAAGCAACAGGUCAACAAGAGGGAGAAGCUGUAAGAUCGAUCAGCUACAACAACAAAAACAGGAGCAGAAGAGUAAGAGGCGGUGGAGAACUGGAGAUGAGAUGUGGACUUGGAAACUUCUCAUUUAGAAACCUACUUUUUCUACUUAUCAAUUAUCAUAUAUGUUAUUUAAGGUUGGGCCGGGUAGAGUAAUGGAUUGCUGAAAGUUGAAACAGAUUUUUAUUUUGUUGAAUAAUGGGUUGGGCCAUUAAGUUUUAUUAUUAAUAAAAUAAUAAAUUAAACAGGGAUAGUAUAGUAUUUUUACUGUAUUCUUAUUAGGUUAUCGGUUAAUAGAUCAAAAUCGGAACCGAACCGGUUAAUCAAUAAAAUUCUUUAUAAAAUCAAUAACAAAUCAAUAACCCAAUAACCCGAUACCGAUAACCCAAUGGUAUUUUUAUCGGUUCAGUUUAUCGAUCGGUUCAGUUUUUGCACAGCCCUACUUGUAGGUUAGUCGUUUUUUCCUUUGGCCACCUAAAGUCAAUUUUCUUUUACAUCGUGAAAAUAGUUUCUAACAUAAAUACAAGUAAAGUUAUUUGAUUUUCUUUUAAGUCUCGUAUAUAGCAAAAGAUUUAAUGUAUUAAUAUAAUACUCAGUUGAAUAUGAAUGGAUGAAGUUGUUAAAGUUCCCAAUAGAGUUGGAAUUGAGUGCUCAACAUAAUGACACUUUAGUCCCAAUUGUCCUCGAGAGAAGGCUCGCCAUUAUGUAAAAAUUAGAUAAAUUUGAUCUACAAUUACAAGCGAAAUUAUAGUAUUUAUAUUAAGAAAUUCAUUAAAUAUAAAUUCAUUAAAUGCAAAUUCAAUAACUAAAUUGAGCUAUGGGUUCAGGAAAAGUUUAGAAUUUAUUAAGUUAAAAUAUUAACCUAUCUCUAUUUAACAAUCUGAUAAAUUAAUCGAGUUUUCCAAAUGAUCAAAUACGAGCCAAUUAUUUAUUUGUGAAUUUUGUUGUCUACUCUUUGUUAAAUAAUCAUUUGGCCAAGAACUUUCAUUACAUUAUUAAUUAAAACAUUAUAUGUUCUAUCAUGCACGCGAUCAAAGCUUAUAUUUUUAGAGAGUUAUGUUGUAGAUUAGGCUACUUAAUAACAGUACUAACCUAAUCAGUGUAAUAAGCUAAACUAUUUUAGGUAGGUAAGUAUUUAUCACUAUAAUAAUAAAGACUUUUAGAGGUAAUAAAUAUACACGUUAUUAAGAAAUGUUAAACUAAUUUUUACUGGCAUUAGUUAGUUGUCACCUAAUCCAGUAUCGCUAUAGGACAUUUGCAAAGAAUACUAAGAAUGUAAUUGUCACGAAUAAUCGCUUCUAAAAAAAUAAUUCAGCUGCUAUAAGCUAUUGCCGUGAACUAAUUGCCGCUAAAUAUUUUUUUUCUCUUUUAUAAAAGUACCUAUAUAUACACACAAAACUACUGGAAUUAGUUAUGCAUUUUGUCACGAAUCUAUCACUAAUUUGCUCGUAGCUAUCAAAAAUUACUGGCUAAAUAGGAUUAAGGACGAAUUUUGCUAUUCAACUACAUAAUUUGUCCGCCGCUAAACCCUUUUUUUUUUUUCUUUCUAAGUAGUUACGUAACAUUUUCAGUUCAAUAGUUUAUAAUGAAGCCACAUUUUGCCAAGAAAAUAAAGGAUAAAUAAAUUAAAGAACAACAAUAAUUAAUCACUCAAAAUGAAGCCACAACAAUAAUAUAUAGGUAAAUUACAAUCAGCAUGACACUCCUAAUACAAAGGAACCAAAAGAAUAAUAAUAACAGUUAAUAUUAGUAAUACAAGAUUGACAUAAAAAUAACAUUUUCUCCAAAAACUCAGAAUCCCCUUGUAGUCAAAGCAAAUGAUGAUGUAACAAAUAGGAGGAAUAAUCCAACUAAAGUAGUAGUCAUAGAAACUUUUGUGUUGCUUCCUGCUGCUGCUGAUGAUCCAGGUGUUGAAGGAACUGUUUUAGAACCCGUAGUACCUACACCAAUGAAAGCAUUUGCGCGCGUUUGAGUUAUUUGACUUACUUACACUAGCACAAUAUAAAAUAAUUUUUAUACUAUUAGGUCAACUACAAGUAAUUGUUAUGUAAGUGAUAUAGCAUGUUAAAUUAAAAUUCUUAUAUAUAGGAGAGAUGAUAAUUUUUUGUAUUUGAAUUGUACCUGUUCCUGAUGGAGUUGCUGGGAUUUCAUUAGAGGAAUCGGAUGGGGUAGUUGAACCUGUAGGAGAACUUGCUGGUACUGAAGCAGUUGGUCCAUUUGCAGCUAUUUUUUUUUAUGCACAAAACAAUUAGUUAGUUCAUUAUACAUGUAGAUGUUAUAAGAGUUUAAUUAAUUUAAUCAUAAGUGUAAAGAAUUUUUAUAACUAUUAAAAUCUAGUGGCAGAGCUAUGAAUUGAAGUAUAGAUUUUAAAUUCUAAGAUGGAAACAUCAAGUAUUGGCUUUCGAAUUAAAUUUUUAUACAUAUUUAAUAGAUUCCUGAAUAUAUUAAUGUUAUAAAGUUAUUGUAUUAGGUCAGAUUAAUUAACUGUCUUAUUUUUAGAUUAAUCUCACUGGACAGAUACAUUACUUGUAAUUAUCUUUUACAUGGCCAAAUAAUAUAAAAUUUUCUUCUGCAUUGUGAAUACUCAUUGUUUAAAUAUUACCUAGACCAGUAUUAACAACAUUUCACUAUAACAAUCAAGCUCUAAACCAAUUUUCAUGUUAUGUUAUAUCAUAUAUUUUCUAUAAUAACAAUAUAUCAACCCAAAAAUAUUUGAAGAAAUAACAUCGUUGUAGAGAGGUUCGAUUGUGGAAUGAAAAGUUGUCUUACCAUUGCACCUGCUGAGAGGAGGAGUUUGUAAAUUGCAUGCACUAGGUAAUCCUAGAGCAAGAGUUUGAUUAAUGGCAAUGCCAAGAUUAGAACCACCACCAUUAACCAACAUACAAAGGCAUUGGGGAUUGGAUUGGACAACACCAGCUAGUGAUGUGCAACAAGAUGAAGAUGGUGUUGAUGAAUUUCCACUAACAUAGUUCAAACAUGGUGAUAAUCCUACUAGUGUAGUCAUACAACUUGAUUGACCUAAAGCUCCAUUAAAAAAAAUGGCUACACUUAGUACCAUAACUAGAGCCAUCACAUUGAUUUUGGAUGCCAUUUUUCUUACUUUGAAUCUAAAAGAGAAAAAGAGGAUUGGUUGAUUAUAUUCUUUUUGUUGUUGAGUGAAGAGGAAGAACAGGGUAUUGGGGUUUAUAUUUAGCACAAAAGAACAAGAAAAGAUAGGUAUUUUUGUUGGCCAACUUUUAAACUAAUGAAUGGUUAGCUAAUAUAGCUAAAAAUCAAUAAAGAAUAUAGUUUUUGAGGACUUAUUAUAAUUAUCUAUUACUCCAUUUGAAACCUGUUUACCUAAUUAGGUGAUCUUCCGUUAUUAGUAUAUUUUGUUAAAAAGGUUUUGGUUAUCUUCCAAUAAGGAAAUAUUGUAAGUCGUUGUAUGGAAAAGUUUGUCAACAAAUUAAAUGUUUUUUGUUUCGUGUACGAGCACACUAAAGAUUACUUUCUGCAACACCUACGGAAGCUAAACUCGUUGAAAGUUAUUUCCAUUUUACCCUUGAAAAGAAAGAUUUUAUAGUCAAAACAAAUGUUGGUGGCAUUUGACACGUUUACGAAAUAAAUUUCAGUAGUCCAACAAAUUUUAUGGUAUAUUAAUUUAAAGUCAAAAAUUUCAAAAGUCUAUUUGAACUUAUCAAAUUAUACAAUUGCGGAUGUAGAAUGCCAGUAUCUUUAUCUAAGGCCAGUACUUUUGAUACAGAAAAAUUAUGUGUCAAAUUAUCAAAAUUUGCAACAAACAGUAAACAUGAAUUCAUUUUCUUCUAAUCAAUUUGUCUAAUAAAUCUUGACAUAUAUAUGGUUAAAAUCAUUUUUUGGUAUAUUUACGUCGAACUCCCUUCGGUUAGUUCGUUUGUUCACUUAUGAACCUCUUAUAAAAAUUAUGGCUCCACCACUGUCCGGUAUCAAAAUUAUGUAACAAAUACCCAAUGAAAUAAUUGAAGUACGUAUGUAAUUGACUCGCUAAAGUUCUCCUACGCCUUUUGAAAAUUGACGUUAUAUUAUACUAGUCGUAGGAGCCAUUUGGUAACAUGGAUUGGAGUUAUACCACGUCCAUGUUAUCUGUUUUUUUAAAGUUCUCCUACAUUUUUUACGAAAUUGAUGUUAUAUUUAAUAGUCUUAGGAGCCAUUUAGUUACAUGGACUGGGGAUUAUAACGCAGUACAAAGUUGGGAUGAAUAUUUAGUAUUUGUUUGUGAAUAUUAGAUAAAAUCAUGAUAGAAUUUAUAACAAAAUCAUGGAAUUAUCUAAUCGAUCUCAUAUAAAAUAUGGAAUUAUCUAUUAUCAGUUAAUUUCAGAAUUAUAAUCCGAAAAAAAUAUUGCAUGUUUUGAACAAAGGACAUAUGAUUAUAAGAUUUUUUUUUUCAUCUAAACUAUCUUUUGUUAAAUAAUGUUUCACUAAUUUAAGAAUAGAUCCAGAAGAAACUAAUAAACAACUUCUCAUUUCUCUUAAACGUCACAUAUGUCAAAAGAAAAUCAAUUUGCCAAAUUUCACAGGACAGAAUAUUUUCAUCUGAAGAAUUUAUAAUCAAAUUAUGUUCGUUAUAAAAUUGUUUUAUAAUCUUCUUAAUUAGUUUUAAAUUUUGAAAACUCGUGACAUAAUAAUAUGCUUUAUAUAUAACUUUUAACCAUAUACAUUUUAUUUUAAUAACAUGUUGAUUGCAGAAUGGGUUCAUCUGAUAUUAAUUUUUUUUUUUUAAAAAAAAAAACAUUUGCAGCUCAAUUCCCUAAAUUCAAGGGUUAAUGUGGAGGACCAAAAAGAUGCAAGAGAUGAGCAAAUAGGUCUGAAGAAGAAUAAAUCAGUAUUAUUGUAUUAGUAUAUAUUUCUACUAAAUAUUUCAUCAAUUUAUUUUCCACUGCUGAUUGUAAUUUUCAAAAUUAAUAAAUAAUUCAUUCAUCUCUUAAUUUAAGUUCCACUGCCUUAAUCUAAUUUUUAACUCACUAGUUAUCUGAGUAAAUUAAUAUAUGAAAUCCCGAAACUCCUUUACUUUAUCCAAAGUUGUAAUGUCUCCUAUUGUUUUUAUCUAAAGUCGUAACUAAUGUGGACCUAAUGAGAAUGACCUAAAACUAAUAAAAAGAAAAUGGAGUUUACAUACUAUAUUCAGAAAGUCUCAAUUCAAUUAUUAUCUCCAAUAACUAAUUAAAACUGCAAAAUAUAAAACUUAUAUAUUAGAACAUGAAUUUGGAGUACGUAGUUACUAAUAUUAAGCUGAAAAAGGUAUGAUACAUAAGAGCUAAUUGAACUUCUUCUAUAAUUUGACAUUAUAUAUAAAUAAGUUUUUAUAUUAUUAGAUCACUUAAAUGAUAGUUGCAUAGUUCAUGAAAAGUAAAUUAAUUAAACUCAUAUAGAGUUUCACUUUUCUAUAAUGAUGGUACAUAAAAAAAAUAAAAGGAAAACUACAUGUAACUGUCUGUAUACAUAAUACUUUAUUGGAAGAAGAAAUUUAAAAGAAGAAAAUGACUAGCAAGGAUAAUCACAUGCACAAAAAGGACCAUUAAAGCCAAGUUGUUCAAUGCACUGUCCACCAGCAGAGGAUCCAAAUUUGUUAUUACAGAAAGGUAAGCAUUCUGGUUCAACUUUGCCUUCAUCACACAAUAUUUCUGGACGUAUCUGAUAGCAUUUUUGUGCCAUAGCUGGUGGGAUCAUCGUUCCAACUGCGUGUAAUUAGAAAAAGAGAUACUUAAUAUAAUACACAUUAAUCAUAAUCAAUUUCAUUUAGUUUAUGUUUUUAUAUGCUUUACACAACUUUUCUUAAUGUAAAUGAAAAUUGAAUUAAUUCAUCAAAAAAGUUGAAUUCCUCAGCCAAAAAGACAUAUGUUUUAAUAAUUAAGAAGCAUCAUUUAAAAUAGAAUUUUUUCUUAUUAUUUCCCUAGUGGUGGGAUCAGGAUUUUCGUUAAGGUUCAAAAGUAAAUAGACAAACUAAUCAAAGGGGUUCGACAUAUAUGGUAUAUACAUUAAAAAAAAUAAUUUUAAUUAUAUAUAAAUAGUAAAAACUUUCGCCAAAGAAGAUUCGGAUAAACUCCCUCGAUCAUGAGUUAGCUUUUGAGGUUGAGUUAAAUCCAAAUUCAUUAUUUACAUGAUAUCAGAGUCAGGUCUAUCAAAUUUAUUAUUUUCGAUGUUAGAUCCCCAUUUUAUAUUGUUCACGCUUCAAAUGUCCAAUCCUGAAUGUGCGGGGAUGUUAGAGCCCCAUAUCGGUGGAUUAAAGAAUCUUGAUCUCUUUAUAUAAUCCUGAAUAAUGUUCCCUCAUGAGCUAAUUUUUGAGAUUGAUUUAAGUUCAAGAUCCACUCUUUACAAAAUCACGAUCUAUUCCUUUUUUUAAAUCCUACCAAAAAGAUGAAUUAUUGAUCUAUCCAGCCAAGACAACAAUACUAGAAAGCUACGAGUCUUAUAUUUUGAUCUAGCUUUCCAAAAAAUUGUUUUUCAAGAAAGAGCUAGUUGUAAAAAUUAAAACUGUUUCGGAUACAAAAAGGAUUAAACAGGAACAAAGGGGAUUAAUCCUUCGUAGUUAAAGAUCGAUAAAUAAAAUAUGAGAAAUUAUCUAUGUAUGUAUGUAUAGGCUAUAACAAGUACAAAUCAACAAUGAAAAAACAUGUUACGUACGUACUGUGUAGUAAUAACCUAGAAAAACAGCAGCAACGAGAAGGAUGCAAGUUGGAAUAUUUGCCAUAGGUUUCUUUCUGGAAAAAACAGUUUUUUAACAGAACAAACUAAAUCUGCAAGAGUACUUUGUUUGUGUUGUUUGGUCACACUAAAUAUAUAAUUUGGAUGAGUUCCUUGUACUAUAAUAUUAUAGUUUGUGAAAAAGGGAUAUUUACAUCAAUAAUUGAGCCCAAUCAAAUUAAACCUUACAAUACGUGGAGCAUAUAUAUGAUAGAUUCUUUUGGCUAUGGAGGUUACUUAAUUACCAGGAAAGUGGCCUUUAAUUGUCAACCACAAAUUGUUUUUUACGUCAGAUAUUGCAAAUAAACAACUGUUUGACCACUAAUGACAGUGACUUAAUUUGUUUUGUUUUUUUUGCCAACAUACAUGUUCCAUUGGAUUUAAUGAAAGGACGACUCGAUGCUCUAUAAUGCUUGCUAAGUGUGAGGAUCGGGAACAAUUAUCAUACAUAAUAUUAUUUUACAUUUUUAUAAAAGACUAUUUCCUUAUUUUGUAUCCGUGAUCUUCCAAUCACAUACAAAACAACAUCUUUAUUGAUUAUUCCACACCCCUAACCUUUCAAUCACAUACAUGUCAACCACUUUAUUAUUACCAGGACCCCCUCACAAAUUAAUCAUUUAACAAAUAAACAGCUGUAUUAACACUAAUGACAGCAGUUUGAUUUUUUUGCAACAUUGGCCCCAUUCACAUAACGUGGCAACAGAAAUUUGAGCCUAGUCACAAAUUAUUUCGUCAGCUACAAAUUUUAUGUUUUUUUUUUUAUUAAAGGGAGUUCUUUUAUCAUAGUCGGUCACAACUUUAUAAUAGACUAAUUUUUUUCUUAUCUAGUAUUCUCGUCUAAAAUUAUUUAUCAUAAUUUUUAAAAAUAGUUAGUUUAAGUUAUUUAUUAUUUUAUAUUAUAAAUAUCUUAAUAAAGUAAAUAUUUAAUGUGAAAGAUGAUGUCUUUAGACAUAAAGAAGAUAAAAUAGUUAAAUUUUUCUUCUAAAUAAAUAAUUUUUUAAGAAGCAUGUAAAAGAGAAAUAAGAUAGAUAAUUUGAGAUGAAAUGAUACUAAUAUACUUCACUAUUAUUAAACUUGGAGACAAUUUAGACAAAAAGAUUUUAAGAAUUAAAUAUGUGCUAGAAUUACUUGUUAAACCUUUUUCAGGAGAAUAUUUUGUAAUGUUAUUUUCUCUUGAAAUAUUUGUCAUGGUUUACUAAAUAUAUCUAAUUCACACUCUUAAUGGAAUUCUCCCCCUUCCAAAUCCAUGUGAUAUAUUUUAUCGGGCAUAAAAUUUAAGAAAGAAUUUUUUUUGAAACUUAUGAUUUAAAUGUUUCAUAUACAUUUAUAUGACUAUUUUAUGUAUUAAAAGGAAAAUAAGAAAUUUAAAUUCUAAACUUUUUUUAUAGUUAGAAAAAUCAUAUUCUUAUAGUUAAAGUUAAAAGGAAGUGCAUUUUCUUAAAUUGGACAAAAAAGUAUUAUUAUGUGAUAACUGGUUGUUCAUCUCGUCUGCUUAAAGCUGAGACGAAUCAAAUCAUGCAAAACUUUUUUUUUUUUUUUUGGUAUUUAUUAAUAAAGUUAAUCACCAUUAAUUAAUUAAGAUAGUAAGCAUCAUAUAUAUUUUUCAAAUUUUACACGUUUACGCAACUUGAAAUGUUCUCAUACUCACUAGUAUUUAUGUUGACAAUGAAGCUGGCAUUUACUAAUUACUACAGUUCUAUAUAUGCAAAACAAAAUACAUAAACCAAAUAAUAUUAUUAGUGCUGGUCAUUCAGCAACAAUCAUAUUAAAGUCAAGAAUAAGGAUUUAUUCAAAGAUCACAUAAAGUAAUGCGCGUAAGAAGAUUUGAGUAAUAAGUGUCGGUCUGUUGUCACAAUUUUUUUUUAAUUUACAAAAAUGAGUUUGAGUAUGAAAUUGUGGGAUUUUUAUGUCUUUAUAGUACGUUAUUCUUUUAAGUUAACGUUUAUUUUGUAAUAUUUUUUAGUACAUUGACAUGAUGAUUACACGAUCAAAUUUGCUUAGAUUUCUUUAUGCAUGCAUGUCGUGGGGACUUCGAUUCUCUUCAAUUACUAAUACGUGCACCAUCAUAUAUAAUCCACUAGUACUCUUAGGAUUCAAGCAGCUUUCACAAUAAUGUAUUUUUUUUUCUUUAUUUUAGGAACUCGACAUUUGAAUGUAUGUAUAUCUCUUGAAUUAUCCCCUUAAUUCGGGAACAACCGUCUGUACUACUCAAGCAAUUUUGGGUUAGUUAAAGAGUUCAACGCUCCAUCACAAAAACAUCUUCAUUCAACAUAUAGUUACUCUCUUUAGAGUGAAUAUAGUUAAAGACUUAGAAUAUUUUCUUUAUUUUAACUCUCUCUUUCAAUAAUAUAAUUACUCUCUUUUAUAUAGUGAAUAUAGUUGAAGACUUACAAUAUUUUCCAUGUCUCAACUUUCUCUUUCACUACUACACAUAAUAAUAUUUUUCACAUUUAUUAUCUUUUUCUUAUCCCUCAACAAAGGAAGAAAUAACACUAUUUAUAGGUGGGGAAUUCAUCCUUAUACUACAAGACAUAAUGUGGUAGAUAAUGAACAAAUAAAGUGGUAGAAGUAAUAAGAAUUAUUAAAAUAUAAUGACUUCACUUUCUUCACUUUAUAUUCAUAAAUUAUCAAGCAAAUUAAAGUUUUAAUUUCAAUAUUAAAAUGCAUAAUACCAUCAACAGAAAGUUAUUCUCUUGCAUGCAAUCAGACAUGUCCGUGCAAAAGGGAAUGCGAUUUAUAAAUCGUUUUGAGAAAUGUAAAUUACAAAUCAUGUUUGAACAAUAAUGUGAUAUAUAAAUCAUAUUUGAAGAAUGUAUUUCUUAAUCGUGCUGGAGGAAUAUACUACUCUAUAUUUUUACAUUGCCACUAGCUAUAUUGGAGGAACUGAAAUUAGAUAUUCGAUUGUUAUAAAUGUAGUAUAUAUAGAGAGAAUGUCUACUUUACCAUAUAUAGUGAAUACCUACUUUACCAUAUAUUGUUUACGCCUAUUUAUGGAAAAAUUACAAAUCCUAAGGUUAACUAGUUUUUUCCUAUAAAUAAAGGGGUUUUCCUUCAUUGUAAUUGACUACAUCAAGAGAUCUCUCAAGAGAAAUAAGAAUUACUCUCUCUAUUUUCUCUAUUAUUCCUCUUUGUUCUUUAUUGUUUUAUAACACGUUAUCAGCACGAGGUUCUGCCUUUGAGUUUAUAUUUAUGCCGGUAAGUGGCGACAAAUACUAAUAGACUAACUAAUUAUUUGAUAAUGCCUUUGGCUUAAUUUUAUCCGGUUUACAUUGUGUAAUGUUUUGAUUGAUCGGGAAAUUUUUUUAGAGGAAAUAAGCUUUUGAUUUGCUUUGGCUACUCCCAAAGUAAAUGAAAUCCCCAAAUUGCUUUGUAAAGGAAAGUGAACUUCCAGUUCAGCUUUUCUUUCUCUUUCAUGGACUUCAGCUAACUAAUUUUUUUAUUUACUUAUUUAUUUAUUUGACAAUUUGGUCAUACAUACGACUGCCAUAUUUUUAACACAGUAAGUUAAUUAGUAUUAUAUGACAAAUCUACAAGUCUAUUAUGCUCAGAAGAUAUCAACCACGGGUUUCCAGAUAUGCACAUGUUACUAACGUUUUGUUCUUAGGUUACAUAAUGGUUGUUAUUUUUAUAAUAACUAUAUUAUAAAUCUAAAGGCAAUUUCAAGUUUAAUUAGUAGUUUCUUAUAUUAUUUGUCUUUUGCUACUAAUAAUAUAAUUAUUGUUGGAUUUGAGGAAAAAUAAUUGGUUUGGAACCAUUUAUGUUUUAAAUUUAUUCUUCAAGAACAAUAUUAUCAAAAUGGAUGAUAAUAUGUUGGGUUCAAGUCCCAUUGAUUUAUGCCUAAGACGCCUUUAUAUGGGUAAGACGUUGAGUUUGAAUCUCAAUGUACCAUACUAAUGAUAUUAUGAUGACUAAGGCAAAAUAAUGAGUAUUGGGUGAAAAGUCAUGAAAUUCAACCCAUUGAAUAUGCUAAGUCUGAAAUAUGACAACUUACUUCAUUCUUGAGGUGUAUAUGCAGCAAUGCAUAAUAUGUCUGAAAGAAGACAAGUAAUUAAAUGCACGAAUAUACGCGUGGAGGGACAAUAUGAUAAUGAUCAUAAAAAAUGAUAUAUUUUCACACGCUUAUAUGAUUAUAAGAUAUUCUAGAGAAAAUUUUUCUGCAUCAUAUGUAUGCCUCGAUUUGCUUCUGAAGUAGCAAAAUCUUGAAAGAGGUUAUAAGCUAUCAUAAAUUGAUAGGCUUAAGGCAUGGUUAUAUUCCAUUCCUGGGGAAUGAAAAUUUUGAUUAUUAUAAGCACAGAUCCAUUCUCUGGGGUGAAUGUGAUAAUAUUUAAUGAAGCUUAUUAAUGCAAUCGUGUACUUGAUUGUGAUGGUAUCACAGCUCACCUCCGAAUGAGGCAGAAUAAUCGAGAAGAGUUAUUUUGAAAUCUACUUCUAAAGUAGUAAAUCUGAAAUUUAUUCAUGUAAUAAUAAAUCUGAAAUUUACUAAAGUAAAAGAUACAUGUCAUGGUAAACUUGGAGUUUGCUAGAAUAAAAGUUCAUAAAUUGACUUGAACGAUUUCGACAUCUCAAAGAUGUGCAUAUUGAGUAUUGAGCAUAUAUUGAAGAAUUAGAAAAUUCUUCAUUACUUUUAAUGUUGUUUGUUCUCAUAAUAAGUUGGUUGGACCAACUAAUAUUGGGAUUGGAUCCCUUAAAAUCUAAAAGUAUAAAAGGUGAAUAUGGGCCCGUUCACCCGUCAUGUGAUCUAUUAAGAUGCAUCGAUAUAAGAUGAUCACAUGUACAUUCAUUGUCAACCUGCCAUUUGACAUUCAUAAAGGCGCUUGCUCAAUGAUAUUGAGUUAAGAGUAUAACUUUCAGAUUGUACAAUCAAGCUAAUAAAUCUUGAUGAUGAUGGUUUAGCAUUGAAUGUCUUCAAUAAGUAGCUGAACUAUUGCUAAUGAGAACAAUGCUUCAUGUAUUGGUUUGAAAUAUGAUAUAUUAUAUACAAAAGUACAUGUAUGCAUCAAAUCAAUAAAUUAUGAUUAUUUCUUCCCUCUCAAUUGGUUCAAGAUCGGGAACCAACUAUUCCAUCUAAUAGUUUUGAUGUGCGGUAUACGAUUAAUAAAUAUACCAUGAUGCACAAAGAUAAAUUCCUCAAAGAAGAUGGAGGAUGUAUAUUAGCUUUCCUAACAUAAGGGGGAGAUUAUAAACAGCUAUGAAGUAUGCUAGGAAUUAUCAUCAGAUCCUCAUUCAAAAAAUAAUUCAAGUCAAAUACUGAACACAUCUCAUAUUUAAGCUGCAAGUGCUCCUAUUUUGUCUCUAAAGGACAAAAUCUAUGCAUGCGUGAAGCGUGAUAGACCAAUCGGUUCCAAAUGAAAUAAUCCUUGAAAAGGAUAAGGAGCAACUAAUCAUAAUAAGAAGGCAAUGUGCUCUUGAAGAGCCUACGACAUAACACAUCAUGAAACCUUAUGAGAGGUUCAGGUACCUGAAAAUAAUGAAGUGAUGAGAUCUCAAAAUGUUAUGUCACAUUGUGAAACAAUACAAAAUGAUAUAUCAUUAAUAUCUUUGAUACAAUAUUGACGCAAUAUUGUGAAAAAUUACGAGGAUCUUAAUUCUACGUUAAUUUAAGCAUGCUGACGUAGAAACAUUUAUCAAGUGAUAUGAAAGGAUGCAUCUUGGUAAGUAUAAAACUUAUUUGAUUUGCAGUUCAGACACUUGAAGAUGUCACUCAUGAAAUGUUGAAUAUUGUCACUUGACAAAAUUUAUAUGAAAAACUUUUAAGGAUUCAAAAUGUUUGAAGCAUAUAAAAGUUUCUGGGAAACUUAUUUAUAAUCCUUAUAUUGUAUAAGCUUAUAGCUUGAAAAUCAUUAAACUCUUGGAGAGUUUUCACAAGCAAUGAAUUAUUUGCUGAAAUGCGAAACAUACCGAAUUGGAUUGGUCUUGAAGUACCAUAUCUUAGUCCAAUUGGUGUACUAAUAUUUCUUGCAACUACUACAAGGCCUGAUAUAACCUUUUCACUCAAUUUGUUAGCAAGGUAUAUUUCUGCUCCUACUAGGAGACAUCAGAAUAGGAUAAAAUACAUAAGCUUAUUUUAUUCUAAAAAUUGCAGUCCCGAUAUUAUUGAUCAUGCUGACGUUGGGUACUUAUCUGACCCGCAUAAAGCUCGGUCUCAAACAGGCUAUGUGUUUAUAUUUGGUGGUACUGCUAUAUCUUGAAGAUAUACAAAGCAGUCUAUCGUAGCCGCUUCAUCGAAUCAUGCUGAGAUAGUAGCUAUUCAUGAAGCAAGCCGAGAAUGUGUUUGGUUAAGGUCCAUGAUACAUCUCAUUCGAGAAAAAUAUGAUUUGAAAUGUGACAAUGUACCUACAGUUUUAUACAGAGAUAAUCAUCAUGCAUAGCGCAUCUUAAUGGAGGAUUCAUAAAAGGAGAUAGAACGAAGCACACGAAGCACACUUCAUCAAAGCUUUUCUACAUACACGAGCUACAAAAGAAUGGUGCUAUUAACGUGCAACAGAUUCGUCCAAGUGGCAAUGUGACUGAUUUAUUCACCAAGUCUCUUUCAACUGCAACUUUCAAGAAGAUGAUGCACAAGAUCGGGAUGCAAAGGCUCAAGGAUGUUCUCAUUAGGGGGAGUUAAUACGUGUUGUACUCUUUUUCCCUUUCAAGGUUUUGUCCCACUGGAUUUUUCUUGUAAGGUUUUUAAUGAGGCAACCUAUAUGCGUAUUGUUAGAGAUGUGUACUCUUUUUUCUUCACUAGAUUUUUUUUCCACUUGAUUUUUUCUAGUAAGGUUUUAACGAGGCACAUUAUCUAUCUAGACAUUCAAGGGGGAGUGUUAUAAAUGUACUAUAUAUAGUGAAUGUCUACUUUACCAUAUAUAGUGAAUACCUACUUUACUAUAUAUUGUGUACGUCUAUUUAUGGAAAAGUUACAAACCCCAAGGCUAAUUUUCUCCUAUAAAUAAAUGAAUUUUCCUUCAUUGUAAUUGACUACAUCAAGAGAUAAAUAAGAAUUACUCUCUCUAUUCUUCUUCUUUGUUCUUUAUUGUUUUAUAACAUCGAUAAUUUUAUUGAAUUGAUUUAAAUUUUGUUACAUAAAUUAACGAAUUGAAAAAGGAAAACAAGGAAGGAUCGAAGCUCCAUUCGACUUUCCUUAAAGAAGAUAUGUACUUAUAAAUCGUAUACCAAUUAUGCCACUCCACGUGAAAGCCUCUUAUUGUUAAAUGAGCAAAGGCUAAACCUUUUGGAAAAGACUACUUUUUCUAGGCAAAUAUGUUCAGUUUUAUUAAGCAUAAAUCAAAUUUAAAAUUCAAAUAAGACAAAACUUCUAAAAUUGGAGAGGAGUUUAUUUUUUUAAGCAAAUUAAUAUAAGGGUAUAUCAUUUUUACCGUUUAUUUUUCUAAGAAAACCUUUAAUUUGUUCUUUUUAAAUUUUUAGACUUUCGUCGCUUAACUUUUUACACUAUAACUCAUAUAUUGGAAAAUUUAAAAUAUAUGAUUUUUUAAAAAAUUGUUAAUUUGGUUGCAAUAGAUGACAUUUUUGUUGAUUUAUUAAUGGUGACGAUGACGAAGGGAAAAAAGUGAAGGGGAAGGGAGGCUGGGAGGGGAGGGGUAAAACGAGUCGGGGCAGAACAUGUCACGUGGCAUUCACCUUAAAUUAUCAAAAUGUCAGUGCUACUUGAGAUUGGAUGUCCUCUUUGGACAAUUCUAAUAGGUCAGGAGGGAUAUGUUUGAACUAUUUAAAUAACGAUAAGGAUAUUUUCGUACAAUUAAAAAUAACAACGGAUAAAUUUGACCUAUUUUUAAUAAUUCAGGAAUAUUUAUGAUUUUUUUUCCUUAACAAAAUGUAGUCUGGGUUAAUUAUUUUGAGUUUGAUUGAAUAUUAAAAUCCUAAUUAUCUCACUCAAUUGCUCAGAUUGUGUUGGUCAAGGUAGGAGUGAGCUUUGUCUCAAUGUUGCAACUUUUCACGAUUUAAAGGUGAAUUAUAAAAGUUGAGAUCCAUCAACACUUAUUAUACUUAACCACAUGUUAAUUCCUCCUUAAUUAUCCUAAAAAUUUUUAGUUAAAAAUAAUAAUUUGAUUUUUAACCGAAUGAACAUAUAUGUCACCCGAUCUAUUAAUUUAGGAUAAACAUUCGGUACACAUAAGUUAUUACCACAUGUCAUGGAUUAUGACAUAGUUAAUAAUUCAUUAAAUUUACAUGAUUAUUUCAAAUUAGAGGAAAAAUUCAUUUAAUUUCUUAAGAUCUGUAAUCAAAUGCAAAUUAAAAUCAGUCAACAUUUUUGUGACUUGAAACAAAAUAGCAAAACCAACAGUGCCAUAUAAAUAUUGGCCUGUCUGCAACCUUUGUUCUUCACUUCCAACACAACUUCUACUAAGCUUCCAUUAAGAUCUUAUUUCCAUUUAUAUAUAGAUCCCUUAAAUAUAUAUUUUCUCCCUUCAAAUUAUUUAUUACUAUAAUUAUUUUUAAAACCUUAGAGACUACAAUGUCUAAACGUGCUCGAGUUAACCGCAAUGAUAGCUUUGAUCAGCCCAAUUACCCUAACCAAAAUAUUUCGUCUACAGAUAACCCUAACAAAUUUCUUAAGCCUUCUUCUAGUUUUACCAACAAUACUGCUACUACUGCUACUACUGCUAGUGCUGCUGUCGCCACACCGGCGAGCUUUUCUUCAUUUGGAAUGACUAGUAAUGUUGGUGGUAUUCCGAAUGAGUGCUUCUUCUGCAAGAAGAACUUCAAAAAAGAAAAUCACACCUAUAUUUACAGGUAUAUUAUUUGUAAUUUUUUUUCGACAUAUAUAUCAUUGGAUUGAUCACUUCUCUUGCUUGAAAUUUUCUACUGCAUUAUACAGCGAUGGAUUCAGAAUUUUAAUCAACAUAUGUACCUACAACUCCACUUUGUUCCCUAUGUGGUGCUAAUUGGAGAAUCAACAUUUUAAAUUACUAUCACACUGUCACAUAAAUUAAAACAGACGUAACAUAUAAUUGAAACCGAAGAUAAUGUCUUUCAUGGUUUGGUUGCACACAGGUCCCUUGCAUUCUGCACAGAGGAGUGUCGUGAAGUUCAGAUUUCUUUUGAUCAAAAUAUGAAGAAGACAAGAAUGGAGGCUGCAAACAAAAAGGGGUACAAUUAAUUGAUUACUGGCUCAUGUGAAGAAGGAGUAACAUAUUAUAUAAAUAUAUAUAGGGGUCAUGAGUUUGUGAUAGGAGUAAUAUAUUAUAUAAAUACAUAUAUAUAUAGGGGUCAUGAGUUUGUACUUUGUGUACCGUGGCUUAUAGGUUUUAUAUCAUAUCUAAAAGACUCAUCUAAAAACUAUUAUCUAUAGUUGAAAUUAACGGGUCUAUCCUGUAUUAUUAGUAUUAUGUUGGUUUACAAAAUCAUACUAUAGGUCAUCAAUUGUGCUGUAACAUUUGAACGCCUUUGUAUGAGAAUGAAUCUAUGUCAUUUUACAGUUUGGUGAAAAUUUCUUGUGGCAUACUAUAUUUUAUUUCAUAACUUGUGAGAUAUUAUGAUAUGAAAAUAUAAAUUUAUGUCUCGCGGAAAGUUAUUUUUUAUUUGUUACUUAACGUGUUAAAAGGCAAAAAUGAAUGAUAAUAGAGGUACACCGUGGUGCAAGAAUAUAUAUACGAAUUUCACUAUGCUAAGGGAAAUAAAGGAACUCUUCAAAAGCUCAUUGAUAUAUAAUAAUAACACCAAAUAACCCUCAAAUGGGAAUUAAAUUAUCCUAUAGUUAUUAGCUCAACAAAAGAACCAAGGGGUGCACAACGAUAAUCAUUUGAGACCAAGUAAUCUAGUUGUCGAGACGUACACAAACUGAAAUUAAACAUAAAUUUAGGUUGUGGCUAAAUUGUUAUAGACAACGUAUGAUUGCAAUUCUUGAAACCAAGAUGAAUGACCAUCAAGUACUACUAGGUGAUUAUUAAUAUGGUUCAAGUUCAAUAGUGAUUUUUGGCUUUUGAGUUGUAUUAAUUAAUGCUAGUACUUUUCGCAAUAUACAUAUAUUGAAGUGUUUAAGUUUGGCGCAACGUUGAUGUAUUUUUUUUUUACGCCAUCAUGUGAUUUUUACCUGUUGUAGCUGGUCAUUCAUUUUUAUAUUUUUAAUUGAGAAAUGGAUUACCUGCGGGUAAAAGUUACCUGAUAGUGUAAAAAAAAAAAAAUACACCGAUAAUGCAUCAAACUUAAAUUCUAUAUUGAAUACAGAUGCCAACUUAGUUCUCUUAUAUAUUACAAUAAAUUUAAAAAGGAAAAAGCUAUAUUAAUAUCAUUUGAUUUGAUAAUUCAUUAUAAGUUAAUUUAAUUGUUGAUUGCAGAAAGCUGUAAGUGGCAUUGCAACACAAUAAAGUAUAGUCUAUAUAUAAUUAAUGAGUUUGUGUACUUGGUAGUUCUUCCGUUAUUUGUUCGGGAAGGGGUAGAAGCAAGGCAAAUUAGGAAUUACUUUUAUUAUAGAGUAUAUUAAGGAUGUUCAUUUAGACUGAAAUAACAAUUAAUAUUAUGUCAUAUAUGACAUACAAAAACAUGAAGGAUUUUAAUUACUAAAAUCAAAUAAUUGUACUUUUCGCUACUUGAGCCAUUGAAAGGAUCAAAGAUUAUUAGUUUGACAUAUAGUGCACAUUGUAACCCUUUAUAGAUUAAAAGUUAUGCUCGUUGAAAGUGUUAAAUUGAAUUCGAAUUUUUUUUCCAAGGCUUAACAUAUUAUAUUAUGAUAUAAAAAUAUAAACUUAUGCCUCGCAAAAGAUAUAAAAACUUAUGCCUCGCAAAAGUGUUUCUACGCUUUAUCCCUAAAUCAUUUGAUAAAAAAAGCAAUCCGGUGCACUUAAGCACUCGCUGUGUGCGGGGUUCAUGAAAGGGUUUGACCACAAGAUUCUAUGGUUUACGGGCUUACUGUUGAGACAUAGAUGAUGAUAAAAGGAGUCAUAUAGAAGCUUCCAAAAUCCUAACAGUUUAUAUGAAAAGUUAGUUAGAGGUAUGUAAAGUUAGUUAGAAGUUGGUUAAGGAAAGAGCCUAUUAAAUGUUAAGUAUAGUACUUAAAGAUAGGUCGGUUAAGAAAAAUCUAGCUAACAUAUAUAUAUACACUUGUAAUCUCUAUAAUAAAAGAAUAAGGGUUUUACACAUCAAUAAAGUGAUCUUCCUUCUUGGUUAUCUCUUUUCUUUCUUUGUUUUACAGUACUGCGUUCAUAAAAGUUCAUGAUUUCAGCAGAAACCCUCAUCGUAUCAAAGCCAACGAUUGAAUUCUGAGUAGAUCAAAGUUGUUCUUACAAAUUCGUGGGUCUGUGAUUCUCAAAAUUUGGGGAAAGAAAGCUUCUGCACAAUUGAUUCAAUUCAAGAAAAGUUAAUUCAAAAUGGGAAACAGAGAAGAGAAUGUAGCUGAAGAAAUGUCUCGCGGAUUCAAUAAUGGUGGCCAUGGGAAGGGAUCGACCUUCAACAAUGGUGGAUAUCCUGGAAAUAUAAAUUCCACACCGUCUAUGAAUUCCGAACAAGGUAUCGAUUAUAACCAUCUUCUCUUUUUGAGCCCUGCGGAUAUUAAUGGGGUGAAUCUCAUAUCAUUUCAACUUCUUAGAACUGAAAACUAUGCUUGGUGGAGCAGAUCGAUCCAUCUAGCUUUACUUGGUCAAAAUAAAGUAGGUCUAAUUGAUGGAUCGUGUAGAAAGAAAGAUGUAAGUGUAGAGUUAAGAAGUCAGUGGGAGAGGGUGAAUGCUAUAGUUCUUUCAUGGCUUCUCAAUUCUUUGUCUAAAAGCCUGUUAAGAGGAGUAGCCUUUGCAACUUGUGCUCAGAGCGUGUGGAAUGACUUAAAAGGAAGAUUUGAUCGCCUAGAUAGGUCAAGAAUAUUUAGUUUACACAAAGAAAUUGCAACCUUGCAACAAGGAACUGAUUUUGUAUCUGUGUACUAAACUAAACUAAAGAAUCUAUGGGAUGAAGUUGAGGCUUUAGUUCCAUCCCCAGGAUGUAAUUGUGAAAGUUCAAAAGGGUUUGUUGAUCAUCAAAAUAGGCAAAAAUUAUACCAGUUUCUCAUGGGCCUGAAUGAAUCUUAUCAUCAAGCAAGAAGUCAGAUUCUUUUAAUGAUUCCUAUUCCUGCAGUAAAUCAGGCAUAUGCUAUCAUUGUUAGUGAUGAGUGUCAAAGGUAUGCGGCCACUAAUUCUGGUAGCAUGGGGAUGGAUUCUAUGGGUUCAAGCAAUGAUGAGUCUAUGGUAAUGUAUACUAGAACUGGUGCCAACUUUAAUCAGAUCACUAGAAAUACUGGAUUACAAAUAGGUGCUGGUCAAUCUCAUAACAAGUUCAAAAAAACCUAUAGUGUUAUUUGUGACUUCUGUAGAUGUAGAGGGCAUACUAAAGAUCAAUGCUACAAGCUAGUUGGAUAUCCUACUGACUUUAAGUCAAAAAAGAAGGUGAUAAUGGAGGGAACAAUGCUGCUUAUAAUGUACUUAGUGACAAUGUUGCAAAUGGUGGUUUCAACUAUGGUCUUAACACAAAUGUAGUGACGUAUCUAAGAGGAAAGCAAGUAAAUGAUCACUUCAACCAGGACUCAAAUCAAAUAAGUGAGUACGCAAAAUAACUUCAAGGAUGCACCUUCACUAGAGAACAGUAUGAUCAAAUCCUGCAAAUGCUUAAGCAGACUUAAAGACAUGGAGACAUCAAGCUUGCUGCAGACAAUGCUAAUUCAGUUAAUACAGCAGGUAAAACUCUAUUAGUCUCUGAAAAUAAAGAUGUAUGGAUUAUAGAUACGGGGCAACAAAUCAUAUGGUAUCCAAGAUUAACAUGAUUAGUCAAAAUUCUAUAGUAAAUACACAAAGUCCUAAGACAGUUUAUUUACCCAAUGGUGAAGUAUCAAGGGUCACUCAUAUAGGUUCAUGUGCUAUUUCUCCAAGAAGCAUCAUAACUAAUGUGUUUCAUAUUCCAGAAUUCAAGUACAACCUUAUGUCAGUGAGUAAAGUGACUCAAGAGUUGGGAUGCUCUGUCACAUUUUUUCCUCAUUUCUGUGUUUUUCAAGAGCUUCACACUGAAAAGGUGAGAGAGAUUGGUAAAGAAGAUGCAGGAUUAUAUUUGCUAUUGAAUCAUCUAACUCAGAACCAGUUACAAGAUAAUUCAUCUGUGAUGUAAGCUAAUGCUGCUGGGAGACAAACCUUACAAGAGGAAGAUGUAGUGUUAUGGCACAAGAGAUUAGGACAUAUGUCUUCUCAUAUGUUAAAGCAAUUAUUUUCAGUUAGUACUACAACUAUAGACAAGUCUUUGAAUGAAUGUAAUGUUUGCCCUCAUGCAAAGCAAACAAGAAGUGUCUUUCCAGUAAGUAGCAUCAAAAGCCUUGAGUGUUUUGAUUUGUUUCAUGUAGAUGUAUGGGGACCCUAUAAGACUUCUACAUUCGAUGGAAAUAAAUACUUUCUUACGAUGGUUGAUGACUUUAGUAGAAUGACUUGGUUGUUUUUAUUGAAAAAUAAGUCAGAUAUAUGUGUGUCUUUGCAACAUUUCCUACAGUUUGUUCAUACUCAGUUUGAUAAAUUGAUAAAGCAGUUUAGGUCUGAUAAUAUAUCAGAGUUUGUCAACUCUGUCUGUGAUAAAUUGUUUAAGAAAAGGGGGAUUGUACACCAAAGAACAUGAACAUAUACUCCACAACAAAAUGGAGUUGCAGAAAGAAAACAUAGACACAUAUUGGAAGUGAUUAGAGCAUUAAGAUUUCAGAGCCAUAUUCUAGUAAAGUAUUGGGGUAACUGUGUUCUUGUAGCUGUAUAUUUGAUCAAUAGAAUGCCUAGCAGGGUGCUAAAUGGCAAAUCUCCUUAUGAGAAGAUAUCUGGAAAGAAACCAAUGUUGACACAUCUAAGGGUGCUAGGGUGUUUGUGCUUUGCAAAGAUCUUGACAGAGUCUGAUAAAAUAGCCUCAAGAUCUAAGGUAUCAGUUCAUAUGGGCUACUCAGAAGUACAAAAAAGAUAUAUAUUACUUGACUUGACAUCUUAUUCCUUCUUUAUUAGCAGGGAUGUCAUAUUUAAGGAAUCAAUUUUUCCUUUUUCUACUUUACUUUCUCAACAAUAUAAAUGUCCUUUUGUUGAUAACAUGAUCAGUCCUGAAUUGUUAUAUCAUGUUGAUAAUAGAGGUUCUCCUUUUGAAAUAGUUGGUGAUGCUACUCUUGACCAAGAGUCAGAAAAUAACUUAAGAAUAGUUGAGCAGGAUUCACUUGAUCAAUUAUCUGCGCAAGUUCAAGAAGCUGAUAAUGGUGUUGCAGACCUUGAGCAUGCUCCACCUGAAAAUAUGAAAAGUCAGGAGGCUGUGGUAGUUGCUACAAGAAGAUCCACAAGGGAAGUCCAUCCACCUGUGUGGAUGAAAGACUUUGUUUCCUUAAAUAUCAACAAAGAUGUGCAGUACCCUAUGUCUAACUAUGUGGCAUAUGAUCAUUUGCAAGCAUCCUAUCAAGUCUUCAUUGCUGCAACUUCUGGGCUUACUGAGCAAGUAAAGAUCCAAGAUGGCUAGAGACAAUGCAAACUGAGAUAUAAGCUUUGCAAAGCAACCAUACUUGGGAAAUUACUGACUUACCUGAGGGGAAGACUGCAUAGGGUGUAGAUGGAUUUAUAAAAUCAAGUACAAAUCAACAGGUGAGGUUGAAAGAUUCAAGGCAAGGUUAGUUGCUAAAAGGAUAUAGCCAAAAGGAGGGAAUAAAUUAUAAAGAAACAUUCUCUCCUGUUGUUAAAAUGGUUAUAGUAAGAACCAUCUUGUCAUUAGCUUCUUCUAGACAUUGGCACAUUCAUCAAAUGGAUGUGUACAAUGCCUUUCUACAUGGUGACCUACAUGAUGAGAUAUACAUGGCAUUGCCUUAAGGCUUUACCAGUCAGGGGGAUAAGAAAGUAUGUAGACUGGUAAAGUCACUCUAUGGACUUAAACAAGCCCCAAGGCAAUGGAAUCAUAAGCUAACAGAGGCACUUCAGAAAUUGGGAUUCAAGCAAAGUCAAUAUGAUUAUUCUCUAUUUACAAGAAAGAGAGCUGAAGGAACUACAUUAAUCUUAGUGUAUGUUGAUGAUAUGCUGAUUACAGGAAGUAGUAUGAAGCUUAUUGAAGACACCAAAAGGUCUCUGCAAAAAGCAUUUAAAAUAAAAGAUUUAGGAGAAUUAAAAUACUUUCUUGGGAUAGAAUUUGCAAGAUCCAAAGCUGGCCUUCUUAUGCGUCAAAGGAAAUAUGCACUUGAACUCAUAUCAGAGGUUGGAAUAUCAGGUGCUAAACCAGCUGGAACCUCAAGCUAACCUCUAAGAAUUAUGAUGAUCAAACUGGUCAAAACAUUGAUGAUCAACUAGUCAAUCAAGGAACCUAUCAAAAGCUGGUUAGAAAACUCUUAUAUUUAAACACGAUAAGGCCUGAUAUCUCAUACAGUGAUUAAACAUUGAACCAGUUUCUUCAAUAUCCAAAAAAGUCACAUAUGGAUGCUGCACUAAGGAUUGUCAAAUACAUCAAAAGGAAUCCAGGUCAAGGUAUACUAUUAUCCAGUAGUUCAACUAAUAUGUUCACUACCUAUUGUGAUGCAGAUUGGGCAACUUGUCCUCUUACAAGAAAGUCUAUGACUGGAUAUAUAAUUAAGAUGGGAAAUUCACUAAUAUCUUGGAAAGCCAAAAAGCAGACAACAAUCUCAACAAGCUCAGCUGAAGCUGAGUAUAGAAGUUUAGCAACUACAGUCGCAGAACUAGUAUGGCUACUGGGAAUUUUGAAAGAUCUAGAUGAUGAGAUUGAACUUCCAGUUAACAUAUACAGUGACAGCAAGGCAGCUAUUCAGCUUGCUGCAAAUCCAGUCUAUCACGAAAGGACUAAACACAUCGAAAUUGACUGCCAUUUCAUCCGAGAAAAACUUCAACAAGGGCUGGUCAUUGUCAGCUAUGUGUCUACACAAAAUCAACCUGCUGACAUUCUUACCAAAGGUCUAAGUAGAGUUCAGCAUGAAUUCUUGCUAUCCAAGCUAGGAGUUCUUAAUAUAUUCACCCCUCCUAGCUUGAGGGGGAGUGUUGAGACAUAGAUGAUGAUAAAAGGAGUCAUAUAGAAGCUGAUAGAAGCUUCCAAAAUCCUAACAGUUUAUAUGAAAAGUUAGUUAAAGGUAUGUAAAGUUAGUUAGAAGUUGGUUAAGGAAAGAGCCUAUUAAAUGUUAAGUGUAGUACUUAAAGAUAGGUCGGUUAAGAAAAAUCUAGCUAACAUAUAUAUAUAUAUAUAUAUAUACUUGUAAUCUCUAUAAUAAAAGAAUAAGGGUUUUACACAUCAAUAAAGUGAUCUUCCUUCUUGGUUAUCUCUUUUCUUUCUCUGUUUUACAGUACUGCGUUCAUAAAAGUUCAUGGUUUCAGCAGAAACCCUCACUUACGAUAUAGUUUGCUAGAGACUGUUUUCACGACUUGAACCCGUGACCUCUUAGUCAUAUAGUAAUAACUUACCUAUGGUUAGAUAUAAUAGUACUGUACGUAAUAAGUACAUUUGGUGCAAAAUCUGGUACUGCAAUUACCCACAUUGCAGGAUGGUUAGUAAUUGAUUAAAUUGCUACGAUUCUCUCAAUUUAGGAAAAGAAUUCACAUCAUUUUAUGUCUGUAAUCAGAUAUAUAUUUGAACAUUGACCAAAAUUGAUGUCAGUCAAGAUUUUUUGGACUGAAAACAAAAGAUCAAGACCAUACAUCACCUUAUAUAUAUUGGCCUCUCUACAAUCUUUAUUCUUCAUUUCCAAAAGUACUUCUUCUAAAUUGUAUUUUUGAAAAAAAAAAACUCAAUACUAUAAUGUCCAAACGUUCUCGAGUUAGCCGUUCUGAUAGUUUUGACCAAUCCAAAAACCCUAGCAAAAAUUCUUCUACAGAUAAUUCAAACAAGUUUUUUAAGCCUUCUUCUUCUCAUUUUAAUAAUUAUAAUAAUAAUAAUAAUAAUGUUGUUGUUGCUUCUAAUAAUAAUAAUAAUAAUGUUGUUGUUGCUGCUACUGCAGCGGCGGCUAGCUCUUCUUCUAUUGGAGUGACUAGUUAUAUUAGUGAUUUUCUCAAAGAGUGUUUCUAUUGCAAGUCCAUUCUCAAAAUGGAAAAUGAUAUUUAUAUGUACAAGUAUGUUUUUUUUUUUUUUUCUGAAAAUUCUUUUUAUAAUGUUUUUUUAUUUUGUGAUUUUUUUUUAUAGAUCGAAUUGGAUUGAUCCACACAUCUUUCUUAAAUUUACAUGUUUUAUGUGGUGGUGGAUUCAAAAUUUUAAUCAACAUAUAUACAUACAUAAAGUACAACUCCCAUUUCUCCCCUAUGUGGUAACAAUUGUGAGUUAUAUAAUUUCUAUCACAUAAUUAAAAUGGACGUAACAUAUAACCAAAAUACAUCUCACUUGUCGUUGUUUAUUUGUUUUAAUUUCCUUUUUAGACUUAGUUGAUAGAUUUAAUAUGUUUAUUAAUUUUGAUGCUUUGAUUGAACACAGUUCAAAUCCAUUCUGUACAGAGGAAUGAAAGCCGUGAAAGUCAAAUGGCUUUUGAUGAAGAUUUGAUGAUGAUGGAGCAGCUAGAAAUGGAUUCUGAUGAAGAUUUGAUGAUGGAGAAACUAGAAAUAUCAGGCAAAAAAAAUGAUGAGAAAUGAUUAAUUACUAGCUUAUGAUGAAAGAGUAGUAAUAUUUAUAUAUAUGCAAUAUUAUAUUGGCUAUUAGUUUUUGUAAUAAAAUUUGAGUAUCGUGAUAUGAGAAUCUUGUUUUUUUUUUACAAUUUGGCAAAAUUUUUCUAUUUUAAUUUCUCUUGUUAAUGUCUUUUCUAAAUUUUUACUACUACUACUCCUAUAUAUAUUGUAAGAUCGAUUGUUUAGCUGUGGUAAAGUUCACGUCUUCGUUUUAAGUUCAAGUGCAUGAAAAUCAAGAAAGUAAACUAGUAAUAAUCAUAUGUUAUGACUUAUUACCAAAGGUCUGUUGAUAUGGUAAAGGGGUCAUAUUUUAUGGAUAGUAGUAAAACCCCUCAUAGUAAAUUUUCUACAUUGCAGAUCUAGAUUAUUCUGAAUAGUAAAUUUUAGACAUCGAAUAUUUGAAGGUGAAAAUACCUUUAAAUUUGUUUGGAUUUAUAAUCUGUAUAGAUUCAUUGAACAAGUAAUGAAUAAGAUAUGAUGAUACAUUAUUUAAAAUAAAAAAAAUCGUUUAAUUACUCGUAUUAAUUAUUGGGUAUUGAGAGAAUACAAAUACUAAGCAGUUAGCGAAAAAAUGGUUAUAUGUUAAAUACUUAAAUUGAGUUUGUCCCUAUUUUUUAAGGUAAUAACAAGCGGCAGAGAAAAUUCCAUCUUAAUUUGUAUGUUGUCCAAAUUAUCUUGGUACAGGAGAUAAAGGAAAUUUAAUCCCGAAAAUAAUUUUAGGAUAAGAAUUAAUUAAUCCCGUUAUAAUUUGUUUCCGACCAAACGAUCCUUUAGUGCGUAGUUUAGUAACAUUGCUAAACUAGUCAAACUUUAUUUUAUGGUAUCAAGCAUCUAAGAGCAGCUUUCCCAGUCAGAAUAAGUUGUAGUAAUUACUACUUGCCAUAUUUUGCUAGACUUUUAUAUUUCUGUGUAAUAGUUUAUAUUUAAUAAUAGAAUUACAUAUUAAAUUACCUUAAAAGAUGUAAAAUAAUUCUAAUACUUAACUAUAUUAUCCAUAUCACAAAGCUCUUAUAUAAAGAAAGAGUAUAUACUUUCUUGCAAAUAUAUUCAUGCUGGAUCAUACAUCCUUAAUAUGAAUUAAUGGAUGAGCAGUACAUAUAUAAUAAUAAUUAGGAUUUAACUCAUAUACACUAACAAAUGGUGAUAGAUAUAAUCAACCUAAUUACCUUCACAAAAUUUCGUCAACAGAUAAUUAAUUCAAACAAGUUAACAUAUUGAUCACUUAUGCUGUUUUAAGCUAUUUCUUUAUAUAUGCAUCAGUGGAUUUAGAAUUUUUGUUAACGUAAAACCACUAUAUAUAUAACACCAUCACAUAAAUUAAAACGGACAUGAUGUAUUGCUGAAACCUAAGAUUCAGUCAAACUCGUACACAUCUCAUGACUUGUCAUUAGUUUUUAAAUUUUGUUUUAAUUCACUUUAAUUUCUUCAUACUUGAUACAUAACCUUAAUAUACUUAUUAAAUUUCAUGAUUUGAUUAAACUCAGUUCACAUUCAGAGGCGGAUCCAGGAUUCCUAUGUUUUGGGUGCCAAAUUAUCCACGAAGAUAAACGGGUCGAUUUUUUUAAAUUUUGAGUUAUAUUUCGAACUAUUUAUCUUUUUUUAUUUUUAUAUACAAAUUAAUCAAAUAUGAAUAUUUAGUUAUAUUCUCUUUCAAGAUAUCUGAGAUUCAAGAUACCUAAUUAGCCCAACUUCUUUUUACUAAUAAAAGAAAUUAAUUAACUCUAAAACAGAAAGAAGAAAAAUAAUGUUAAAACAUCGAAAUUUGUAUAAACCAUCUAAUAUCAUUACUUCAACAUAUUCAUAUUUCAUUAUCUUUAUAUGUUGUUACAGAUAUAUAAUUGAGAAGGAGUAAAAAUUAUAGUUUCAAUAUAGUUAUCUUCACUUAGCGUGAACUUUGAUGAAAGAUUAAACAGAUCUUUAAAUUUAAAAAAACUUUAGCAUGAUAAUAAAUCAUUUUUAAAAACUUAAUUUUUUAAAACAAUUUACUAUUUAUAUAUAUUUUUAUUUGUUCGUUGAUAUGGUAUACACUUAAUACUCGUAACAAGAGAUUAAUAGUAAUUAACAAAAGAGAAAGUUAAAAAAUUAAGAAUUAAUUAACGCAAUAAUUUGAAUUAGUAUAGAAUAGAACUAAAAAAGAAAAAGCAAUGAAAAGGCGAAACGGUGAAAGAGUGAAGAAAGAGGGUUGGAGCCCUUCCUAAGCAAGGAAAAACAUAAAAAAAAAAAUACAACAAUGUGCACCAGGAGGGAUUCAAACUCGGAUCAGCUGGAUGGCCGGGAGCUCCUUUUGCCACUUGUGCUAUCUAACUACUUGAUCUUAAGGGUGACAAGUUUAAUCUAUAUUUCAUUUCUUCUAUGUAUAUACAUAUAUAUACAAAGUUUCAGUCGAGGUUACCGGGUGCCAUGGCACCCUCACCCAUACACAUAGAUCCCCCUCUGUUCACAUUCAUUCUGCAAGGAGGAUUGUCGAGCAAUUUAGACACCUUUUGAUGAAGAACUAAUGAAGAGGCAAUUGAAAGUUUCAGACAAAAAAGUGGGAUCGAAUUAUCUAAUUACUAGCUCAUGUUGAACAAUGAGUAAUUAAUUAAGGAAGGAUCGAUUACUUAUCAGGAGAGAUGGAGUUAGAAAUGAGAUUAUUCAAGAGAAGGUGAGAGUGAUUUCAGUGGAGGACAAGAUGCAAGAAGUGAGGUUACGUUGGUUCGGACAUAUGAUAAGGAGGUGCUCAAAUGCUCCAGUACGGAGGUGUGAGAGGCUGACUAUAGAUGGGUUCAGGCGGUGUAGAGGUAGACUGAAGAAAUAUUGGAGGGACGUGAUUAGGCAUGAUAUGGACCAGGUACAACAUAUGGAGGACAUGACCCUUGAUAAAAAGGUGCGGAGGACGCGGAUUAGGGUAGAGGAUUAGUAGGUACGAGUGCGCUCGUAACAAUAGGGAAGAGUGCUUUGCCUGCAUCUAAAGUUUCUUGUUCGUGGUGUUUUGGUGAUGUCUAUGACUUCGAAUAGAUAGUUUAGAGUAUUAUCUUGAGGUUGUCUUGUUUCCUGUAUUAACUGGAAGUCUAUUAUCCCAUUUUGUUGUAUGCUUUUAUAUUUUUUAUUUGUUAUACUAUUAUCUAUCCUGAGCCGAGAGUCUAUCGAAAACACUCUUUGUCACAUCCCUUUUAACUCCGACAAAAGAUUUUAUCAUUCGAAAGAGUUUUUAUUAUUAAAGUGACAAAAGAUGAAAAUUUGUUUCGAAAAAGGAUUAUUUACAAUUUUUAUUUAGAGUCGCCACUUGGCAUAAUCCGGUGUGCCAAGUCAACAUCGGAAAAUCCUUUUCAAAACAUUUUGACUCUUUAAGACUGGUCCGCGAACAGAGAUUUAGGCUAAGGAAUUCUAUUGACCGAGGGAAAGGUAUUAAGCACCCCUCAAUCCCAUGGUUCGACCACGGUCGCUUGGUGGAGCAUAUCGGCUAAUUUGACACUAUGGAUGUACAAACCACAUAAAAUACCCAAACAAUUAAACAAACGAACACAAACCAAAACAAUCCAAAAUUUAGUGUCCAGUCCACUUAUACAGUCCCGAAAACUGAAAAAUGCGAAAAUGUAAACCUACUCUAUUUUAAACUAAUCCUAAACUACUUCUGAACUAAAACUCCACCCGAUGUUCUGGGCCUUGACCGUGCCCCGUCUUCAAGUACAUAAUACUUCGGGGCAUUCCCCGAUGAAUAAAUACGAUUCCUUUGGGGCAUUCCCCAUCAAAUGAAUACAAUUUUAAUUUCAUGAGACAAACUAGAAAAGCAUUCAACACGUUCAAUAUUCCACGCACUCGAUCCAAUAUCAUUCCUAAAUUUUCCUACCCGACCUAAACUUUUGCCUAUCCAUUUAGCGACCUAAAACAGUGAUACUAUCGAUUUCACAAACAUGAAAAUUAUUCAACUAACAAAAUAAAUAUUCCAACUAAAAUUAUGAAUUAGCCAACUUUUCACGUCAUCCCCAUAAUUAAGAUUUACCCUCCAAAUUAAACCCAACUUCUUUGACCAUCCAAUUCACACUAUCAAUCAAUAUCAAUAAUCAACUGCCAUGAUAUAAAUUACAUCAAAAUUAGCGAAGGCAAAAUUCAAACAUCAACACAUUUACCAUAUAAAAUGUCAAACAAUUUAUUAAUGGAGAAGGAGAUGAAGAGUGGAACUUAAUGCCUCUUUUAUUCCAGUAUUACUCAAUUGAACGAGAUGGAAUCCACGCCCAGAAUCCUCAAGUGGAACCUCAGUAAGCGAAUUCUCCAACUCGAAUCCCGAAGUCGACUAAUCAAACCCGAACAACAAAAAUGGAGCCAAAGCCGACCAACUGUGAGCUUACCGUCGCUGCCAGAUCCGGCAACACUUCGGCCAGUCUCUGGCGGAUUAAAACCGUGAUAGUGAUCGAAGGUGUUUUCUAAUCAAUUUUCGGCAUUUUCCGACCAAGAAGUUGAUCGGUGGAAUGGCAACCGUGGUGGGCUGUCUCCUCUCUUGUGAUUUUCACUUGUUUUUUUCCUAUUUUUCCCUCGAUUUCUCUAUUAUCCCUACUCCCGAUCUCAGUUCCGAUUAGUCUCUCUCCAGCUGUGAUCUCUCUCUCUCCAAUUUUUCUUCUCUCGAUCUCGAUCUCGCUCUCUCGAACUCUCUCUCACUAUUUCUCUCUCUCGCUCUCUCGAAUAUCUCACUCUCUCCUCGAUUCGUAUGUGUUUUUCGUGGUGUGAGGAGAGUGGUCAAAAAAUGGAGGAUCAGUGUGUUGUGUGUAAAUCGCUGUCUCCUUCGUUUUUUCUCUGAAGAAGAAGGCUUUUUGUGUGCUCCUUUUUUUCGUUGUCCCCCCUCCCUUUUUCUCAAUGAAAAAAAUCUGUUCCUUUUCUUGUAUUCCCUCCUCUAUAUAUAGAAAUAAUGUCUAUCAUAAAAGUGGGUAGGGCGGUCAAAUGGGUGAGGUGUCCUAAUUAUCUAAUAGGAAAGGGUUGUUAAUUUUGUUACCAAAAGAAUAAUUAGGAUUGGGUUUGUUAGGAAUUUGUUAUUUUUGUAUCUUUGUGCAAAAAUUAUUAUAUAGGGUAGGAUACAUGGUAAGGCAGGGAUAAAAUAGUAAAAAUGCUUUUCGGGAGGGACAAAAUUACGUGUCUACACUCUCUACUUCAUCUGAGGUAGUACUAUAGAUUGCACACACAUUACCCUCCGACCUCUCCAAACCAUACUAUGUGUAGACACGUGAUCUUUGAUCCUCCCUAAAUUUUAACUUGUUUAUUGAUAUUAAAUAUUUUAUAUUUAUAUAUUUAAUCAUAUAUUAUUUUGAUUCUUAUUUUUANNNNNNNNNNNNNNNNNNNNNNNNNNNNNNNNNNNNNNNNNNNNNNNNNNNNNNNNNNNNNNNNNNNNNNNNNNNNNNNNNNNNNNNNNNNNNNNNNNNNNNNNNNNNNNNNNNNNNNNNNNNNNNNNNNNNNNNNNNNNNNNNNNNNNNNNNNNNNNNNNNNNNNNNNNNNNNNNNNNNNNNNNNNNNNNNNNNNNNNNNNNNNNNNNNNNNNNNNNNNNNNNNNNNNNNNNNNNNNNNNNNNNNNNNNNNNNNNNNNNNNNNNNNNNNNNNNNNNNNNNNNNNNNNNNNNNNNNNNNNNNNNNNNNNNNNNNNNNNNNNNNNNNNNNNNNNNNNNNNNNNNNNNNNNCCCCCCAAAAAAAGGGAGGUACUAUCUCUAUAGUACAUUGUAUUAUCAGACUGUAUCGAAAACCAGAGACUGAAAAGGAGAAUACAGAGAACAAAAAAAAGAGUGAAAAAUUAGAGAAAAAGAAAACAUCAAAAAAUAUAGAGAGAAAAAGAAAAAGCAUUGAAUCUGAGUUUCGUUCGAGUUUCGAUUCCGAUGACGAAUUCUUGUUUCAUCACAGGUUCUAUUCAAUCAUGAAUUAUUUAUUUUUUGUAAACUUUAUUAUGAAGAAGCAUGAAUGAAGAAUGUUCAAGCAAAGAUUAUGCAUUAUUUGAUCUGUGUAAUUGAUUGAUUACAUGAACUUUUAUUAUUAUAUGUUAUACUAUCAAAUUAUUGAAUAUUUAUAUAUUUGUACUGUGUUGAAUAUAAAAAUAUUGUAGGUAUGAUACUAGUUUACAAUUAAAACAGAAAGGAAAUAAUAGGAAGAAAAUGAGUACUGUUACGAUUUUACACACUCUGUUAUGAUUCAAUGCAUACAUUAUCAAUUUCACACACACACAUAAAAUUCUCGUACACACCACAUACAUUCAGAUUACGUAUAAUGACACAAUAAUACACAGAUAGUAGUAGGCAUGCACGAAAAACAGUAAUAAACACAUACUGUUGAAAAAAAAAUAGUGGAAGAAUAGAUGGAAAAUAGUGAACGAGUGAAAACAUUAGACAAAAAUUGAAUGAGAAAAAUCGAGAGUAAAUCACUGAAUAAAAAAAUAGUAGUUUCUAAUUCGUCCGGCGAGAAACUUGCUGGAAUCACUAGCCAAAGGCUAUUGCCCCUUUUCUUUCACCGGCCAUCGCCACCAUAUCCAAAAAUCCGCCGCCGCCGCCGCCGCCAUUAAUGGCGAAGCCAUGGACGGCAACUACCAACAACCACCACCGGAGAAAACUCUCCCUCCCACUUUCCCGAUGUUGUCAGUCCACCAACCGGCUAGCGAAGCUUAGCCGUGCUGCCGCCGUCUUCAGAUCUACCCACAUCGGCGUCGCCUUUUCUUCCCUCUCCAUUUUUCUGGCGAACUAACUCGCCGGAUAUCCACUAACGCCGCCGCCUCAUGUUCUGUUCAGAGAAUCCCUCUGCUCGACUCCACCAACCUCCCUUCGUUACUGUAGUUAAAAUUGUAAUGUUAUAAUAAUUUAUAUUUGGUUUAUUAGCAAAGUUGAAAAAUUUAUUAUUAUAUUAUUUGGGUUUAAAUUGACGGGUAAAGGAUAACGUUUCAAUUUUUUGUGCUCCUUUUAUUAAAAGAAAAAAAUGGAAUCUUUAUUUUAUUUGUAAAUAAGUUAUACAGUAAUAUUUAUGUUGGAUAAAACUUUUAUUUGCCAAUAAAAGUUAGAAUUUUGACUAAUCUCUUGAGAUUGAAAAAUGACUUGCUUUUUGAACAAUAUGGAUAAUUUUAUAUAUAUAUAUAUAUAUAUAUUAUUUUUACUUUUUAUUACUAAUAAAAUUUAAUAAUUAUUCGUAAAAACUAAUUGAUUGUCUCGAAUGAAUUUGCAUAAAAGUUUUUUUUUUUGUUAAGUUUAAUCAAUAUUUUAGCGUUAAGCAAAUUUUAGGCACGUUUUAAAAUAUUCAUCUCAAUUAAGAAUGCGGCGUAGACCUCUUUAUGAGACAUUUUAAAAUUCAAGGAUGCAAUAACGCAUUUUGACAAAUAUUUUUCUAAAAUUAAAUUUUAUCGAUUUAUUUAAUAAUAGAUAAAUUUUAGAUAUUAAAAAUGUGCGAAUUUAGGCCUUAACUUAAUAUUCAAAAUAGUUUAAGUCAACAUAAGUAAAAAAAAAGCGACUGUGCUAGAACCACGGGACUCGAGGGGUGCCUCGCACCUUCCUCUCGGUCAACAGAAUUCCUUAUCCGAUCUUCUAUUUUCGCAGACCAAAUAAGAGUCAUUUUCUUUUGAUUAGGGAUUCAAAAGGUGACUUGGAACACUAUAACUCAAUUACAAGUGGCGACUCUUUAAAUAAACUAAUAUCUAUUUAAUAUCAUCACUUUAAUUGAAAAAAUCCUUCGACUUCGAUCCCUCGGACGAAAAAGGGGUGUGACACUAUGUGGGAAUACUAUGUUGUUGUUACUUAUAUUAUAUUUAUACGUAGCAUAAAGCUCUUAUAUAAAGAAAUUAAAGAAUAUAUUAGUAUAUACUUGUUGCAGAUAUAGUCCUACCUCGAUCAUACAUCCUCAAUACGAAUUUACUUUUCGCAAUAUAGGGUUUAAGUCAUGUAAUUUACAAGCUACUUAUCGUUUAUUCAAUGUUAAUCAAUGAUUAUUGAAUAAAAUCGUCAUGUAUAAUUACAUUUUGAAUGAUGUGAUUGUAUAAAUUACAGGAGACCAUCGAUGAUGCAGAUGACAAGCUGGAAGACACAGUAUUGCUGUUGCUCAACCGUGAGACAAGACCCAAUUCAGUAUAUUAAGGGAAAUAAGGGUAACAAUAUUCAAAGAAAGGCUUUGGAAAAAAAAAAAAAAAAAAAGAGCUCAUCCUUAUAUAUCGUCCAAAAUCUAUUAAAAAGCUCACUGGAUAUAAUAACACCACCCAACAAAACUGCAAGGGGUGCACGACGACGACGAUAAUGAUCAGUUGAGACAAUGAAUCUAGCUGUUAGGAGUUGUCGAGGAGCACACAAAGUUGAAUUUAGACGUAAUUUUAGGUCAUUGAUAGAUUGUUAUAGACCAUGCUUGGUUGUAAUUCUCGAAAUCAAUAUGAAUGAUCAUCAAGUAUAAUACUAUUAGAUGAUUUCCCGUUUACUGAUAUGAUUCAAGUUCCCCCUGAAGGAAACUCUGGUGGCAUUGUGAUUUUGUGGGACAUCCAUUUUUUAGAGGUCAAUUAGAUUGCAGUUGCAGGUCAAAAAGUUCAUGAGGUACGUGCAAAUAACGAUUCUUGGCUUUUAAAUUAUAUAUCUAUGCUAGCACUAAGGGCCCAUUUGGUACAAGUGAUAAUUUUAGUUUCCUUAGAAAUUACAGUGAAUUCAAAAGCUGAUUUAGUUACUGAUUGCAGAAAAGUCCAAAAGAAAACUCAUUAUUAUUGGAUAAAUGCAUAUUGAUGCUUAUUAUACUCUGCCUUUAAUGAAUCCCAGAGUUUCAUUCUUAACAUGCUCCAUGAAUUUCUUUAUUUGCCACCUUGUUAUAUAUGUUGUGAAAGGCUCUCUCUUUCAAGUUCUUCGAAGAGUUUCUCAAAAUUCAAAAACAUAUCAUUUCUUCCAUUGUCAUAACUAUUUAGCGCUUGACCGGAGGGUCUUUUGCAUAAACUCUACCCUCCAUAGAUCCCGCUUGUGGAGAUUGAAAAAUUCACUGGGUAUGUCGUUCUAGAAACAGUGAAAUAAAGUGGGAGAUAAAUUUGUUUCCAAACUUAUGAAUGGUGUGAUUUUGUCAAUAUACCAUGCUUCAUUGUUUCCCUAUUGGUGAAAUAAAACUUUAUAACUGUAUUUGUCAGCAUGUAUCGUAGGUUCGACUGAUGGUUAUAUAGUUGAAUAAGAAUACAGAGAGUUGUAGACACAUAAAUUCAAACAUGUACCCUCAGUCACACUGAUAAUAAUCAAGAGUACAAUAAAUACAGAUUGAUCCUUGCAAUGAGCAAGUCAUUCGGUUUCUCCUGCUCCAUGGCAUCUGAUCUUUUCACUGAAAAUCAAUCAGAGAAAUCAUUUACAAACUAAUAGAGACAGCUCCUAAAUCAACAACUGUAUGCCAGGAACAUAUAGACAAUUAGUUCAUGAUACAACAGUAGAUAGUGCAGUUUUUCAAGCAGAUGCACAAACAGUAGUUUUGUUCACCGCGGUGGUGCCCAAGUGCUAUAUGAAAAUAAAUUAGAAGACUAUUAAUGAAGGGCUAAAAACACUGACAUACAACUUAUAAAGACUAUUUGCAGCUGUGACUGAAACAUAAGCACAUUGUUUUAUUACUUAUAACUGCUAUGUUUGGUUGAUCAAUGAGCCUGAUGUGUUCUAUUUAUCUGAAGUAUUUCAUGUUCCGUCAUCGUCUGUGGUACUACUAAUGUUCAGGCUUUCAGAAAAGAAAGAGAAAAGGGCAAAGAGAGGUAUGGAAUAUAUGAAUGAAUCCAGCUGUAUUAAGAAAACAAAAAGGCCAGAUAACCAUGAUAUCCAACACUUCAUCUCCAAGAGGACAUAGUGAAAUUGGUGAAUGAUUACUCUGAGAAAUGAAACUAUAUACGGAAUAGCAGCGAUUUAAAAAAAGGGGUUGCUAGCAAAGUACUGUGCUGUUGGCAUGAAAACAUAGAAAUUUGAUAAUAAUAACAUUCUGGAAAUAUAAAAAGUCAUAUUGGCUGCAAUUGCAAGCAUAGAGACCAAUUACCUCAACGUGGAGUCAACCAACCAUUGUGCGCUUUCUUCCUCUUAGCCUCACUGAAAUAAGUCACAAAAUCAGAAAAUCAAAACAUAAAGAACCCGCCAAAAUUAGACCCAUGUUAUUUAUUCUUUCUGGGAAUAAACAGGUAAUAAAUAGAAGGGGACAUGGAAGAAGAUUCGGCAGCACCUUCGGCUAGCUUGUUCAAAGUUGAUGACCACUGCUUAGAGGACUUCCUAUAUGCAGCAAGUAUCUGGUCCAUCUGUGAUAGCAAUAUACACAGAUCUUCACUACAAGUUAAAGCCCUGUUACUUUGCUACAGACUAAAAGUAACACCACUAUCCGCAUGCAUCUUGAAAAAACUUAAAGAGAUUCACGUGUCGUGUGUGGCCAAAAUAAGGUUCCUGUUUCCAAACUACAAGAAAUAUUUAAUUCUACAAUCCUAAUUAGGGGCAAUAAGUCAUUGAAAGGCUUCUUUUAUAUCAAUAAAGCAAUUAAUAAGACGCUCAAGUGUAUUAGAGAAAAAGCACCAGAGAGGUAGAGAACUAUUCAAUGAUGCCAUCAAAAAUACAGUUUCCGUGAAGCGGUGCAUGUUUCAUGCAAUAAUAUGUUCACAUGACACAAAUGAUAUAAUGCGCAAAGGCAAAAGGAAGAUGAAUCUAAAAGAAGAAAUUAACAUCCUAUCCCCUGAAAGAAAUUAUAAUUUAAAAAUGAGGGAACAGAGGAGCAAAAAACUUCAAAAGGCUUUAAACAUGCCUCUAACCCACAACACAGUAGAUAUGACAGAGCUUACCACAUUUCCACAAGAAGAGUGCAUAGAGAGUAAAGCACGUUCUAGUACAUACAAAUCAACUGCUUUAUCUUCUGGAAGCGUUGAAGUAAAGCUUAGACCAAAGUCAAUCAACACCUGGAGAAAAAGUACCAUUGUUAGAAAAAUAAUGUCAUUGAGGGUGACGUAACAGCUCCAUCCUCCAAAACCAAGAGAAAAGGCAAAUAAGGAAAGAAAUUGACAAAAAGAGUCAGUCAUAAGAAUUAGAGGAACAUUCUAAGAGAGAGAGCAAAAAGUUCACCAGCUGAUUGGAAGCAUUCCUUACUAACAUGUUUGAUGUUGUCAAAUCACCAUGGACUAGGCCACCAUCGUGUAGUUUUCCGAUAGCAUUACCAAUCUGUGUUGCAAUAUCAGCCAUCCGUUCUUUGUCAACACCAACUAGUCCAAAGCCAAGCAAUAUAUCUUUCACAGAAGGACCUUCAAUAUAUUCAAAGGUGAGAGAAUGCAUAACAGGGUCAACAGCAUAAAGCACUGGAGUAAGAACACCAAGCCGUCUAGCUUUUGUCAUGCACCUGGCCUCCUGCGCCACGAUUCAAUUUAUUUAAGCAACACAAGCUUUAAGAAGGAUUUAAAAAAAGAGUAGGUAUCAUUUUACACCGACCGCAUUCAACCGUUUAAGGGUGAGCUUUGAGUCCAAAGUCGGAUGCCUGUAUUUCUUUGAAAACCGUUCCUUGAUGAUACACCUCCUGCUACCCACAAAUGUCGACUCAAAUACCCUCUGAUGUUAUCAACAGCGAAACAAGAUAAAAUGUUACAGAAACUCUAGUGUCAAGUGUCGACAAUUACUUGCCAUCAAAUGAACGUUGGUAGAAACAGUAGUACAUAUUAUUACCGACUUUUAAACUAAACAAAAGACACCCACCCACCCACAAAAUCUUUUCAAAAGAAAAUUAGAGAAAAAAAAUGAGAAAUAUUAAAGGAAAGUUUUAUAGAAACACAAUAGAGAACAAUUAAAUAUGAACUCACAGCCUCAGCUCCUUGCUUGAUUAAAACCAAGGAUCCAUCACUUCCAUCUGUCUUGGUUUCCAUCUAUAUGAGAUCUCCAAUUAACUUCAGGCGCAAGAAACAAAAUAAACAAAAAAGUAAAACUAAAAAGAAAAGGAUAACAAAACUUUAGGAUUUCAUAAAUGAAGUUGUUUAGCUCUUCCACAAUUCAAGUACAACACAAAGCUUGCACGCAAAAGAAUGGUUAAGAAAUUCUUUGGCAUCCAAUGGGGAUAGCUUAGCAGUCUAUGAAGUUUAUUCAGAACUGCGAGGUCUCAGGUUCAAUUGCAAAAUAACAAAACUAAAGUCCUAAUAUAGGAAAAGAGAAAUUAAAAAAUAAGAACCUAACCUCUCUCACUUUUUCCUCAUUUACCCAGCACCUCCAGGUCAAGUAUUCUCUCCCACAACUUUCAAUCGUUGAAGCGAUCAAAAGAUGUUUGGAAGAGCACCGAAGAAGAGUGAUAAUACGAAGUAUUAUGAUAUCUUAGGAGUACAGAACAGGGCUUCACAAGAUGAUCUCAAAAAGGCUUAUCGUAAAGCCGCCAUCAAAAAUCAUCCUGAUAAAGGAGGCGAUCCUGAAAAGUUUAAAGAGAUUGCCGAAGCUUAUGAUGUCUUACGUGACCCUGAAAAGCGUGAAAUAUAUGCUCAGUAUGGGGAGGAUGCUCUUAAGGAAGGAAUGGGUGCUGGAGGUGGUAGACAUGACCCAUUUGAUAUAUUUCAAUCAUUCUUUGGUGGUGGUGGAAGCAGCAGAGGUAGAAGACAAAGAAGAGGAGAGGAUGUUACCCCCCCACUCAAGGUCUCUUUGGAGGAUCUUUAUAAUGGAGCAUCAAAGAAGCUUUCACUAUCUCGCAAUGUGUUGUGCUAGAAGUGCAAGGGUAAAGGGUCUAAGUCAGGUGCUUCAAUGAAGUGUUCUGGCUGUCAGGGGUCUGGAAUGAAGUCUGCUGGAUCAUGGAUGGACCAAGCAGUCUGAAGUGUUCUGGCUGUCAGGGGUCUGGAAUGAAAGUUUCUAUCAGACUACUUGGUCCAUCCAUGAUCCAGCAGAGGCAGCACCCUUGCAAUGAGUGUAAGGGUACUGGUGAGACAAUCAGUGACAAAAAUAGGUGCCCACAGUGUAAUGGUGAGGGGUCGUGCAGGAGAAGAAGGUGUUGGAAGUUCAUGUGGAGAAGGGUAAGCAGAACGGGCAGAAGGUAACAUUCCCAGGCGAGGCAGAUGAAGCGCCAGAAACUAUCACUGGAGACAUGGUUUUUGUCUUGCAACAGAAGGAACAUCCUAAAUUAAAGAGAAAGGAAGAUGGAUCUUUUUGUUGAGCAUACAUUGUCCUUGACUGAGGCCCUAUGUGGUUUCCAGUUCGUUUUGACUCACCUAGACAACAGACAGCUGCUCAUUAAGUCCCCACCUGGCAAAGUUGUCAAGUCAAGCCUGAUCAGUUUAAGGCUAUCAACGAUGAAGGAAUNNNNNNNNNNNNNNNNNNNNNNNNNNNNNNNNNNNNNNNNNNNNNNNNNNNNNNNNNNNNNNNNNNNNNNNNNNNNNNNNNNNNNNNNNNNNNNNNNNNNNNNNNNNNNNNNNNNNNNAAUGCCGAUGUAACAAAGGACUUUUAUGAGAGGUAAACUGUACAUUCACUUCACUGUUGAUUUCCCAGAGUCAUUAACACCAGAGCAGUGCAAGAACCUUGAGGCCGUGCUUCCUCCAAAACCCAAACAGCAAGUGUCUGACAUGGAAUUAGACGAGUACGAGGAGACUGUUUUGCAUGAUGUGAACAUUGAGGAUGAGAUGCGUAGGAAGCACCAAGCUUCCCAAGAGGCAUAUGACGAAGAUGAUGAUAUGCAUGGUGGUGGUGGUGCACAGAGAGUCCAAUGUGCACAGCAGUAAUUUGGUAGUGUUCUGGUAUUUGUGCUAUCUUCUGAUAGGGGGUAGAUUACUUAAGGGUUUGGUUAUUUUUCUUAUGCAAACUGACACUACGAGCAGAAUUUUACUGCUCGACUAUUGUAAGUGUGCUUACAUGUUUAUGCAAUUUGUUUUAUUUUAUUCAAUAAUUCUUCUUACUUCGAAGUCGCAUUUGAAACUAACAUAGAGUCUCAUAUAGUUCUAACGAUUUUGGAAAUUAUAAUUCAUUUCACUAAGGGUGAGUCUUUAUUCACAAUCAACGUUAUUUGUAAGACUUAUUUUUCUUACUUUAAUUAUGGACGUUAUUUUGUUCACGAAAAAAAAAGAACCUAACAACUCUAACGACUAGUUACAAGCCUCGCAUGCUGCAUAAACUUUUGAUUGAGAUGAUCAUCUUCAUCCCAUAUUCAUCAAACUUCAGAUCUUCCAACCAGCAACCAGAGGACUUAAAAGCUAUGCUUUUUCCUUUUUCUUACAUGCUUAGAAGAAAUCAAAUGGACAUCAUCUAAGCCUGCGGAUACUCUUUAUACAAUUUUAAUGGUUCCUUUCAACUCUCAGCUUCCCACCUCCUCUUUCUCAUAAGAAGAAUGUAAGAUUCGUUAAGUUCUGGCUUCGAUUGUUUUUACUAUUUUGAGUCUUAAAGAGUAAAUUACACUUUUAAGCUUAAGACGGGGGAACCAGGACUGUUGUUACAUAAAAUAUCCUUGCAGAGAAUUCUAUUCUAUCGAAACCACUCAAACUACCUGAAAUCAAACAACGUGUUGCCUCAUAAGCUACUAAUAAACUCAUAAACAACCUCCUAAAUAGGUUUUAACUUAUAGCUAACAUUGGCUGAUUUGUUCCCAAUAUAUCCAAGCCUUAGUGGAUAAAGUUACCCGGUACCUGUACUAGUGAGGGUAGACGAUACCAGUGGAAUUAAUCGAGGUCCGCCACAAGCUAUCCCAGACACCAUAAUAAUUAAACAAAGGAGAUUCUUCGAUUUACACAAAUGUCUUUCUGUGAUUUUCUAUUUUGUAAGUCUUAUCUCCUUCACACUACAUAUGCUUCAAUAAAUGGUAGUACUAUACCUCUUCUAAUUAAUUUAUCAAGAAAACACACUAAGGUACCAUUAUAGCUUAAAAUAGAGGGAAAAUAUUUUUAUUCUUGAAGUGUUCUUUAUUGUAGCUAAAAAAAAAGCUUCAAUUUUUACAAGUAAACAACCCAAUUAGUAGCAUUUCUAGGUAUAAAAGAAGCAUUAGCCGCAGAAUUUGGAGAUAAAAACAUGAAAAAGAAUAAGAAAUAAAGAAAAGCAAAAUUAAGAAGGAAAUUUUGUUCUUGUUUUGUACUUUGAAUCCUCAAAUAAUGACCACCCAUCAAAGAAUUAUGAAAACUAAAAGCAAUUUGUGAGUAUUAAGGAAGAAAGAUACCUUUUUCCCCGUCGACAAUUAACAGCGCCGCCAGCCACAGCAAACCGUACCACUUCCGACAGUAUGAGUGAAGAAGAAGAAGAGAUAUGUUUUGCUUAAUAUGGGCCGGGUCAAUAGAAGUAGGUGGGCUUCCUUUUGGGACAACCCAAUUAGUGACGAAUGUUAAUAGCUCGGUUGAUUCAAUUUGCAACAUUAUAAUCGUCCGGAGAACAUUAGAAUAACUGAUAAAGUCAUGAAAAUUUUUGCAUAUAUACCGACAUGUUUAAUGUUAAUUACUAAAAAUCUCAACAUUUUUCAAAAUCUUCUAAAACUCCAAUAUUUGACCUCUGAUGAUUUAAUCGCAUUGGAUAUAUAUUGCUAUACAUAUAUCUAAUGUGAUUAACUUGUAUCACAGUAGAUACAAACAUUAGAUACAUGUAGGAUUAACUUUUAUUUCAGAAAUAGUAAAAAAUAUGAAAUGUUAGGAUUUAAGUGGUUUUUAAGAAGUGGAGGAAUUUUAGAAAUUUAGAUAGUUAUAAUGUUUAUUUAGGUAAUUUUUUGUAAAGUUAUUGCAAUAGGAACCGGAGGUCAUGGGUUUGUAAAAAUCCAAGAUAGAACUGCAUAAAAUAAAAUAAAAAAUUACAUCAUACCACAACUUAAUUUAUCAUAAAUAGUUAAAAUUUUCUUCCUUUUAAAUAGUUACAUAAAUCACUGAUUUAUUUAAAAAUAUGGAUACAUCAUAAAUGAAUGUGAGGUGUCAUGUAAAAUUAAAUUAUAUAUAUAUAAAAUAUGAUGUAUUCGUAUAAAAUUAAAUAAUGCACUCGAAAAUGUAUGUAUCUAUGUACACUAAAUAAGGGAUAUUUAGUAAGUUUAAAAAAAAAUUGAAAUGCAUUUACACAGUUUUUACUACAAUAAACUAUUGUGAUUCGAAUAUUUCUUAUACUUUGCUUAAUGCGAGCUUAUAUUUUAGAGUCCAUUUGAUCAUAAUUUUUUUUUUUUUCACUUUUUUCAAAAAUUAAGAAAAACUCAUUUAUAUUUAUGGUCGAAGAGAACUCUAAUUUCAAAAAUAAAUCAGUUUUGUAGCAAAACGCCUACUUAUUUUCUAAGACCAAACAAAAAACAGUAAGCAUCGACAAGUACGAAGAGGUUUGCAUUACUUUAUGACAAGCUUUUUCUGUGUAAGAAGUACUGUUCACAAAAUCGGUGGAUGGCUCCAAUAAGGAAAUCAAAGAAGAUGAAGAAAGAUUCAAGCAAGUUGAAGAAAAUCAAAGACAUAAACAACAAACACAAAUCCAUCAACAUUCACAACAAAGCCACUGAAUGCGAUUGGUGGGAAUGUUUCUGGAGCAAGAAUUCACCAACCCCAGGUAGGUCCCCCUUUACUUCUUGGUCCCCUUUUACUUCUUUCUCCCCAAAUCUCCAUUCUUUUACUGCAUUUUUUUAGCUUUUUUAUUUUUUUUGCUAAUUGAAUUGUGUUUUUAGCAUUUGAGUUCCAGCACUGUUCAAGAAUUAACUAUAGUUAUGUAAGACUUUAGUUAGAAGUCAAUUGGGAUGUUGGUAAAUGUCAAGAUUGGAGCUUUAAGCCUAAUUGUCAAGAUUGGAGCUAUGAUUUUUAACUGGAAUCAAUUUUUUUUUUUUAUUUUUUUUUUAAAAACACAUGAAGAAUUCAAGGGGGUUCAACAUCCGUUUCAAUUGGUUUGUAUGAUUUUGACUUGACACGGAGGUUAAGAAAGUAAAGAAAGAAUUUUUAAUUGUGUGGUUUUAAAUAUGUAUUGUGGAAAGUUGAAAUUAACGAGUUGCCAAAAAAAGGAAAGAGACAUUCCUUUGGAAAGGAAAGUAAAACAAACAAAUUGAAAUGGAGUGAAUAUAGAAGAAUUAUCUUUACCUAUCUAAACAGCGUAAUUUUCCAGUGAAUUGACAUCCCUUUGGACAAGGUGGCUCUGCCACUCUUUGUAGGCGGAAGGGUUGUGUGAAAAUAGUUUGAUAAUUCAUAUUGUCGACUCCAACUUGUUUGGAUGUAAGACAUUAUUGAUUGCUUUUUCUUUAUGUAUGCAUACUUGAAGUCACCUCGUUAAACUAGAAAGAAAAGAAGUCACUUAGUUAAGAUUUUUGUUGGAAAUGAACUCUCCUGCUUGGAGUUUAAAAGUCUAAUUUAUUCUAAAACCUAAAGUAGUGAAGUCCAAGGCAAUGCAAAUGUAGUCAAGGCCAGAACUUUUACAUUUAAAACAUUUUGUGGCGGGAUCUGUUAUCGUUAGUAUAUUAGGUAUUCAUUAUUAGGUUUAUAAUGCGGUUGUUGUCCAUGUGUCCUUCUUAGCAAAAUGAAGGUUUUCCCGCUUGAUUGAUCCCUAACUUUCCCCCAAAUAAGCUAGUUUGAGUGGGUUCAAUAGACUGGAAUUGUCUGCAAGGAUAUUUUAUGUAACAACAAUCCUUGGUUCCCGUCUUAUUCCUUUUUUUUUUUGCAUCUUUUUUCUAUAAGAUCUUUUGAAAUUCGUUUUUUCUUUUCUUAUUUUGGUCUGUACAAUGAAGGGAUUAGCUAACGCCUAUACCUAUUAUAUCCUGCAGGUUCUGGUGUACCUUGUGAUGAAGAGGAAGGUUUCAAGUAUUAUUUCCGUGUUUCCAAGAGUACUUUUGAUUACAUAUGUUCGCUUGUAAGGGAGGACCUUAUCUCAAGACCUCCUUCAGGUCUGAUAAACAUCGAGGGAAGGCUUCUUAGUGUUGAGAAGCAAGUUGCGAUUGCAAUGAGAAGAUUGGCUUCUGGUGAAUCCCAAGUUUCAGUUGGGGCAUCAUUUGGAGUCGGGCAGUCCACUGUGUCUCAGGUUACCUGGAGAUUCAUCGAAGCAUUGGAAGAACGUGCAAAGCAUCAUCUUAAGUGGCCAGAACCUAGUAAGAUGGAGAUGAUCAAGUCUGAGUUUGAACGAUCAUUUGGUUUGCCUAACUGUUGUGGAGCAAUUGAUGCAACCCACAUCGUAAUGACCCUUCCUGCUGUUGAAACCUCAGAUGAUUGGUGUGAUCAGGAAAACAAUUACAGCAUGCUUUUGCAAGGUAUCGUGGACAGUGAGAUGCGUUUUUUAGACAUUGUGACAGGAUGGCCUGGGGGCAUGACCACUUCAAGGCUGUUCAAGUGCUCUGGAUUUUACAAACUCUGUGAAAAUGGUGAUCGUUUAAACGGAAAUGUAAAAGUGGCUUUUGAAGGAGCAGAAGUUAGAGAGUACAUUCUAGGAGGAUUUAGUUACCCUCUUCUUCCAUGGCUCAUUACACCUUAUGAAGGUGAUGACCUCUCGGAUCCCAUGCAAGAUUUUAAUGCGGUGCACGCCACUGCAAGUUCAGUUGCAGUAAAAGCUUUCACACAAUUGAAGGGAGGUUGGAGAAUCCUUAAUAAGGUUAUGUGGAGACCUGAUAAACAGAAACUCCCUAGUAUCAUCCUCGUGUGUUGUUUACUUCAUAAUAUUAUCAUUGAUUGUGGAGACAAAUUACACCCUGAUGUUGCCCUAGCUGGCCAUCAUGACCCGGGAUAUAAGGGACAGAGCAGCAAGAAGAUCGAAUCAACGGGAAGAUUAAUGAGGGAAAAUUUAACUAAACACAUACAGGUUACCAAAAAAGAUGGUUCGAUGUAGAUGAUUGUCUAACAGUGCAUGUGAAAAAUAGAUGGCCUUUUCAAAGACUUCUGUUUCAGAGUUCAGACCAUGUUGUCGAUGUAAAUGGAGUUCAGGUACAAGAUCUUUCUGAAUGUAGAAAAGGUGCUUCAUGGUCCUUGAAUAUAUGUAAAGACUUACUUCAUACCUAACAGUUUCACAUGUCAUUUAGGUAAAAAAAUUUCUACAUUAUUCUAAUCAUCACUGUUUUUCUUUUCUAUUGUGACAUGUAGCCUCUCCUAGAUUAUCUCCAUUUAACUUGAGACUUGAAUCAGCUGUUAGUAAGGAUGAUUUAAGGAUGGUGAAGCGUUUAGAUGCUUAAUCUUUAGUGGUGUACUGCAUAUCUCUUUAUGGAAAAGGUAAAGAGGAUAGAGGGAAAGAAAAGGUCUUUCCGAAAUAAUUCUUGUCACAGGAAAAAGUAAGUUAUGUAAAGUGAAGAAUUACCCUUGUUUCAUCCGACAUUCUAAGCGCCUUGAAAUAUAGGCAAUUGAGUGACCCAUUUCCAGACUUGCCCGAUUUCUGUAGGGAUAUAUGAUAUGUUAAAUCGCAUCUAAUUGUUUGAUGUGCAGCAAGACUCUAAUUUGAUUCAAUAUAUACCUAAUGUGACUUUUCACUUUAUAUGGCCUCGUAAAGGUAUAAACUCUUAGAAGUGCUUUCGAUAGUGAUUAGUGUUGGUUUAAGAAUACUUUUUAGUAAUAGCUGGCUCUUUAUAAGUUACCAAAUGCAAUCACCUCUUCGUAGCUCAGAGUCUAUUGUUAGCCUAUCUUUAUGUUUUCGUCUCUCUCCCCGAAGUGGAUGUAUCUGCGUAAUGCCUGAUAAUGAGUCAUGGCAUAACCAUGAGACUAGUAUGUAGUACUUGUAAUUUCUUAGAACUCCAAUAUGAUAAAGCAAUCAAAUAUACAAGUCACAGGUGGAAAAUUAAAACCUGGCUCCCAGAUAACAGAUUAAUACAAAACUAAUUUAUUUAAGCUAGUUGAAAUAGUCAUAGAACUUGUUGAGACUGGGUUAAUAGGAUCUGUUGAUCAAAGUGACUAGAUAAGGAAGAAAUCCAGGGGCAGAUGUAGAGUAUUGUUUGCGGGUUCCCGGAACCCAGUAACUUUCGUACGGUUCUUGAAUUUAUAUUGAAAAAACUAGUAAAUAUAUAAGAAUUAUAAGUUGGGAACCCACAAACAAAGCGUGUUAUUGGUCUAGUGAUAAAGAAUUAUAAGUUGGGAACCCACAACCUUUAAAUUCUAGAUCCGCCUCUGGAAAUCUUAAUGUGAAUAACCUAAGUCGCAUAGGAUUUUGUCGCGUAAUAACUUAAGUAAUUGUAGCAAGUGAAUGAACAUCUUUUACUAUGUGAUAACCCAGUGAAGGCGGCUAGUCACAUAGUUGAUAAGAGAACACAGGGGAGAACUAUCAAGCGAGCAAGCAACCACUUAAGCAGUAACAAUAAGGUGCUAAGUUUUGAGGGAACAAUUAGGAGCUAGCAUGCCGUGAAAGUUGUUUAGGUCCAGGUCCCUAGUUAUAGGUAGUUAUUUUGUACGUAAAUUGUGCAUUAUCCAUGCAGUACAAACACAUAUUCAGCUCCUUUGGUUAAACUUAAUUCCUUUCUAUUCUUGUAUAAAUUUCUUUAGAUUCUUAAAAUUUAUGUCUCUUUACAUCCCAAGCAUUUAUAACCUUACUUGCCUUAAUGCAAUAUCAAGAAUAUUCACUGCUGGGAUCUUCUGUGAAGUGGUCCUAGGAAUCUAUAUCGAGGGAGUAGAGUCCCCUUGUAACCUUGUCAAUACUCGUCCCCUGAAUUUGUUUUUGCAAAUCAUUAGUUUAUGACUUCCAACUGCCACAACUCAUCCAACUCAGGUGAUUCAUUGAAUUUUUUCCGACUCAUUCUCUAGCAUACGUCCAAUACAACAACUUAUCAAAAUUCCUCGAAGGUUCUCUUCAGAAGUUACCUACUUCAAUCUGCAUGAAACUUGAGAUUUGGCAGAAACCUUUCUAAUUUAGAGCCCCAAUUGGGGAAUAAAACUGCAGUUCAGAUUUUUGUGUUCUUCUCAUCAAAUGCAUAACCAGUAGUUAGGCUUUACCAUUCGUCUUCUGGCUUCAACAAUUUCAGCUCAUCACUGCCACAAGAUGGAGGACUUUUUUUCUCUCCCUUGGUGGUUACCUUGCCAUUGAUAAAUGAACAAUCAGCAUGGGUGUUAACAACAAAAUGCACUCUCUGUCGAAACACAUUAGUGGUGUUCUUAAGCCUAUGGUGCAGAACGAGCUAUAUUUUACCAGAUAAUUUUUAGUGAAGAGAUCGGUUAUUUUGAUCUCGGGAAAGAAUACUAUGGUGAUUGAUGUGAAACCGAAAGUAUUUCAGUGUAAACAGUGGUAGUCAUGGAUUUAUAGAACUUCUUGCAUGGGCCAAAGAUAUUGAAUAUACAUAAAACUGAUCCUAUAAUUAAAAACUAAACCUUUUCUAAUUCUGAGAAAAAUGAAAAUGAAAUCUAAAGUUCCUCAUAUAUUGCAGGUAAAUAAAAGCUACAAAUGGGUAUACAGGUGAUAAUCAUUCUUUAAAUAGGAGCACAUUAUUUUACAAAAUGUGGGAGAGAAAUAAAACCCCUUCCAGUUUAUUCUAUGGAAGAGCACUGCAGCAAAAUCUUGACUUCUUUAAGCCAAAAUCUUUACAAAUUAGACGCACGCAUGAGCCACUAAAACAAACACUGUUUGAUAAUACUAAUAACUAAUUUGAAGUCAAACAUGGUUGCUCCAUUUCUGGGAUUCACCAUCUUCUGAAGUUUUUGGUUUACAGGAGUGAAGCAUGUAGCUGCAUGCUUCCACUGCUUCCCCUACUGUUAGGAACAUCCAUUCUUGUCCUAAUGUCUCUGUGAAUUUCGACUUGUUCAACUUCUUCAUCACCUCUGCUCCUGGAUUCGCCAAAACUAGCUGCAAAGCCACAAAAAUCACACCUUAUGUUAGAGACAUGAAAAUAAGACGCUAACCUUGAGAUCUCUUCUAUCAAGAUUUUUCUUGACCUCUUCGAACAUGCUAAUUCCGCUUGUAUCAAUGUUACCUACAGCUGCACAUCAAAGAAUUUAAGCUGUCAGUUUGUCAACUGUAUAUAUAUUUAGGCACCCAAAGGUGUGGCCUAGUGGUCAACAACAGAGGCAGAGGCAGAACCAUUAGGUGAUUCUUCCCAUCUGUCCUAGCCUUUGUCUACCUAGUAUCUGUUGUUGUUGUUGUUGUUGGGAGGUGGUAGGUAUCCCGUGGAUUUAGUCGAGGUGCGCAAAAGCUGGCCCAGACACCACGGUUAUCAAAAACAAAUGUAUAUGUAUUUACCGUUUUUUCGAAUAAAUAGAUGCAACACAAUUUGACUAACCUCCCGUAUCAAGUAUAACAUACUGCAAAGUUGUUUCUCCUGAAGAUUUUAAAUUGUCUUCCUCGUCGUCAAUCCACCUUGAGAUCCUGUAUAUAAGAAGGAAAUUGAAUCAACCCAUAAUUACUAUUUGCAUAAAGAGAUGGUAGUUAUUUGUAUACGAGUUUACCUUCUAUAUACUAACAAUGUAAAAUAACUUUUUAACUCUACUAGAUCAUAGUACAUGUAACUGUCCGUAAUGAGUGAAACUAGUAAUUUGAAUAUUACGUUGUCAGUGCAUGCAAGUUAAAUUCUUUGUAGAUAAUUUACCUCUCUUAAAUAGCUCGAGUUAGUGAAGUAAAUAGGUGCUCCAAUGUCAAGUAUGAGAACUUUGUGUUUGGAUAUUGCUCCACAUUUCUAUAGAUCAUAGAAUUGGGGAUAUUACCAAGUACUAAAGUCCUUGGCCUUGCUACAGAAAGUAACACCCUUAGCAAUGAUAAACCAACCUGCAUUUGUAUUGAAACAACAAUUUAUAAGUCAAUUUGAAUUUCAAACUCUUUUUUAAGUUGAUUAAAUACAUUAGAAAGGAGUACUUACAGCCAUGACCAAGCCAAUUUCAAUGUUGCCAAAGACAACACCAAUGUAUGCACUCAUGCAAACCAAGAAGUCGAAUUUGUCGACAUGCCAGAGAUGAAUGGCAGCAUUAUAGUCGAUGAGGCCGAGCAUGGCAGCGAUUAUAAUGGACGACAAGACAACGAGGGGAAUGAAGUGGAACAAUGGCGUUAACAGCAUCAACGUCACCAUCACAGCCAACGUCAUAACAAUAUUUGAUACUGCAGUUUUGCAUCCUGCGUUGAAGUUCACCGCUGUUCGCGAGAAUGGCCCUGCACGUAAUGUUAACAGCGCGCUAUCUUAAAUCCUAAUAUGUAAAAAGAGUUUUAACUUCUAUACGCUACUAGCCUUGACGUUAUGGUUUUAACGGGUCAACAAGGAAAGCAAUGACAUAUUCACACAUUUUGUUAAGGAAUCGAAAAAGCUUCCUAUACGUUUUUAAGGUUUGGGGUUAUUGUUCUAUCUACAUCCAUCCCGAAGAGUCAUUUUCACAAAUUUAAUUGUAAAUGUGUUAAAUACUUAUACAUAUAAAAAUGCGAUAAAAAAGAUGCAUGGUCGUUUUCACUUUAUUACUAAGGUGGAAUGAAAUGAUCCACCAAUUAAAAAAGUAGAUAAAAUUAUCUGAUAGUUUAUCGGUGGAAGGUAGCAAGUAUCAAAUGAAACUACUCAGACAUGAGUGGCAGGUCCCGGGGGUUUCGAUCAGGUCAUAUGAUCAGUAAUCACAUGGGACGGGCCCAAGUGGGACAAGAAGUGAUAGUAGUCCAAAUCAAAAUCAACUUUCGGCCCAAAGGAUAAUAAAAGUGAAAAAAAAGAUAAUGACCAGGUUAGAACUCAAAAUUAUGAUACGCGUGGUGCAGUGGAUGAGGCUGCUCCUUUCUUAACUAGAGGUCUCAGAUUCGAGCUUUGGGUAUGAAAAAACAAAUCCUUGGUAGGAAGCAUUUCCCUCCGAAUGGGCCCUACGCGGCGUGAAUCCAGAUUAUUAGGGCUUCAAUGUGGGUACCGGACACCGGACGAGAAAUAAAUAAAAUAAAAAAAAGGACUCAAAAUAUGAUAUUGAUAUGUUUGUAUAUAGCAACAUACAUACCAGUAGUAAGGUAGCAAGAGGUGCAGGAGCCAACAAUGUUCAUCAUCCCAAAAGCAAUCAUCUCUUUAUUACCAUCUGUAUGGUAAUUCUUGAACAUUGCAAAACUUCUCCCUACUGCUAUUCCUUCCUAUAAAAGUAAUUUUAUGUAUCAUAUAUCAAAUUAUUUAAAAGAUAAGUACAAAAUAAUCGUAUAUAAAAUCGAAUAGGUAAUUUUGGAAACAAGGCAUGCAUGUUACCAAUGGUAAGUUUAUCUAAUUUUUUUUCCCUUAAUAGUAUUUAAGUGGUGUUGGUAUAUAUUGUCACAAUUCGACAUGUUAGAAUGUUUGGGUUUACAUUGCUUACUGUCUCAAAUUGAUAUUUAUUUUUGCUUGUAUUUAUUAAUAGAUUUGAAGUUAUAUUCACAGAUAUCAUAUUUUUUCACUAUGAUCAGUAUGAUAAAGCCAUUUACAGGAUAUUAUAACUCUAUAUUUCAAGUUACUAUAUAGACUUGUUAUGAAAGGAGCUUACAAGCAAGAGCAAUGACACCCGUGACUAUGCCAGUUUUGAUAGCAGUUGUCAAAUAUUUCGAUCCAAAUGACAGAUCCAUUAUUGAUGGAGGAUUUAUCCCUUUCUUCAGCUCUCCAAUCUGUUUCCAUUUUUUAAAUAAAAUUAUUCACAUAAGAAUCCAAUUAUUCCACAUAAUGGAUGAUGACAUAACACAACCACAAUUGUUACUGCAGUCACUUUUAGAAAUAAGAAUAUUUAGAUAUAGUUAUCUUAAUAGGUUUGAACUUUGAAGUCCGAAAGUCGAAACAUUUAAUUUCGAGUUUUUUACUAUGAUAAAUUCAGAUACAGAUUCUUCAAAAAUCUACGAAAAAUAUUCAUACACGAAAACUAUUAUAAGUCAUCAUAGUUGAUAAUUUGACGAAUUUAAAUUUUAUGCAUCAUUAGUGUACAAAAUAUUUUAUACUAUCAGGUAAAGUUGAUUUACUAUUGCAGGUUAACUAAUUUUUUCUUUUUUUCAUUUUUAUGUAAAUAAUUGGAUAACUUGCAAUAACAUGUCAAGUUAACUGAUAGUGUAGAAUAUUUUGUAUACUGACCGAUGCAUAGAAUUUAAAACUCUAAUUUGAAAUCCUUUCUUAAAAAUAAAUAAAUUAUAUUUGAUUCUCAAAGCAUCAAUGACGGAACCAGAAUUUUUACUAAGAAUUUUCAUAAAUGAACAUCAUAUAAGCUAAUCGAAAAGGGUUCAAUAUCUAUAAUAGAUACAUAAAACAUAAUUUUAAUCAUACUAUAUAUAACAUAAUUUUUCACUAAAAGGGUUCAGAUGACCCCCUAGCCGAGGGUAGCUCCUCCCCUAAGUAGCACCUUGAAAUGAGAUAGAGGAGUGUGUCAUUUCUUUUUUACUGUUUGCGUAUGCAAGUAAAGUUAAUCUCUUCGCAAAAAGCGGCCACACUGAAGUGUUCAUCUUCGAUUGGUGACGGAAUCAGAAUUUUUAUUAAGAAAAUUUAUAAAUGAACAUAAAAACUAAUCAAAGGAAUUUAAUAUCUACUAUUGAUAUAAAUGAAAAAAUAAUUUUAAUCAUAUAUAUAUAUAUAUAUAUAACUAUUGAUAUAAAUUAUAUAUAUAUCAUAAAUUUUUGCAAAAGAAAAAAUUUGAUCAACUUGCAGUAUAUUUGUACUACAUUGAAACCCGUGACUGACAAGACUCAAAUUAAAACUUCUCAUUUCACUAUUUGUUACUCCCUCCGUCUCAUUUUAUGUGACAUUUGAUCUGAUACGAAAUUUAAAAAAUAAGAAAAGACUUGGUAAGGUUUAUCAAAUUAUCCUUUAUAAAAAAAUGUAUCAAUAUCUUUUUUUUAAUUAAGUGAGACCAAUAAAAGUAAAAGAAUAAUUGUGCCUUUAAAAAGUUGUCAAAUAAGGAAAGACAAUACUUAUUUUGAGACGAAUUAAAAAAAAUAAUAACACAUAAUUUGAGACGGAGGAAGUAUUUUUUUUUUUUUUUUUUUUUUUUUUUUUUUUUUUGUAUUUGAGUGUUUCCAAUUUAUAUAAGGACAAACAACUACAGCUAUCAAUCAGAAGUGUCUUGUUUCAUAUCUAUCAUAUACUGAUAAUGAAUAUGAACAACUAAUGUCGUAGAAGUAUCACCCCUAACCAAUUAGAAUUAAGUUGUUUUAUUCAUGUUUUAUGCACUUACUUACACAUGAAUAUGAUAGUAACUAAGUAAGGUAACUUGAACCAUAACAUGUUAAAUUGACAGUGUAUAUAAAUUAAAUCGAACUAAAAGUCUUACCACUUUAACAUCAUAUUUUUCAGCAUGUGUUAUAUAAAUAAUAAUCAUUCCCAAUAUGACAGAUGUUAACAGCGUUAUCGUCGAUAACCAAAACAACUUCGGUCUCUUUUGACUCUGCAUAAAUGCGGAAUGCCCAUUAAUAAAUUAAUAUCAAAUUAUAAUUAUGAAUAAAUUUUAUGAUAACAAAAUAUAAAAUUAAACAUUUUUAUUCUUUGACGAAAUUAAGGAAAGUUUGCUUCAAUUUGUUGGCUCUUUUCGGAGUAGGAGUAGGUUAAGUAACAAUAUAAAAUUUUAAAAGUGACAAUAUUUUUUUGGGAGAUUUGCAAUGUCUACCAAAAAGAAAAAUAUUAGUAUUUGGCAUUGCAAGUUUAAAAGAUUUCCACUUUUAGUAGACUGCUUUUGGCUUAUGGAUAUAUAAUUAUAGUGUUCCCAUUCCAAAAUGUCAAAGUCAGUUUGAGUAUGCUUACUAAAAAUUUGGCAAGCAUCAAGUAGAAAAGGAAACAAAAUCCCAGCACUGCACUUUCCCAUCGCCACUGCAAUUAUUUUAUAUGAUCAAUAAUUGAACCAUUAGUAUUGUAUUCAAAGAAAGUAUUAAUUACUAACACAUACUAAGUGAACAGACAAUAAUAUAUAACUAAUCUAGAACGUGUACUACUAUUUAAGAAUCACUUUAAAUCAACUCAAGUCUAUUUCUACACUAAAGUGCUUUGAUUCGAUAAUGAAAAUCUAAUUGAAAAAUGUAAAGGAAAAGGGUAUAUUUCUAUUAAAAGUAAAUACUUUAAGCAAUUCUCUAAACUUUUAAGUUUUAAGAAAAAAGGGAAGAAAGAAUCAACAUCUAACUAAAGGAUACUUAUGAGACAUAUUUUGCAAAUUAGCAAACCAUGUGCUUGUUACAAAAUAUACUUAAAAUUUUUUAAGUGAUCUAAUAACGUAAAUUUGUUUCAAACUAUGAUAUUGCUGUAUUUAUGUUCAAAAUCUCUAGAACGUAACUCAAAAAAUUGCAUUUUUUAGAAUCAAGCAACCUCAUAAACUCAAAAUCUUAGCUCGGAUUAAACUGUCUACCAUGAAUAUGUGACAUGUGACAUGAAAGAGAAAGAGAGGGACCUGAUGAGUUUGAGAAAAGACAGAGAGAUAUCAUCAGUGGCAUGAGUGAAAUGUUGAAGACCAAGUACUCCUUUUAAUUGCUGCAAUAUCACCACUGCUGCUGCUCCUCCCAUAAAUCCUACUAUUGUUGCAUGUGAUAAAAAAUCCACUAUAAAUCCCAGCCUUCAAUUUCAUUAAACAAAACAUUCAUUAAUUAUCAACAACUUAUAAUAAGGUCAUUCUACCAAUUAAACUUAUAUGGAUGUUGAAGAGAUUAGUCAGUUAGGUUGUUAUAGUUUGUUAGAAAAGAGAGUGGUGUACAGCUGGUGUACAGCUGUCAAGUUAGUGAAGUUGGAUGUUAGUGGAGUCGGUUAUUUUUCUCUAUAAGUUGCAAUUGCAUCACUAACAUUGUAAUCAGAAUUAGAUGAUUUUCAAUCAAUAAGGCUUGUUCAUUCCUCUAAGAACCAUAUCAACGAACUUGGUCCAACAGCUCUAGGGAUUUUAUCAUGGUAUUAGAGCAGUGAUCCACGAGCUGCUGCAGCUAUGCACCGGAGUAUCAUCAACAAUGGCGGACAAUACCACCUCUUCACUCAAUUCGCAGAACCCAACAGAAAUGGCAACGCAAAUUGAUUUCCAUCAUCUUCUAUAUCUGCAAAAUUCUGAUACACCUGGAUUGGUGUUAAUUGGCAUCAAGUUAACAGGACAUGAGAAUUACACAUUGUGGAGCAAAUCGAUGCGAUUGGCCUUGCUAGGGAAAAACAAGCUAGGUUUCGUGGAUGGCAGUUGUACAAAAGCUCAGUACAGUGACGAUUUGGGGAAACUCUGGGAACGAUGUAAUGCGAUUAUUCUGAGUUGGAUUGGAGUUACUGUUUUUCCGGAUUGGUUUCUAGCAUAGUGUAUGUGUUUGAUUCAAAAAAGGUUUGGGACGAAUUCAAGGAAAGGUUCAAUAAAUCAAAUCUCACUAGAAUAUAUCAACUCUGAAAGGAUAUAGCUACUCUAACUCAAGGUACGGACUCAGUCGCUGCUUACUAUUCCAAAAUACGAGAUUAUUGGGAUAAGAUAGAUGCCUUAGUACCAGUGGUAGGCUGUAGUUGUGAAGGAUCUAAGGCUUCCACUGAAAUGCUGAGAAAUCAAAGGUUGUUGCAAUUUUUUAUGGGGCUAAAUGAAAUUUUCAAUCAUGUUCGAAGUGAUAUUUUACUGUGCACCCCUGUCUUGACGGUCAAUCAGGCAUAUACACUAGUAGUGCAAGAAGAAAGCCAAAGAGGCAUGGGUGCUGGUAGCAAACAAAUGGAUUCCAUCACCUUAAUGGCUGGAGGUGACCACAGAUAAAAGGGAUCAACAUUCAACCAGUCUAAACCUGCUUCUACUUCAAAUCAGACCACAUAUAAGAAGCCACUUUUUCCUGCAGGUUGUGCUCAUUGUGGUUACAGAAACCAUUUAACAGAGGAUUGCUAUAGAGUUGUGGGAUAUCUACCUGAUUUCAAAAGUAAAAAGAAGGGCCAGUAUAGUUCCACUAAAGUCUAUGCCCUAGGUAAUGCUGUGGAUGCAGAAAUUGAACUUGUUUCUUCAGGAGAAGGGAGGUACAUAUCUGAGGAACAAUAUCAACAAUUCAUCACAGCAAGUUCCAGUAACACCUCAAGCAGCAACAACACUAACAACACUAACAAUACCUCAGGUGAUUUUCAGGCUAAUAUGACAGGUAUACUUGCACAUUCAUCCAGUAUUUUUUCACAUGAGUGGAUAAUUGAUUCUGGUGCAUCUCACCAUAUCACACCAUAUAAAGAGUGCUCGUUUAAUUCCUAAAAACUUGAGGGUUGUGAGAGAAACAAGGUCCAAGUACCUACAGGAGGUAGAUGUGAAGUUACACAUAAAGGAACCACUAUCAUACUGAGAGAUCAUAGGCUUAAGAAUAUUCUAUAUGUUCCUGAUUUCAAGUACAACUUGUUGUCAGUGUCAAAGAUGACAAAAGAUCUUUGCUGCUUAGUAUGCUUUUACCCAGAUUUUUGUGUUUUCCAGGACCUUUACUCUGGCAAGGUCUUGGGGAUCGGUAGAGAAAACAAUGGUUUGUACUUGAUGAAGGAUGAUGCAUCCAUACAUCCUGUAGUAGGCUCAAAAAUUCAUAAAGAAGUUGAUGGUGCAAUGUGGCAUAUGAGAUUAGGCCAUCCAUCCAUCAAUAUUCCAAGUUGCAUUUCCAUUGUUUAGAAUGGAAGAGAAGCACACAAACUAUGUGGGAUAUGCCCAUUAUCCAAGCAGACAAGGUUACAAUUUCCUGUUAGUAACUCACAUUCUAAUAGCAUUUUUCAGUUGAUACAUGUUGAUGUAUUGGGUCCUUUUAAGGUUCCUACUUAUGACAGAAAACAUUAAUUUGUCACCAUUGUUGAUAACUAUAGUAGAUAUGCGUGGACAUGUUUGGUUCAGUGUAAGUCUGAAGUGAUUAUUGUUCUGAAAGAUUUUUUGUUGAAAGUAAAGAAUUAGUUUUGUACUACUGUGAAGACAUUAAGAUCAGACAAUGGUAGAGAGUUUUUCAAUUCUCAGUGUUCUGAUUUACUUUCAUCCUUGGGCAUUAUUCAUCAAAGUUCUUGUCCAUACAUACCCCAACAAAAUAGGAUGGUGGAGAGAAAACAUAGACAUAUUCUUGAAGUAGCUAGAGCUCUUAAAUUUUAGAGUUCUAUCCCUAACAAGUUCUGGGGAGACUGUGUUAUGACUGCAACAUAUCUUAUAAAUAAACUGCCUACACCAAUUUUGUAAGGAAAGUCUCCUUAUACAAUUUUAUAUAAGAAACCUUUAGUAUAUGAUCACUUAAGGGUCUUUGGUUGCUUAUGUUUUGCAUCUACUUUACCUAAAGGAGAUAAGUUUGAACCAAGAGCUAAAAGAGCAGUUUUUAUUGGUUUUUAUUGGUUAUUCUGAGACUCAAAAGGGAUAUAAGUUAUUUGAUCUUCAGCAGAACACAUGUUGGGUCAGUAGAGAUGUGGUAUUUAGAGAAGACAUCUUUCCUUUCAAGGGAAUCACAUAUAAAAGAACCACUAUUUUUUAUGUUCCACACUCUGUCAAUGAUCAUCAUCAUCCUGACCCUACUCCAAUACCUAUGCCUGCAUCAUAUGCCCCUAUAUAUGAUGAUCCUGCUAGCUCUUCUGGUGUGCCAGAAGUUGCAGAUAAUAUGCAACAUUCCACAGUUGAAGCUGAUGAAGUGCCACCAGUGGAACAUUUAUUUUCACCUGUUCCACAACCAACAGACUUGAGAAGGACAACAAGGAGUGCCAAUCCGCCAAUAUGGUUAAAGGAUUAUGUAACCACUAAAUCUGGUGGUAAGUUUGGAAGUGUGACCCUUUAUUCUAUCUCAGAUGUGUUAUCUUAUGAUAAUGUCUCACCAGCAUAUCAAGUCUAUCUGCAAGCCUUUUCAUCUCAAAUUGAACCAUAAAAUUUUAAAGAAGCCACAACAGAUGAACACUGGAUUAAGGCUAUGCAGCUUGAAACUCAAACCCUGAAAGAAAAUCAGACUUGGGACCUGGUCCCUCUACCACCAGGGAAAUAUGCCAUAGGUUCUAAAUGGGUAUACAAGAUUAAAUAUAAGGCUGAUCAGAGCAUUGAAAGAUACAAGGCCAGAUUAGUUGUGAAGGGAUACAAUCAAUAGAAAGGUUUGGAUUAUCAUGAUACCUUCUCACCUAUUGCUAAAAUGGUGACAGUUAGAGCUAUGAUAAGCCUGGCAGCCUCCAAGAAGCGGGACAUCUUCCAAAUAGAUGUAAAUAAUGCUUUCCUAUAAGGAGAUCUUUAUGAAGAUGUAUACAUGGAAUUGCCUCAAGGCUUUCAGAGACAAGGAAGUAAACUGGUAUGCAAACUGAAAAAAUCAUUAUAUGGACUCAAACAGGAUUCAAGACAGUGGAAUAUUAAGCUCACAAAUGCAUUAAUUGCUGGUGGCUAUACACAAAGCAUCUAUGAUCACUCACUGUUUAUUCAGAAAUCAGGACAUGAUAUUGUAGUGGUCUUGGUUUAUGUUGGUGAUCUGCUUAUCACAGGGAGUAACUCUACUCUAAUUCAGUAUGCAAAAAACACACUGAAUGAGGCAUUCAAGGUGAAAGACUUGGGCUAGUUAAGAUUCUUCUUGGGAAUUGAAGUACUCAGGUCUGACAAAGGUGUCUUGCUUAACCAAAGGAAGUAUGUGUUGGAGCUGAUCUCACAAAUUGGCCUGAGUGGGUGCAAACUAUCUCCAACACCAUUAGAGGUCAAUAAUAAAUAAACUUCUGUAGAGUAUGACCUCCAAGUUGGUCCAUCUGAUGAUCCUGAAAUAGAUGACAUACUUGGUUAUCAAAAGCUGGUUGGCAAAUUGCUUUAUCUCACUAUUACAAGGCCUGACAUUUGCUUUGCAGUACAAAUAUUAAGACAAUUUAUGCAGAGACCUAAACAGUCUCACAUGGAUGGUGCACUAAGGGUGGUGAGGUAUCUGAAGGGUAAUCCUGGACUUGGAAUUCUACUUAAAGCAGAUGAGAUCACAUCUAUGACUUCCUUAUGUGAUUCUGAUUGGGCAUCUUGUCCCAACACUAGAAGGUCAGUUUCAGGGUAUAUAGUCAUGAUGGGUGAUUCUUUUGUUUCUUGGAAAUCUAAGAAACAAUAUACAGUGAGUAGAAGCUCAGCAGAAGUUGAGUAUAGGAGCAUGGCAGAUGCAACUGUUGAAGUGAUAUGGCUGGCUGGUUUAUUGGCAGAGCUUGGAGUGACCUUAACCAUGCCUGUGAAGUUGUUUUGUGAUAAUAAAGCUGCACUACAAAUUGCUGCUAAUCCUAUUUUUCACGAGAUAACUAAGCACAUAGAAAUCGAUUUUUAUUUUGUCAGAGAAAGAAUCAAAUCAGGUUUGCUGCAACCAGUUCAUGUCCCUUCCAAUAUGCAACUAGCUGAUCUCAUGACUAAAGGACUUCCAGCAGCUCAACAUCAGUUUCUUCUUUCCAAGCUGAGCGUCCUUGAUUUUUUUGGUCACCAGCUUGAGGGGGAGUAAAGAGACUAGUCAGUUAGGUUGCUAUAGUUUGUUAGAAAAGAGAGUGGUGUACAACUGGUGUACAACUGUCAAGUUAGUGGAGUUGGAUGUUAGUGGAGUCGGUUAUUUGUCUCUAUAAGUAGCAAUUGUAUCACUAACAUUGUAAUCAGAAUUAAAUCAUUUUCAAUCAAUAAAGCUUGUUCAUUCCUCUAAGAACCAUAUCAACGAACUUGGUCCAACAACUCUAGGGAUUUUAUUAGAUGUGAUUUGGCAACAAUAAUAGAAGUAGAAUUUAAGUUCAAUGGAGAGAUAAUAUAUCAUAAACACAUACCUAGAACUUAGAAGGCCGACGUACACUCCACCCUUCCCACUUCUCAUACUCCACUUGGUGAAAUUAGACUGGAUUUCACUAUGUCCCUCACAAGCACGUAGAAGUAAUUCUUUUUGUAUAAUGGUUGAAGGUGAGAUUAUUAAAACUCAGGAUCUCUAUAUGCUUUUUGUUAGAGUUGUGACCUGAAUUAUGUUGAGCCGGCCCUGAAAGUUUCGUUGUGCGACCCAUAUUUGUGAUUUUCAGUGAGGUCUGUGGUCGUAGCAUAAAGGUAUGAACCUUUAUGUUUUUGGACCAAGGACUAAUUUGUAUGCACGUAUUAUAUAAGUAUAUUUAGUGGGUUAUUUUGUGUAUUCAGAAAAUACUCAUUCUCUACAUUUUACUCCUCUUCUUUCAUUAUAAUGAAACAUCCUCUGCCUUUGCCCGUGGUUUUUCCCGCAAGAAAUUUCCACAUAAAUUUGUGUGUUCUUAUUUAUUAUUUUGCUUAUGGUUUGCUUUAUUUCUGCUGAUUUAUAACACUUUUAAAUCCUAUUGAACUUUGUGAGCCUACAUGAAAAAGCCAAGAACAACUUCAAAUAAUCCAUUGAAGAAAGUGGCAGUAAAAGCAAGAUGAAGAUAAAGUGUUGGAUUUUUAGCUGCGUUAACUUCAUUUCCCAACAUAGAAGCCAUGAGAAGAGAUCUAACUGCAACUAUUCCCACUGCUAAAUCUCUUGAACUUCCCAUUAAUACGUACACUAAUGGCGGAAUAAAGCUUGAAUCUGUACAACAAAAAAAACGUAGUAAUUAAGUUGCUAUAAUUUUAUGAGUUUGCAUUCAUGUCUAGGCUAAAAGUUAUUGGUUCAUUUGAAUUCAUAACUAUUACACUAGAUUCGUCCUGGUGAUACGUGACUAGUCACCAGCAAAAGUGUUUGAUUUGACAAAAGUCAUUUUCUUGGAAUAUAUUGUCUGGUAGCUGAACAUUAUAAAGUGAACGUCACGUACGUAAAACUUUCAUGAAAAAUAACUUUGGUCGUACCAAACAGUUUUACUAAAAAUAAACCUGAUCACUUACAGAGGCCAAGUAUAGGUGGCAAGUUCCCCAACUUAGCAUAAAUUAUUCCCUGAGGAAUAGCAAGACUAGCAAUAGUAAUUCUAGCAAUAAGAUCUGAUUUGAAGAACCCAAAAUUGUAACGAGAACCCCAUUCAAAAAUUGGAAAAAAAAUUGAACCGCAAGUAUGAAUUUUCUAAAGGGUGUUUGGUUCUUGAAUUUCCUAAGUGGAUCAUCUGGAAAUAAAGUUUCCUUCACAGUUGUUGAGAUUAUUGAAGAAUCAUGUAAAGUUUGAUUAGCUGGUAGAUUAGAAUAUUUAAUUAUGCUGUUAGUGGUAGUUAGUUAGCUGACUAGACUUAGUUAGUUAGAUAGUUGUUGACAUCUGGCAUUUACACAUACUUGUAUAUAUGUUGAUUUUGCAUUCACGGAAUAGAGUUAGUUACCAUUUCACAAAUUAUCUUCUUGUGAUCUUCUCUCAGUUCUCUCUCUCAAUCAAAGCUCAAGGUUAACUGCACAACAAUGACAAAUUUCAGUUUAUUGUCUUCAUAAAUCCUCAACUUUAACAUGGUAUCAGAGAAAUUUUGAUCCUGAAUUUUGCAUUUUUCUUUAGCAUUUCUUACUGCUCUGUUAGUAUAUUUGAUCUUUUGGGUUUUUUGAGUUGUUUUUUUGGUGUUACUUUCUGCUUCACUAGUGUUGGUGAUAUUGUUGUUCUUUCUCUCAUUGCGUCUUCAAAGUGUUUGCUUUUUUGUCACUUCUAAUGGUGGAUAAUGAAGCCAAUCCUCCUACUCAAGCGAGUCGAGAAACUAUCGACUUAACUAAUCCCUUGUAUAUGCAUCCCUCUGAGAAUUUAGGAGCAACACUGCUUCCUGGUAUUUUUGAUGGCACGGGGUAUCGGUCAUGGAGGAGAGGUGUACUUCGUGCCUUGUCAGUCGAAAAUAAAACUGGUUUUAUCAAUGGCAAAUGUCCAAAACCACCAGAGGAUUCUUCAUUUUUUAGUCAUUGGGAGAGAUAUGAUGACAUGGUGACUUCGUGGCUCUUUAAUUCUCUAUUCAGAGACCUAGCAGAUAGUUUACAAUAUGUCGAUAAUGCUCAAGAGCUUUGGCAGGAACUCGAAGACAGAUAUGAUCAAACGAAUGGGGCUAAGUUGUAUCAACUGUAGAAAGAGAUUAAUGACCUUUCUCAGGGUUCUUUAGACACCACCAACUACUACACUAAAAUGAAGAAACUAUGAGAGGAAUUGAGUGCACUCACUCUGAGUAAUAGCUGCACAUGUCAAUGCACUUGUGGUGCUAAAGCAGUUGUGCAUAAGGCUAAACAGGAUCGACGACUAAUACAAUUUCUCAUGGGGCUCAAUGAGAUGUACACACCUGUGCGAGGGAGUAUUUUAAUGAUGAAUCCCCUUCCUAGCAUUGCACAAGCCUUCUCCAAUUUGAUUCAGAAAGAGAAGCAAAGGGAAGUUAAGCCUCACACUCAGCUUAGUCUAGAAUCUGCUUCUCUUACCACUCAUGCCAUAGAAAAUGCAGCCUUUAAGACAAAUUAUCAAAACACUAGGAUAGGAAAUACUCAGUACAAUAGCAAACAAUUUGGUAAUCACUAUUCAGGUUCAUCUGGUUCUUCUGGAGGAUAUCCGUAUGGGAAUUUACAUGGUGCAGGUGGCCAUUCUCUGAGUAGAUCUCAUUUGUUUUGUGAUUAUUGCAAGAAAUCUGGUCACACUAAAGACAAAUACUAUAGGUUGCAUGGUUUCCCUCAGGAUUUCAAGUUCAUAAAAAGAAAGAAUUUAGCUUCUGCUGCUAAUGUGUUUGGAGGAGUGCACACUGAUAAUCACACAAAAAAGACUAUUACAGCAGAAGAUCCUAAUUCUCAAGGACUUCAAACCUUAACUAAGGAUCAAUACAGUUAAUUGAUGACCUUAUUGAGCACUUUUCAACAAGGAGAUGCAAUACAUGACAUAAGUGGUAUUUCUAGUGGUGCUACGAACCUUGCAGGUAUAAUUACUUGUCAUUCCUCUAUAAUUGAGAUUUCUGCCUUUCAUGUGCAUGUACCACAUUGACAACUGAUUCCUGGAUAUUUGACUCUGGAGCAUUUCACCAUAUCACAUACAAUAAAACCUUACUGACUAACAUCAGUAGUUUACCCUAACCUUUCCUAGUAAAUUUGCCUAAUGGAUAUAGAGUAAGGGUGACAGAAAUUGGUGACAUCUUUAUAAAUCCAACUUUAACACUGCAUAAUGUUUGGGUUGUGUCUAUUUUUAAAUUUAACCUCAUUUCUGUUCAUUGUUUAGUACUUGAUCUUCAAAGCAUAGUUAGUUUCAGUAGCUGUUUUUGUACCUUGCAGGCCCCUUCACUGAAGAGGACUCUAGAGAUUAGUAGAGCUAACAAUGGUUAUACUAUCUCUGCUCAAAAUGUCACAACAACACAUCAAGAUCUUCUAGCAGACUCAAAUCCUCCAUUCCCAGCUCUUUAAAUACUUGUCUUAGUUUUCCCACUUUUAGUAAACUUGUUUCAUCUUUACUUCCAAUUAUUGUUGUAAAUAAUUCAUGUUCAACUAGUAAAUAAUUCAUGUUCAACUAAUAAAGAAGUCUACUUUAUUUUGAAUCCAAGUCUGUCUUCUGCAUCUCAUAAUAAUAAUGUUGAUAUUUUGUGGCAUCAAAGAUUAGGCCAUGUACCUUUUGCAAAAAUAAGAGGAAUAUCUUCACUACCAGUACCUUUUGCACCAAAACAACCUUUCAUGUGUACCAUUUGUCCAAUGGCCAGACAAAGUAGACUACUUUUUCCACAGAAAUUGACAAUCAGUACCACCCCUUUUGAGCUCUUAUACAUUAAUCUAUGAGGACCUUAUCAUGCUCCAACUCAUGACAACUAUAGGUAUUUUCUUACAUGGUUGAUGAUUACAGCAGGUCCACUUGGACACAUCUUCUAAGUUGUAAAAGUAAUACACUUCAAUCCAUCAAAACCUUUGUGUCUCUUGUAGAAACUCAGUUUUUGACCAAGAUCAAGAUUAUCAGGUCUGAUAAUGGCCUUGAGUUUGUAAAUCAUGCAACUACAUCAUUCUUUCAAGAAAAGGGCAUCAUCCACCAGAAAACUUAUCCAUACACACCAUAAAAUAAUGGUGUGGUGGAAAGAAAACACAAAUAUCUGCUUGAAACUGCAAGAGCACUUUUAUAUCAAUACAAGCUUCCAAUUAGAUAUUGGGGAGAAUGUAUCCUAACUGCUACCUACCUUCCUCUUAUGAACUUCUGUACCAAAAGAAACCUAGUUACUUUUAUUUAAAGACUUUUGGAUGUCUUUGUUUUCCCACCACUCUCAAGGCUCACACAAGUAAGUUUGACCCUAGGACCACUCCAUAUGUUUUCAUGGGAUAUCCUUUUGGUACAAAAGGUUACAAGGUUCUUAGCUUGAGUACAAAAAGGUUACAUAUUUCUAGGGAUGUUGUUUUUCAUGAAAAUGUCUUUCCUUUUUCCUUGUCAUCUCACCAGCCUGCCUGAUGUGGUUCCUUUAACAAAUUUUAAUAUUAAUGCUAGUCACUCUUCUAUCACACCACAUAGUUUUGAUAUACAUGAGUUGGAUUUUAGAUAAAAUUCUCAUAAUGCUGCCCCUGAUCCUAUACCUGCUAGCAACUCUCCAUCAUCACCAGCAUCUCCUCAACCCACUACCUCUCCAUCAUCUUCUCAUAAUCCACUACCUGAUCCUCAACCACAUAUUUCACAACCACAAGCUGAACCUAGAAGAUCAUCUAGAACUCAUGCCACACCAGCCUACCUAUAGGAAUAUUCUUAUUCUUUACCCAACCUACAACCUUCUUCUUCAUCUGUUUCUGCAUCAACAAACAUUGCCACUCAUACCUCUCUUUCACUUACUUCUUUUAGUUCGGAUAGCCAGCAGUUAAUAAGGAAUAUUUCACUUGAAUGUGAGCCAUCCUUAUGAGGAAGCAGUAUUAAAUCCUGCUUGGCAUAUUGCAAUGACACAGGAAUUUGAAGCUCUGUAUGCAAACCAUACUUAGGAUCUUGUCCCAUUACCUACUGGAAAGAGAACCAUUGGUUGUAGGUGGGUUUAUAAGGUUAAACACAAGGUUGAUGGAAAUAUAGAGAGGUUCAAUUCUAUACUCGUGGUGAAAGGAUACACGCGAAAACACAAUGUUGAUUACAGUGAAACUUUCUCACCAGUAGUGAAGAUGACUACUAUAAGAAUUCUUCUCAGUCUAGCUAUAAAGAAAGGAUAGAAACUCCAUCAACUUGAUGUCAACAAUGCUUUUCUACAUGGUGAUUUGCAUAAAGAGGUGUAUAUGGACUCUCCAAAGGGCCUAUUGUUGGAUAAUCCAAACCUUGUAUUCAAGCUAAGGAAAUCCUUAUAAGGUUUGAAGCAAGCUAGUAGGUAGUGGUAUGAAAAACUGGUUGAAUCCUUAUGUUUGCAGGGUUAUUUACAUUCUGCUAGUGAUUACUCUUUAUUUUACAAGAAAACUGAUGGUUACACAGUUUUUGUAGUUGUGUAUGUUGAUGAUGUUAUAGUUACUGGUACUGAUGAGAAGGAGAUACACCAGCUGAAGUUGUUUUUACACAACAAGUUCAAAAUCAAAUAUCUGGGACAUCUACAUUAUUUCUUGGGGUUAGAGGUAUUAUACAGACAUGAUGGAAUUUUAAUUUCCCAGAUAAAAUUUGCCACUGAUUUGUUGAAAGAGUAUGAUCACCUGAACUACAGCAUUACUGCUUCCCCUCUUGAUCCCAAUGUUAAGUUACUGGAAAAUGAGGGAAAGUUGUUGUCUGACCCAACACCUUAUAGAAAACUGGUUGGGAAGCUGAAUUUUCUCACAAAUACUAGGUUGAACCUUGCAUAUAGUGUGCAACAUCUUAGCCAAUUUAUGCAGGCUCCUAGAGAGUCCCAUUACAAAGCUGAUUUACAUGUCCUGAGGUACUUAAAAUCAGAUCCAACCUGGGGUUUUUUCUUGUCAAAUGACCCCAACUACACUCUGUCAGCUUUUUGCGACUCUGAUUGGACUCCAUGUCCAGAUUCAAGAGGGAUAUAUUGUGUUUCUUGGCAAUAGUCCAGUUAGUUGGAAAUCCAAGAAACGAACUACCAUUUCUCUAUCAUCAUCUUGGUGAACUGGUAUGGGUGGAUAGACUGCUGACUGAGUUAACUAUUGUCUCCACCAAGCCUAUUUCAAUACUUUGCGAUAGUCAAGCAGCCAUACACAUCGCAAGGAAUCUUGUUUUUCAUGAGAGAACUAAACAUAUAGAAGUAGACUAUCAUUUUGUCCGGGACAAGCUACAUGAAGGCCUCAUUACUUUGUAACAUGUUACUACAAAUGCUCAACUUGCAGACAUCUUGACAAAGUCUCUUACUGGAGUUAAGCAUCAUACUGUAUUAGGCAAGUUGGCUGUACUUUCAGCACCUCCAACUUGAGGAGGGGUGUUGAGAUCAUUGAAGAAUCAUGUAAAGUUUGAUUAGCUGGUAGAUUAGAAUAUUUAAUUAUGCUGUUAGUGGUAGUUAGUUAGCUGACUAGACUUAGUUAGUUAGAUAGUUGUUGACAGCUGGCACCUACACACACUUGUAUAUAUGUUGAUUUUGCAUUCAUGGAAUAGAGUUAGUUACCAUUUCACAAAAUAUCUUCUUGUGAUCUUCUCUCAGUUCUCUCUCUCAAUCAAAGCUCAAGGUUAACUGCACAACAAUGACAGAUUUCAAUUAUUGUCUUCAUAAAUCCUCAACUUUAACAACAGUAUUUUUCAGUGACUUGAAAAAAGAUUGUGGUGGUGGUAGUUCAACUUUGUGUAUGCCUAUGCCUGUGUGCUCUCCAUUAUUCAUCAUUGAUGGGUACUCAUAAUCUGCGUUACCCAUUCUGAUAAUAUAUACUAGUAUUUUUUUUAAUUUUUAAUUUUGGGUAUUCAAAGAAAUAAUCUGACACUGAUGAAAUUAUAUAUAUCCAAUGGAUAAGGACUUUCUGCAAAGCGUUGAAAUAAGGAAUUUUGGUUGGAGUGGCUUGGACUGAAUAAUAAAGGAUGGGUGUUUAUAUAGAGGUAUUAUAUGAAGGAUUGUUGACACUUUUUUCGAGUGGAGUGGAAGGUAAUAGCCAUAGGGACCAAUUGUGUGGUUCUAAUUUCUAUAUUUUUAUUCUUAUAUGAAUUUAAUUUGUGUGUUUAUGCACACAAUAUAUAUAUAUAUAUGCAUGAUAUGUUGGUAAAGGUGAAUUUAUAUGUAAGAGACUAGUCAUAUUUUAGAUUAGCAAAUCAAUAUUUCUAAUUAGGAUUUGGAAAUUGGACAGUUACUUUAGUUCAUAUUCAAGCCUUGGAAACAGUCUAUGGCAGAAAUGCAAAGUAAGACUGCGUACAAUACAUCUUGUGCUGGGACUCUUUCCCGGAAAGCGCGCAUAGUGAUAGCUUUAGUGCACUGGACUGCCCUUUUACUUUAGUCCAUAUUCAAAUAGGGUUUGUAAUUAAAAGAGAAUUUAAAAAAAAAAGAAUUCGCAAAUCAGUAAAUAGCUCCUACUUUUUCAAGCUCAAUAUAAUUCCAAUUCAAUUUACAGAAAAAUGAUCAUAUCUCAAAAUUCUUUUGGUUUUACAUUAUAUCUGAUAUUUAUAUUACGAUUUGAUUAAAUUCCGAUUCGCACUUUAUAGGAUUCUUCUCUGAAGACUAAACUUUCAAACUAAUUUUUUGGAUUCCUCGCUCGAACAUUACUCUUUUUGAUUCAAUGUUUCAAACUUUUAUUUAAAAAUUCUGGACCCAAAAAUAUUAUUUCUUUUCAGCACACUGAAUGCUAUUUCUGGAAAAGAAGGCAGACGCAGACUCCGCCAAAAUUAUAAUUUACUCUUUUUAUAAUGACAUAAAAUUUUUUUUAGUCCGUAUAAAGAAAAAUGAUUCAUCUUUUUUGGUAAUACUUGAAUCAGAUGAUUAACAAAUGAGUGAAUAUAGACUUAAUUGAACUGAAUCAAAAAUAGGUUAAACGAAGAGUCAUGGCUCAGCAUGUCAAACUCAAUACAAAACUUUCAUUUCUUUGUCUGUUUCUCUUAAUUUGUUUAAUUAUCUAAGAAUUUUUUUCUGUAUUACGACUUAUUAUAAAAUAUCAAAAACGAUAAAAAUUGUAUAUUUUGACAAGAUUUUUAUGAGCUAAUUUAGAUUACAUAUUAGCAAUUUAACACAAGUUUUAAAUGAAUUGAAUUUGAUUGGUCAAAAUGGGUUGACUUGAGUUAUUCAAACUUAAAUAUAUUGUACGAGUAUGUAUUUCCUUGGGCCAAUUUUGUCAACUCUAUGUUAAACUACGCCGAUAAGAUAAAAUUAGAGUUACAGCCUGAAUAUCUUUGUUCCUACUCAUCAUGCAUCACUAUCAAUUAAGCACAUUUGAACUUUAUGAAUUAAACCUAAUCCUGAUAUUUUGCAAGUGCUAGUAAUUAAUCAUGACAAUUCAAACUUCCACUAAAGCUAUCUAUGUGAGAAAAAAAGGCAAAUUAAGGUGGGUAAUACAAUAUAUAUCUAGUAACAACCAAUAUCAACAAGUAAAAUGGAAGCUCCUAAUUUAUUAAGUUUGUAAACCACACCAUUGUUGCACACGAUCGAGCUAAAAUGGAGAUAAUAGAUUUUGUUGCAACGUAGGAAUCAAAAUCAAUUCAAAAUUCUCUUACUAGAUAGCACUUUUAUAUAUGGAAUUGGGGAUUUUGCUAGUUCGUUUUAUGAAUGUUCACUUUAUUGAAUCCAAGUCAAUAAAUUGUUUUUUGAAUGGAAUGUCGUUUAGUUUAGCCUAAAAAUAUCACUUGGAGGAAACAUAAUAUUAUUUUUAGCAUACUUAAGGCAAAAUUGAAUGGUUAUUUUUAUUAUAAAAAGUUGUUCACUGACUUUUUGAAAUAUUUAUUAAAUGUAAAGUUGAGUGACUUUUUUAUCUAAUAAUUAGAGAAGCUAAUUUAGUUUUUAUGUAUAUAUAUUAGAUGUUGAACCCCCUCGAUUAGUUUUUAUAUUCACUUAUGAAUCCCCUUAGUGAAAAUCCUAGCUCCGCCACUGCUGUAUACCACAUGUAUUUUUUCAUUGUCUUAUAUAUGCUCAACUCAAGAGGGAUCCGUGACCUAAACACACAUAUAUACAUAUAGCCCUUAAGUUGCGUGUUUGCUUUAUGCAACUGGAAUUAAAUUAAAUAACAUAACGAAGUUGGCAUCUGGAUAAUUAAUAACUUCUUGAAAAUAUUUCCAAUCUGGUCUAGCCGUUAGGAAAGCAAUUACAGAAAAAGAGAAAAAAAAUCACGUUUGUUUACAAACCAAAACAAUAUAUACGACAGAAAAUUUCAUUAAGAAUAGAAGAUCAGAAGAUAAAUUCAAUAAUCCAUAGAGGAAGCUGCAAGCAAAGUGCUUCAAUUAAUAAAAUAACAAUAAAGAGCGGAUUAUUGUGGAAAAAUGCUGCGAAUAUAAUUAAGUAAAUAAAAGUGUGUUCGCUUUAAUAUACUAAAUUUUUAAACAAGAUGAUCACACACUUUAAUAUCAUAUUGAAAACAAAUCUAACCACCAUCUAUCAUCAGAAGAAUUUUCAUCGACCCAUUGAAAAAAUGGAACUCAUAUGCACAUUAAACACUUCAAUAUUAACCUAGUAAGGCAAAAAUCCCGAGAAGAUGCUUAUCGAGACCUUAUUUUCAACUAAGUAUCAAUCCCUAGAAAUUUUUUUAAAAAAUGGGCUAGCUAAUUACAUGACAAAUGCUGCAUGAAUAAUUACAAUUAACACGCUAUAUAAUUACAUAUACAUUUCAUCUCGUGAUUCAGAAAAUUAAAAUACAAAAGGAAAACGAAUCAAAGACUUUGACUUGGGGAUUUAUGUGGGAAAUGACAAAAUCCGACAUAUACUUUUUUAAUAUCUUCUCUAUAUUCCUGAUAACGAUUCUUCUGUUUAAUUUGGAAUUUGGUGCGUGAUUAAUUAAUAAAUGAAGUAGCUAACUUGGCACUUGGCAGCAGUUAACAGAAUAUUUAACCUUUUUUUCUUGUAAUAUAGCUAAAUAAUAAAAGAGACACAUCCAACUAGACAACUAGACAUAAGGUUAGUGGAAUUCUGUAUAUAUUUUACAUUUUAGUAAUAUGUUUUGUAUGAAUUCUUAACGCUAUACAGCUCUUGUUUCGAAAUUUAAAUUAAUCCACAGUAAUUAAAUAUUAAAAUAUAAUUAUUUGAUUUAGAGAAGUUAAAUUUUGAAGUGAAAAUGUGAUGGAAUAUAAUGUUAACGAGUCUGAAUGUGGGUGAGACUUCAUGAACAUAUGUAGUAACUAGUAUACGCUUAAGUUUAAGUUCGUAGGUGUCAGAUAGACGGAUUAAAUUGAAAUCAUUAUAACAUAAAACAAUCAUCACUGUCUGCCCUUGGUGUGCUAUUACCAUUGCCAAUAUUAUUCUGAAAUCACUAUGUGCAACCACCAUCAUCAUCCUCGUAACACUUCCAUCACCAACUUCUAUCGCUCAACCACCACAAUCACCACCACCUGUAUAUAAUAGUACGCACCAAGAACAACCACAUGUAGGUGCGGAGCCAGCAUAUAUUUAGAGGGUUUCAAACUUCUCUGGACGAAAAAUUACAUUAUUUAUACAUGGUUAAAUUAUUUUUUAUGUUUAUAUAUAGUAGAUAUUGAACCCCUUUAGCUAGUUCGCGUGUACAUUUUAAACCCCUUAAUGAAAAUUUUGGCUUCGCCACUGACCACGUGAACCGCCUCCACUAGCAAAUACCACUAAUGACCAACUCAACACCAUGCCGCCCCACAACACCAGGCAAUGUAUUGUCAGGCAAGACAAAACACUAAUGCUCAUUGUCAUUGCGCCAAAAAUCCUAGUGUGUUUCAUCAAACAAACAGGUUUACCAGCAUGGGUUGUGGUGUAGAGGUGGGACAACUCCACCCUUAAUUAAAGGUCUCGGGUUCGAGUCCUGGGUAUGGAGAAAAUUCUAUUGGGAGCGCCACCCCCUAGAAUGGGCCCUACAGUGCACGAUCUGGAUUAGUCGGGUCUCUAAUGUGGGUACCGAACACCGGUUAGGAAACAGAAAAAAGGUUUAAUUUGUAUUAUUUGUUAUGAAAUAUAAAGCAAAGAGGAAGAAGAAUAGAGAGAGAAGAGAAGAGACUUCUUUAUUUCUCGUGGAGAUUCUUGAUGGGUUAAUUAGAAUGAAGGAAAACCUUGAUUCCUAGAAGACGUACCUUUUAGUCGAGUCAUCUCCCUUGAUUCCUAGAAGACGUACCUUUUAGUCGAGUNNNNNNNNNNNNNNNNNNNNNNNNNNNNNNNNNNNNNNNNNNNNNNNNNNNNNNNNNNNNNNNNNNNNNNNNNNNNNNNNNNNNNNNNNNNNNNNNNNNNNNNNNNNNNNNNNNNNNNNNNNNNNNNNNNNNNNNNNNNNNNNNNNNNNGUACCUUUUAGUCGAGUCAUUCCCUUUGACUCCUAGAAGACGUAUCUUUUAGUCGAGUCAUUUCCUCUGAUUCCUAUAAGACGUACCUUUUAGUCGAGUCAUUCCCUUUGAUUCCUAUAAGACAUACCCUUUAGUCGAGUCAUUUCCUCUGAUUCCUAUAAGACGUACCUUUUAGUCGAGUCAUCUCCUUUGAUUCCUAGAAAACGUACCUUUUAGUUGAGUCAUUCCCCUUGACCCCUAGAAGACGUACCAAUUAGUCGAGUCAUCCCCCUUGAUUCCUAUAAGGCAUACCUUUUAAUCGAGUUAUCCCCCUUUGAUUCCUAUAAGACGUACCUUUUAGUCGAGUCAUCUCCCUUUGAUUCCUAUAAGACGUACCUUUUAGUCGAGUCAUCUCCCUUUGAUUCCUAUAAGACGUACCUUUUAGUCGAGUCAUCUCCCUUUGAUUCCUAUAAGACGUACCUUUUAGUCGAGUCAUUCCCCUUGACCCCUAGAAGACGUACCAAUUAGUCGAGUCAUCCCCCUUGAUUCCUAUAAGGCAUACCUUUUAAUCGAGUCAUUUCCCUUGACCCAUAGAAGGCGUACCUUUUAGUCGAGUCAUUUCCCUUGACCCCUAGAAGACGUACCUUUUAGUCGAGUCAACUCCCCUGAUUCCUAUAAGACAUACCUUUUAGUCGAGUCAUUCCCCUUGAUUCCUAUAAAAUGUACCUUUCAGUCGAGUCAUUCCCCUUGAUUCCUAUAAGGCGUACCUUUUAGUCGAGUCAUGCUCCUUAAUUCCUAUAAUGAUGUGACUUUCAUCAAAGUCCUUUGAUGAUAAACUGGGGCAAAAUUUAAUUCUUGUUUUUGGAACUUUACUUUUCUGGCAAACGAAAUUUCUCUUUAUAAUAAUUUUUGUUUGGGUUGGGAUAAUUUUCUUUCCAGUUUUGAUGUGAUUUCAGGAGCCUUCCCGAAGCACAGGGCGAAUAAAUGGAAAACCAAGCAACAAAGUGAAGAAAUUAAAAGUUAAACAGAUUGAAAAAUAGCAAGUGGGGUGAAGAAAUUGAAAGCAUAGCAAAAAGUUGAUGAAAUAGCAAGUCAGGAACCCGCCCGGAGAACAGGGUGUAGAAAUUGAAAGGCAAGCAACAAGUUGAAGAAAUUGCAAGUCAGAAGCCCGCCUGAAUAAUAGGGUGAUGAAACUCAAGUCAAGAGUCCAAAAGAAGCUGUAUAGAUAGGAUUUUUGUGAUUUUCAUUUUUGUUUAACUUGUAAUUUUCAUUUUUGAUGUAAUGACAGAGCCGCGGACCGGAACCUCGACGGGACCUCACUCGACUCCCCAACUCGAUAAUGUCCAUCUCCUUCCAAUCCUUUAAGAUACCUGGGACUUGACUCCCUCAUAACUUGGGUAGGUAGGAUGUCCUAAGUCAAGACUUGGUUGUCCUUCUUGCUUUGAAUAAUGAUCAGGUCAAAAUUCUGUCUCGUUGUCUACUUCUUUGAAUGAAAACACUUUGUGUUUACAUGCAAAGAGGGGUAUGAUGUAGACACGUAAUUUUGUCCCUCCCCGAAAAUAUUUUUACCAUUUUACCUUAUUCUACCGCGUACCCUCAACCAUGUAAUUAUCCCUCCAUAAAAUGACAAAAAUAACAACCCUUAAUAAAUUUUACCUUGUUCUAAUCCUAUCCUAACAACCUCUCCAAUUAAAAGCGGACACCUUAGCACCCCUACCCCUGCCACGUGACCCCCCCUAAAUCACAUUUUUCCAUCUUUGGUUAUAAUAACAGAUUACUAGGACCCAGGGAAGGAUUUAAUAAUAACAUAUACACUCACAGGCCCCACCACUAAAAAAAAGACCAUUAAUACACUCAUCCUCACCAACACUCACCAGAAAUUUGCCAAAACCCACAACACUGUCACACCCCUUUUUACGUACUCUAAAAAAAUGGUUAUAAAUUAAUGUUUGAAAGGGUUUUAAUUAUUAAAGUGAUAAAAUAUGAAAAUUUAUUUCGGAAAAGGAUUAUUUACAUUUUUUACUCAGAGUCGCCACAUGGCAUAAUCUGGCAUGCCAAGUCACCAUUAGAAAAUCCUUUUUAAAACCGUUUGACUCUUUGAACUGGUUUACGAACAGAGAUUCCGGCUAAGGAAUUCUAUUGACCGAGGGGAAGGUAUUAGGCACCUCUCGAUCCCGUGGUUCAACCACGGUCGCUAGGUAGGGUGUAUCAACUAUUUUGACACUACGAAAUGUAUCAACCACACAGAGGCACGCAAANNNNNNNNNNNNNNNNNNNNNNNNNNNNNNNNNNNNNNNNNNNNNNNNNNNNNNNNNNNNNNNNNNNNNNNNUCCGGGGUAUGAAAAGAAAUGCAGAAAUAUAAACCUAUGCUAAAUUAAUUCUAAACUAAUGUUCUACCCGACGCCUCGGGCCUUCAUCACGAACGUCCUCCGGAUACAUGAUACCUCGGGGCAUUCCCCGGGGACUAAAUAUAUACAGAUACUUCGGGGCAUUCCCCUGCCAAAUUAUACAAUUGAAUCUCAAUGCAUAAAUCAGAACCAUUCCACAAAUAUUUCAAACAUUCCAACAAUCCAUCAAUUCUAAAUUUUGCCUACCCGAACCUACCUUUACCUAUCUAUUUGAUCCAAAUGUGAUAUUAUCAAAACUUAACAAAUCCAACGCCUAAUUUACAACAAAACAAACAUCAAUCAAUCAAUACGAACAAAUCACAUUAAUUUUUCUAUCCGUUUCCCAUUCUCACCUCGAUUUUGUUAACUAAUUACCGAUUUCAAUUAUCCACAAGAUAUCGUUUUCAUCCAAAUUGCACCGUUCGAGAUCAAUCAUUCAACACAAGCACAUAUCGCAGCAAAUCAAUCCAAAAAUCACAGAACACAGUCACAUGGAAUUUAAGAAAAAUAGAGUUAGAAAUUGGACAUUUCGGGAUCAAAGUGUUGUUUCGAUUAAAUAAGAUGAACCAACGGACCAAAAACCGAGAAAACCUCAACUCGAGCAAUCUCAACCUCGAAUGAUGCCAAUCGACCAAUCCUCAAUACGAACCCCAAAACCACCAAAUAACGAGACGAAUCAACCACGAAAACCCCCUAAGAAAUCUGAUUUGAACGCAGUUUCUUGAAGAAGACGAAUCUCGAAAACAACACACAUAAAAAUCCAAGCGGAAUACCAACACAUAUACGAUUCAAAAGGAAUUUUGGGAAAGAUUGAUUUCUGGUGACGUCGUUUUCCGAUUGCUUUUCGCCGGAAUAGCGAUAAACCGUCACUAGGCAUCUCCCGAUGGCUGACCGAAUAAAAUUUCGAUGGAUUUCCCGUGAGAUACUCGCCGUUAAUUGAUCCCUCUAUUUUUCUCUCUCUCUCUCUCAUGCUCAAUCUCUCUUAAUUUCCUUCGAUUUUCAUCCUCUCUCUUCAAUCACACUCCGACUCAAUCCCCUCAAACUUAUGUCUCAAUCUCUCUGAAUUUUCCACCUUUCACUAUGUGUGUGGGCGCUUAUGUUAGUGUGUUUGUUGUGACUGUGUGUUUGUGUAUAUCGAUGGAUGUGCGAGUGAUGAGUGAUGAAUGAAAAAAAAGGAAGAAGAUGAGUGUGUGUCCCCUGUGUGUAACGAAAAAUGGCUUUUUGUGAGGUGAGUCCCGUCUGUGUAUGGGUGUGUGAAUAGAAUUGAGAAUGGUGUUGUUGUGUUUGGGAGCCCAGAAGCCCAAGAAGAAGAAAAGAAUGGUGUCUGACCCCCUUUUUUUAAAAAAAAAACUCCUCAUAUGGUCCCUUUGUGUGUGUAUAUAUGUUGUGAGGUGAGGGUGGGGUAGUGAGGUUAGGUAGGUGGGGUCACAUGGGGUAGGGGGUAGGGUGUGAUGUGGUUUAUUUUGAUUGGAUGGGUUGUUAGGAUAAGAUGUAGGGGUUAGGAUAGGAUAGGAAUUGUUAGGGAGUUUGUUAUUUUUUUUGUAUUUUGUGAGGGUAUAAUAACAUGGGUGAGGGUACACGGUAGGAUAAAAUAAAAACGGGUAAAAGUGAAUAAAAAUUGAACUUUUAAGGUAAAAAUGGGUAAAACGACAUCGGGGAGGGAUGAAAUUAGGUGUCUACAUCAUGCCCCCUUUGAAUGUAAACAUGAAGUGUUUUCAGACAAAGAAGUAGACAACGAGACUGAAUUUUGUCUCAAUCAUUAUUCAAAGAGAGGAGUAAAAGAAGGAAGGACAAUCGACUCCUGUCGGAUACCCUAUCUACCCAAAUCAUGAGAGAAUCAAGUCACGGGUAUUUCGAAGGAUUGGAAGAGAAGUGGGCUAUACCGAGUUGGAGAGUCGAGUGAGGUUCCAUCGAGGUUACGGUUCGUGGCUCUGUUAUUACAUCAAAAAUGAAAAUUUAACAAGUUAAAACAUAAAUGAAAUUACAANNNNNNNNNNNNNNNNNNNNNNNNNNNNNNNNNNNNNNNNNNNNNNNNNNNNNNNNNNNNNNNNNNNNNNNNNNNNNNNNNNNNNNNNNNNNNNNNNNNNNNNNNNNNNNNNNNNNNNNNNNNNNNNNNNNNNNNNNNNNNNNNNNNNNNNNNNNNNNNNNNNNNNNNNNNNNNNNNNNNNNNNNNNNNNNNNNNNNNNNNNNNNNNNNNNNNNNNNNNNNNNNNNNNNNNNNNNNNNNNNNNNNNNNNNNNNNNNNNNNNNNNUUGCUAUUUCAUCACCCUGUUCUCCAGGCGGGCUCCUGACUUGCUAUUUCAUCACCCUGUUCUUCAGGCGGGCUCCUGAAACCCAAAAUUAAAACUAGAACGAAAAUUAUCCCAAAAAUUAUAGUAAAGUAGUAUUUUAUUUUUUGAAAGGGUUGUCCCAUUUUCCAGGAGGGUACUGAACAGAAAGUAACAUCCCAUUUUUCAGGAGGGUCCUGAAUUGAAAGUAAAUUCCCAUUUUUCAGGAGGGUCCUGAGCAGAAAGCGAAAUCCCAUUUUUCAGGAGCGUUUUGAACAGAAAGUAAAAUUCCAUUUUUCAGGAGGGUCCUGAACAUAAAGUAGAAUCCCUUUUUUCAGGAGGGUCCUGAACAUAAAGUAAAAUCCCAUUUUUCAGGAGGGUCCUGAAUUGAAAGUAAAUUCCCAUUUUUCAGGAGGGUCCUGAGCAGAAAGCGAAAUCCCAUUUUUCAGGAGCGUUUUGAACAGAAAGUAAAAUUCCAUUUUUCAGGAGGGUCCUGAACANNNNNNNNNNNNNNNNNNNNNNNNNNNNNNNNNNNNNNNNNNNNNNNNNNNNNNNNNNNNNNNNNNNNNNNNNNNNNNNNNNNNNNNNNNNNNNNNNNNNNNNNNNNNNNNNNNNNNNNNNNNNNNNNNNNNNNNNGUCCUGAACUGAAAGUAAAUUCUCAUUUUUCAAGAGGGUCCUGAACAAAAGUAAAAUUUCAUUUUUCAAGAGGGUCCUGUAUAGAAAGUAAAAUCUCAUUUUUCAGGAGGGUCCUGAGCAUAAAGUAAAAUCCCAUUUUUCAGGAGGGUCCUGAGCAUAAAGUAAAAUCUCAUUUUUCAGGAGGGUCCUGAGCAUAAAGUAAAAUCCCAUUUUUCAGGAGGGUCCUGAGCAUAAAGUAAAAUCUCAUUUUUCAGGAGGGUCCUGAGCAUAAAGUAAAAUCCCAUUUUUCAGGAGGGUCCUGAGCAGAAAGUAAAAUUCCAUUUUUCAGAAGGGUCUUGUGCAUAAAGUAAAAUCCCAUUUUUCAGGAGGGUCUUGAACAAAAAGUAAAAUCCCAUUUUUCAGGAGGGUCCUGAACAGAGAGUAAAAUCUCAUUUUUCAGGAGGGUCCUGAACAUAAAGUAGAAUCCCCUUUUUCAGGAGGGUCCUGAACAUAAAGUAAAUUUCUAUUUUUCAAGAGGGUCCUGAACAGAAAGUAAAUUUCCAUUUUUCAGGAGGGUCCUGAACUGAAAGUAAAUUCACUGAACAGAACGUAAAAUCCCAUUUUUCAGGAGGGUCCUGAACAGAAAGUAAAUUCCCAUUUUUCAGGAGGGUCCUGAACUGAAAGUAAAUUCUCAUUUUUCAAGAGGGUCCUGAACAAAAGUAAAAUUUCAUUUUUCAAGAGGGUCCUGUAUAGAAAGUAAAAUCUCAUUUUUCAGGAGGGUCCUGAACUGAAAGUAAAUUCCCAUUUUUCAGGAGGGUCCUGAACAUAAAGUAAAAUUACUGAACAGAAAGAAAAUCUAAUUUUUCAGGAGGGUCCUGAACAGAAAGUAAAGUUCCAUUUCAGGAGGGUCCUGUACAUAAAGUAAAAUCCCAUUUUUCAGGAGGGUCCUGGACAUAAAGUAAAAUCCCACGAAUGUGCAUUUCCAAUCGUAGCUGAAUCAAGUGAAAAGAAUUUGCCCCUGUUUCAAUAAAGAAAAUUUGUCAGUUAAAAAAAACUUAGUGGUGGCUUGCAGCUCUUGGCUUCUCAUGUAUCUGCCCCAGCACUCACUCCUUUCAUCUUUGUUCUAAAUUGCUAACACCUGCUCUGUCUUGCUGCAUCAUCGACCCGGAUCCAGAUUGAAGGAAAUGAGUUCUGACUCAAACAAUGGGUUUCCAUUUUACUAUGCCCCUGAGAUGCACUCUUUUCCCAAAUCUGAAUGCUUCUACGAAUCCAAUAGCCUGGCGGUUUAUAGACUUCCUUUGCUUCGUGUUGAAUUACGAUCAUAUUUCUUUCCUGUACUGUUCCUUGGAUUUUCCUUAUAUAAUUGGAAAGACUUGUAGUAAAUUUUGAAAUCCUUUCUCGCUUGUUUUGAGACAGACUUGACUUAAAAUGUAAAGAAAAUGAUGAUGACUUUUAUUUUUGAUAAAUGACAUAAAAGACAAAACAUGAAUAUGUAAAUGAAAGAAAAGGGCAAUGUCCCAUAUUCAAAAAGAAAACUUAUCUAAAUACGACAACCAACGCCAAUGAUUAUGACAUGCAUUUUGGAUUGAGCUGCCUGAUCUUUCUAUCCAAACUCCCCAUUUGUUAUUGAGUUCAUGCCUUUGCUGCUGAGCCAUUUCCUCAAAUCCAUUGGACUCCUACAUCACAUUCGAUUGACGACAUCUUAAAAGAUUUUCGCCAACGAAGCUCUUUCUUCUCACUUUUCACCUUUCUCUUGAACUCUCCAUCGCCUUACAGUGCCCGUGAGGGUUUUCACCAAUAAGACUCUCUCAUUUUAUUUCUCUCCACUCACCAUCGCUUUAUGGUGCCUGCAAAGGUUUUCACCAAUAAGACUCUCUCAUUUUAUUUCUCUCCACUCACCAUCGCCUUAUGGUGCCUACAAAGGUUUUCACCAAUAAGACUUUUCUCUUGAACUCUCCAUCGCCUUACGGUACCCGUGAGGGUUUUUACCAAUAAGACUCUCUCAUUUUUAUUUUCUCUCAACUCACCAUCGCCUUAUGAUGCCCACGGGGGUUUUCACCAAUAAGACUCUCUCAUUUUUAUUUUCUCUCAACUCACCAUCGCCUUAUGAUGCCCACAGGGUUUUUACCAAUAAGAAUCUCAUUUUUGUAUUUCUUUCCUGAUUUUUUAUGCUGAGGGAGACAAGUGGUACUUCACAAUGUAUCAUCAAUAUCCAUUGCAUGCUUAGCCUUAACAUUAUCAAAAAUUGAUCUGAAGGGCUUUCUUUUGUUGUAACUUGGCUUUUGGUUAAGGUUAGAAAAAAUGGUAAGAGGCUCAAAUGAUACUUGAAAUGGGGGUGGGACUUACAACUUUUGGAAUCGACUCAAACUACACAUUAACUCAUGCCCCAGUUUUGUUGACUGGGUGAAUCUUAANNNNNNNNNNNNNNNNNNNNNNNNNNNNNNNNNNNNNNNNNNNNNNNNNNNNNNNNNNNNNNNNNNNNNNNNNNNNNNNNNNNNNNNNNNNNNNNNNNNNNNNNNNNNNNNNNNNNNNNNNNNNNNNNNNNNNNNNNNNNNNNNNNNNNNNNNNNNNNNNNNNNNNNNNNNNNNNNNNNNNNNNNNNNNNNNNNNNNNNNNNNNNNNNNNNNNNNNNNNNNNNNNNNNNNNNNNNNNNNNNNNNNNNNNNNNNNNNNNNNNNNNNNNNNNNNNNNNNNNNNNNNNNNNNNNNNNNNNNNNNNNNNNNNNNNNNNNNNNNNNNNNNNNNNNNNNNNNNNNNNNNNNNNNNNNNNNNNNNNNNNNNNNNNNNNNNNNNNNNNNNNNNNNNNNNNNNNNNNNNNNNNNNNNNNNNNNNNNNNNNNNNNNNNNNNNNNNNNNNNNNNNNNNNNNNNNNNNNNNNNNNNNNNNNNNNNNNNNNNNNNNNNNNNNNNNNNNNNNNNNNNNNNNNNNNNNNNNNNNNNNNNNNNNNNNNNNNNNNNNNNNNNNNNNNNNNNNNNNNNNNNNNNNNNNNNNNNNNNNNNNNNNNNNNNNNNNNNNNNNNNNNNNNNNNNNNNNNNNNNNNNNNNNNNNNNNNNNNNNNNNNNNNNNNNNNNNNNNNNNNNNNNNNNNNNNNNNNNNNNNNNNNNNNNNNNNNNNNNNNNNNNNNNNNNNNNNNNNNNNNNNNNNNNNNNNNNNNNNNNNNNNNNNNNNNNNNNNNNNNNNNNNNNNNNNNNNNNNNNNNNNNNNNNNNNNNNNNNNNNNNNNNNNNNNNNNNNNNNNNNNNNNNNNNNNNNNNNNNNNNNNNNNNNNNNNNNNNNNNNNNNNNNNNNNNNNNNNNNNNNNNNNNNNNNNNNNNNNNNNNNNNNNNNNNNNNNNNNNNNNNNNNNNNNNNNNNNNNNNNNNNNNNNNNNNNNNNNNNNNNNNNNNNNNNNNNNNNNNNNNNNNNNNNNNNNNNNNNNNNNNNNNNNNNNNNNNNNNNNNNNNNNNNNNNNNNNNNNNNNNNNNNNNNNNNNNNNNNNNNNNNNNNNNNNNNNNNNNNNNNNNNNNNNNNNNNNNNNNNNNNNNNNNNNNNNNNNNNNNNNNNNNNNNNNNNNNNNNNNNNNNNNNNNNNNNNNNNNNNNNNNNNNNNNNNNNNNNNNNNNNNNNNNNNNNNNNNNNNNNNNNNNNNNNNNNNNNNNNNNNNNNNNNNNNNNNNNNNNNNNNNNNNNNNNNNNNNNNNNNNNNNNNNNNNNNNNNNNNNNNNNNNNNNNNNNNNNNNNNNNNNNNNNNNNNNNNNNNNNNNNNNNNNNNNNNNNNNNNNNNNNNNNNNNNNNNNNNNNNNNNNNNNNNNNNNNNNNNNNNNNNNNNNNNNNNNNNNNNNNNNNNNNNNNNNNNNNNNNNNNNNNNNNNNNNNNNNNNNNNNNNNNNNNNNNNNNNNNNNNNNNNNNNNNNNNNNNNNNNNNNNNNNNNNNNNNNNNNNNNNNNNNNNNNNNNNNNNNNNNNNNNNNNNNNNNNNNNNNNNNNNNNNNNNNNNNNNNNNNNNNNNNNNNNNNNNNNNNNNNNNNNNNNNNNNNNNNNNNNNNNNNNNNNNNNNNNNNNNNNNNNNNNNNNNNNNNNNNNNNNNNNNNNNNNNNNNNNNNNNNNNNNNNNNNNNNNNNNNNNNNNNNNNNNNNNNNNNNNNNNNNNNNNNNNNNNNNNNNNNNNNNNNNNNNNNNNNNNNNNNNNNNNNNNNNNNNNNNNNNNNNNNNNNNNNNNNNNNNNNNNNNNNNNNNNNNNNNNNNNNNNNNNNNNNNNNNNNNNNNNNNNNNNNNNNNNNNNNNNNNNNNNNNNNNNNNNNNNNNNNNNNNNNNNNNNNNNNNNNNNNNNNNNNNNNNNNNNNNNNNNNNNNNNNNNNNNNNNNNNNNNNNNNNNNNNNNNNNNNNNNNNNNNNNNNNNNNNNNNNNNNNNNNNNNNNNNNNNNNNNNNNNNNNNNNNNNNNNNNNNNNNNNNNNNNNNNNNNNNNNNNNNNNNNNNNNNNNNNNNNNNNNNNNNNNNNNNNNNNNNNNNNNNNNNNNNNNNNNNNNNNNNNNNNNNNNNNNNNNNNNNNNNNNNNNNNNNNNNNNNNNNNNNNNNNNNNNNNNNNNNNNNNNNNNNNNNNNNNNNNNNNNNNNNNNNNNNNNNNNNNNNNNNNNNNNNNNNNNNNNNNNNNNNNNNNNNNNNNNNNNNNNNNNNNNNNNNNNNNNNNNNAGGCUUUGUCAGGAUGUUGGAGCAUUGAAGACAGAGUGGCUAAAGCAUCAGCAAUUUCAUUAUGAAUCCUUGGAAUAUGCCUAAAUUUUACUAACACAAACCGUUGACAUAGCUCCUGCAAGCAUUGUUGAUACGGGAUGAGCUUCAAAUCUCGCGUCUCCCAAUAACCUUGAAUUUGAUGGACGAACAAAUCAGAAUCUCCCAACACUAGUAAUUCCUGGACUCCCAUAUCAACAGCUAACCUCAAACCAAGAAUACAGGCUUCAUACUCUGCCAUAUUAUUAGUACAGUAGAAUCAAAGUUGUGCUGUUACCGGGAAAUGUUGUCCCGACUCAAAGAUAAGAACCGCACCUAUUUCGACCCCUUUCAUAUUGACAGCUCCAUCAAAAAAUAACCUCCAACCAGGAUCAGCAUCUAUAACGACUUCAUCGACACACGACACUUUUUCGUUCGAAAAAUAUGUCUUUAAUGGCUCGUACUCUUCAUCAAUGGGAUUCUCAGCAAGAUGAUCUGCCAGGGCUUGGGUUUUCAUGGUGGUUCGAGUCACAUAUAUAAUGUUGAACUCGGUAAGCAAUAUUUUCCACUUUGCCAAUCGACCCGUUGGCAUAGGCUUCUGAAAAUCAAAGGAUCCAUGCGGGAGAUGAGAUAAGUAGUAUAGGAUGAGAGAUAAUGCUUCAACUUCUGUGCUAUCCAAGUUAGGGCACAACACGUCCUUUCAAGAAGAGUAUACCUGGCCUUAUAUGCGGUGAACUUCUUGCUAAGAUAAUAAAUAGCCGGCUCUUUUUUGCCUGUUACAUCAUGUUGACCCAAGACACAACCGAAAGAAUUUUUCAUGACUGAUAAAUAUAAGAUCAAAGGCCUACCAGGCUCUGAGGGUACCAGCACGGGUGGAUUUGACAAAUAUCUUUUGAUUCGAUCGAACGCUUCCUGACAUUCUUUAGUCCAUUUUACCGCAGCACUCUUUUUCAGCAACUUGAAUAUGGGCUCACAAGUGGUUGUGAGUUGAGCAAUAAACCUGCUAAUGUAUUUCAGUCUACCAAAUAAACUCAUCACCUCCGUUCUAUUCUUGGGCGGGGGCAAAUCCUGAAUGGCUUUGAUUUUCGAGGGAUCCAAUUCAAUUCCUUGACGGCUGACUACAAACCCCAACAGCUUUCCAGAUGGAACUCCAAAGACAUAUUUCGCCGGGUUGAGUUUGAGAUUAUACCUGCGAAGCCUUUCAAAGAACUUUCUUAAAUCUUUAACGUGGUUGGCCUGAAUUUUUGACUUAAUAAUCACAUCAUCCACGUAGACCUCAAUCUCCUUAUGCAUCAUAUCAUGAAAUAUAGUGGUCAUGGCUCUCAUGUAUGUUGCUCCAGCAUUCUUCAAACUGAACGGCAUCACUCGAUAACAAUAAGUUCCCCAUGGUAUGAUAAAAGAUGUCUUCUUCACGUCUUCAUCAUCCAUAAUGAUCUGGUGAUAUACGGCAUAGCAAUCCACAAAAGAGGCGACCUCAUGUUAGCACAGUUUUCUAACGAAAUGUGAAUGUUGGGCAGUGGAAAAUCAUCUUUUGGACUUGCUCUGUUCAAAUCACGGUAAUCAAUACACACUCAAAUUUUGCCAUCUUUCUUUGGUACGGGAACAACAUUGGAUAACCAUAUGGGAUAGCNNNNNNNNNNNNNNNNNNNNNNNNNNNNNNNNNNNNNNNNNNNNNNNNNNNNNNNUACUUACAUCUAUUUUAAACUUCCUCAACUUCUGUUUGACAGGAGGGAAUGCGGGAUCAGUUGGCAAUUUGUGAGCCACUAAUUCAGUGCUUAAAUUAGGCAUAUCAUCAUAAGACCAUGCAAAAACAUCCUUAUAAUCAAUUAAUGCUUGAAUCAUUUCACCUUUUAGCUGUGGCAAAAAAUGUACACUAAUUUUAGUUUCCCUAACAUCUUCUUGAUCCCCUAGAUUUAUUGGCUCAGUAUCAUUCAAAUUAGGAUUCGGUUUGUCUUCAAAUUGUUCCAACUCUUUGCUUAUUUCUUUUAAUGCUUCUUAUUCAUCAUAUUCUCCAUCCUGCUUCAUUACAUCUUGCUUAGUUUGGAUUUUAAGAUCAGGCUGAAAAUUUCGCAUGCAUGUCAUGUCAUUAGAAUCAGCAUAAAGAGAACUGUGUAAAAAAAGAAAAAUAAAAUAUAUUAGACACGAAAUAAAAGGGACAUUGCAUUUCAUUAAAUAGAAAGAUAGAAGGGUUUAAACCUAGAUACCAACAUAACAUAAACAAACUAAAAUCUGAAUUACAACCCUGAAAUAACUCGGAUAAACAGAAAGAAAAACAAAAUAAACUACCAAAACUCCCUCCUGACGGGGAGAGGAGUGACUUCCCAAUUAUUGAGCCGGACAGCUGGACCUAUGAAUUACACGUCUGCCAUACUGGUACCUUCUCCUGCUUCAACCAUAUCGACUUCAAUACAAAGGUUCUGGAAGUCAUCAACCAAUUCAACCUCAAAUUCCACAUGCUUCGUGACACCGCUCUUAACAAAUGAUUCACUGAGUAGUGGCAUUGGGCNNNNNNNNNNNNNNNNNNNNNNNNNNNNNNNNNNNNNNNNNNNNNNNNNNNNNAGCUGUAGGCUCAAAUCCCAGACCAAACGUGCCCACGUUCUCACUCGAACAUAUGGGAUGAACUAUACCGUGCAGAGAUGCUCCCAAACCCUUUCCUGGCUCAAAUCCGUAUUUCCAAAGUUCACUCACCAUCAUGAUAGAAGCAGAAGACAAUUGCGAUCCCGAUAUAGCCUGCCAUUCAAGGAUACGAUUCACUUGCACUGCAUAAAAAAUUUGAUAGACGAAUGUCUCCUCUACGCUAUUUGCUUCAAUAAGAGACAAGGAAGAAUCUUCGUAGGCUAAAAAAUCUCCUUCACCAUGAAUAACUACUUCUUUCCUGUCAUGAUCAAACUUAAUCAUUUGGUGCAGUGUAGAUGCAACCGCCUUGGCCUUGUGGAUCCACGGCCUUCCCAACAACAGAUUGUAAGAGGAUUCUACCUUCAAUACUUGAAACUCUAUGGCAAAAUCAACAGGCCCUAUGGUCAACAUUAGUUCUAUUUCGCCAAUGGAAUUUGAUUUUGCACCAUCGAAAGCCCUAACACAUACAUUGUUGGGCCUGAUCCUGUCAGCACCAAUAUUCAACUUUUGCAAAGUAGAAAUAGGGCAAAUAUUUGCACCUGAACCUCCAUCAAUCAUAACAUGAGUGACGUAGAAAUCUUCACACUUCACUGUAAUGUAAAGGCCCCGGUUAUGCCCUGUACCUUCAACAGGCAAUUCCUUAUCAGAAAAGCUGAUCCGAUUGACCUCAAAGAUUUUUCCAACCAUUUUCUCAAGAUGGUUGAUUGUAAUCUCCCUUGGAAUAUAUGCUUUAUUUAAUACCUUCAGUAAAACAUCACGAUGCUCUUUGGAGUGCAACAACAAAGAUAAAAGGGAAAUUUGAGCAGAGGUCUUUUUCAACUGGUUUAAUAUUGAAUACUCUGGCAACUUCAUCUUCUUCAAAAAUUCUUUGGCUUCCUCUUCGGUGAUAGGAUUUUUGAGAGAUGAAGGUCUACUCAUCGUUGGCUUGGACUUUCUUAAGCUUUCAGGCACGAAGCAUCUUCCUGACCUAGUCAAACCCCCUACCUCAUCUACAUCUUCAACAACUUCUUUCCCGUGAUAGGUCAUCACAGUCCGCCCAUAAUUCCAGGGAACUUUUUUCGUAUCAACUAUCGGAGGUUGGGUCACCGAUUUGAGAACAGUAGGCGCUGCCAGUGCUCCUCUCACCGUCAAGAUGGGCUGACUCAGGGCUCUCACCACUGUCAACUUAGGUUUAUCCUGGCUUAAAUCAACAUACCCUCUGGCGCCUUGUACUGUGAUCAGGGGCUUCUUUGUGCUUUCAAGGGCUUUAUCUUCGCUCAUUCCAUCCUGGCUCAAUGACAUUGCUUUCAAAGAUUCUGCUACAUUCACCGAUUUUUCCUUAAUGGUCUGUAUCUUGACAGUAGGCUUAUAACCCCUUGAAGAUUCUUUCCCAUUAUAUAUCAAUUCUAACAUAUUGGCUUCAGCAUGGGUUGGCAAUGGAUUCUGGUUAAUGUUUGGACCCUCCGGGGCCUGGACCAGCAUCUGAUAUGUGUCAAUUAAAUCUUGGACAGCUCUCUUUAAAUGCCAGCAUUUUUUGAUAGCAUGGCCUGGCAUAUCAGAACAGUAUGCACACCUUAAAGAAUAAUCGAGAUUCCUCGGUGGUGGAUUUGAAAGCCUUUCUUGAAUUGGGCUUAAAACCUUCAACUUUCUCAACCUAUCAAACAAGCUAGCAUAUGACUCCCCAAGAGGUGUGAAUUGAUUUUUGACCGCCUUCUCCUUCUUAUACUCGGGCCUAGGCUGAAAAAUGGGUCUGGAGGGGGUUUGGUAAUUUGGUGGACCGAAUGGGCAAUUUUGUAGAGCUUGCGCGCGCCAUUGCGGGUAAGAAGGGGUUUGGGCAUAUGGUUGCACGCUAUAUACUGGGUACGGAGGUGGUGGAAUGGAAUAUAAAGGGUUUUAUAAGGGGUAGUAAUGGUGGGAAGGAAUAUAUGGAGCUUGGGCGUAGACUUGGGCUUGGGAUUGGGGAUAGGGGCGAGGUGGUCUUUUGGGAUAGGAAUGGGUUCCAGCUACGACAGUCGCNNNNNNNNNNNNNNNNNNNNNNNNNNNNNNNNNNNNNNNNNNNNNNNNNNNNNNNNNNNNNNNNNNNNNNNNNNNNNNNNNNNNNNNNNNNNNNNNNNNNNNNNNNNNNNNNNNNNNNNNNNNNNNNNNNNNNNNNNNNNNNNNNNNNNNNNNNNNNNNNNNNNNNNNNNNNNNNNNNNNNNNNNNNNNNNNNNNNNNNNNNNNNNNNNNNNNNNNNNNNNNNNNNNNNNNNNNNNNNNNNNNNNNNNNNNNNNNNNNNNNNNNNNNNNNNNNNNNNNNNNNNNNNNNNNNNNNNNNNNNNNNNNNNNNNNNNNNNNNNNNNNNNNNNNNNGGCUUUUAAUGCGGCAAAACUCACUAUUCGGCCGGUCUUAAUUCCAUCCUCUAUCAUCUCCCCCAUUUUAAGGACUUCCAUAAAAGACUUUCCCAUUGCCGGAAGUAAAUAUUGAAAAUAGGUCUCAUCCUGCGCCUGAAUGAAAACUUCUACCAACUUACUUUCUUUCAUUGGAGGCUUUACCCUGGCAUCCUGCUCACGCCACCUUAUCGCGUAUUCCCUAAAACCUUCAGUGCUCUUCUUCUUCAUGUUGACCAAGGAUUUUUCGUCCGAAAUCAGGUCGAUAUUGUACUAAAAAUGUUGAACAAAUUCAAAAGCCAAAUCAUCCCAGCUAUUUCAUUUAUCGAUGUCUCAAUCGAUAAACCAUUCUGAGGCCAGAUCUGAAAGACUCUCGCCAAAGAAAGCCAUGAGAAGUUCUUCCUUUCCUCCUGCAGCCCUCAACUGGUUGCAAUAAUGUCUUAAGUGUGCCACGAGAUCGUCGUAUCUUGCAUACUUCUCGAACUUAGGCAUCUUAAAAUCGGGGGGAAGGUUGAUGUCUGGGAACAUGCAAAGAUCUUUAUAGGAAACACUCCUAUAAUCUCUGAUUCCUUGUAAAUUUCUCAUCACUUGUUCUAAACUUUUCAAUUUCCGGGCUAUGAUAUUAUGUUCCUCUGCUGCGACAGAUUUCUCCGUAUCAAAUGGAAAUGCAGGCGACUGAGUGUACCCAUACGAUUCAUUCAUCUGCAAAGUAGGCUCCGGGGCAUAAUACUGACUAUCUGAAGCCUUCAGUACUGGCUCACUGGCAGACCUAGGAAGCCUCAUUGUGGAACGCACAGCAUAUAUGGGAGUUUCAUGUGGUGGCGGAGCCACGAAUACUGGUGUGAUCGGUGGCGCUGGCUGAGUAGCUGGUCUUAAUUGGGGAGCUGCCAAGGGCACACCAGAACUGCCAGGAUAAUAAUUUCUCGGAGUGAAUCCUGGCGCGUGUUCAGGUGACUCAGUAGGAGCAGAGAAUUGCGCCUGAGAGAGCGGUGGGCAAUUAGAGAUAUUCCCAAGACCUUCAGGGAGUGGAGGAGGAGGCAUUCCGCUGGCCCAUGCCCGGUGUAAAUCUAUCAAUUGUAGCCUGAUCCUUACUACCUCAUCAUUGUGUUCAGAAUUUCUUUCCUGUGAUCCUGAUCCGGGUCAAUGAGCGAAUUUUUAAUCUCCCUGCUAGCCAUGGAGAGCUUUGCUUUGGAUCUAGUGAAGUAUGGGUGACUGGCCAAAGUGCUGCAAACCUACCACUGUUAUCUGAAAGAACAUGCUCAUCAAAGACAACAUUCGUUAGGAUUAGGGCACACAACAAACAUGGGAAUCACAUUGGUAAAAUUGUCCUAAAUUCAUGUUCAUUUCUACCAGCUUUUGAGGGUAGCGAGGUCAUUUUAACAUCAUCCUGAUUUUGUCUACACUUAUUUUUUUUAUCUACACUUAUUAUUAUUAUUAUUAUUAUUCGUAUCCAUCUCUGUCUUUUCCGUUCUCUCUUUAUCUACCUUUAUUUUAUCAUUCUUUAUGUCUUUUGUUAAACUAUGAUUAACAAAGAAAAAUCUUUUGGGAUUUUUGAUUUUGAAUUUCAUAGAAAAAUGAAACUUGAAACUAUUAAAGAAAAAUCUUUUUGUAGUUUUCUUUUAGAGAUGUAUAUGAAACACCUACUCUAAGCGAAGAGUGAAGAAAAUCUUUUUGAAUUUUCAGAUUUCUAUACAAAAUGAAAUCUAUGAUUACCGAAAAAAUAUUUUUGGAUUUUUAUUUUGAAUUUCAUUCGAAAAAUAAAACCUGAACCUAUUAAAGGGAAAUAUUUUUUUUGUUGUUUUCUUUUAAAGAUGUACAUGAAACACCUACUCUAAAUGAAGAGUGAAGAAAAUCUUUUUGAAUUUUUGAAAUAAGAUCAACCAAAAAUGAAACCUACGCCUAUUCAGGAAAAUCUCUUUUUUUUUCUCUUUUUUUUUUUCUUUUCAAGAUAUGUAUGAAACACCUACUCUAAAUAAAGAGUGAAGAAAAAUCUUUUUUAAAAAAAAAAAUAAGAUCCCCGAACCAACAAUAGGCUGCCUAUAUAUCUCACAUCCCGAAAGAGGUAAAUUAGGGGAGCGUAGUUCAUCCAGAUUGAACAAUUAACGAUUAACUACUAAAUUGACCCUAACUUAAGAGACACAAUCGAAAAACUUUUUGGAUUUUCAACUAGACAUUUCAACUAAGACUGACACCACCAAUUGUGAAAAAAACUUUUUGGUAUUUUGUUUUUGACAAAUAAGUAGAAAAGGCAAACAAAACCCUCUUUUAUUCAUUUUUUUUAUUAUGAAUUUUUUGAAUUUACGGUACUUUGCGAAGACAAAUGCAAAACGUAAAAAAAAUCAUUUUGGAUUUUGGAUUGUGAAAAACAAAAGUCAUAACGAAUUCUAAAAUAAACUAUGACAUUCCUCUUUUUUUUUUAAUUCUUUUCGACUCACUUUUUCUAUUUUUUUUUCUUUGUUUUAACCACGGUCGCUAGGUAGGGUGUAUCGACUAUUUUGACACUACGAAAUGUAUAAACCACACAGAGGCACGUAAAACAAUCAAAUGAUAAACAAAACAAAAACAAUCCAAAAUGUAAUGUCCAGUCCAAUUAUACAGUCCGGGGUAUGAAAAGAAAUGCAGAAAUAUAAACCUAUGCUAAAUUAAUUCUAAACUAAUGUUCUACCCGAUGCCUCGGGCCUUCAUCACGAACGUCCUCCGGAUACAUGAUACCUCGGGGGCAAUAAAUAUAUACAAAUACUUUGGGGCAUUCCCCGGCCAAAUUAUACAAUUGAAUCUCAAUGCAUAAAUCAGAACCAUUCCACAAAUAUUUCAAACAUUCCAACAAUCCAUCAAUUCUAAAUUUUGCCUACCCGAACCUACCUUCGCCUAUCUAUUUGAUCCAAAUGUGAUAUUAUCAAAACUUAACAAAUCCAACGCCUAAUUUACAACAAAACAAACAUCAAUCAAUCAAUACGAAUAAAUCACAUUAAUUUUUCUAUCCGUUUCCCAUUCUCACCUCGAUUUUGUUAACUAAUUACCGAUUUCAAUUAUCCACAAGAUAUCGUUUUCAUCCAAAUUGCACCGUUCGAGAUCAAUCAUUCAACACAAACACAUAUCGCAGCAAAUCAAUCCAAAAAUCACAAAACACAGUCACAUGGAAUUUAAGAAAAAUAGAGUUAGAAAUUGGACCUUUCGGGAUCAAAGUGUUGUUUCGAUUAAAUAAGAUGAACCAACGGACCAAAACCGGGAAAACCUCAACUCGAGCAAUCUCAACCUUGAACGAUGCCAAUCGAACAAUCCUCAAUACGAACCCCAAAACCACCAAACAACGAGAUGAAUCAACCAUGAAAACCCCCUAAGAAAUCUGAUUUGAACGCAGUUUCUUGAAGAAGACGAAUCUCGAAAACAACACACAUAAAAAUCCAAGCGGAAUACCAACACAUAUACGAUUCAAAAGGAAUUUUGGGAAAGAUUGAUUUCUGGUGACGUCGUUUUCCGAUUGCUUUUUGCCAGAACAACGAUAAACCGUCAUUGGGCGUCUUCCGAUGGCUGACCGGAUGAAAUUUUGAUGGAUUUCCCGUGAGAUACUUUCCGUUAAUCGAUCCCUCUAUUUUUUCCUCUCUCUCUCAUGCCCAAUCUCUCUUAAUUUCCUCCAAUUUCCAUCCUCUCUCUUCAAUCAUACUCCAACUCAAUCCCCUCAAACUUAUGUCUCAAUCUCUCUGAAUUUUCCACCUUUCACUAUGUGCGUGGGCGCCUAUGUUAGUGUGUUUGUUAUGACUGUGUGUUUGUGUAUAUCGAUGGAUGUGCGAGUGAUGAGUGAUGAAUGAAAUAAAAGUAAGAAGAUGAGUGUGUGUCCCCUGUGUGUAACGAAAAAUGGCUUUUUGUGAGGUGAGUCCCGUCUGUGUAUGAGUGUGUGAAUAGAAUUGAGAAUGGUGUUGUUGUGUUUGGGAGCCCAGAAGCCCAAGAAGAAGAAAAGAAUGGUGUCUCCCCCCCCCCCCCUUUUUUAAAAAAAAAAUCUCCUCAUAUGGUCCCUUUGUGUGUGUAUAUAUGCUGUGAGGUUAGGUAGGUGGGGUCACGUGGGGUAGGGUGUAGGGUAUGAUGUGGUUUAUUUUGAUUGGAUGGAUUGUUAGGAUAAGAUGUAGGGGUUAGGAUAGGAUAGGAUUUGUUAGGGAGUUUGUUAUUUUUUUGUAUUUUGUGAGGGUAUAAUAACAUGGGUGAGGGUACAUGGUAGGAUAAAAUAAAAACGGGUAAAAGUGAAUAAAAAUUGAACUUUUAAGGUAAAAAUGGGUAAAACGACAACGGGGAGGGAUGAAAUUAGGUGUCUACAAACACAGUAACCAAUUCACACAUACACCAUCCCAUUGACAAAAAAAAAGCCACCAAUACUCUCACUGACCCCUCAAAACCAAAAUAUACACAUAACACUCAUCCUCACUGAGAUCACACACACAAUCUCAAUUCAUACAUACCAUUUAUGAAUUCCGCUCUCACACAGUUUGUACACACAUACAAAAGGAAAUCAAAAAAGAGAAGAGAGAGAAGUGAAUUAGACUAAAAGAAAAUAUAUUGAGGGCUCAAAGGUUCGAGUAAGAGAGAGCUCAGCCAUUGAGAGAAUGACAGGGAGAGAAAUCGGUCAUGCUACUCUAAUUUUUCGGUGAAACUUCACCGGAAUUCGGUGCCACCGGCGAGCCUGAUACACCCACCAGCUGCCAUAUACCAUCCUGCCGCCUCUGAACCACCAGAGCACUGUGACCAUCGAGAAUACCCCAAAUCUGAUCCAAACUCGACUAGUUCGUCUUUCUUCGUCACGAUUUCGGUAUGCUCAAUUUCUGUUUGAGUCUUUGGGUUACUAUACUGAGUUGGUGUCGAUCAUUUUAAAGUUUUCUUGUCGUCCGUCUAGUGUCGGGUUGCCAUCCGUCGUCGAUUUGUUUCAAUCUAGGUUUAUUUUGCUUUUGGAUUUCGAGAUCGAAAUUCCAUCUUCGAGGGUUUUAUUGCUUCUGUUUGAAGUUAUUGGUUAGGCAGUAUAUAUUGAAUUUGCGGUCUUGGAUUCAAAUCUAUUAGGAAUUCAUGAUAUCGAGUUGGUCGAGUUGUCGAGGUUGAUUUGGGGUUCUUCGGCACGUGGAUUCACCCCCUCGUUUGAUUGAUAUUUGGAAUAAAAUCAUCAUUGAGGUCUGUUUCUACUCAUUUCCUCUUUUUUAUUUCAUUGUUAAUGGUAUAUGGUACAUUAGAUUAAUUAGCUGUGAAUGUGAUUAGGUGGUUGUUGAUCAUGAUUGUUUGAUUUUGUUGAUGUUUAUGCUUUUGAUAAUGAAAUUCGAGUGAUGUUGAGUUGUUUAAUUUCGUGAAUCAAAAAAUGAUUAAGGAUAGUUGAAUUGGUGAUUACGAAUUGUGGAAUUUGAUAUUAAAAGAGAAUUUGGGGUGGAAUUUUGAGAUUGAUGAAAAGGGUCAAUUUGGAUUAAUGUUGGUCUUCUUGUUGUUUAAUGCGGAAUUAAUUUCAAGUUUGUGAAUUCUAUAGUGUCAUGAUAGGUAAAAUGGGAUAGACAAAUAUUUAGGUUCGGGUAGGCAAAAAUUUAGGAUUGAUGUAUUGAUUGAAUGGGUUGAAUAUUUAGAUGUAUGUUUUGAACCUUUUUUUAGUUAUCUCAGAUGUAUUCAUUUGGCCGGGGAAUGCCCCGAGGUAUUUGUGUUCAUUUGCUGGGGAAUGCCCCGAAGUAUCAUGUACUGGAAGAUAGCACACGUUCAAGGCCAGGAACGACGGGUGGAGUUUAAUUCAGGAGUAGUUAGGGAUAGUUCGGAAUAGAAUAGAUUUACAUUUUUGCAUUUUUCAUUAUUCGAUACUGUAUAAUUGGACUGGACACUAUAUUUUUUAUUCGUUUUGUUUUGUUUGUUUUUUGAUUGUUUUACAUGUUUUUGUGUGGUUUGUACAUUCAUAGUGUCAAAUUAGCCGAUAUCCUCCACCAAGCGAUCGUGGUCAAAAGAUGGGACUGAGGGGUGCCUAACACCUUCCCCUCGGUCAACAAAGUUCCUUAGCCAGAAUCUCUGUUCGCAAACUAGUUUAAAGAGUCAAAUAAUUUUGAAAAGGAUUUUCCAAUGGUGACUUGGCACACCAGAUUAUGCCAAGUGGAGACUCUGAUUUCAAAUGUAAAGACAAUCCUUCUUCGAAACAAAUCAUUUUCUUUUGUCACUUAAUAAUAAAAAUCCUUUUCAAACUUAAAACGAAUCAUUUGGAGUACGAAAAGGGGUGUGACAGCUCUGGAGACUCUGCUGGGGAACCUUUUCAGAAUUUGAGUUUAUUUUUUUGGAGUUGAAUUGGCUUAGUUUGACAUUAUGGGUGCGUAAACAUUGUUUGUGUUAUCAUUUGUUGUUUAUUUUAUCAUUGUUGAGUGCCUACGUGCUCUUUGUUUACAGUUUUUCUCUUAUGUGUUACCGCUUUAUAAAAUCCAGUUUAAGCAUGAACAUUGAAUCAAAGGGUUAAAGUUAGAAAAAGAGAGCAUCUGAGAAAAUAGAUAGAGUGCUGAGGCAUUUGGUGAUCAAGUUGAAGCCUUCUUUGAAAAUUAAGGCUAUUAUUUUGAGAAUCGUGAGAAUAACUUGGUCAUCAAUUGAAAGACAUAUCUCAAUUAGGUCAAGUAUUGAAUGUGUGAUCCUAUAUCAAAAGGAACAGGAAGAAAAUUAGCUCCACGAAGUCAUGAGUCCUUCAGCAUGAGGAAUGUACAACAAAGUGGAGUUGUAUACUGGGCAAGUGUAGGAAAAGAAAUGGCACACAUGCUCGGGGCAAGUUAGUGUUGUAAAAUAUUUCAUAAGUGAUCUUGAUCGUGCACUUUUGCAUUGCAUGCUAUGUAGUAGCAUUUUCAAGAAUUGAUAUGACGAAGACAUUUUAUUCUGCUAUCCAAACAUUGUAUCAUCCUUUGUCUACCCCAUUUGGGCCUUAGUUUUAUUUUCUUUCAUACUCCUCUUUUGGAAUCAGGAUAGAGUUUGCAACGUCCAAGAAACAGUGUCGAAAAAAAAGAGGUCAGAAAAUUUUCAAAAAAGAGACAAAAUAGGUCCAAAAAGAAAGAAAAGAAGAGUGUGUCAAGAAAAUGGAGUCAGAAAAAGAAUCUCAAAGAGAAAAGAUCCAAUAAAAGAAAAAAGAAAAAAAAAUCAGAUCAAAAGAAAGAACAAGUUGCCAGAACUACGCAUGGCCUGAUUCUCCUCUCUCAAGGGUGAGAUACGUAAGUUGCCCUACUCAGAGCUCGGUCCAACCAAAUAAGCAAUUUAGAAUUGCCCAGGCAAAAGAAACCAGGGCAUGAGUUGAUCCUCAUUAUUUGAGUCGAUUCCAAAAGUUGUAAGUCUCACCCCACUUCAAGUGUCGCUUGGGCCCCAUGUCAUCCUUUCUUUCUAACCCUAUCCAAAAGUCAAGUUACAACAAAAGAAAGACCUUUGGAUCUAUCUUUGAGAAUGUUAAGUCAAAGCAUGCAAUGGAUGUGAUGACACAUUUUAGGAACUACUCGUCUUCCUCUACAUAAGAAAUCAGGAGAGAAAUAAAAAUGAGAGAGUCUAAUUGGUGAAAACCCUCAUGGGCACCAUAAGGUGAUGGUAAGCAGAUAAAAAUGAGAGGGUCUUAAUGGUGAAAACCCUCACGGGCACCAUAAGGUGAUUGUGAGUUGAGAGAAAAAUGAGAGAGGCUUGUUAGCAAAAAUCCUUCAAUGUGCCACUAGCCGAAUGAGUUCUUCGAAUGCAAUGGGUUCAAGCAAGUAACUUAGUUUCAGAGCCAUUAACUCAAAAACAAUUGGUAGAAAGUUUGGAUGGAAAGAUCAAGCAUCUUGAUCCAAAAUGCAUGGCAUAAUCAUUAGAGUUAUUCAAAUGGGGACAUUCAUUGUCUUUUCUUUCUUUUCUUUAUUUUUGUUUUAUUUUUCUUGAGUCAGUUAUCCAAAUAAAAAAUUAUUGUCAUUUUUCUCUUGUUUUUGAGUCAAGUCCAUGUCAAAACAAGUGAGAAAAGAUUUUAAAAUUGGCUACCAUCUUCUUCAAUUGCAAAGAGCGAGACAAAAGACCAACACAUGAAAAAGACAUAAUUGUAAGCCGAAAUAAGGCAUACAAAAAAUCCUGUCAACAAACAAGUCUGGGAACUCAUGGAAAUACCAAAUUUCAAAGGGUUUAUCUGAAGAGCUUGGCAAAGCAAAGAUACUGUGUUUGUUUCAAAGUCACUCUUAAUAAUCUGAGUUUUGGUCAAUGAUGCAUCAAGUCAAUGAUAUAUGUAAUAGUUGGAAGGAAUAAUGCGGCAAAGGCGAUCUCCGCAAAAACUAAAGCCAUAAAUCAACCACCAUGUUUCAAACUAACAAGUUUUCUUUGAUGAAAUAGGAAACAUACUACCUUCAAAGCAAUAACUUCAGAGCAUGAACAUCAAGGGCUGCAAAGAGUCACAUUUACAAAUGCAAGAAGCAAUGUUGCUGCACAGGUUUGAUAAUAAAAUCAUGGUAAAGAUUUAUCAUCCUAUAUCCCUCGGAGACACACUUGUUAAGGGAUUUCAGUUUUCAUUUGUUAGGUGAUACACUUUUUAAAUUGAAAUUUGAUUUCUAUAAGACGUACCUUUUAGUCGAGUCAUCUCCCUUGAUUCCUAGAAGACGUACCUUUUAGUCGAGUCAUCUCUCUUGAUUCCUAUAAGACAUACCUUUUGCCAGUCAUCUCCCUUGAUUCAUAGAAGACGUACCUUUUAGUCAAGUCAUCCCCCUUGAUUCUUAUAAAACGUACCUUUUAGUCGAGUCAUCCCCCAUGAUUCCCAUAAGACGAAUCUUUUAGUCGAGUCAUCCCCCAUGAUUACCAUAAGACGUACCUUUUAGUCGAGUCAUCCCCCUUGACCCUUAGAAGACGUACCUUUUAGUCGAGUCAUUCCUUUUGAUUCCUAUAAGAUGUACAUUUUAGUCGAGUCAUUUUCUUUGAUUCCUAUAAGACGUACCUUUUAGUCGAGUCAUUCCCUUUGAUUCUUAUAAGACGUACCUUUUAGUCGAGUCAUUCCCUUUGAUUCUUAUAAGACGUACCUUUUAGUCGAGUCAUUUCCUUUGAUUCCUAUAAGACGUACCUUUUAGUCGNNNNNNNNNNNNNNNNNNNNNNNNNNNNNNNNNNNNNNNNNNNNNNNNNNNNNNNNNNNNNNNNNNNNNNNNNNNNNNNNNNNNNNNNNNNNNNNNNNNNNNNNNNNNNNNNNNNNNNNNNNNNNNNNNNNNNNNNNNNNNNNNNNNNNNNNNNNNNNNNNNNNNNNNNNNNNNNNNNNNNNNNNNNNNNNNNNNNNNNNNNNNNNNNNNNNNNNNNNNNNNNNNNNNNNNNNNNNNNNNNNNNNNNNNNNNNNNNNNNNNNNNNNNNNNNNNNNNNNNNNNNNNNNNNNNNNNNNNNNNNNNNNNNNNNNNNNNNNNNNNNNNNNNNNNNNNNNNNNNNNNNNNNNNNNNNNNNNNNNNNNNNNNNNNNNNNNNNNNNNNNNNNNNNNNNNNNNNNNNNNNNNNNNNNNNNNNNNNNNNNNNNNNNNNNNNNNNNNNNNNNNNNNNNNNNNNNNNNNNNNNNNNNNNNNNNNNNNNNNNNNNNNNNNNNNNNNNNNNNNNNNNNNNNNNNNNNNNNNNNNNNNNNNNNNNNNNNNNNNNNNNNNNNNNNNNNNNNNNNNNNNNNNNNNNNNNNNNNNNNNNNNNNNNNNNNNNNNNNNNNNNNNNNNNNNNNNNNNNNNNNNNNNNNNNNNNNNNNNNNNNNNNNNNNNNNNNNNNNNNNNNNNNNNNNNNNNNNNNNNNNNNNNNNNNNNNNNNNNNNNNNNNNNNNNNNNNNNNNNNNNNNNNNNNNNNNNNNNNNNNNNNNNNNNNNNNNNNNNNNNNNNNNNNNNNNNNNNNNNNNNNNNNNNNNNNNNNNNNNNNNNNNNNNNNNNNNNNNNNNNNNNNNNNNNNNNNNNNNNNNNNNNNNNNNNNNNNNNNNNNNNNNNNNNNNNNNNNNNNNNNNNNNNNNNNNNNNNNNNNNNNNNNNNNNNNNNNNNNNNNNNNNNNNNNNNNNNNNNNNNNNNNNNNNNNNNNNNNNNNNNNNNNNNNNNNNNNNNNNNNNNNNNNNNNNNNNNNNNNNNNNNNNNNNNNNNNNNNNNNNNNNNNNNNNNNNNNNNNNNNNNNNNNNNNNNNNNNNNNNNNNNNNNNNNNNNNNNNNNNNNNNNNNNNNNNNNNNNNNNNNNNNNNNNNNNNNNNNNNNNNNNNNNNNNNNNNNNNNNNNNNNNNNNNNNNNNNNNNNNNNNNNNNNNNNNNNNNNNNNNNNNNNNNNNNNNNNNNNNNNNNNNNNNNNNNNNNNNNNNNNNNNNNNNNNNNNNNNNNNNNNNNNNNNNNNNNNNNNNNNNNNNNNNNNNNNNNNNNNNNNNNNNNNNNNNNNNNNNNNNNNNNNNNNNNNNNNNNNNNNNNNNNNNNNNNNNNNNNNNNNNNNNNNNNNNNNNNNNNNNNNNNNNNNNNNNNNNNNNNNNNNNNNNNNNNNNNNNNNNNNNNNNNNNNNNNNNNNNNNNNNNNNNNNNNNNNNNNNNNNNNNNNNNNNNNNNNNNNNNNNNNNNNNNNNNNNNNNNNNNNNNNNNNNNNNNNNNNNNNNNNNNNNNNNNNNNNNNNNNNNNNNNNNNNNNNNNNNNNNNNNNNNNNNNNNNNNNNNNNNNNNNNNNNNNNNNNNNNNNNNNNNNNNNNNNNNNNNNNNNNNNNNNNNNNNNNNNNNNNNNNNNNNNNNNNNNNNNNNNNNNNNNNNNNNNNNNNNNNNNNNNNNNNNNNNNNNNNNNNNNNNNNNNNNNNNNNNNNNNNNNNNNNNNNNNNNNNNNNNNNNNNNNNNNNNNNNNNNNNNNNNNNNNNNNNNNNNNNNNNNNNNNNNNNNNNNNNNNNNNNNNNNNNNNNNNNNNNNNNNNNNNNNNNNNNNNNNNNNNNNNNNNNNNNNNNNNNNNNNNNNNNNNNNNNNNNNNNNNNNNNNNNNNNNNNNNNNNNNNNNNNNNNNNNNNNNNNNNNNNNNNNNNNNNNNNNNNNNNNNNNNNNNNNNNNNNNNNNNNNNNNNNNNNNNNNNNNNNNNNNNNNNNNNNNNNNNNNNNNNNNNNNNNNNNNNNNNNNNNNNNNNNNNNNNNNNNNNNNNNNNNNNNNNNNNNNNNNNNNNNNNNNNNNNNNNNNNNNNNNNNNNNNNNNNNNNNNNNNNNNNNNNNNNNNNNNNNNNNNNNNNNNNNNNNNNNNNNNNNNNNNNNNNNNNNNNNNNNNNNNNNNNNNNNNNNNNNNNNNNNNNNNNNNNNNNNNNNNNNNNNNNNNNNNNNNNNNNNNNNNNNNNNNNNNNNNNNNNNNNNNNNNNNNNNNNNNNNNNNNNNNNNNNNNAAAGGAUUUUCCAAUGGUGACUUGGCACACCAGAUUAUGCCAAGUGGAGACUCUGAUUUCAAAUGUAAAGACAAUCCUUCUUCGAAACAAAUCAUUUUCUUUUGUCACUUAAUAAUAAAAAUCCUUUUCAAACUUAAAACGAAUCAUUUGGAGUACGAAAAGGGGUGUGACAGCUCUGGAGACUCUGCUGGGGAACCUUUUCAGAAUUUGAGUUUAUUUUUUUGGAGUUGAAUUGGCUUAGUUUGACAUUAUGGGUGCGUAAACAUUGUUUGUGUUAUCAUUUGUUGUUUAUUUUAUCAUUGUUGAGUGCCUACGUGCUCUUUGUUUACAGUUUUUCUCUUAUGUGUUACCGCUUUAUAAAAUCCAGUUUAAGCAUGAACAUUGAAUCAAAGGGUUAAAGUUAGAAAAAGAGAGCAUCUGAGAAAAUAGAUAGAGUGCUGAGGCAUUUGGUGAUCAAGUUGAAGCCUUCUUUGAAAAUUAAGGCUAUUAUUUUGAGAAUCGUGAGAAUAACUUGGUCAUCAAUUGAAAGACAUAUCUCAAUUAGGUCAAGUAUUGAAUGUGUGAUCCUAUAUCAAAAGGAACAGGAAGAAAAUUAGCUCCACGAAGUCAUGAGUCCUUCAGCAUGAGGAAUGUACAACAAAGUGGAGUUGUAUACUGGGCAAGUGUAGGAAAAGAAAUGGCACACAUGCUCGGGGCAAGUUAGUGUUGUAAAAUAUUUCAUAAGUGAUCUUGAUCGUGCACUUUUGCAUUGCAUGCUAUGUAGUAGCAUUUUCAAGAAUUGAUAUGACGAAGACAUUUUAUUCUGCUAUCCAAACAUUGUAUCAUCCUUUGUCUACCCCAUUUGGGCCUUAGUUUUAUUUUCUUUCAUACUCCUCUUUUGGAAUCAGGAUAGAGUUUGCAACGUCCAAGAAACAGUGUCGAAAAAAAAGAGGUCAGAAAAUUUUCAAAAAAGAGACAAAAUAGGUCCAAAAAGAAAGAAAAGAAGAGUGUGUCAAGAAAAUGGAGUCAGAAAAAGAAUCUCAAAGAGAAAAGAUCCAAUAAAAGAAAAAAGAAAAAAAAAUCAGAUCAAAAGAAAGAACAAGUUGCCAGAACUACGCAUGGCCUGAUUCUCCUCUCUCAAGGGUGAGAUACGUAAGUUGCCCUACUCAGAGCUCGGUCCAACCAAAUAAGCAAUUUAGAAUUGCCCAGGCAAAAGAAACCAGGGCAUGAGUUGAUCCUCAUUAUUUGAGUCGAUUCCAAAAGUUGUAAGUCUCACCCCACUUCAAGUGUCGCUUGGGCCCCAUGUCAUCCUUUCUUUCUAACCCUAUCCAAAAGUCAAGUUACAACAAAAGAAAGACCUUUGGAUCUAUCUUUGAGAAUGUUAAGUCAAAGCAUGCAAUGGAUGUGAUGACACAUUUUAGGAACUACUCGUCUUCCUCUACAUAAGAAAUCAGGAGAGAAAUAAAAAUGAGAGAGUCUAAUUGGUGAAAACCCUCAUGGGCACCAUAAGGUGAUGGUAAGCAGAUAAAAAUGAGAGGGUCUUAAUGGUGAAAACCCUCACGGGCACCAUAAGGUGAUUGUGAGUUGAGAGAAAAAUGAGAGAGGCUUGUUAGCAAAAAUCCUUCAAUGUGCCACUAGCCGAAUGAGUUCUUCGAAUGCAAUGGGUUCAAGCAAGUAACUUAGUUUCAGAGCCAUUAACUCAAAAACAAUUGGUAGAAAGUUUGGAUGGAAAGAUCAAGCAUCUUGAUCCAAAAUGCAUGGCAUAAUCAUUAGAGUUAUUCAAAUGGGGACAUUCAUUGUCUUUUCUUUCUUUUCUUUAUUUUUGUUUUAUUUUUCUUGAGUCAGUUAUCCAAAUAAAAAAUUAUUGUCAUUUUUCUCUUGUUUUUGAGUCAAGUCCAUGUCAAAACAAGUGAGAAAAGAUUUUAAAAUUGGCUACCAUCUUCUUCAAUUAAGUGAGAAAAGAUUUUAAAAUUGGCUACCAUCUUCUUCAAUUGCAAAGAGCGAGACAAAAGACCAACACAUGAAAAAGACAUAAUUGUAAGCCGAAAUAAGGCAUACAAAAAAUCCUGUCAACAAACAAGUCUGGGAACUCAUGGAAAUACCAAAUUUCAAAGGGUUUAUCUGAAGAGCUUGGCAAAGCAAAGAUACUGUGUUUGUUUCAAAGUCACUCUUAAUAAUCUGAGUUUUGGUCAAUGAUGCAUCAAGUCAAUGAUAUAUGUAAUAGUUGGAAGCAAGAUUAAUGUGAUGACGGCAAAGGCGAUCUCCGCAAAAACUAAAGCCAUAAAUCAACCACCAUGUUUCAAACUAACAAGUUUUCUUUGAUGAAAUAGGAAACAUACUACCUUCAAAGCAAUAACUUCAGAGCAUGAACAUCAAGGGCUGCAAAGAGUCACAUUUACAAAUGCAAGAAGCAAUGUUGCUGCACAGGUUUGAUAAUAAAAUCAUGGUAAAGAUUUAUCAUCCUAUAUCCCUCGGAGACACACUUGUUAAGGGAUUUCAGUUUUCAUUUGUUAGGUGAUACACUUUUUAAAUUGAAAUUUGAUUUCUAUAAGACGUACCUUUUAGUCGAGUCAUCUCCCUUGAUUCCUAGAAGACGUACCUUUUAGUCGAGUCAUCUCUCUUGAUUCCUAUAAGACAUACCUUUUAGUCGAGUCAUCUCCCUUGAUUCCUAGAAGACGUACCUUUUAGUCAAGUCAUCCCCCUUGAUUCUUAUAAAACGUACCUUUUAGUCGAGUCAUCCCCCAUGAUUCCCAUAAGACGAAUCUUUUAGUCGAGUCAUCCCCCAUGAUUACCAUAAGACGUACCUUUUAGUCGAGUCAUCCCCCUUGACCCUUAGAAGACGUACCUUUUAGUCGAGUCAUUCCUUUUGAUUCCUAUAAGAUGUACAUUUUAGUCGAGUCAUUUUCUUUGAUUCCUAUAAGACGUACCUUUUAGUCGAGUCAUUCCCUUUGAUUCUUAUAAGACGUACCUUUUAGUCGAGUCAUUUCCUUUGAUUCCUAUAAGACGUACCUUUUAGUCGAGUCAUUCCCCUUGACCCCUAGAAGACGUACCUUUUAGUCGAGUCAUUUCCUCUGAUUCCUAUAAGACGUACCUUUUAGUCGAGUCAUUCUCUUUGAUUCAUAUAAGAUGUACCCUUUAGUCGAGUUAUUUCCUCUGAUUCCUAGAAGACGUACCUUUUAGUCGAGUCAUCCCAUUUGAUUCCUAGAAGACGUACCUUUUAGUCGAGUUAUUCCCCUUGACCCCUAGAAGACGUACCUUUUAGUCGAGUCAUUUCCCUGGAUUCUUAUAAGACGUACCUUUUAGUCAAGUCAUCUCCCUUUGAUUCCUAUUAGACAUAACUUUUAGUCGAGUCAUCUCCCUUUGAUUCCUAUAAGACGUACCUUUUAGUCGAGUCAUCCCCCUUGAUUCCUAUAAGACGUACCUUUUAGUCAAGUCAUUCCCCUUGACCCCUAGAAGACGUACCUUUUAGUUGAGUCAUCCCUCUUGAUUCCUAUAAGGCAUACCUUUUAGUCGACUUAUUUCCCUUGACCCCUAGAAGGAGUACCUUUUAGUCGACUUAUUUCCCUUGACCCCUAGAAGACGUACCUUUUAGUCGAGUCAUUCCCCUUGAUUCCUAUAAAACAUACCUUUUAGUCGAUUCAUUCCCCUUGAUUCCUAUAAGACGUACCUUUUUAUCAAGUCAUUCUCCUUAAUUCCUAUAAUGAUGUGACUUUCACAAAAUUCCUUUGAUGAUAAACUGGGGCAAAAUUUAAUUCUUGUUUUUGGAACUUUACUUUUCUGGAAAACAAAAUUUCUCUUUAUAAUAAUUUUUGUUUGGGUUGGGAUAAUUUUCUUUCCAGUUUUGAUGUGAUUUCAGGAGCCUGCCCGAAGCACAGAGCGAAUAAAUGGAAAACCAAGCAACAAGGUGAAGAAAUUAAAAGUUAAACAGAUUGAAAAAUAGCAAGUCAGGAGCCCGCCUACAGAAUGGGGUGAAGAAAUUGAAAGCAUAGCAACAAGUUGAUGAAAAAGCAAGUCAGGAACCCGCUCGGAGAACAGGGUGUAGAAAUUGAAAGGCAAGCAACAAGUUGAAGAAAUUGUAAGUCAGAAGCCCGCAUGAAUAAUAGGGUGAUGAAACUCAAGUCAAGAGUCCAAAAGAAGUUGUAUAGAUAGGAUUUUUGUACUUUUCAUUUAUGUUUAACUUGUAAUUUUCAUUUUUAAUGUAAUGACAGAGCUGCGGACCAUAACCUCGACGGGACCUCACUCGACUCCCCAACUCGGUACUGUCCAUCUCCUUCCAAUCUUUUAAGAUACCUGCGACUUGACUCCCUCGUAAUUUGGGUAGGUAGGAUGUCCUAAGUCAAGACUCGGUUGUCCUUCUUGCUUUGAAUAAUGGUCGUGUCAAAACUUUGUCUCAUUGUCUACUUCUUUGUAUGAAAACACUUUGUGUUUACAUGCAAAGAGGGGUAUGAUGUAGACACAUAAUUUUGUCCCUCCCCGAAAAUAUUUUUACCAUUUUACCUUAUUCUACCGCAUACCCUCAACCAUAUAAUUAUCCCUCCAUAACAUGAACAAAAUAACAACCCUUAACAAAUUUUACCUUGUUCUAAUCCUAUCCUUACAACCUCUCCAAUUAAAAGCGGACACCUCAGCACCCCUACCCCUUCCACAGACCCCCCCCCCCCCCUCCCAACCCCCCCCCCCCCAAAUCACAUUUUUCCAUCUUUGGUUAUAAUAAAAGAUAACUAGGACCCAAGGAAGGAUUUGAUAACAACAUAUACACUCACGGGCCCCACCACUAAAAAAAGACAAUUAAUACACCCAUCCUUACCAACCCUCACCAGAAUUGUCAAAACCUACAACACAGUAACCAAUUCACACAUACACCAUCCCAUUGACAAAAAAAAAGCAACCAAUACUCUCACUGACCCCUCACAACCAAAAUAUACACACAACACUCAUCCUCACUAAUAUCACACACACAAUCUCAAUUCAUACAUACCAUUUAUGAAUUCCAGUCUCACGCACAGUUUGCACGCACAUACGGAGAGAAAUCAAAAAAAGAAAAGAGAAAGGAGUGAAUUGGACUAAAAGAAAAUAUAUCGAGGGCUCAAAGGUUUGAGUGAUAGAGAGCUCAGCCAUUGAGAGAAGGACGGGGAGAGAAACCGGUCAUGCCACUCUAAUUUUUCGGCGAAACUUCACCGGAAUCCGGUGCCAUCAGCGAACCUGAUACACCCACCAGUCGCCAUACACCAUCCCACCGCUUCUGAACCACCAGAGCACCGUGACCAUCGAGAAUACCCCAAAUCCGAUCCAAACUCAACUAGUGCGUCUUUCUUCGUCACGAUUUUGGUAUGCUCGAUUUUCGUUCGAGUCCUUGGGUUAUGAUACUGAGCCGGUGUCGAUCAUUUUAAAGUUUUUUUGUCAUUCGUCUAGUGUCGGGUUGCCAUCCAUCGUCAAUUUAUUUCAAUCUGGGUUUAUUUUGCUUUUGGAUUUCGAGAUCGGAAUUCCAUCUUCGAGGGUUUUAUUGCUUCUGUUUGAAGUUGUUAGUUAGGCAAUAUAUUUUGAGUUUGCGGUCUUGGAUUCAAAUCUAUUCGGAUCCUAAUUUGUGAUAUCGAGUUGGUCGAGUUGUCGAGGUUGGUUCGGGGUUCUUCGGCACACGGAUUCGUCCUCCCGUUUGAUUGAUCUUUCGAAUAAAAUCAUCAUUGAGGUAUGUUUCUACUCCUUUCCUCUUUUUUAUUUCAUUGUUGAUGGAAUAUGGUACAUUGGAUAAAUUGGUUGUGAAUGUGAUUAGGUGGUUGUUGAUCAUGAUUGUUUGAUUUUAUCGACGUUUAUGCUUUUGAUGAUGAAAUUUGAGUGAUGUUGAGUUGUUUAAUUUCGUGAAUCAAAAAAUGAUUAAGAAGAGUUGAAUUGGUGAUUGCGAAUUGUGGAAUUUGAUAUUAAAAGGGGAAUUUGGGGUGGAAUUUCGAGAUUGAUGAAAAGGGUCAAUUUGGAUUAAUGUUGGUCUUGUUGUUGUUUAAUGCGGAAUUAAUUUCAAGUUUGUGAAUUCUAUAGUGUCAUGAUAGGUAAAAUGGGAUAGGCAAAUGUUUAGGUUCGGAUAGGCCAAAAUUUAGGAGUGAUGUGUUGAUUGAAUGCGUUGACUGUUUAGAUGUAUGUUUUGAAUGUUUUUCUAGUUAUCUCAGAUGUAUUCAUUUGGUCAGGGAAUGCCCCGAGGUAUUUGUGUUCAUUUGCCAGGGAAUGCCCCAAAGUAUCAUGUACUGAAAGACGGCACACGGUCAAGGCCUGGAACGACGGGUGGAGUUUAAUUCAGGAGUAGUUUGGAAUAGAAUAGGUUUACAUUUUCACUUUUUUCAUUAUUCGGGACUGUAUAAUUGGACUGGAAACUAUAUUUUUUAUUUGUUUUGUUUUGUUUGUUUGUUGAUUGUUUUACAUGUUUUUGUGUGGUUUGUACAUUCUUAGUGUCAAAUUAGCUGAUAUCCUCCAUCAAGCGACCGUGGUCAAAAGACGGGACCGAGGAGUCCCUAACACCUUCCCCUCGGUCAACAGAAUUCCUUAGUCGGAAUCUCUAUUCGCAAACCAGUUUAAAGAAUCAAAUGGUUUUGAAAAGGAUUUUCCAAUGGUGACUUGGCACACCAGAUUAUGUUAAGUGGCGACUCUGAUUUCGAAUGUAAAGAAAAUCCUUCUUCGAAACAAAUCGUUUUCUUUUGUCACUUGAUAAUAAAAACCCUUUCGAACUUAACGAAUCAUUUGGAGUAAGAAAAAGGUGUGUGACAGCUUUGACGAAUCUGCUGGGGAACCUUUUCAAAAUUCGAGCUUACUUAUUUUUUCGAGCUUAGUUUGACAUUAUGGGUGUGUAAACAUUGUUUAUGUUAUCGUUUAUUGUUUAUUUUAUCAUUGUUGAGUGCAUACGUGCUCUUUGUUUACAAUUUUUUUCUUAUAUGUUAUCACUUUGUAACUGGUAUAAUGUGCAUAUGACAAUCUCUUGGGCUUAUUGAUUAAUGGACUAGCCCAGUAAAUAUUGGACUUCAUUUAAAUCCAUACAUGUUUGAACUUAAAUAAUUAAUUCAAUUAUAUUAAUCUGCAAUAUUUAUUUGGGACUAAUAUAUUUUAAAUUUAAUAUAAUCCAAAUUUAAUACGGAUUUAAAUUUAAUAAAAUUGCAUCGCCCAUAAAUACCCCACCUUCAAGAUUUGUCGAGACAUUUAAUCUUUCGACCACUAGAAUUGAAGUAUUUGUAACAAUAUUUGUGUAACAAAGAAAAGCCUCGAGCCAACGCCUCAAAUAGAAAUCUAUUUAAUUUGAAUCUGACUUUCUAAAGAAUAAAGUUGUAACUUAUGUUACAAUUAUAGGCAAAAUAUGAAUGAAUAUUUCAGUCAAAAUGAUGGCACAUGAUUGCUAACCAAUAAUCCACGUGAAAUCACAUUAUUGACCCUUCUUUUGUUUGCAUGCAUUUUCUAAGAAAAUGGACAUGUUAUCAUUUUUUAUUUACUGGCUGUUGCUUUGUCUCAUAGCCAUGCCAAUAAUCCAUUUGGAUUGGAGAAAAAAAAAUGAUUAGCAACCCAAAUUCCCUUUGGGCAUAGGAAACGUUAUUCUGCCGCCUCAAGUUAUUUUAUGUGUGUUAUUUUUUUUAUUUUUUCAAAGCCUGCACGUGACUGGAGGAGGCAGAAGAUAACAUUCCAUGCUUGAGUUCCAUCCGAAGUCAAAUUGUAACACCCAAUUCAUCUUUGACAUUAAUUGCUCAGCCGACUUUAAACUUCUAUAAAUAUCAAUCAUUUAAUCGCUUGUGAUUCAGAAUUUAACUGCCGCAAUUCCCAUCGGUUCUGUUUGAUUGUUGGUUGCGCCUGACCGAAGUAUUAUUGGUGAGUUGCUUUUCCUUAAUUUGCUCAUUAAUGUUUUGUUCUCUUUUUCUUUCCCUUUUUUUUUAUAGGGUUGAAACAAAUAGCAAUAUGCCACAAUCGGCUUAGGGUGUGAGAGUUUAACUUCGUCUUCAUACACUCUAAGACCAAUUAAUUUUGACUCUAAGACGGUGGCUACGCAAUAAUCGGCUUAGGGUGCGAGAGUUUAACUUCGCCUCCGUACACUCUAAGACCGACCAAUUUGACUUCAAGAUGCUGACUUUGCAACAAUCGGCUUAGGGUGCGAGAGUUUAACUUCGCCUUCGUACACUCUAAGACCGACCAAUUUGACUUCAAUACGGUGGCAAUGCAACAAUCGGCUUAGGGUGCGAGAGUUUAACUUCGCCUCCGUACACUCUAAGACCGACCAAUUUGACUUCAAGACGCAUGGUUUUCUUUAAGUAUGUGCCCUUUCAAUGUUCAGCUUAAGGUGCAAAGGAACAAAUUUUGUCCACCUUAAGGCAUAAAAAUUUUGAUAUCCUUUUAAGGAUAAACCCUUUAGAUGCCAGCUUAAGGUACAAAGGGACAAAUUUUGUCCACAUUAAGGCAUGAAAAUUUUCAUAUCCUUCUAAGGAUAACCACGUAAGAGGCCAAUUUAAGGUGGAAAGGGACAAAUUUUGUCCACCUUAAGGCAUAAAAUUUUUUAUAUCUUUUUAAGGAUAAACACGUAAGAGGCCAACUUAAGGUGCAAGGGGGCAAAUCUUGUUCACCUUAAGGCAUGAAAAUUUUGAUAUCCUUUAGGGAUAAACUUGCGAGAGGCCCACUUAAGGUGAAAAGAAACAAAUCUUGUCCACCUUAAGGCAUGUAAAUUUUGAGAUCCUUUUAGUUGUAGGCUUGGAGAACUUUGGCAUUCCAAAUCCCAUUGAAGGAACUCUCUUUCUUUUUGACGAGUUGCCCCCAUUGAACCACAAGUAUUUGACAUAAUUCCAAAUCUUAAUUCAAAUGUAUGCAAACUUGACUUUCAUACGACGGAUCAAACAGGGACAUACGUUUUUUUGACACUCAUGUAACUGAACUCAGAAUGAAAUUUCAAGCGCCUGCGUACCUCAAUAAAGAGGAUCAAGUCACAACGUAGUUCUGGGUGAGUUUUUUUUUUGUGUCCCAAGUUUUGCCUAGGUCGCCUCUUUCGAGGUUUUCAACCUAGCAGACAUUUAUUUGAUUUUUUUUAGCCGUUCACAGUUUAUACUCUUGCGGGCCAGGAGUAGACAUACAGUUUAUACUCGUGCCUUAAGGGGUGUCAUCUUCCUUCAAGGAUAGUACUUCUUCAAGAACUUGGCAUUGAUGGGGCCAAUCCUCAUGUCAUCUGCAUCGAUAAGCUUGUAAGCACCAUUUGAAUAUGCCUCUUGUUCAACAUAUGAUCCAUCCCACUUCGGGGUGAAUUUGCCCCCAGACUUACGAGAAGUGAUAAUGGGUCUUUUUACUGCAAGGACUUGAUCUCCAACUUGGAAGCACCUCAAGCGAACCCUUUUGUUGAAAGAACGAGAUAGCCGGGCUUGGUAACAUUCAAGAUUUUGUUGGGCCUCCAGCCUCUUCUCAUCAAGAGCUUCUAACUCCGCAAGACGCAACUUAGCAUUUUCUUCAUCGGUGAGCCCUUCUUGAAUAGCCAAUCUCAAAGAAGGUAUUUGAUGCUCAAGUGACAGGACUUCUUCAACUCCAAAAGCAAGUGAGUAUGGAGCUGCUUGCGCCGGUGUACGGUAAGUUGCCCUAUAUGCCCAUAAAUCUUCUUCCAUUCGCUCAUGCCAGUCUCGUUUGGAUUUGGAGACGACUUUCUUCAGCAAGUUACAUAAAGUCUUAUUGAACAUUUCGGCUAGACCAUUGGCGGCAGCAUGGUACAUAGAAGACUUGUGUUUCUUGAAACCAAAGAGAUCGCAAAUUUUGUUCAUCAGCUUAUUAUCAAAUGGCUUUCCAUUGUUAGUUAUUAUGUACUGAGGAAUUUCAAAGCGGUAGACGAUAUUCACUCAGAUGAAGUUUGCAACAUUUUUUUUCUUUACUUCCUUGAGAGCAACAGCUUCAGCCCAUUUCGAGAAGUAAUCUGUCGCGGCCAAGAUAUAUAGGUGUCCACCAGAAGAUUUUGGUAGUGGACCAACAACAUCCAUUCCCCAAGCAUUGAAUGGCCAAGAUGCUACAGUUGGAUGUAGUACCUCUGGAGGUUGAUGUAUGAAAUUUGCAUGGAAUUGACAAGCUUUGCAUCUUCUAGCAUAGUCUAAGCACUCUUUCACCAUCGCUGGCCAAUAAUAUCCUAUUCUUUUAAUGUGAAAAUGGAGCUUCGAUCCAGACUGAUGUGAUCCACAAACUCUCGAGUGUGCUUCUUGCAAAGAUUGAACUGCUUCUUCCUCUCCCAAAUACCGUAAGAGUACUCCUUCAAAUAAUCUUCUGUACAGUGUGUCUUUGUAGUAAAGGAAGCGAGGUGCGCGACGACGAAUGUCAGUCUUUCUCCUUGGAUAUUCUGGAAGUAUCCCAUAACAUAAGUAAUUAAUGAUAGGUUGUCACCAAUCUUCUUUUACAGCUUCAGACAAGGCAACGAGGUAUUCAACCUUGCUUUCCACAUCCUCAUCUGACGGCGGUACUACCUAUUCUUGGCGGAUAGUAACUUGGGUCUAAUUUGGAAGAGUCAGGGUUGAGGCCAAAGCAGCUAGAGCAUCAGCUUGAUUAUUUUCUCUCCUUGGCACAUGUUGGAGGGUCACUCCUCCAAGCCACCCCAUUAACUUUUGUGCAUAAUCAUGAUAUGGUCGUAGCUCAGGCUUUCUGACUUCAUAGCUUCCCAAAAGUUGUUUGAUCACUAGUUGGGAGUCACCAAAGACUCGUAAUUGUAGUUGUUUCAUGUCGACAGUCAUCUCUAGUCGAGUAUGAGCGCUUGAUACUCGGCAACAUUAUUGGAGCAAUGAUUUGUCAAGGUAAAAGAGUAGGGGAUGACCUCUUCUUGCGGUGUGACAAACACCUCACCGACACCAGCUCCAUCUCGAUGUGCAGGACCAUCAAAGUACAUUUUCCAUGGGGGACUAGCCUCAAUAACCAUUGCAUCUUCAUCAGGAAGUUCAUCGCUCAGUUCCCAAUCAUCAGGUAUCGGGUGGUCUGUCAAGAAGUUAGCCAAUGAUUGUCCCUUUACAGCCUUUUGGGGAACAUACACAAUCUCAAACUGUUGAAAUUGAAGGUACCAUCUUGCAAGUUGGUCACUAAGGACUGGUUUCGACACUACAAACUUGAUGGGAUUUGUCCUAGAGAUAAGCCGGACAACAUGAGCCUGAAAGUAGUGCUUCAUCUUUUGAAUCGAGAAGAAUAAUGCCAAACAUAACUUUUCAAUUGGAGAAUACUUUAGCUCAUUCGGCGUCAUCAUUCUGCUCAAAUAGUAAAGAGAGUUUUCCUUGCCUUUAUUAUUUUCUUGAGCCAGUAGUGCUCUAACUGACCUCUUUUGUGCCGCAAUGUAAAGUAUCAAUGGUUUCCCAGGUAUGGGUGCUGCAAGAACUGGUGGCUUCAUUAAGUAUGAUUUGAUACUCUCAAAGGCAUUACUACAAGCUUGGUCCCAUUCGAAGAAAGUGUCCUUCUUCAUAAGACGACUAAAUGGUUGACAUUUUCCGGCCAGGUUUAAGAUGAACCUCCUUAAAUAUGCUAGCCUUCCUUAAAGGCUUUUUAACUCAUGAAUAUCUCGAGGCUUGGGCAUCUUCAAAAUUGCAUCAACCUUAGCUUGAUUAAUUUUAAUUCCUCGGUGUCGCACAAUGAAGCCAAGAAAUUUUCCCGAAGUAACUCCAAAGGCACACUUCAAAGGAUUCAUCCUAAGUUGAUAUCUUCGAAGCAACUCGAAUACCAUUCUUAGGUCUUUUAAGUGGUUGCAUCUCUUUCUUGACUUCACCACUAGAUCAUCUACAUAGAAUUCAACAUUUUUAUGGAGCAGGCCAUCAAAGAUGUUCUGCAUAGCCCUUUGAUAAGUGGCGCCAGCGUUCUUCAAACCAAAAGGCAUCACCUUAUAGAAAUAAAUACCUUUGGGCGUACGAAAUGCAGUGAGUUCUUCAUUCUUUGGUGCCAUACGGAUUUGAUUAUAGCCGGAUGAACCAUCCAUAAAGGACAUUGCCUUAUAACCAGUGGUGGGAUCAAUCAUCAACUCUGGUAUGGGAAUUGAAAAGACAUCCUUAGGGCAGGCAUUGUUGAGGUCUCAAAAGUCGACACAAACUUGAAUUUGGCUAUUCUUUUUUCUUACUGGAACAAUACUUGAAAUCCACGUGGGAUAUUUGACUUAGCAAAUAAAGCCAGCUUCAAUGAGUUUGUUAACUUCAUUUUCAAUUAAUGGAACCAACUCUGGCCUAAAGCGCCUUUGGGCUUGCUUAACAAGACGAGCACCAUUCUUGACCGCCAACUGAUGAACCGCUACUUUUGGAUCUAAGCCAGGCAUUUUCUCAUAGCUCCAGGCGAAGACAUCCAUAUAUUCUUUGAGUAUUUCCAUAUAAGCGAUUUUCUCCUCUACUUCUAGAAACGCACUCAAGUAAGUUGGUCAUGGUUCUUCAUCGGUUCCAAGAUGAACUUCCUUCAAGGGAUCUAUUGUGGCCUUUACUCCUUCUUCAAGUUACGAUGGAGCAUCUCCAACAUCUUCCUCCUCUUGAGGAUCAUCUUCAUUGACGGAUAUAUGAUAACACCAGAAAGCAUCUUCUAUCUCUUCAUCAACCUUUAUUUGAAACAAGACAUCUUUCUCGUUCUGGGUCAUAACAUGAUAUGAGGAGCCAACACUCUCUUCAUCUUCUUCGCGUUGCUUAGUAUAAACCACAGUAUGCGCCUUUGCUUUUAACACCUCGUUGCAUGAAACUACCAGUUUCGUUUGUCGCUUCAUUCUAGAAGGAAUCAAACUUUGGAAAUCCUUCUGGAUUUUAAAUGAAGAAUGCAGCAUCGUGCUUUGACGACUUCUUUGACGCUUGUUGUUUUUCUUAUUAUUUAUAGGACCCAACCUUUCGAACACAGAAGUUCUUGCGGUUGAUUCUCCAAGUCGAUCAAAUACGGAGGGUCUUUUGUUAGCGGCAGUGGAUUCUUCUUCCACGGUGAUGUAAUUAUUGAAUGCCCUUCUUAUGGAGAUGCGAAUUGGAAGUGGUUGCGUGUAUCCUAGUUCUUCACGUACUUGCCUGGUGUUACCCUCCAAUGGAAGUUUGCCCAACCUUAAUGGCUCAUUAGGAUUGUAUCCAGCCUUUACAAAUAGCUUGUAUGCAUUUGGAUUAAAGCCUUCUUUCGUACGCUUCGUAGGGAGUGCCAUAUCUGAUGGUAGAUUUUGAGCCACAAAUUCCCCAAGUGGCCUUGAGGAUGGAUUUAUUGCGUCAAUCUUCCUGACAGGUAAAGUUAUCCCCUUUAGCACAUUAUCUUGGGCGUCAGGUGAGUGAUCUUCCUCUUUCUUUACCUUUGGCAUGCAGCGAAGAACAUGAGUUGCCUUCUUCUUCGUAAGAGCGACACUUUCUUUAUUCGAAGUGAAGAAAAGCUUCUUGUUGAUGAAUUUUUCGAUAGUCACCGCGACCUUCUUAGAUGCAAGAUCGUCACACUUGGUCUUGGUGACAUCUUCAAUCCUUUUCUCAUCUACAAUAUGAUUCUUUGAGUAGAAUUUUGCAUCGGCAAAAUGUGACUCAGUUUCAGUGAAUGGCUUAUCAUCCGCGACUAUCGUUCUUUCCACUCCAUUUUUGAGGUACUUCAAGCAUUGAUUGUAAGAGGACAAGAUAAUUUUGUUCCCGUGCACCCAAGGCCUACCAAGCAAUACAUUAUAUGAAGUUUUGACAUCGAUCACAUGCAUCAAUGGGUUUGAUUGAAAAUCAUCCAUACUAAUCCAAAACUUGAUACAUCCCAUGGCCCUUUGGCCCCCUUGGUUGAAGCCUUGGAUCAUUAUACGACUUUCUUCCAGUUCACUAGUAGCGAUGCCAAGCUCCUUCAUCGUACGGAUAGGCAAGAUAUUGACUCCAAAUCCUUCAUCUAUCAAGAUUCUAUUGAUCUUCUUUCCUAGAAUUUGACCCACCAUGUAUAAGGGACGGUUAUGUAGGGUCUCACCAAGCAGAAGAUCGUUAUUUGUGAAUGUGAUUUUUGUAUCACACACAUGUGCCUCUUCGCCAAGAGUUUCAGCAAGCUUUUCGGAAGGUGAAGGAACUUCCAUGGGUUUAUUUUCACCUUUUUCCCCCUCUUUGGCGGUAUUAAAACAAGACACCUCAAAGUUAACUUGGGCAGUCUUAUUGCGGAACCAACUCGGUAAGAAUUCCUCUAAAGUUACCGGACGCCGAGGUUUCUAAUGGUGAAGCUCUGUCACCCUUGUCCUUUUUGGAAGUGCAACCAACUUCUGUUUCCUUAGUUUCUUCACCACUUUCCUUUCGGUUGGCUGCUCGUACGUCUCCUUUCGCAGACUCAUCUUCUUGCGUUUUCGUCUAGUCACUAGGGUCCAACCUUCUUCGUCGUCUUCAUCAACCGAAGACCUGUCAGGAUCUAAUAUCUCCUCAUUCUGCUUUUUGACACAAAUUUUAACCGGGUCGAGCAAGCCAAAAGUGAUAGAGAUUUGAUGAGAACUGGUUGUCUCAUCGUCGAAGAAAAUUUUCUUCUCUUUUGCCAGUUGCAUACCUUUAUCUUUAAAGACAAAGCAUUUCUCUAGAGGGUGACUUAUGAGCCUAUGAUAUUUGCAAUAAUUAGGGUCAUUGGUCCUUUCGGCUUUAUUGGGACGCUUCAUCUCUGGGAGUUCGAUGAGCUUAUGCUGAAGGAGUUCAUCGAAAAUAUCAUCAACAUCAGAAUCAAGGAAGGGAUAUUCCUUUUCCUGCAUCUCCUUUAACGUUUUCUGAUUUGGACGUGCUCCAGAAGUCGUCUUUACAUUUUGCUUCUUGCUCACCUUUGUGGUGACUUUCACAGGAGACACAUCAACAUUUAUGGAUUCUUUGUUAUCAUUUUUGGGGAUAAACUUACCCCAUCUUUUGGGUUCUUGCUUAUCCUUUCCCCUUCGAGAGUCAUGGAUAGGCGCUCCUUCCUUUCCAGCACAAGACAUCCUCAACUCCAUGUCAUGAGCACGAGUAGCUAACUCUUCAAAGGAUUUUGGCUUAAUGCCUUGCAAGAUGUAGAGAAGCCCCCAGUGUAUUCCUUUGAUGAACAUCUCUAUCGCAGAAGUUUUGCUGAGCCUAUCUUUACAGUUUAGGCUAGCAUUUCUCCAUCAAUUGGUGAAGUCAAUGACUGGUUCGUCCUUUCUUUGCCGAGUAUUUGUGAGCUCUACCAUGCUCAUUGUACUCUUUGUGCUAUAAAAGCGAUUCAGGAACUCAUGUUCCAAUUGCUCUCAACUAUCGAUGGAAUUAGGCGCGAGAUCCGUAUACCAAUCAAAGGUGUUUCCCUUUAGGGAACGAACAAACCGUUUGACAAGAUAAUCACCGUAAGUUUCAACAUUAUUACAUGUCUCGAUAAAGUGUGCGACAUGUUGUUUUAGGUUACCUUUGCCCUCAAAUUGUUGAAAUUUGGGGGGUUGAUAGCCAGCAGGCAUUUUGAGGCUAUCUAUUCUUGCAGUGUAAGGCUUAGCAUAUGCAAGGUAAGACUUGGUGACAACAUCAUACUUGUCUUUGAGGGUCCCUUUAAUAAAUUUCCUCAAUUGCCCAAUCGGGAUUAUUCCCUCAGCAGAAACAUGCACCUCUUUAGUCGAUGGUGUUUGUUUCACAGGGUUUUUUAUCUCAUGAACCCCUAGAACUUUUCCCGGCGCAUGGCUAGAUUCUCCGUAUAUCAAGCCUUCCACCCUAUCCACUAUCUUAUCAAUCCUAGCCUCUUGAUUCUGAACAUAGUUGGUCAGGCCUUCAAUUGCCUUUGUCAGAUUCGCAAGUUGCUCCUCCACAAACGAGGCAUCAGUUACCAUUACUUGCAUGAUCACUGGAGAUGUUGGAGAGUAACAUGGAUUAUCGCUUAGGUUGAUUUUUGAAGUGCUUAACUUAUGCGGUGUAAGUGGAGAUGACGCGUUUGUUGAACGACCAUAGCUCUUUACACUAGAGUAUUUGGAACCAGAAUGCUCAAGUAGAGCAAGAGUCUUCUUAAUCAAUUCCACGACACUGCUUCCUCCUUCCGAAACAUUUGUAUUGGACUUCGUUCCUUUUAGGGUUGAAGAUCCAAAAACUGGAGUUGGCGCGGACGACACUAGAUGUGUUUAUUGUCCUAUCAAGCCUGCCUUGCUCCUCGUGACAGCUCCUAAACUUCCGAAAGUAACACCAAGGAUUCUUUCCACUUAGGCAGAGAACCUUGAAUCAACAGCCUUGGAAGCAGUUGAUUGAGAGUUGAUCUUCUUGAAAGUCAUUUCAGCGUUCUUAAUCUUCAAAGUCUAAAAAGUUGAGAUGAGAGGUAGAGAUCGUCCCACUGGGCGUGCCAGAAUUUGUUGGACAAUAAAAUUCUCGAGUGAGGAAAAUAAAUAAUUCGAGACAAGAAAAUAUUGCAACAAUCAAUUUUAUUGAUUUCAAUGCGAUUGUUACAAUCUCUAUGAAUCCUCUGAUUCGUCUUUUCAAAUAUAAAUUUAAGGGCUUGAAGCUUAAUCUUGAAUUUAAACUUGAUUUGUUGAAUUUAAGGGACUUGGUCUUGACUUGUGCUUGAAUUCAAGAGCUUUUGAGCUUGUUCUUGAAUAUUGCGGUCUAGAUCUUGAAUCUUGAUGAACUUAAUUUGAAUGCCUGAGCUUUUUAGAGAAAUUAUGGCGUUUAAUCCACUAGCUUUGUCUUGCUACUUGUUAGAAUUCUAGGGGUCUGGGGUCUCUUUUUCUGAAUUAUGAGACUCUUAUUUAUAGUUGUAGGAAAAAAAGAGUCAUGAUGAAUAUGAACUUCCUUUGACCAAUCAGAUUUAAGUUGACAUGUCACCUUUUAUGGGCUUUAAUUUUAUGGGCCUACUGCAUCAUUUUGACAUGUGUCAUGGUCCUAUUGACUCCUUCCCUUGACUUGUCAUACCACAUCAUUUGACAUGUGUCACUUAUUUGGGCCUCUAGAAUAUGACGAUCUCUUGAACUUAUUAAAGUGGGCUCAUCAUUUAUAACCCAAAUUAAUGGACUAGCCCAAUAAAGAUUGGACUUCAUUUAAAUCCAUACAUGUUUGGAGUUAAAUAAUUAAUCCAAUAAUAUUAAUCCGCAAUAUUUAUUUGGGACUAAUAUAUUUUGAAUUUAAUAUAAUCCGAAUUUGAUACGGAUUUAAAUUUAAUAAAAUUACAUCGAACACAAUACUAUAGAUUAUAAUUUUUCUAAUAUGAAUAUGAUAAAUUAUAUUUUAAAAUAUUAUUCAAAGUUUAUAUCAAUUGAUUGAUUAAAAAAAAAUUAUGAUAAGGAUGUCUCUACUCCCUAAUUGGCUUUCAACGUCUUGCUUUUUGGAAAAAGCAUCCUUCAACUUCAAAGCACUAUCUUCAAGCACUGCGUUCUUGACUUUAUGGCUAUGGCACGUUGUAAAGAUAAUGACAGAAAGUUAAGAUCUCUCUUUCUAUUUCUUGCCUCCUCUAUUUAUCUUGCGAGAGAACUGAGAAGAGAUGUACGUGAUCAUCAGUUCAUUUAAAAGUUGGAAUCGUUAUGAAGAUUAUAAUUUUGUUAAUGUAAUUAUACUUCAACGUCUUGACCCUCACAGAAAUGAUUAUGCAUCAUGGGCUUGAUUUCUUUUGAUGAGCCAGACAUGGAAAAUAAAUUAUUAAUAAGUGAUAAAUAAAACUCUUUCGAUCCAAUAACUCUUGCUUCGUUCUCAUCUUUUAUGAGCCCCACACACAUAAAACUUUUAUCAAUAUUUUUACAUCCCACGUUGGUUGAAGGGAGGGGAAUUUGGCAUUAUUAUUAUUAUGCCAACGCUUACAUUUAUUUAAUAUUUUUAAAAUUACUAAUCCUGAUAUGAGUAGUCUUUGAUAAUUGUAAAUUGAAAGAGAUUUUAUUAUGGUGGGACUAUAUUUCACCCUUGAUUAGAGGCCUUGGGUUCAAGCCUGGAUAUGAAGAAUUGGGAGCACCACCCCCUUAAUGGGUUCUACAAUGCGAGAUUCCAAUUAGUCAUGGCUUUAAUACGGCCGUACACCGGAUGAAAAUUUUUAAAAAAGAAAAAAAAAAGAAGAAAGAAUUGAAAGAAAUUUUAGAGGAAUUAAUUACUGGACUUUUGAAAUUAAAUAUCCUCAACUGCAUAAAGUAGUAGGGCAUAUAUUGGCCUAGUGUGGGAGAGGUAUUUUGGCCAAUUACAUCAAUUUUAGUUGAUGCAAUUUUUACUUGUACAAUGUCACCACAAUUGUUUUGUCACAGUCAAUCUGCACAAUGGAAAACUCACUUAGAAAUGAACACAAUUCAUAAAUCAAUCAAACUAGCAUAGCAUAUUCGACAGGGAUUCAACAGUAAAAACUUUUGAAUGUAAUUAUUCACACAGGAAAAGGUUAUUAAGUGUAAACAUGCAUACAGAAGAACCCAUGCUAGUAUGGCUGCAAAUGAACUAAAAUCCCUUACCAGCAUGUGCAGUUUCCUUUUCCUUUUUUCUUGAUCAGGUAAACAUUUCAUUAAUCACAGGGCCAAAGUCGGCCGUAUACAAGAAGUAUACCAAAAAGUAAAGAACCUACAAUACGACAUGGUUCUCUACAAAAGACACCCAAUCCUUUAUACAAUCCUGCACUACAUGGAUGCAACAAAAAUAAAUAAGGGACCUCCUCAACUGGACAAAAGUCAAUUCUACCCCUUCAAAAGCCCUCCUAUUUCUCUCUCCCCAAACGAUCCACAUCAAAGCUAAAGGAACAAUAUUCCAAGCCCUGCACUUUCUCAUGCUUCUUCUAGCUUUCCAAUGAAAAAAUGUUUCCUUCACAUUUCUGGGCAUCACCAAAGAAAUACCAAACCAGCUAAACAUUUCCCACCACAGUCUCGUAGUCAGGUUGCAAUGUAAUAGAAGAUGAUCAACCUCCUCACCCGUCUUUUUGCAUAAGUAACACCAGCUAAUGCAUACGAUCUUACUUUUUCUUAGGUUUCCUGCCGUCAAAAUCACCCCCUCUGGCAGCUAACCAAGAGAAAAAAUACAUCUUCCUCGGUACCUCCAUAUCCACCCUCACCAAGAGCUUCUCAUAAAAGGACUUGACAGAAAAAACCCAAUUACUCUCCAACUUCCAUUUCAGAGUACCGAAUCUAACGACUGGCUCAUGAUAUAUGCUGAUAAAUUAGAGCUAGAAACAUUUGAAACCCAUUAACCUCCCAGUCUUAAAAAUUCCUCCUAAUGAUGGACUACCGCCUCCCUCUGACAAGAAAUCCUAUAGAGGCUCGGGAAUUCAUCUUUUAGUCCCACAUCUCUACACCAUUUGUUUUUCCAAAAACUGACUCUCCUCUUAUCCCCUACCCUGGACGAGAUGUUAACCUCAAAAUCAGCCCAUCACUUCAUAAUACUACUCCACACUCCACACCCAUACGCCAUAUUGAUUUCAUUAAUUCUCCCACCCCCUUCCAUCACUCCAUAUUUUUCUACUAUCACCCUUCACCAAAAAGAAUGGACCUCUAUCCCCAAUCUCCAUAACUAUUUUCCAGGCAAAGCUUUAUUAAAUACCCUUAAGUCUUUGAAACCCAACCCUCCCCAAUUUUUAGGCAUAGUCACUUUCUUCCAUCAGACCAAAUAAUGUUUUCUUGCCCCGUCUGUCGAAUCUCAAAGAAAGUUUCUUUGAAGUCUUUCCAGUUUUCCUGUAACACUGGUAGGAUCAUGAAACAAAGACAAAAAGUAAGUGGGGAUACUUGAUAAUGUGCUCUUAAUAAAGCACUUCUUUUCCUCCUUUGGAUAAAUAUCUUUUUUGCCAACUAGCAAGCCUCUAGAUUAACGUAACCCCUUUUGGAAGGAGAUAUCAACUCAUAAGGUUCUCCCAAAACAUGUAACUUAGAACAUAAGUACCUUUGGGUACUUUUGGACAUGUGAGCUUUCACAUUAAUGGCCCAUGUAACAUUCAUUUGAAUUUGGCAAUGGACAAUCUGAAAAGAUGACUUAAAAGCUUCAUCUAGAUAUGAAAAAAGGCGGAUAAAAAUAUAGUUGAUAAACGAGUGACGAAUGAACAUGUCACAACACAUGCUUUUUCUCAGUUGCAUCAUCUACACCCCCAAAACUCACCAAAAGAACAGGACCAAACUCUGGAUGGUGGAGAAACCCACACUGUUGGAAGCUCACUUAGUAAAUCAGGCAGAGAGUCAAUGGUGAAAUAUCAAAAGUAGCCAACAUAAUAUAGGAGAUUUGGUAUUAGCCCAAGAAAUGUCCUACAAAUGCUUCGAACUUCAUACAGAUGAGCUUAGUUUGUAUAUCAAAUUCUAUCUCAGCUGUUGUGGUUGUACUCUGGAAAGUGCAUAAUAGUCUUCUAAAGGAGGAGGGAUAAACUGCACUGCAGGUAGAUCAGCAUCUAAUGGAAUUCUUUUACAGUAAUAAAGAUGUGCAUAGUUCAUUUAUCAAAUUCCAUCUAAGUUGUAGUUCUACUUCAUGCUUGGGAAAUGCAUAAUUGUCUCUGUGUGUGUUUGGGGGAGGGGAUGUGAUAGAGGGACAAACCGCAGGUAGAUCAACAUCUGUUGGAAUUCUUUUGCAGUAAUUGCCAGCGUACUCCUGAACUUGAAUUCCCUGCAAAUAAAUAGAACACGGUCAGCAUGCGAGCUCAGUUUCACUUUCCAUAAAUUAGGUAUGGCAAUUCUCCUACGAGAGAAGCACAGGAAGAUCCGAAAAAUAGGGAGCAUACCUGACUACAUCUUACACGCAUUACUGCCUCAAACCUUUCGGGCCUAGUGAUAUUCCAUCGAAGAUCAUUGUAUAGCUUGGCAGUAUCAGCAAGAGCAGAAAACGGGAAAUAGUAAUACACCUGACACAAGUGAAACAACCAUAAAGCUCAAAGCUUAGAUGUAAAAAUAUCAAAAGGAACAUGAAGUGAAGUGGCUGCAUCAUAAGAUUGUUGAUAAAUUUCAUGAACAGUAAGUUGCACCAUAACCAAGGCCCUAGGGAAGAAGACAAGCUAAAAUAGUAACAAGCGUCACAGUUACCUGCCCACCAGUGGUCCUAGGAAUGACUGAAAUGGAGGCAAUGUCUUCAUAAGAUUGAGUUGUGAGAAACACGUCAACACAGACCUGAAGCAGUUGAGGUCUAAUUAAUAAAAGUGAAUGAUUAUAAAAAUAAAGACCAAAAGGCGUUCUUAAUCCUAUUUGUUUUUAAUGAAUCAUCACUGCCACGGGCUUUUAAUAUAAACUCUCACCUGAUACUCAGCAAACUCAAUGGCCAUUGUCUUCAGAUUUUUGUCGGCUGGCUGGAGUAACUUGUUAGCCUCCUGAAAUUGGAAAAUAUACAACUCUUCUGAAUAAGCAAUGUCAUGGUUUGUUUUUUCGGCAUAAGACAUUAGCGCUGAAUAUGUACAUUACAAAACUCAGAUGGAGUUUCACUUAUCCAAUGCUUACAGGAUUCCACUAAAAGUACCUCAGUGUACCAGACAAACACCAUUGGCAUAAAACAUUCAUCUGUUCUAAGAAAACUGAUCAACGAGUAAAAAACUGAUAAGCCCAGUCUGGUGAAAUCUUAGUAGGAAUACACCUAAACACAAGAUUUAAGAAGAAAAUUGAUAGCCACAAAGAGCACUCUCAUUUACCACACAAGAAAAAUGAUUAUUCUGCUCCACGAUUUAAGACAAUGAUUCAAGAGUGCAAUGAAGAGCAGACAUUUUCAUGAAAUGAUGAGCACGCUGCCAUUCAUUUCUCAGCCUUUCUACUUCUUUAGAGGUAGAGGUAUGGACUGCGUACAUCUUACCCUCCCCAGACCUCACUAUGUGGGAAUAAACUGGGUUUGUUGUUGUUGUUGUUGUUGACGACUCAAAUAAGUGAUUAGCAGCUUAAAGAACUUCAGUCAAGUUACUGAACCUCUAUUUCUGACCAUACAUUAUUGUACAUGCUCUAGUAGUCAAAUUUCAAGCAGACAUUUUGAUAUCAAUAAAUAGAAAAGACUAUUUAAUUUCCAAUGUUCUCUUUAAUAAGAAGUUGACAGUUAAAAGACAUCAUCUCUCGCACUUAAUCGUCUUAGCGACAAUAUUAGAAGCUUCUAUAUAUUCAGCACAAUAUGGACAACUUUAUGGGCAGAGCCCACAUUAUAAACGAGCAAUGUCUUUCUACAUCCAAAAUAUGAAAUGAGGGGCAAAAACUAGGGGACAGUAGGUAGAAACAAUCUAAAAGUGAGACAGAUAUAUGCUGAAGAACUAAAAACUGGUUCAAAAAUUUUACCUUCUCUGCAGCUGAUACAUUGGUUCUUCCUUCAGCCUCUCUAGCAGAAAUACUUCAAUUUUAAAAGAACCAGACAGUGCUGUAGAAAGCAAUCCUCUUAUGUAUCAUCCUAUUUAGUCAGAUUGCAUUGGAAACAGAAGUUAAGCAUAAAUUAAUGAAAGCAAAACAGUCAAUCAGCAGUGCAUUGUAAACAAGGCGUGGGGGAUCAAAGAUAAAAGAUGUUUUAAUGCAAGCAUGCGGACAAUAUUACCGGCUUGAUUUUUUACUAGUACAUGAAACUUAAAGUUAACUGCAUUUAGCACCUUACCUGAUUGAAACACAAGAAGUUUGCCUCCAGUGCUUUUCAUUGCCAAGAAAGCAGCCUGAAGUAACAAAACACGAAGUAAGAAUCAAUCUAUAUGAUAAUCCAUCAUAGACUGAUGUCGUUAGACUUGCAUCAAUCAUCUGCAUGAGGGAGAUCCCAGAUUUAAAUUCUAUGGGAUCAAUCUUUAAUGUUCGAAGCAUUGGACACAUUAAUUUUAAAAAAAAAAAACGAUAACAGUUGUGUCCAAGCUAGCUUGCGCGCACCUCGACUAACUCAAUGUGAUAUUUGUCACCUCCCACCUACAAUAGAUACUAAUUGACUUUGUCAAACAAGGCUAGGACAAAUGGGAAGAGAUCACCUAGAGUUUUUGUCUCUGCUGAGAUUUGAACAUGAGACCUCGUGAUUCUCAACCCACUUCAUUGACCACUACAUAUUUUUAAAUUUAUGGCUUCAUACCCAUCAUUUAGUGCAAGUUUAGUCAUUUUUUACACAUAAACUUAUGCUCUAAGUUGAACGUAUCGGGUUUAGAUGAACCCGUUACUGUACGGCUGGACCUGCCCCUGCAUCUGCAUGUAGAGACAUAUACUACUUAAUUUUUCCAAUCUUUUUCUAAGAAUGGCAAAGUCUCAGGAAACUGUAAUGACCUAACUACUCACAUUAUAGAGGGAAUGCAGAAAAUACUUAUUCCAUCUAUGAAUUAACGAGGCAAUUUUUUAAAAAAAAGGCAAUAUAAAACAAGUGGAUUUAUAUUCCAAAUGAUAACUUGGGAAUAUAACUUCAUGUAACGCACUGAUACCUUGACAGCAGCACCAAAAGCUGAAUUAGCAGUCCAGUUGUUCUGGAACAUAGUUGGGAUGCUUUCUAGGAGAAGCUCUAGGUUUUGACGGCACUGAAAACACAAACAAGGAACAACUUUCAUAGGACGCACUCAUAGUCUUAGUCAUUCUGCUUAAUAAGGGGAAAAUGAACAGAAGUUAGACAACAUCUUGCAGAACAAACCUCCGACAGCUGCACAAUAACAUCAGUCUGAAGGGGGGUGUAAACGUCUUGGACAUCAGGGACUAUUAGCAUCAAUGGCUGCAAAGGUAGAUCCAGAAUAAACUUAUCAGAAAACACGCACUUCACCAACCUAAACCAUUUGCCACAACCCUAAUCCCACAGUUUAGCAUCCAUAUUAAAGAACAAUGAACAGGUCAUAUUAGAGAACAAUGGAACAAGUGAAAUGGAAUCCAACUAUACCGGAGAAGAAAAAUGAAGAACUGCAUAAUUAAGCAAAAUGAAGAAAUCCAACAAUAAGGAGAAGAGCAACUAAUUAAGGCAGAAAAGUUGAGAAAAGUCAUAAAGUACUCUUUUUGAAGGCUAAUAUUUUCUUCCUGCAAUCCAUUACUUAAUCAUGGACAAGACAAAUGAAAAAGGAAAACAACAACAAUUUUACUUUAUUUUAGUAAGUACUACUAACUCUGCUUCCCAGAUAUGCCUAAUUUUGCUCAAACUCUCCAAAAAUGUUGUCACACCUGUCUCGGAUCCACAAAAAUGCAUAAUUUUUUGAGGAUCCGACAUGCACUAUUUGACAUUUUUGAAGAGCCCGAGCAACAUACACUUGGUUAAAGAUUUUUAUUUUAUUUUCACUACAGAAAUUCUUUACGAAGAGCCGAGGGUCUUUUGGAAACAGUCUCUCUACCUCCCACGAGGUAGUGGUAAGGUCUGAGUACGCUCUCUACCUUCCCUAAACCUCACUAGUUUCACUGGGUAUGUUGUUGUUGCAAAGAAAUUCUUUAAGAAAUGGCAUUUAGCUAAUCAUCUUGGCAACACAUUUCUGAAAUCCAACGAGAAUCAUUUUAGUAGUUCUGCAUUUUACCCUUAAAAGUAAUUGUCAAUUCAUCACUACCUCAACAAAGAGAAAAAUGGCAAAGAUAACUGAUUAAGACUUAACACUAAUUACAAAGCAUCUUUUAAUUUUAGAUUCUAUUCAAUAGCUUAAUUUAGCAGAAUAAACUCAUUUGGAUGUGCUGAACCUGCUGCAAUGCACACUUGAGAUUGUAAAAGUGGAUAGUUGAGUCAAAUGUAGCAACUCCAACCAACGUCCGAGGACCAUCCUGCAAUAAUAAGUUUUCAAAGUCAAAGACAGCUCUUUUAACUCUCCAAGAAUUCAUAUUGUGCAUUAAAAUUGAAAAGAAAUGCAUCUUAGCUGAACUAUAUCACAAAUAGAAUAGACUCCCAAAUCUCUUGCCUCUUAGUGAACAUGUCAUUCUACCACUUGACCGAUCCCAUCUCUCCCGAAUUCCAUUAGAUCAUAGAUUGAUUUCUACCAGAUCCUAUGGUCCAUUCAACUAGAAUGACACCAGAUGCCAAGAAAAGAACCCCACAAUCAAAGCAAGGGUUCACCUGAAUCUUUUCGUCACAUUCAUAGUUUUCCUUUUACCUUCUGAUUUAUUAUAAGCCAUCACUUAAGGAGAUGCAAAUCAACAGGUUAUCGCAUCAUAAUCUCUUCAUCUUUUUUUGCCUAAUCCCCCCCCGAUGUCCAGCAGCCACUAAAUAUAAAUUUCCAUAAUGACCUCUUGGAUAAAACAAAGUGAUCAAGCAGCAUUCGUGCAGCAUCGCACCAUUCAGAAUGGAGACAACUAGGUUUUCCACAAUCAGAUACAUAAAUAACUAACCUAUCUCAUCAUCUCAACAGACAAAUUACACGGAUAAUUGCUUCGCUACAUCAGAAGUUCUAGGUAAAAGUGGAUAGUUGAGUCGAAUGUAGCAACUCCAACCAAUGUCCGAGGACCAUCCUGCAAUAAUAAGUUUUCAAAGUCAAAGACAGCUCUUUAACUCCAAGAAUUCAUAUUGUGCAUUAAAAUUGAAAAGAAAUGCAUCUUAGCUGAACUAUAUCACAAAUAGAAUAGACUCCCGAAUCUCUUGCCUCUUAGUGAACAUGUCAUUCUACCACUUGACCGAUCCCAUCUCUCCCGAAUUCCAUUAGAUCAUAGAUUGAUUUCUACCAGAUCAUUCUAUGGUCCAUUCAACUAGAAUGACACCAGAUGCCAAGAAAAAACCCCACAAUCAAAGCAAGGGUUCACCUGAAUCUUUUUGUCACAUUCAUAGUUUUCCUUUUACCUUCUGAUUUAUUAUAAGCCAUCACUUAAGGAGAUGCAAAUCAACAGGUUAACGCAUCAUAAUCUCUUCAUCUUUUUUUGCCUAAUCCCCCCCCGGUGUCCAGCAGCCACUAAAUAUAAAUUUCCAUAAUGACCUCUUGGAUAAAACAAAGUGAUCAAGCAGCAUUCGUGCAGCAUCGCACUAUUCAGAAUGGAGACAACUAGGUUUUCCACAAUUCAGACACAUAAAUAACUAACCUACCUCAUCAUCUCAACAGACAAAUUACACGGAUAAUUGCUUCGCUACAUCAGAAGUUCUAGUUAAUCUCACUGAUUUUAGUAUAAAAAUUGAUUAAUUUAUGAUGACUCCACUUGAGAAGACACGCCAAAUACUUUUCCCUCUAAUCUAAAGGGAAAAAAAAUGCAUGUUGCAUCAUCAUAAACAACCAAUAGACUUACAGGGAGAUCAGAAAUAACUUGGCUGAUCGCACUGCAAGCAGCUGCAGUUGCACCAGUCUGUAUGGCAUUCAUGGAAACAUCUAUCAGGAAGAAAUAAACAGCGGGCAUUGGAUCCCGAACCUGAAAUACAAGAAAAAAUUCCAAGUUAUUACUGCAAAAUAAAAUGAGUCACAAAAUCAAAUUAAGGAAUUCUCUAGACCAAAGACAGGAGUGCAUCUACGAAAAAGGAGAGCAUCAAAUCAACUUGCAACAUAGAGUAGGUUCUAAGCUAUAUCUACAUUGAUUUAGAACUCUGUAAAAUGUCUCUGUGGAAGUAUUAGUUUAAUUUUCUAAACUUGAGCUCCUACUCGUCCACACUACCGACCCCCUCAACCCAUGCGCUGUUAACAGAUUGCAUAGUACUCUAGGAGCAGUAAAUUGACAAGUCUGCCACAGUUCAACAUCUCACGUAUCCUGCUCAUUGCUCAGUGGACCUUCUCCUUCUCACCAUAUUCCUCUUUAGCUUCUCUCUGUAUAUGUUGUUUUUUACUACUUUCAAUGCUGAAAAGAAUUUUGUAACAAAUAAUAUACAAACCAACUGUUUCCUCCUAAAGUCUAAAAUCAGCAACAGAAUAGCAGGCCGAUAGCAACAACCUGGUGCUGGAAAACAACACAAGAACCGGCAUUUGGAGUAUAUUGAAAACGGUGCUAGUGAACUGCAAACUUUCCGCAUACCAAUCCACUGUGACUCAAUCUCAAGUUAGUGUUUUAUUUUAUUAUUACUUAUUUGCCCACAGGGUAUGUUGUUAUUGUUGUUGUAUUUUUAUACCAGCAUCAAUCCCAAUAGUUAAUAUUGCAAUAUGAAUCCUGUGUAGUCAAGUCACUCUGUUCUGGUUAGCUUCAGCAAAUACCAUAACAACUUCAGAUGUUAGAUUUGAAAGCACAAAGCUAGCAAAACAGAAAGCUCAGAGCUUGAAAUGUCUACUUAAUAUGGCAUUACUCCUAUAACGUCAUGCAAUCACAUCCCUUAACCAAUGUGUCCAAAAAGUACCAACCAUAUAUUCCUUCGUAGCGACAAACUUAACAGUUCCUCGGCAUAGUUCAGGCCUCUCAUCAGCAUCCCUACGCCUGCCAUCUGGACCUAAGUUGCACUGAUAGUCACGAGGAGUUUCAUCGGUAUGUCCUGCAACAAGGACGGCAAGAAACAUGAGAUAAGAGUUGCAUAACAACACAUUUUCAUUAAACAUGCAGUAUUAAGAAAUUGAAAUGGUUUUUACAUUUCAAGUUAUGAAUGCGAUUGAUUAAUUAAAGCUAAUGGCCUUUGUCCUCACUUAAAAGUUGAGGAACCUGAAAAGAGAUAUCGGUAAAUGGAAUAGAGAGGUCUGUGGCAAACUAGACUAUCAGAGGAAUAAGGUUCUGGAAGAGCUGGGAUUCCUUGAACAAAUUGCUGAACACAGGGAAAAUACAACAGAAGAGAAACUGAAAGCUUGAAGUCUGAAACUAGACCUUAAACAGAUAGCAAUUGCUAAGGAAAUUUCUGUAACACCCCGCAUUUCGGACUAGAAUAAAAACCAUGACUCUGAUGCGUUGAUAAUCCCAGAGCCUUAAAUCCUAUGCCAAUUUGGCAUGUUUAUGUAGUAUGUGAAUCCAUCUGAGCAUGAAUUUAGACCCUAGAGGUCCUUCAACUCAAGGACAAGUUGAAACUAUCUCGAUCGAUUAAGUUUUAGUGGACGUUGUAAUUUGUGUCAGCUUCCAUCGACCAUAACUCUCUGUACAUGUUGAAUUAGAGAGCCUACUAUGUGUCAAAUCAUAGGUCUUCGAGCUAACUUUCCAACGAUACCAAUUUUGCUAAAAUCCGACACCCGAGCAAGAAGUUAUGGCCUUUCAAAGUAGUAUGCGUCACCUAACCAAUCGCACAUGGCCACUGGAAAGCAUAUGCGAUAGCAUAUGCGGCGCCUAUGUAAAUAUAGGCGAUAUCAUAUGCGGCGUCUAUGUAAAUAUAGGCGAUAUCAUAUGCGGAGGCUAUGUAAAUAUAGGUGAUAUCAUAUGCGGCGCAUAUCUUAUGGUUUCAAGUGACUUAAACACUCCGUUUUUGGGGCAAAAUAGUCCUUUUCCCACCCUUAUUCAGCCAUAAACACGAAAUUCAGUCCCCAAUUCUCCAAAAUACAUCCACAUUCAUCUAAAAAUUCUCAAGAACACUUCCAGGGGUUUCAAACUAAAAACCCAAAUAAAUCAAGAUUUAACCGUAGGUUUUCAAAAUUGAUUAGAGAUUCGGAAUCCCCAAUCCACAGGCUUCAAGAAGCACCCAUUAUUUUCCGAAAUAGAGGUACGCGGGGUUUUCCUAAAUUCUCAUGGGCAUAGAAAAAUCAUGUUUUAGAAUGGGGUUUUUGAAUCUAUGUAUAUAUUCAUGUAUUAAAUAUUUUAACAUCAUUAUUUUGGUCUUUUGACCUUCCCCAAAGUGAUUUGAGAAUAUGAAUGUAUGAAACCNNNNNNNNNNNNNNNNNNNNNNNNNNNNNNNNNNNNNNNNNNNNNNNNNNNNNNNNNNNNNNNNNNNNNNNNNNNNNNNNNNNNNNNNNNNNNNNNNNNNNNNNNNNNNNNNNNNNNNNNNNNNNNNNNNNNNNNNNNNNNNNNNNNNNNNNNNNNNNNNNNNNNNNNNNNNNNNNNNNNNNNNNNNNNNNNNNNNNNNNNNNNNNNNNNNNNNNNNNNNNNNNNNNNNNNNNNNNNNNNNNNNNNNNNNNNNNNNNNNNNNNNNNNNNNNNNNNNNNNNNNNNNNNNNNNNNNNNNNNNNNNNNNNNNNNNNNNNNNNNNNNNNNNNNNNNNNNNNNNNNNNNNNNNNNNNNNNNNNNNNNNNNNNNNNNNNNNNNNNNNNNNNNNNNNNNNNNNNNNNNNNNNNNNNNNNNNNNNNNNNNNNNNNNNNNNNNNNNNNNNNNNNNNNNNNNNNNNNNNNNNGGCAUACAGAGAUGUUAGGUGGUUCCCUAAAGAGGGCUUGAGUUCAAGCAACUCAUUGCCUAAAAUCGUGGUUUGCCGACCCGAGUAUAUUAUUAUAUGCUGACUUAAGUGUCGUGCGGCGUAUCAUAUUCAAGAACUCCAACCCUUCUGGCAUACUCGGGUUGGAGGCUUCCCUGCUGAGUCAAUGGCGGAUUCCAUAUCGCUCGUGGAAUAUCAGACUUGCAGGGGAUACCACCUAACUUAGAAGUAAUACACAGAUCAGAGUUUGAGACUUACAGACAGGUUACAUGUUUUCAGAAGGUGCCCAUGUGUUUUUCAGAAACUGUUUUAUGCAUAAUGUUUGAUGAACAUUUGCUCUCACGUAUUAUAUAUAUAUANNNNNNNNNNNNNNNNNNNNNNNNNNNNNNNNNNNNNNNNNNNNNNNNNNNNNNNNNNNNNNNNNNNNNNNNNNNNNNNNNNNNNNNNNNNNNNNNNNNNNNNNNNNNNNNNNNNNNNNNNNNNNNNNNNNNNNNNNNNNNNNNNNNNNNNNNNNNNNNNNNNNNNNNNNNNNNNNNNNNNNNNNNNNNNNNNNNNNNNNNNNNNNNNNNNNNNNNNNNNNNNNNNNNNNNNNNNNNNNNNNNNNNNNNNNNNNNNNNNNNNNNNNNNNNNNNNNNNNNNNNNNNNNNNNNNNNNNNNNNNNNNNNNNNNNNNNNNNNNNNNNNNNNNNNNNNNNNNNNNNNNNNNNNNNNNNNNNNNNNNNNNNNNNNNNNNNNNNNNNNNNNNNNNNNNNNNNNNNNNNNNNNNNNNNNNNNNNNNNNUUCGCGUGCCAGUACAAUUGUGCUGACCCCCUUCCUCCCAGGUAACUGAGGCGCAGUCUAGGGGUCUAGAUACUCAGUAGAGUCUACAGACAGAGUUGUCUCAGAGUUCAGUUGGUGAGCCUUCUUUGCUUCGAAAGGCCUAGUCAUUUAGGUAUUUAUUUCAGUAUGGCUUUUGGUCUGCUGGGGGCCUUGUCCCAGUUAUUCAGAUAGUAUGUCAGUACAGAUUUCGUAGACUGUUGCAGAUGUUUAUUAAAUAUUGUUGGGCAUGUUUUCAGGCCUUUAACUGUUUUAAAUUGUUGACCAUGUUUCCGUAUUAUUGUGUCUAUUCCGUAUUACUUUGAUCAUAUGAAUUAUGUGCAUAAUUACCAAAUAGACAGAGGACGUUCCGGGCCUUCAGGUUCGGGAAUGCUCGUCGCGGCCAGGGCCCCGGUUCGGAUCGUGACAAUUUCUUGGAGGAAAAAGUCCAGAUUUCUAUGGCUAAAAGCCGGGGACAAGAACACUAAGUUCUUCCAAAGAAUGGCAAACUCACACAAAAGAGGCAAUAGUAUUGACAGGCUAAAAAUUGAAGGAGAAAUCAUUGAGGAUGAGGAUGUGAUAAAAGAAGGCAUCCUUGAUUUUUACCAAAACCUUUAAAAGGAAUCUGAACCAUGGAGGCCAUCUGCAGAGUUUGAAAACAUCUCAACUUUAAGGAUUGAGGAAAGGGAUGAGCUAGAGCUACCAUUCAAUGUACUUGAAGUUCUUAAUGCUCUCAAAUCAUAAGCUCCAAGCCCUGAUGGCUUUACCAUGGCUUUUCUACCAGAAAGAAUGGAUUUUCAACAAAGAAGACAUCAUGAAUGCCUUCAGUUAUUCCAUCAAAACUAUCAAUUGGUGAGAUCCUGCAAUGCUUCCUCCAUUGCCCUUAUUAUCCCAAAGAAGAAGGUGCUUUGGAACUUAGGGACUUAAAACCAAUCAGCCCCGUAGGAAGCAUUUAUAAACUGGUGGCCAAGGGUCUGGCUGAGAGGUUGAAAAAGGUGGUGUGCAAUUUAGUUUCAGGUCAACAAAGUGCUUUCAUGAAGAACAGGCAGAUUACUGAUGCCUCACUUAUUGCUAAUGAAGUGCUAGACUGGAAGAUCGAAAGUGGGGAAACUGGCAUUCUAUGUACGCUAGACAUAGAAAAGGCUUUUGACCAGUUACAAUGGAGCUAUCUAGCUAAACUUCUAAAAAUACUAGGCUUUGGCAACAGGUGGAUUAAAUGGAUAUACUUCUGCAUCUCAAUUGUUAAGUUCUCAGUAGUGAAUAGAAGUCCAGUAUGGUUCUUCUAUCCCAAAAGGGUCUCAGGCACGGGGACUCCCUCUCUCCUUUUCUGUUUAUCUUGGCAAUGGAAGAGCUCACUCAGUUACUAGUUAGAGCUAGAGAACUUCAAUGGAUUCAGGGAUUCCAAGUUGGCAAUGACCCUAGCACAGCUGUUACAGUCUCACAUCUGCUAUAUGCAAAUGACACUUUGGCUUUUGGUGGAGCAAACAGACAACAAAGUGCGGCAAAUCAACAUCACUCCCAUGGUCUUUGAAUCAAUUUCUGGACUUCACAUCAACAUGAUCAAGAACAAAAGCUACCCAGUAAAUAGAGUCCCCAACUUAAAUGAUCAGGCAGACAUUCUUAGUUGCAAAACUAGAACUCUUCCAACUACCUACUUGGGAUUGCCAUUACGAGCAAAAUUUAAGGUUAUUGAAAGAAUGGAGAAGAGACUAGCAACCUGAAGAUGCAAUCUCUCUUUAGGAGGCACACUUACACUAAUCAGUAGUGUACUUGAUAGUAUUCCCGCCUACAUUAAAAGCCAUUUUUUACUUUUAGGAUUGUUUGGCAAAUUUAAAAGUUGCUUAAAAAAAGUUAAUUUUUGCUUUUUAAAAGCCAAAAGCUAGAAGUUGUCCAUUCCUUACUCUUUUUUUUCAGUUUAUAAUCCAUUAAAAGUUGACCACAUAAAAGAUAUUUGUGUCCCUUAUAAUUCUUAUUUAUUCCAAAAUUACCCUCUUGUAACCCCCAAAACACAUUCUCUUUCACUACAACACACUUCUUCUUGUAUUAAUUAAACAUUUUUACUUUUUGUAUUUAUGGCGAACUUAACUAUAGCCAUAUUAGUACCUCUUUUGUGUGAAACUUAUAAUUUAUGAAAUAUGAUUUUUAUGUAUUAUUCUCAUUCUUUAAUAUAUUCUUUUAAAUUUGAACAAUUAUUAUUAUACAACAUAUGAAUUUUUCUAAGGAAAAAAAAAACUCACCAACCAAGAUAUACGGAGAACAUUCACUGAAGAUAUACAACUUUAUGAACGAUUAGCGAACAAUUCACGAAUAUUUGACGACGCAACGUUCGUAUUCGACAAUGUUUUAAUAGUGGUAUAGUCAUUACUCAAUCAACGAGUAAUAUAUUUUUCAAUUAAGAGUCAUUUUAGCAAAGAAAUAGUAUCAUUUGUGACCAACUAUUUAUCUAUUAAUGUAAUUAUAAUGAUUAGUAACAUAUAUAUUUUGUUUGAUGAUUUAAACUCUUUUAACCAAGAAAAAAGAAUUUUUUUUAGCGCACAUUUAAUAGUCAUUCAUGAAAAUAUUUUAUAUAUUGAAACUGAAUUAAAAAUAUAUAUAUUAAUUUUAAUUUGAAUCAUUUUAGAAAUAAAAAUUAAUAAUAAUCUACUCUACAUAUUGUUAACAGCUUUAAGGGUAUUUCAGACAUUUUGACCCAAAAAAGUGCUUACAACACUUGUUUACCAAACACAUCAACAACUUUUUUUCAGUUUCAACACUUUUAUCCAAACACGUAACUGCUUCUUUUUAAAAUAAGUUUCAGCACUUUCAAAAGCACUUUUAAAGAAUCUUUUAAAAGCCAUUUUUUUUCAGUCUAUCCAAACAGGUUCUAAGAAGGAAAUUUCUAACAACAACAACAACAACAACAAACCCAGUGUAUUCCCACUUAGUGGGGUCUGGGGGGGUAAGAUGUACGCAGUCCAUACCUCUACCUCUGAUGAAGUAGAAAGGCUGUUUCCGAAAGACCCCCGACUCCAGGAAUACACCCCCACCAAUUACCUCCCUACAUUAGCGACCCGAACAGGCCCUAAUCCUCUGCCGUAAUUCGCGUCUUCCAGACCUUCCUAUCUAGGGUCAUGUCCUCGGUGAGCUGUAACUGUUCCAUGUCCCGCCUAAUCACCUCACCCCAGUACUUCUUCGGUCUACCCCUACCCCGUCUAAAACCAUCCAACGCUAGCCUCUCACACCUACGGACCGGGGCAUCCGUGCCCCUCCUCUUCACGUGUCCGAACCAGCUCAAUCGUGCUUCCCGCAUCUUACACUCCACUGAAGUCACACCAACCUUCUCCCGGAUAGUCUCAUUCCGAACUCUAUCCCCUCGAGUCAGUCCACACAUCCAGCGCAACAUCCGCAUUUCUGCCACCUUCAUUUUUUGGAUGUGGGAGUUCUUAACUGGCCAACACUCCGCUCCAUACAGCAAGGCCGGACGGACUACCACCCUAUAGAAUUUGCCUUUAAGCUUGGGCGGCACCUUCUUAUCACACAGCACCCCCGACGCGAGUUUCCACUUCAUCCAUCCCGCCCCAAUACGGUGCGAGACAUCCUCGUCAAUCUCACCGUUACUCUGGAUCACGGACCCGAGAUACUUGAACUUAUCCCUCUUACAUACCUCUUGUGCUUCCAGCUUCACUACUACCUUGUUCUCCCGCCUCACGUCAUUAAACUUACAUUCCACAACAAGGUUGCUCAUAAAACUCACAACAAGGUUGCUCAUAAAAUGGCUAUGGAGGUAUGGCCAAGCAGAGGCCUGAUAUUGGAAAGAUGUCAUCAUAGCCAAAUAUGGGGCACAGAAACAUUGGUGUACCAACAGGAUCAGAGUACCAUAUGGGGUAGGGGACCUAGAAAUUUAUCAGUAGCUUUCAAGAGGUAAACAUUGGUGUACCAACAGGAUCAGAGUACCAUAUGGGGUAGGGCACCUAGAAAUUUAUCAGUAGCUUUCAAGAGGUCUUCUUUCAGAAGGUAUCCUACAAAGCUCACAAUGUCUGACCAAUGGCUUGGAAACACUACAUUAAAGAAUGUUUUUCCCAGCCUUUAUCAAAUAGCCAACAACAGGGAAGCAACCAUUGCACAAUAUAGAGAUGGCAACAUGUGGAACACUAAUUUCAAAAGGAAUCACCAAGAUUGGGAACUCAAUGAUCUGCUGCUCCUCUUAGAGUCCUUGGUGUCCUAUCAUCUAGAUAGAAAUGCUAGCAGGAUCUUAUGGGGCUCUUCCAAUACAGGAACCUACACAGUGAAAGAUUUCUACAGAGCAGAAUGCUCGCAGAAUAGCCAAAUUGAGCUUUGGCCUUGAAAGCAUGUUUGAAAAACUAGACAACCUCUCAAAGUCACUUGUUUCACAUGGAUUGCACUAUAUGAAGUCUCUUUGACUCAAGACAAUCUCAGAAAGAAAGGCAUCAUCCUUACCAACAGAUGCUACAACGAACCAGUGAACCACCUUCUUUUGAUUCAACCUGUGACCUGCCAGGUCGAAUCAAAGAAGCAUAUUUUAGCUGGAUUUCUUGGAGAGUUGACAAAUUCAUCAAAAUAAUCUGGAUCAUGAUCCUUGCAGUCAUAUUUUGGACCAUCUGGAAGGAAAGAAAUCAUAGACAUUUGCUUAGUAACCUUAUUCAGUUGGCACUCCCUAUCCCCUGUAAACAGUGUCGAUACCUUUUUAGAUUUUGUUAGCUCCUUAACUCUUAUUUAACAGAGUAUCAAGGUAUCAUUCUUUUGACUAUGUUUCUAGGUUUUUGAAGCUAUUUUUAGUUUAGUCAGUUUUUUCUCUCUAGCUACUCGUACCAUUGCAUCUACGUGAUGCCUUUCUAAUACAAUUAAUAAUUACUUUAACCAAAAAAAAAAAGAAUUGCAUGUGUAAUGCUGAGGCCGGUCCGUCCACGCCUUGAAUAUUUAUCAGAGGUGAAUGGACUAUCCCCAAAAUAAAAGAGAUAUAGAGAGAGAAUCAACAAUUCUUUCCUUUUACUGUUCCACUUCAUAGCGCUAGUUAACUUAUAAAGUUGCUCACGGGCAGGCUUCACAUAUAGACUGACAUGUCAACCUAUAAGGAUUAUAUUGAUAUCUAUCAAUGUCACUUCCAAAUAAAACUUAUAUCUGAAUUAGGUCCAGAAAAGACUACGUUUAAAGAUAAUUUUCUUCUUUGCAGCUUAUGAAAUGGAAGGUGUAAGAGUAAGACUGCUCACAUGUUCUCCGUUAACCAAUAAGAAUGAAUAUUAGACGUUUGAGAAUGUGCUUAUGUGUUUUGCUAGACUAGUUGGAGCAGAAAAAUAUCAAUAACGAUGUAAAUUUGAUACUUCUGUUUGGUAUUCUGUAGUUUCACAAAACAUCACAGCCAUGCUAUGUUGCAUUUCAAUCUUGAGUCUCUAAAUAAUAUAUAGAGCCACUCAAGACUCCAAAUAUCACAUAACUUCAGUGGAAAUAAAUGAAAUUCAUUCUUACCACAAAAUGAAUUUAAAGUUUCAAAAAAAAUCUUUCUUACCACAAAAAUUACAGAUGAAACGUCUUCCCUGAUCAAUGAACUUCACAAAAGGAUUUAUAUAACCUUUGCAACGGGAGCACCGAACAGGACCAUUUUCCCCAAAAUCUACCACCUAUCAAGGAAAACAACAGGUAGGUAAAAGAACUAACAAACUAUUUCAUUCUGCAGUCAAGUAAGCCACACAAACCAAUUUAGAUGAUUGAAGUGACCCUACAUGUUUAGAAUAUAGAGCAAGUAGAAAUGAAAACAAAUAUAUAACAAACAUAAACAUAAGAUCCAUGAUGAUUAGUCAAAACAUUAGAUGAUUGAAGUGACCCUACAUGUUUAGAAUAUAGAGCAAGUACAAAUGAAAACAAAUAUAUAACAAACAUAAACAUAAGAUCCAUGAUGAUUAGUCAAAACAAUCUCCACUCUAGGGAUCACGAUCAUGCCUUUUUGUCACGAAGAAGAAGAAGAAAAAGAAAAAGCACACUGCCCUGACGAAGGUCAUUGCAGUCAAUUGUACAUCUUAGAACAAAUCAAGCCAGUAAUACUUCAACAAAUAUCAACAAACACAAUUAAUUGUAAUAAUCACUUAUAAAGAUCUUGACACUACAAAUAUCAUUUGUUUGCAUGCGAUAACUUAAUUUUCGGUUAAUCACAUAUAAGACAGUUCUGCUUUUGGCUUACUUUGAGGCUAUAUCCUAGUUCUGGAUCAAAAUUAGGAAGUCCAAAAUAGUUCUUUUGUAACUGCCGGAAUCCUAGCCUGUGGGCUGUGGCUGCCUAUUUCUUUUAAUAUAAAACUUGCUUACCUUCUAAAAAAAAAAAAAAAAGAGUCCGCAAUGAUCCAGCUGGAGAGGCACAUAAAAAUCAAGAUUAGCGGUUAUGUGGCAGCAAGUAGCUAAGCUACUAUCGAAUUACUUGGGCCUACAACAUGGGUGAAAGUGCAAAACAGCUCUAGUUAUCAAAGGUUGAAAGAGAUGAGAAAAAACUGGAGACAUGGAAGCAAGGAGGAGCCAGCCUUAAAGAUACGGGUUUGGAAGAAUCCAAUAGUUUUGGCUCAAAACCCGUGCUUGAGUUUUAAGUAUAGAAUCUUUUUUGUUCUCAAAAGGUCCCUUUUAUUCAUUCUCAAAAGAAGUCUUGUUGUUUCUUUCCUUCCAAAUUGUUAUUACCUCGUGCUCUUCGGAUAAAAUAUAACAUAAAUCAUCCUUCAUAAAGGUAUGCCAUUAUUUACCUCGAACACUAUUACUUUUCCUGUUCCGUCAAAGGUUUCACACUUUCAUUUUUAGCCUGUUCGAAAAAGAAUGAUGUUACUCUACAUUUAGAAAUAAUUUCACUUUAAACUUCUCUUUUCACCCUCAAUGACAUGAUUUUAUAGCCACAUAAAUAUCACGGCAUGUUUAAGACCACAAAUUCUACAAUUCUUUUUCUCUCCACUUAAAUGUCAUGCCCAGACAGAAAGGUUCACAUAUAAUGAAACAUAAGGGUACAAAAAGGCUAUUAAAAUUAGAAUACAUAGAUGGCAAAAAAUGCUUUACCUGAAGGGGCUGUUCAGAUGGAUGAGGAAGAGCCAAGGGCUGGAUCAAUAAAGCCAAUUGCAUUGCCGAAGUUGUCAAAAGGUCAACAGUGCGUGGUAUCUGUUAAACAAACAACGAGGACCAAAUCAUCUACCAUUAGUGCUUUAAUUAAAAAAAAUAUAUAUGGUUAAUAAGCUACUCAUUACAUAGAAUAAGAAAGAGUAUAAUGCAGAAACCAUAGAGGGAAGAAUAACAGAGACAAAAAUCAACGCAAAAAAGUCUAGUACCUAACCAUGGGCUGCAAUUUCCAGUGUCCCUAGCAAUAUAGUUACUUGUGGCAGGCUUCGAGUGGACGAAAAAGGAAAAAGGAAAAAAAGGAAACAGCAGCAAGAACAAAAAAGUUAGUUUAGUAAGAAGCUUUGGGAGGCAAGCAUAACCAUUUGAAAAAAAGAUGGUUCAGCCGCAUAUGCAACAGUACUAAAUGAAACAAUAAUUUACCGGAGGGGGAUUGGCUUGGUUGCAUUGUCGGGUUUCAUGCAGAACUACAGAAGCAUUUGGAAUAGGGCGCGGGAUUUGAUUUGGAUCAACUUUUGAUGGGCUGGAAUGGCCAAUAGAAGAAGUUAUCGAAGCCACUGCCUGAUUUGAAAGGGGAGGCGCCAUCCCAUACAUACUUGGUGGUUGCAUGGAACCAGGAAGAGCAGAAGGUGGAGCCCCCUGUCAAUAAGUAAAAUCAGGAUAUGCCCUUCACAUGAAAGAGGAAAUGGAGUAAAAGCAUGCUAAAACCAAUUUACUUGAUCCAACAUGUGAUCCACAUUGGAAGUGUGUCAUGCACGUAAGGGUCUUUUUGAAUUAAAUAUAAGUUUUAUCAGAGAUCCUUUUACCUCUUCUGAUUAAGAAAGGAUAGCUAGGUUGUUGUAGCUUCAAAUGUGAAAGUUUUCCUUUUCAGAUGGUCCAGCCAGCCAAACAGAAAAGGUGGUGCAAUAUACUUUGAUACUGUUUAAAUUUUUCAUGCUUGAGGAAACUUGUGCACUUCAAAUUUUUCUUUUACAAGCACUUAUACACUCAAGAUAUAAUAUAACAAUUAUUUAAAUAGCGGCAGAUUUUGCAGCAAACUUAUGAAAGGGUUUCUCUAUUUAUAGUUUGAAUUGAUUAGACAAAGUAAAUAAGUGAUACUGAAUAUAUCUUUUUCAUUACUUUCAAGCAUAGAAAAAUACCUAGCCAAAAUAUAACAAUUUAUAAAUAAAAAUAAUUUUUAUUUAUGGAGUAAUCAAAUAUAUUAUUUAAUAACUUCAACUAAUGGAAGAACCCCAAAAAACAUAUUAAAAGUUCAAAAGGAAAAAAGAAUUCAUAUAGGUAAUUUCGUUAAUGAGAAUUUGAGCUCUCUUUUGUGUUGACGAAAAAGAUAAAUUUUAUAAUGCACAUACUACUAAAUAAAAGUUACUUAAAAUAGCAGCACAUUUUAAUAUUUUAUCACAAAUCCAUCAAAAUACUUCGACGAUUAUCUCUGAAUGAAUAAAAUAUGACAUCAUUGAUUUAUAUGGGAGAAAUACACUAGAGGUGAAAUGAGUUAAACUAUCAAAGAUAGAAAAAAAGAAAAGAAUGUACAUAGAACGUAAGGGCACAGAACAAUAGACAUUGCAUGAGGGAAAACUGCAUAAAGCUGGAGGAAUAUUUGACUAUUUAUACCAUGUUGGAGCGAGAAAAUUAUUUUCACCCCUUUCUAAAUUUUAAGUCAUGACAGCACUUCACAGUGUAGCUUUUUUCUUCACUUUUAGACCCUACUACUUCCACAACAAAUUUUCUGGAAUUACCAAUUGGUCAUUAACAGAGUUUUGAUAUCAUUCUCACAUUACUCAUCAACAGCACCAAAUAGUAACCGAUUUCUGAAUAUUAUUGAUCAGUAUAUCCUAAAAGUCAUGAAGCAUCUCUUCAACAUUAGCCCCCUUGAACCAUUGUAAUUCCUUGAUUCCAGAACCAACAGGCCAACAUUUCUAGUUGGUUAUUAAAUAUAAUAAAUACACGCAUAAAAUUUGAUUAAAAACGCAUCUUGUGUGGCUUGUUGAUCCAAAAGAUGUUUGUGCAAAUUAAAAAUACAAAUCCUAUGACUUCUUUUUUAGUCUAUCACAGGAAAGAACUAAAUAUAUCUCUCAGCUCCAUAGAUUACAAAAUAAAUUACACUUCGCUAAUGAGUUUAGGGAAAAUUCUUAUUUUUCCUUCAAUAACAUAUGCACAUGAUAUCAAAUUUUUCUUUUGGGAAAAUACAUAGAUUUCACCUUGCAAAAAAGGUACAGUAAGAUAGGCAUAAAAAGAUCACCUGAUGGGGUGGCAGUUGCCACGACUGUGUUCCACCACGACUGUGUUCCAUAAGGAGCACCUAUGGGUGGAGCACCCAUGUGUGGAGUGCCCAUGGGUGGAGCACCCAUGGGUGGAGGCAUGGCUUGAGAAGGUGCUGCAAAUGGGGAGAAACCUGGAGGAGGUGGCACAUUCUGAAAUGAUCCUGAAAAUGGUGGUGGUGGUUGUGCUGUAACUGGUGUCGUGCUGACACAUGACGAACUUCCAAAGGGAGAGCGCAUGCGUGAAGGCUGAGAAGAAGCGCCUGGUGAAACCAUAGCUGGUGGAGGAGCUCCAAAUGGUGGCCUCAUUGCAUUGCUUGGAGGAGGAAUACGUGCUCCACCCUGCAUCAUUCCCGGACCACCUGACGGUGGCCCAUUACUAACAGAGCUAGAAAUGCUUGAUGGUGGUGGCACAGCAGGACCUGUUGUCAACGGCGAAGAAGAAAAAGAAUCCGGAGGCCCCGGACGAGAACCCAAUCCAAAAGGAGAAGACCCAGGUGACGGGGGUGCACCACCCAUAGAAGGAGGCAUUACACCAGGAGGAGGUGGCCGAGAUGCAAAGGGAGGAACAGACUGAGCCACGGAAGGAGGCAAUCCAUUGUGUGGAGGACCACCAGGAGGUGCAGGGCCUCUUGGAAAUACACCAGGCGGUAGAGGUCCUGGACGACUAACAGGUGGUCCACCAGCAAAAGGUGGCUGCUGCCCAAAUGGGGUAUUAGGCCUAGGAGCACCAGGUGGCUGAUUGGGCCUAUUUACUUGUAGAUUUUGCAUACCAUCAGCAAGUGCAUUAGGGUUAUAAUUGGGUGGAGGCGCAUUCCUUGGUCUAGGUCCCCCUGGAGCUGCCAUUGAUUAUUUCCAAAUUUCCCAAAACUCUAGAACAGAUGCCACAGAAAAAAAAAAGUUUAAUAAAUAGAUAAAAUCAACAGAAACAAAAAAUAAGAACAGCAAUCUUCACUAUAUCAAACAAUCAGCAAGAGAAAACAAAACAUAUUGAUUCAAAGGAAAACAAGUCCAUAAAAUCAAUCACAAAAUAAAAAUAACCAGACAAUACAUCUUUUUUUAUCCCCUUCAUCCCCCCUCCUUCAUUUCAGCACACGCGGCCCAAAGAACCUGGAAGACGGACAAUUAACACAUUGACACCCAGAAAUAGCAUCAGCGGAAAGGUCCAAAUGACAAAGGCGGCCAAGUCAAACACCACCAGCUCCAAAACAACAGAAAUUAGCAAAGAGAACUCAAACAUCUCAUGAAACAAAAACAGAGCUGACAGGUUUAAAAGAGCAGAAGUGAAGGUGGAGAACUCCCUAGAUCUGGAAGAAAAGAAAAUGGACAGGAUAUGGUUCUUCCUGAGAGAAACUGAGAGAUUACAAAGACAUGGAAAAAACUGGUCUCUUUGGCAAGAACAAAAUUUCUAUGGCGAUAUAAAUGAGUCCCAACUACAGCAUACAAAUGGGAUUGAAUAAAGAGUGGGGAUAAUAUGAGAAUCACUCAGCCUUUUCAGUUUUUUAUUCAAGAUAUACAGAGAGCUAGAGCACAAUAAGAUGCUAACUAGCUAAACAAAGAUGACAUGCAUCGACAUACCUACCCGCUUUAGAACUAGACACAAACCAUAAAGGGAAGAGAACAGCAAAAGGCUAUUGAUAGAAGAACCCAAACUACCAUUCGGUAUCAUUUUAAGGAAGAUCUAGGGCACAUACUUUGUUGUGCUUGGCCAUUGACGAAACAGAUCAUAUCACAAUAGAUAUAUACAAAAUCACUCGAAAAAGGAAGAAAACUAAUUGCCUCCAAAGGCAGGGAUCAAAUCUUAGAAGUACACGCAAAAAAGAACAAAUUAAUAGAGGCUCAAUUGGAAGAAGAGCGAAAAAUUUCAGACAACGGCAUGGGAGAUACACAAAUAACGAUCCUAAGGCUGGAGAGAGAUAGAAAAAUCUGUGCCAUAUUUUUGCCAACUGACCUUCCUCUAUUUCUCUAUGGACUAACUUACUCAGUUAGGGCUUCUUUAAAUGGAUCAUUGCUAGCUUUCUUUGUGGAUCCAAAAAAUAAAAUCUUCCCUAGAUCUAGAGUUUUCACGGUGCGAUUACAUAACAAAGUAUAAACCAUUUCCCCUCUUAAACUUCAUUUAAAAAUAGAAUUUUCAUCUAAAUUUGUAUAAUGAAUGUGCUUCUUCUCCUUCAAUUUCGGGAUGUUAGUCCAAUUAGUUUGUAAUUCUAGAACACAAUGCCCUCAUUGAAGUAUCAAGUAUCAGCCUCUCUUUCUUUGAAAUUUUAUAACAUGCUAAUUUAUUUUCUUUUUCUGAAGUUCUCUUCUCAUGGUAUUGAUUAACACAGUAUAUAUAGUGUUCUUCUCCUCCAUCCAAAGAACAUUCUAUUAAUAAAAUGAUGGAAUGGGACUUAGAGUAACUGGUAAAGUUACUGUCUUGUGAUCAGGAAUGCACAGUAAAAUUGUAUACAAUAAACCUUUUUGAUCCGGAUACACGGAAGCUUUAGUGCGCCAAUGUUUCCUUUUUAUUAAUAAAUGAAUCAAUCUGCCUAUGAUACAUGGUGAAAGUAUGAGCUGGAAGGGUUCAUAAACUAAACUAUUCGGCCCUUGAGCUGCCGUUGAUUAUUAACAAAUUUACAACCUAAGCAAAUUCCAGCUCAAUUAAAUGUAUCAAAAAUCAUCCACAAAAAUGGAACAAAUAAAUAGUCAUAAAGAGAAAUUUACAGGCUAUAAAUAAAUAAAUGAUACUAAAAAGAAAAACUAACCAGCUAUAAUGUUAAAUUGAAUUAAAGGACGUUAACGUUGACGCCGGUAGCAACGAAACGACGUCGUGUGUAAAAUUAAACAGCGAAUGAAUUCGCCUACUCACCGAAACCCUUACUGUUACAAGUGAUAUACACGAACCGAGUUUUCAAUGACCUUGAACGACUUCGAUCUGAUACAAAAAACCUAAUUCGAUUAAAAUCAAUUAGAUCCAAAAUACAAAAUUCAAAAUUGAAUACAUUCACAUAAACAUAGCAUUCAACGUCAUUCAUAUAUACUACAUGUACAUACAUAAAAGGGAAAAAAUGUUGAACCUGAAAAUCUAGAGGAGGAAGACGCUGGGUUUAUAGAUCGAAAUUGGUGAAGGUUUCAGUGAUCGAAUACUGGCUCAAUGGAGAAGAAGAAGGUGUAACUAUAUUUUUUUUUACUUGUCCAAAUAGAGAUUUUUUUUUUUAUUACUUACUAUUUAAUUGUGUAGAGUAGUUUUGAUAAAUAACGCAAUCUGAUUGGUCUAAACCCCAGAAAUUGAUGUCAAUGCAGGAAAAUGAAUUGUGUAGUUGUUGUAAUAUUUAGGUGCAUUAUUUUGUUGUCAUUUUUUUUUUCUACGAUUAAUAUUCUUCCUUAAAAAUUGUGUAAUAAAUAUUGGUUGUUCAUAUUAUUAAAAGAAAAAAAUCAAAUUACUUACUAUUGAUUAUUAAAACUAAGGUAAAUUAAUUAUUUUUCCCAUUUUAUCUUUAUAGUUAAUUCUUUUGAAAGUGUAUACAAGUUUGUAAAAUCUCAGGAAAAAAAUUAAGAAAUAAAUUUUUAAAAUUACUAUUAUACAUGAGAGAGAAUAGAAUUUUUUGGUAGUCCUUACAUAAUUUUUUUUAUCUCUUUUACUCUUAAUUGAAGUUUUUAUUACUUUGUAAGUAAACACAUAUUUUAAUAAAUUUUUAAAACUUUAAGGUCUUUUACAUGCCACCAAAAGUGAAAAGGAUGAUAGUAGACCCUGCAAAACAUACUUAUACAUAUUUGAGUCUUUAUUUAUUUUAUGUAAACAUGCUAUUAAACUUGUUUCAAAUUAUAUUUGAUUGUAACAUUUAAUUAUAAACGCAUAAAUAAUUAUUAUAUUGUUCAAUUUCUAUCAUGAUAAACGCAUAAUUAAUGAGUUCAAAUAUUUUUCUUAUAAUAUUAUUUGUUGAUGUUAUUUAUAAUGUUUAAUUUGUAAUUUAAAUUGUUAGUUAAUGAUUAAUAAGUAUAGUUUAUUUUAUUUUAAUUUUAUCUGUAAUUUUAUAUUGUACAUGCCGACAAACAUAAGUAAUUAACAAAGAUUACACUUAUAUAAAAUUAUAUUUUAAACUAAAUAAUAACCAUAAUUAAAUUCAUCAUUGUUAAAUACUCUUAAAAUGUGUCCAAAUGUUAGUUAUAAUCAUUUCAUUUAAGUCAAAAAAUAAAUUUCAUAAUAUGAUAGUUAGUUAAUCUAAUUUUAUGUGCGCACAUUUUUAAUUUAAAAUUUACUUGAUAAAUGACCAUAUUAAAAAUAAAUAAUAAAAUAUUAUUUUUGUAUAUAUUUUGAAAAUGCUUGGAGAAAAAUGUAGUUAAAGAAAUUAUAAUUUGAUUUCCUAAUAGUUUAUGAUAAAAAUUAUAGGAAAAAUACUCAAAAAAAUACCUGAACUUUGACCGGAUUUGCAGUUGAUCAUACUGAACUUUGCGGGGGUCCUAUUACCCACCGAGACUUUUUUUAAGUGGAUUUAAUUCCCCCCGAAAUGCUAUACGCAGUUUUGACGGUUGACAGUGUAAUACACGCGCCAAUCUCGUUUUUACACGUGUUUUUUUAAAAAUAAUUUUUAUUUACUUUCUUCUCCAUUCUUAUUCUUUUCAUCAAUUUUCAUUAUUUUUUCACCAAAAUCUUGAUUUCUAAUUCUUGAAGUUUGACUUUUAUUUAGUUCAUACUAAAUCUUUUCCCAAAUUUCAAAUUCAAAUCGAAAACUUUCUUCAAUAAUUUUAUUCAAAUCGAAUGGAAUACUUUCCAAAGUUUCUUAAUUAUGCCCAAAUGCCAACGACAAUGGUGGCUGCCGGCAGCAAUGGUGGAAUUAAUUUCCUCCAAAAUUUGAUAAAGAUUUGAUUUUUUUCCGACCAAAUGUAAAAGAUGAUUAGUUUUUCAAUUUUGCGAUAUUUUUUCUUUUACAAUUUAAAAUUGGGUCAAAUUGAUGGAAAAUAAUUGGGUGUUGAAGAUGAAAGAAAGAAGCACCAUUGGAGCACCAUUAAAGAGAAGAAAGAAAGAAGAGAGAAGAGAUUGAUUUUUUUUCGACCAAACGUAAAAGAUGAUUAAUUUUUCAAUUUUGCGAUGAAUUUUUCUUUUUCAAUUUAAAGUUGGGUCAAAUUGAUGGAAAUGAAUUGGAUGUGUUGAAGAUGAAAGAAAGAAGCACCAUUGGAGCACCAUUGAAGAGAAAAGAGAAGAGAAAGAAAGAAGAGAGAAGAGAAAAAAUGAAAAAAUAAAUAAAAAUAUAAAAAAUUUAAAAAUCAGAAAAUUGAGGGGCUAUUUGACAAAAAAAAGGGUUUUAAUAUUUUUUUAAUACUCUCACGCGCCUAAUGCGCGUGAAUUACACGCACUUGUCAAAGUGGACAGAUAUAUACCAUUAAAAUACGAAAAAAAGAAGUCUAGGUGGGUAAUAGAACCUUCGCGAAGUUCAGUAUGCUCAACUGCAAAUCCGGUCAAAGUUUAAGUAUUUUUCUGAGUAUUUUUUCAAAACUAAAAGCUCAAUUUGAAUAAUCGGAGAUUAGAAACUCAAAAGAUUUCGGUAAAAUAGAAAUUAGAACUUUCAUACACGCAUUUUUUUUUUUGAAAGUGUAAAAUUUAAAUUAAAAAAUAUUAUCCUUUAACUUUUCAAUAUCAUUCAUACUGUACUAUUUUAAAACUCCUUAAAAAUUAUUACACUGAUAUCACAAAAAAAUAAAAAAAUAAGAACGAUUUUUUUUUUAAAAUAUCUAUAAAUUUAUUUGAGAUAAUACUCAAUCACCCCCUGAACUAUACUCAAAAAGGCUAUGACACACCUCAACUUAAACGGGGUCCUAUUACCCCCGAACUAAUUAAAAGUUGAAUUUUCACCUCCUUAAUGUCUAUGUGGCACAUACGUGGCACAACACACUAAAGUGUCCACGUAGGCACACGUGUGUGCCACGUAUGUGCCACAUAGGCACUAAGGGGCUGAAAAAUUUACUUUUAAUUAGUUCAGGGUGGUACUAGGACCCCCUUUAAGUUGAGGUGCGCCAUAACCUUUUUGGGUAUAGUUCAGAAGGGUAAUUGGGUAUUUUUUCAAUUUAUUUUGUUAAUGGAAGUUUGGGCCCAGGCUUAGUCGGGCUAAAUGAAACUAGUUACUUUACUACUAUAUAUAAGAGACAAUUCAAGGACUUUGGUAGUCCUCACAAAAGUUUUCAAUUUAAUUUUAAUUUUUUCAAUUAAUUACUUUUAUGUCAUGAUUUUAUCUUUUAUAGUCAUUUAAUUAAUUUUUUAAUCCUAUAAUAUUGUGACAUCUGAUUGACAUAGCUGAAGUUUUUUUUUUUUUUUUUUGGUUAUAUAGACCUUUGCACUUGGUGCAUGUGUCAUAGUAUGAGAAGCUAUUAUUAAUAUUUUUUUUUUGUAAUUUCGAUUAAUUAAUUAACUAUUUAGAAAAUAAUAAUUGGGAGUAGGACAAGGGAAAUUACGGAGGAGAUUACGAAGCAAAAAAUUAAAUAUUUACCAAUAAAGUAAAGUUUAGGUAGUUAAUCAAUUGAAACAUUCAAAUUCUCAUAUUGUUUAACUAAUCGAUAAAUCAUUUUUAGAAUCUUCCAUUAUAAUGUUUUAUUUCUCAUACUUAUAUAUUAUUUAAUCAAGUCUAUUGCAAAAUAUAAACGUCAAAUAUCGUUUAAUUAUUUUUUUUAUUAAAUUAUUUGUACUUCAUGCUUUAUGAAGUAUAAGACCAAAAAGUAUUAAUUUUUCCCUUUGCUACUUACAAGACCAAAAUAUUUUAAUUUGACUAUUUUUCAUUAACUUUUUAAAUUAAAAUUAAUUAUUUAAUUAAUUUUUGUAAAUUAAAAUAGCUUUAAUAAAAUUAAUAUUUUAUAUGAACUUUUAUUUAAAGUAGUUUAAGAAAAAAAAAUUGACCGUGGAGAAUUUUUUCUGUUGCAUAAAUAAUUCAUCAUUUUUUUUCUUUCUUAUUAUUAAUCUUUAUUAUUUAUUUUCCAUAAGAAAGAGUUUUGUACAAAUAAUGUGGGUAUGCAGAUAUAUUUUAUUUCUAUUGAAUUGAAUAUGGUUCUGAUGCAUUUCUUAAUUAUCUUUUAUAAAUUGAAUAAUUUUUUGUGGACAAUUUUAUUUAAUGCUUUUUAAAAUAUCAGACAUAUUUCAUAUACAAAAAAUUAAAAUUAUUGAUAAAGUUAAAAAUUAAGGUAAUGAUAUGAAUUAAGAUGAAAUUAUUUUUGAAAUCUCUUUUCUGGUCAAUUGAGAAUCAAUAUUUUUAAGCAUUAACUAUAGAGAGAGAAUCAAUUGAUCUCGAUGUUCAUUUUAGUGAGUCUAAUUUUUUUUCUUAAUUUAGUAUAAAAUUAUGCUUAAAGCACCACAAUUAACUAGCAUGAAUUCUUGUCACGUGAAAUUAUAAAUAAAAUCAUACAUUUUUCAUCACACACAAGAAGCCUUGAGUAAAUAAUUGAUCCACUUGAUAUAUUUUAAAUCAUAUUAGUCAUAAAACAUCAAAUUACUUGAGUUUGGGCCUUGUAAAACUAGACUAUAUAUAAGGGAGAACAUCUUAUUUUGGUAGUCCUCACAUAACUGUAUUUUGUCUAUUUUAUCCUUAAUUAAGUUUUAAUUACCUUUUAAAAUCUCAUCCAUUUUAAUAAAUCUAAACAAUCACAUGAGCAUUUAAAAUGCUAUACAAAAAUGAUGAAUCAUAAAGAAGUGAUAGUGACACUAUAAAAUAUCUAUUUAUCUAACUAAAUUUAAAAUUAAUUCAAAAUUUUAUUGUCGCCUUUUAUGUGGGAUAAUAUUAAUUUAAUUAAAAAAAAUACAUUUUUUAAUCCUCACAAGAAAUUUGUGAAGCUUUAAUAAACUUGUAAGGACUCAUUGAAGAAACAUCUACAAAAAGUAUUUUAUUGAGUUUGACUUUUAAUUAUUUAAUUUAUCAUAAAGCAUACAAUAGUUUGUAGCAUCAAAUAUUUUUAUAUUAAUCAAAUAUUGUAUUAUUUUUUUAAAAAUAUGAAUCAGCAAUGUAAAGUUUAAUUGAGAAAAAACAAUGAAAUUAAUUAUACAUAAGGCAAAAAUCAAUUUAGAUCGUUAAAGGCUUUCAUUCAAAACUUUCAGUAAAAUAAAAAGGAGAAAAUUUUUCGUGUGUGCAUUUGUUUGAAAAUUAAAAGAAAGACUAAAAUAUACCAUAAGAAAAAUUGUUAUUUUUAACUUAUAAAAGCUUUUACUCCCUCUGUUUUAAUUUAUAUGUUUGAUUCUGACUUAACACAAAGUUACAGAAAAAGUAACGAAUAUUUUUGAAUUUUAUGGUCUUAAAUUAAAAAUAUGUAGAAAGGAUCAAAAUAUUUGUUGAUCUUGUUGUCUUAAACAUGCCACGUGGACAGUUGGAUUAACCAAGAAAGAAAAGAGACAUUUUUUAAAAAAGAACUAAAAAAAUAGGACAAAAAUUGAAACAGAUAUAUAAUUAUAACAUUUUAAAAAUAUUAAAAAAUAAUCAAACCAAACCGUUAAACUAAUAUAAUGGUAUAAAAAGUAAAAAUAGCAAGUUAAAAAAAUUACAAAUAUAAAAGUUAAUGUAGUUUGAGCCCGGGUUUAGCACGAGCUAAACGACACUAUAAUUUCUUAAGGAUAUGUAGAGAAAAAAUAGAUAACUAAGUAAUACAAAAAGAAAGGAAAAUGUGUGAAGCAUUAAAAUUAAAUGUUUGAAUUCUAUUACAAUGAGGGAUCGUUUGAUGUGUGAUAUAAGUGAUAAAUAAUUUUGAAAUAAAAUGAAGGAAUAUUUUAUCUCAUGUUUAUUGUGAGGUAUUAAUUAGUAUCGGGAAUUAUUUAUCCCACCAUUUUACACUAUAGUGAUAGAAUAAGUUAUCUCUUAUACAUUGUGGGACAACUAAUCCUGCAAUGACUCUUUUCUAAUCAAACGACCCCUCAGAGUAACAAGAAGAAUAAUGUAUCUGUUGCAAGCCUACAAUAUCACAAAUGAUGUUCGAGAAAGACGGAGAGAGAAUUUAUUCGUAAUAAAGCAAAAUAUCAAACCAGCUCGGUAAAAGAAACAACUAAAGUAAAAAGUCAUAUAAUGAAAUACUAAAGAUAACUUGACAAAAUAUUUUUUUGGUAGAAACAACAUAAACAAUAACUACAACAUAAUAAUAUUAGUUAAAUAGGAAGCAAGAGGUAGCAACAAAAAACAAAUUUCAAUAAAUAACACAUAGUAAAUAGAGAUUGAGAAUAAAAAAUUACAAAAAUAAUAUGACGACUACUAGUGUAGAAGAAUUAGUGAGACAACUUUUAAUUACCUACUAGAUUUUUACUUAAGUCGUGUCCUCAAAACUUUCAUCUAAGAUUAUACCCUCAAUAAGUUGAACUUGCGUUAUCUUUCUUCAAUACUUUUUUAGACUAUUUUUGUCUCUUUUGAAGUUAUUCAGAGUCAAUUUCUCACACCUGGACAUUCGAACGCCUCCUAACAAUACCCAAAUCAUCUUAGUCUCGCUUCUUAGUUCUUACAUAUUGACCUUUACAUGUCAUUUUCAUUUUGUUGGUACUGUCUUCAUUUUUAAUCAUAUCAUCGGUAAGUUGAACUUGCAUCACCGUUCUUCAAUACUUUUUUGAUCUAUUUUUGUCUCUUUUGAAAUCAUUUACAGUCAACCUCUCACACUACUGCACUAGAACAUCCACGUCUCAUAACCACACCCAAAUCAUCUUAGUAUAACUUCUCACAUGUUGGCCUCCGCGUGUCACUCUCAUUUUGUCGUGACUUUCAUUUUUAAUCAUCUCUUCCAACAAGUCCACAUAUUCAUCUCAUCGUUUUUAUCUCCACAACUUUCAUCUUCUGAACAAAAAUUUCCGACUGGUCAAUAAUUCGCCUCAUAAAGAAAUAUCAUCUACCAAAAAUUUUCAUCUUGUUAUGUUAAGAGUGUGCAUAAUUAAAAUUACACUCAUAGUACCUAGCACUACACCACAUAAUUUUUCGGAAAGGAUAUGCUUACGUAGCUCCGCCGAUGAUAGUAGGAGUAUUUGGAAGCUGGAUUUGUGGAGGCAGGGACAAGACAAAACAAAACAAAACAAUAGGGAGGAAGUUGCGGGGAUGCUUCCAGAAAGUGUUGAAAAACGCCACGCCAAGCAGCCCCCCACAUAUCAUCAUCAGUCCAUGUAAUGACAUGACAUAAGACGAAUUGAAAGUUUGGCAUGCAUUGUCAGGGCAAUUGCCGUGUAACAGACGAAUUGACAUGAUUGCAAGCGUUAUUACAAAAUUAUACACUAGUACCAAAUAAGGAUAAAGCUAGCAGCAAAAGAAAUGGAAUACAAAGAGUAGAAAAAGUGAGAACAGACUAUCUACUUACUUUACUGGAAAGUCAUACAGUACCAUCUUCUUAAGAUGAUUAUUUGAAAUUGUAAAUUAUCAAUUAUAUAAUCUUAUAUCUUGAGGAAGAAAAUUAAUGUGCAAACUUUCUGGCAAAGAAGGUCACAUGCACAAAGAAAAUUUGCUAAUCUAAAAAGUAUGCGUGAAGGAAAUAAAAUCUCAUUUCUUCUCCCUCACACAUUUGAGAAAUGUAGCUAAUGAACAAUGUUAAAAGUAGGAGUGCUGAGGAUUGGCAAGACUGAAGUAGCUUGGACGGUUACUCAUGCAAAAGGAGAAUCUGCAAGGCAGGAAUUCUAUAGGAUGGUUCUAUCAAGAUGUGUUUAUCUUGCUUGGCUUAAAAGGAAUGCCAUGUUUGCCUUGCCUACCUUUUUCUUCCCAAUGCCAGUCCACACUCCACACUAAUCUUUCAGUUCUUUCAGAUGGAAGUUCUAAUUGUCACUUCCAACAAUUGAUCAAAUUCAGUUUAAAGCUAACAUGAGAACUUAAUUCCUAAUACGAUUGUAAUAAUGAACCAAAGGAUCUUGUUUUGGUAUAUUAAGAAUUUGAAUCAGGUCCUUUAAUCUAUAGCUCGAACAAAUUUUGACAGAAAGGGCUCCCAAAGGUCAAUCUAAGUAGAUUGAAAUGACGCUCAAAACUUCAGCUGAUGAUGCUCUGACAUCAAGAGAACAAAGGUUAAAUAGAAACACAUUUUUCACACCAUACCAAUAUAGUCAAUAAAACUAAUUCCAUUUUAAUUUCACGUCAAGAAAAAUAAUCAUGAUAAAUAACACUAUUGCUUUUUGUUUGUCCCCUAUGAGUAGGUGCUACACCUCAGAAAAACUAAGAGAGACCUGAAGCCACGGCCACACCUAGAAAGCUGAUCUGCACCUCUUCAUAUUGAAACCAUCUGUACCCCUUUCUCUAUAAUCAAAAUUCAUGAACAAAACUGGAUAUUUCUCAAGCCAUUUUAUUUUGAAUGUGUCGAUGGAUAUGUACUAGAAACUCAACAUAUGAAAGUCCAUUUUGUGUCUUGUCUUCUACCAUGUACGAGAAAAAUAACAUGCCUGGCAAAGAGAUUCAAAGGUUAAUAAUGUGAUGGGGCCAAGGCCAAGAAUGAUUAUCAUAUAAUUUGACACGCUUACCUUCCACAACAAUCUCACAUGAACAUGCUUCUUAAAUGUAGAAAAUGUUUUGGCAUAUGUUAUAUAAUCAUUCUUUUUCCUCAAUCUUAAUUAAAGCUAUAUAACCAUAAACAAUAAGACAAGGGUAGAAGUAAGUAAUCCUUUGAUACAACUGUUCUACACCUCAGAUAAACCUCAGGAUGUGUUGCGAUAAACUGUUGUAAAACCAAAGUACUGCCUAAAGAAUCUGGAAUGGCUAAAGGUGAGUUAAUAAACAAAGCGAGAAUGAUGGUCAUUGCAAGAUAUCAGAUGAAGUGUUAACAUUAAGCAGCUAAGAGCAGCAAGAACGUUAAAUAUAGAUCAGUUUGAUAAUUAGUUAUCCUAACCCUUCUCCUUUUUUCCACUUUAGACUAUUUUAUCUUUGUUUUCCUGGGGGGAUAUGCCAAGAUUGAGGGUAGAAAUGCAAAAGCAUGGUGCUAGAUAUGAACCUGAUGAAUCUCCCUUUUUGCAUAAUUUUAAGCUGCCAAGAUCAAAUUGAGAAUUUAUCAGAAAUUAGACAUAUUAUGUGUUAUAGGUAACAAAUCACAUCGUUUUGAUUAAUAAGUAAUGAAUUGUAAUUGAGGAACCAUCAUUUAAAAUGGAGUAAAUAGAGGAGCAAAUACACAGAAAAAGAAGAAUCAUACCGGAGAUAGUUACACCUUUGGCGCCUAAUAUCAUUAAUGAUGUCAUUGAGCUUCUUAGAAAGUGGAUUGUCUUGCUGCUGCAGAACAAACUGAGAGGGAGGAAAUUCAGAAUCGACGCGAGAGAAGCUAAAUUACAAUAAGUAAUUGUUUUGCUUCACCAAGGGGAAAAAAAGGGAACAUUUGAUUGCUUUGUCAAUCAAGAACCUAAAGAACAUGCAGGAAAACCACCCACCACCCUCAAAAAAAAAAAAAACAGGUUUAAUUUUAAGACAUGACUACGUUGAAUGAAAUGGCACAACCACAAACACUCAAAUAGGAUACGUGGUUUGAAUGCAAGCCUCAUGCUUUCGCUUGCUGCAAUGCAACCUGACUGACACAUCUAGUCACCAUGGAUUUAUAUAGUCUAACCAAAGCCAUUCAAGAAUAAUCCAUACAAAUUAAAUGCACUUCUUAAGCAACAUGUAUCAAAAGAGGAUCUAGGAAAACGGGUGCUGAGAAAGUGUUUCCCCCUUUUACGUUCUCAUACACGAAUAAUAUCACACCAAUAAACAGCAGAAGACAUGUCAAACUACCUGAGCAGGAAUUUCCUCAACAGAUGAAAUGCCUAGCAGCUGAUGGAUAACAUUAGGAUCUGCAGAGUUCCCAACAUAUAUCAAACAGUCCUCACCGUUCUCGAGAAGAUAGAUACCAGUGUCACUAAUGUGUUCACUGGAAAGUGGCAUAGACUGAGGAAUAAGAGAAUCUCCAUCCUCCUACAAGUUCAAAUACAGAAUGAAACGUAAGAAAUGUAAUUCAAUAAUAAUGUCUCAAAUGAAUCAAGAAAAUGAACAGAACUGCCAACUUGACUUAGAAAGGCAAAAGAAAAGGAGGGAAACAAAAUCCAUAAAUACAAGUACCAUACCUUUGUAUCAAGUUCGUGAAUUGCAAUCAAUCUUGGGUAGACCAGAGGGAUAGCCAAUGGAGUAGAGAGUGGGGAAACAUAAUUAAUCCAGAAGGAUCUACUAUCGAUCUGUCCAUCUGUUCUAAGUCCAGUGCUUUUAACCAAAGCUGAAAUAUUAUGAGAACUCAAUAAAAAUAUAGAUUUGACAUUAUUAUUUGCACAAAAUUGGCACAAGUAAUGGUUUUGUAGUGACAGAGAAAAUUAGUGUCACUCAUUUAAUAUGCACUAUAAGUAGGAAGCACUCGGAAGCUGAAUGAACAUACUAAGAAUGGGUGAUCAUUCAUUCAUCGAGGUUUUCUUGGCACUACUUUCCCUCAUAUCAUUUACAUCAACUCAACUCAUAUAAUACACCGGAUAGCAACAAAAGGAACAUAAGGAGGAAGGUGAUACAAGGAGAAGAAGAGGAAAUAAUGCAAGAAAAAUAUUUUAAAAUUGCACUGCAUGUAUAAACCAACACUGUCAAAUCAUUUGGAAAUGAAGGGCUUGGGAAAAAGGAAGGCAAGAUAUACCCAGUGUGUAAAGAGGAAGAAGUUUAAGUGCCUCAGGAAGAAUAAGUUGUCCCGAGGAUGACACUGUGGCACAAUAUUUACGGUAAGAGUGCAGAAUGUUGAUGCAAAGGUUUGUCACUUGUUCUCUGAUCCGUGAGAGAGGAGCGGUUGGUACUUCACUGGCAGCUGCAUGCAAGAAAAAUAACAUAAGUAGGACUACUCUUUAAAAAAGAUAAACAAGGAGGAAAAAGGAACAAAAUAAUGAAAUAGCAACAAUGCAUGAGAUAAAGACAACAUCAAACAUCAAAAGCAAGCAGGCCACUUGAUAACUCGUGACGGUAAUUAUGUCGACCACAACAAUGCAAUUAAUAAGUAGUAAAGAACUAGAGAAGCAGGAUGUUAAGCCCUCAAUACAGGAUCUUGUGCAGCUGAUUCUGUGGACACUGGGAGAUAAAUAUAGCUUCUUCAUCAACGAAAGAGAUGACAAGUUUGCUGUGGUUGAUUAGUCAAAAGAAAUGUGAAAGGAAGCAAAGGAGUGUAUUAAUUGCAUUUUCAAGGAAAAUAUACAUUUUAUUAAAUUUCUCCUAUACAUCCUAACGAAUUGAAACCUGAGGGAAAAAAAGGAAAAUAUUAUUUAGCUAUUCUGCCAAAAGAUAUAAAAGAGAUAUCCAACAAACACCGGUUCCUUAUUCCUACAGUGCCUCUUUUUUUUUUUUCCUUUUUUAUUAAGACACUUAUUUUUCUUUGUUCUUACUUUGUUCGAGUCGUGGUUUUGCUUUUGCAUAGCAUCCAAAACUUACAGAACAUCUGGACACAAAAGUUACAUCCCCAUCUAGCAAAUAUUCAUUCCAAAUAUAUGCAGAACAAGAGUUAUGGGGAUUAUAAGGGAGCACUAUUGCAGAAACAAUCAGAUUCGAUAUUGUACCAAUGGACACAUAGAAGGUGUCCACGCACAAUCUUACAUAUAGUUUGGCUAUGCACAUAAGAGAAAGGAGCAAAUAGAAGUGCAGCUUUUGGAAAUUAACAAAUCCAUGCAGCUUUGGGAAAUUAAUAACUCCAUACUUUAUAAGGACAAAUUGAGUGUCAAAGAUCAUCUCGGUAUAAAGGGAAGAAAAUGGAGCAUAGAUGCAGAAACCAAAGAUUCUUUCUUAGGCAGAAGCACGCUAUAGAGGAUAAACUCUUCCCAAGAAUUUUAGCAAUUCAAAAAAUGGAGAUAGAUUGAGAAGAAAAAGGGAGAUGCCCCCUAACCCUGAGGGGGCGAAUAAGGAGGGUGAACUUUCAACAUUAUACUUAAGAAUGUAGCACAGUGCAUUAUGACAUAGUAUCGUCUACCUUGUUUUAAGAUGCAAGCAAAUUGGGUGUCCAAGUCAGCUGAUCGAAACAGAUUACUCAACAUAGUUGUGCAAGGUAGAGCCAAAGUUGACACUCGGAUUCUUCUUUGGCCAUCAAUGGUAGUGUAAAGAACGGCAGACUGGAAAAACAGAAACAAGCUCUUGUAAAUAGCCAUCAUAUUGCACCAGGGAAGAAAAAGGUAAAAGGAAGGGAGCAGCAGCAGGGAAAAAUAGACAUACAGAAACAGGGCAAACAUGAUUGACCAGAAACUCAUUGGUGAAGACUCAAUAUAAAUUUGUACCUGAAAAGAACAUUCUGAACCUUCCUGCAAUUUGUCAUCAUGCUUCAAUGUCACCAUAAUUGUUUUGUCACAGUCAAUCUGCACAAUGGAAAACUCACUUAGAAAUGAAUACAAUUCAUAAAUCAGUCAAACUAGCAUAUUCGACAGGGAAUCAACAGUGUAAAGACUUUGAAUGUAAUUAUUCACACAGGAAAAGGUGAAUUAACAGGGUAAACACAUGCAUACAGAAGAACCCAUGCUAGUAUAGCUGCAAAUGUACUAAAAUCCCUUACCAGCAUGUGCAGUUUCUUUUUUUUUCCUUUUUGAUCAGGUAAACAUUUCAUUAAUCACAAGGCCAAAGUCGGCCGUAUACAAGAAGUAUACCAAAAAGUAAAGAACCUACAACAGGGCAUGGUUCUCCACAAAAGACACCCAAUCCUUUAUACAACCCAGGGAGGCUACACCACCUCAACUGGCCAAAAGUCAAUUCCACCCCUUCAAAAGCCCUCCUAUUUCUCUCUCCCCAAACGAUCCACAUCAAAGCUAAAGGAACAAUAUUCCAAGCCCUGCACUUUAUCCUGCUCCUUCUAGCUUUCCAACGAGAUAACAUUACGUUCACAGUUCUAGGCAUCACCAAAGAAAUACCAAACCAGCUAAACAUAUCCAACCACAGUCUCGUGGUCAGGUUGCAAUGUAAUAGAAGAUGAUCAAACUCCUUACCCGUCUCUUUGCAUAAGUAACACCAGCUAAUGCAUAUGAUCUUACUUUUUCUUAGGUUUUCCGCCAAAAUCACCCCUCUAGCAGCUAACCAAGAGAAAAAUGCAUCUUCCUCGGUACCUUAGGAAUCCAAAUAGACUUUACGGGGAAAGCCUUCACCUCCCUCACCAAGAGUUUCCCAUAGAAGGACUUGACAGAAAAAACCCAGUUACUCCCCAAAUUCCAUUUUAGAGUCUCGAAUCUAUCGACUGGCUCGUGAUGCUGAUGAAUUAGAGCUAGCAACUUUGAAACUUAUUAACCUCCCAGUCUUGAAAAUUCCUCCUAAACCUCAAAUCCCAAAAUGUUUCUUUUCCUUUUAACCCUCUAAUAUGAUGGACUACCGCCUCCCUCUGACAAGAAAUCCUAUAGAAGCUCGGGAACUCAUCUUUUAGUACCACAUCUCCACACCGUUUGUUUUUCCCAAAAACUGACUCUCCUCUCAUCCCCUACCCUGAACGAGAUGUUAACCUCAAAAUCAGCCCAUCCCAUCAUAAUAUUCCUUUAGCCAUACACCAUAUUGAUUUCAUUAGUUCUCCACCCCCCUUCAAUCACCCCAUAUAUUUCUACUAUCACUCCUCACCAAAAAAAUGGACCUCUAUCCCCAAUCUCCAUAAACAUUUUCCCGGCGAAGCUUUAUUAAAUACCCUUAAGUCUUUGACACCCAACCCUCCCCAAUUUUUAGGGGAAUUCACCUUCUCCCAUCUGACCAAAUAAUGUUUUCUUGCCCCGUUUGCCGAAUCCAAAGAAAGUUUCUUUGAAGUCUUUCCAAUUUUCCUGCAACACUGGUAGGUACAUGAAACAAAGACAAAAAUUAAGUGGGGAUGCUUGAUAAUGUGCACUUAAUAAGCACUUCUUUCCCUCCUUUGGAUAAAUAUCUUUUUUGCCAACUAGCAAGCCUCUAGAUUAACGUAACCCCCUUUGGAAGGAGAUAUCAACUCAUAAGGUUCUCCCAAAACAUGUAACUUAGAACAUAAGUACCUUUGGGUACUUUUGGACAUGUGAGCUUUCACAUUAAUGGCCCAUGUAACAUUCAUUUGAACUUGGCAAUGGACAAUCUGAAAAGAUGACUUAAAAGCUUCAUCUAGAUAUGAAAAAAGGCGGAUAAAAAUAUAGUUGAUAAACGAGUGACGAAUGAACAUGUCACAACACAUGCUUUUUCUCAGUUGCAUCAUCUACACCCCCAAAACUCACCAAAAGAACAGGACCUAACUCUGGAUGGUGGAGAAAACCACACUGUUGGAAGCUCACUUAGUAAAUCAGGCAGGGAGUCAAUGGUGAAAUAUCAAAAGUAGCCAACAUAAUAAAAGAGAUUUGGUAUUAGCCCAAGAAAUGUCCUACAAAUGCUUCGAACUUCAUACAGAUGAGCUUAGUUUGUAUAUCAAAUUCUAUCUCAGCUGUUGUGGUUGUACUCUGGAAAGUGCAUAAUAGUCUUCUAAAGGAGGAGGGAUAAACUGCACUGCAGGUAGAUCAGCAUUUAAUGGAAUUCUUUUACAGUAAUAAAGAUGUGCAUAGUUCAUUUAUCAAAUUUCAUCUAAGUUGUAGUUCUACUUCAUGCUUGGGAAAUGCAUAAUUGUCUGUGUGUGUGUUUGGGGGAGGGGAUGUGAUAGAGGGACAAACCGCAGGUAGAUCAACAUCUGUUGGAAUUCUUUUGCAGUAAUUGCCAGCGUACUCCUGAACUUGAAUUCCCUGCAAAUAAAUAGAACACGGUCAGCAUGCGAGCUCAGUUUCAAUUUCCAUAAAUUAGGUAUGGCACUUCUCCCACGAGAGAAGCACAGGAAGAUCCGAAAACUGGGGAGCAUACCUGACUACAUCUUACACGCAUUACUGCCUCAAACCCUUCGGGCCUAGUAAUAUUCCAUCGAAGAUCAUUGUAUAGCUUGGCAGUAUCAGCAAGAGCAGAAAACGGGAAAUAGUAAUACACCUGACACAAGUGAAACAACCAUAAAGCUCAAAGCUUAGAUGUAAAAAUAUCAAAAGGAACAUGAAGUGAAGUGGCUGCAUCAUAAGAUUGUUCAUAAAUUUCAUGAACAGUAAGUUGCACCAUAACCAAGGCCCUAGGGAAGAAGACAAGCUAAAAUAGUAACAAGCGUCACAGUUACCUGCCCACCAGUGGUCCUAGGAAUGACUGAAAUGGAGGCAAUGUCUUCAUAAGAUUGAGUUGUGAGAAACACGUCAACACAGACCUGAAGCAGUUGAGGUCUAAUUAAUAAAAGCGAACGAUUAUAAAAAUAAAGACCAAAAGGCGUUCUUAAUCCUAUUUGUUUUUAAUGAAUCAUUACUGCCACGGGCUUUUCAUAUAAGCUCUCACCUGAUACUCAGCAAACUCAAUGGCCAUUGUCUUCAGAUUUUUGUCGGCUGGCUGGAGUAACUUGUUAGCCUCCUGAAAUUGGAAAAUAUACAACUCUUCUGAAUAAGCAAUGUCAUGGUUUCUUUUUUCGGCAUAAGACGUUAGCGCUGAAUAUGUACAUUACAAAACUCAGAUGGAGUCCAGUUUCAUUUAUCCAAUGCUUACAGGAUUCCACUAAAAGUACCUCAGUGUACCAGACAAACACCAUUGGCAUAAAACAUUCAUCUGUUCUAAGAAAACUGAUCAACGAGUAAAAAACUGAUAAGCCCAGUCUGGUGAAAUCUUAGUAAGAAUACACCUAAACACAAGAUUUAAGAAGAAAAUUGAUAGCCACAAAGAGCACUCUCAUUUACCACACAAGAAAAAUGAUUAUUCUGCUCCACGAUUUAAGACAAUGAUUCAAGAGUGCAAUGAAGAACAGACAUUUUCACGAAAUGAUGAGCACGCUGCCAUUCAUUUCUCAGAGGCGACGACUCAAAUAAGUGAUUAGCAGCUUAAAGAACUUCAGUCAAGUUACUGGACUGAAGCGCUAUUUCUGCCCAUACAUUAUUGUACAUGCUCUAGUAGUGAAAUUUCAAGCAGACAUUUUGAUAUCAAUAAAUAGAAAAGACUAUUUAAUUUCCAAUGUUCUCUUUAAUAAGAAGUUGACAGUUAAAAAGACAUCAUCUCUCGCACUUAAUCGUCUUAGCGACAAUAUUAGAAGCUUCUAUAUAUUCAGCACAAUAUGGACAUCUUUAUGGGCAGAGCCCACAUUAUAAGGGGCAAAAACUAGGGGACAGUAUGUGGAAACAAUCUAAAAGUGAGACAGAUAUAUGCUGAAGAACUAAAAACUAGUUCAAUAAUUUUACCUUUUCUGCAGCUGAUACAUUGGUUCUUCCUUCAGCCUCUCUAGCAGAAAGGGCUCCAAUACCAGUAGAUGGCAGCACUAUAAAACAGAGCAAGUACAGCCAACACUUAGAAUUGUAUCACAAUUUGUGUAAUCAAGGACUCAAGGUUGCAUGGCUCAUGCAACAGAUCAUUUACAGGUCCUAUGGACUAGUUGAUGCACCAGGUGAAGAACUAUAAGGCAAUUGCCAAAAACAUAGUUCGAUCUUACAAAGCAUUUGGUCCAGAUAUUUGAUGGAGAGUGUCAUAACAGGAAUUUACUGAAAACAUAAUCUAAACAUAGCUAUUGUAGAAAUACUUCAAUUUUAAAAGAACCAGACAGUGCUGUAGAAAGCAAUCCUGUUACGUAUCAUCCUAUUUAGUCAGAUUGCAUUGGAAACAGAAGUUAAGCACAAAUUAAUGAAAGCAAAACAGUCAAUCAGCAGUGCAUUGUAAACAAGGCGUGGGGGAUUAAAGAUAAAAGAUGUUCUAAUGCAAGCAUGCGGACAAUAUUACCGGCUUGAUUUUUUACUAGUACAUGAGACUUAAAGUUAACUGCAUUUAGCACCUUACCUGAUUUUAACUGCAUUUAGCACCUUACCUGAUUGAAACACAAGAAGUUUGCCUCCAGUGCUUUUCAUUGCCAAGAAAGCAGCCUGAAGUAACAAAACACGAAGUAAGAAUCAAUCUAUAUGAUAAUCCAUCAUAGACUGAUGUGGUUAGACUUGCAUCAAUCAUCUGCAUGAGGGAGAUCCCAGAUUUAAAUUCUAUGGGAUCAAUCUUUAAUGUUCGAAGCAUUGGACACAUUAAUUUUUUUUUUAAGAAAACGAUAACCGUGGUGUCCAAGAUGGCUUGCGCGCACCUCGACUAACUCAAUGUGAUAUUUGUCACCUCCCACCAGCAAUAGAUACUAAUUGACUUUGUCAAACAAGGCUAGGACAAAUGGGAAGAGAUCACCUAGUGUUUUUGUCUCUGCUGAGAUUUGAACAUGAGACCUCGUGAUUCUCAACCCACUUCAUUGACCACUACAUAUUUUUAAAUUUAUGGCUUCAUACCUAUCAUUUAGUGCAAGUUUAGUCAUUUUUUACACAAGAACUUAUGCUCGAAGUUGAAAGUAUCGGGUUUAGAUGAACCCGUUACUGUAAGGUUGGACCUGCCCCUGCAUCUGCAUGUAGAGACAUAAUACUACUUAAUUUUUCCAAUCUUUUUCUAAGAAUGACAAAGUCUCAGGAAACUGUAAUGACCUAACUACUCACAUUAUAGAGGGAAUGCAGAAAAUACUUAUUCCAUCUAUGAAUUAACGAGGCAAUUUUUUUUUAAAAAAGGCAAUAUAAAACAAGUGGAUUUAUAUUCCAAAUGAUAACUUGGGAAUAUAACUUCAUGUAACGCACUGAUACCUUGACAGCAGCACCAAAAGCUGAAUCAGCAGUCCUGUUGUUCUGGAACAUAGUUGGGAUGCUUUCCAGGAGAAGCUCUAGGUGUUGACGGCACUGAAAACACAAAGAAGGAACAACUUUCAUAGGACGCACUCAUAGUCUUAGUCAUUCUGCUUUAAUAAGGGGAAAAUGAACAGAAGUUAGACAACAUCUUGCAGAUCUAACCUCCGACAGCUGCACAAUAACAUCAGUCUGAAGGGGGGUGUAAACGUCUUGGACAUCAGGGACUAUUAGCAUCAAUGGCUGCAAAGGGAGAUCCAGAAUAAACUUAUCAGAAAACAAGCACUUCACCAACCUAAACCAUUUGCCACAACCCUAAUCCCACAGUUUAGCAUCCAUAUUAAAGAACAAUGAACAAGUCAUAUUAGAGAACAAUGGAACAAGUGAAAUAGAAUCCAACUAUACCAGAGAAGAAAAAUGAAGAACUGCAUAAUUAAGCAAAAUGAAGAAAUCCAACAAUAAGGAAAUGAGCAACUAAUUAAGGCAGAAAAGUUGAGAAAAGUCAUAAAGUACUCUUUUUGAAGGCUAAUAUUUUCUUCCUACAAUCCAUUACUUAAUCAUGGACAAGACAAAUGAAAAAGGAAAACAACAACAAUUUUACCUUGUUUUAGUAAGUACUACUAACUCUGCUUCCCAGAUAUGUCUAAUUUUGCUCAAACUCUCCAAAAAUGUUGUCACACCUGUGUCGGAUGCACAAAAAUGCACAAUUUUUUGAGGAUCCGACAUGCAUUGUUUGACAUUUUUGAAGAGCCCGAGCAACAUACACAUGGUUAAAGAUUUUUAUUUUAUUUUCACUUCAGAAAUUCUUUACGAAGAGCCGAGGGUCUUUUGGAAACAGUCUCUCUACCUCCCACGAGGUAGUGGUAAAGUCUGAGUACGCUCUACCUUCCCUAAACCUCACUAGUUUCACUGGGUAUGUUGUUGUUGCAAAGAAAUUCUUUAAGAAAUGGCAUUUAGCUAAUCAUCUUGGCAACACAUUUCUGAAAUCCAACGAGAAUCAUUUUAGUAGUUCUGCAUUUUACCCUUAAAAGUAAUUGUCAAUUCAUCAUUACCUCAACAAACAGAAAAAUGGCAACGAUAACUGAUUAAGACUUAACACUGAUUACAAAGCAUCUUUUAAUUUUAGAUUCUAUUCUAAAGCUUAAUUUAGCAGAAUAAACUCAUUUGGAUGUGCUGAACCUGCUGCAAUGCACGCUUGAGAUUGUAAAAGUGGAUAGUUGAGUCGAAUGUAGCAACUCCAACCAAUGUCCGAGGACCAUCCUGCAAUAAUAAGUUUUCAAAGUCAAAGACAGCUCUUUAACUCCAAGAAUUCAUAUUGUGCAUUAAAAUUGAAAAGAAAUGCAUCUUAGCUGAACUAUAUCACAAAUAGAAUAGACUCCCGAAUCUCUUGCCUCUUAGUGAACAUGUCAUUCUACCACUUGACCGAUCCCAUCUCUCCCGAAUUCCAUUAGAUCAUAGAUUGAUUUCUACCAGAUCAUCCUAUGGUCCAUUCAACUAGAAUGACACCAGAUGCCAAGAAAAGAACCCCACAAUCAAAGCAAGGGUUCACCUGAAUCUUUUUGUCACAUUCAUAGUUUUCCUUUUACCUUCUGAUUUAUUAUAAGCCAUCACUUAAGGAGAUGCAAAUCAACAGGUUAACGCAUCAUAAUCUCUUCAUCUUUUUUUGCCUAAUCCCCCCCCGGUGUCCAGCAGCCACUAAAUAUAAAUUUCCAUAAUGACCUCUUGGAUAAAACAAAGUGAUCAAGCAGCAUUCGUGCAGCAUCGCACUAUUCAGAAUGGAGACAACUAGGUUUUCCACAAUUCAGACACAUAAAUAACUAACCUACCUCAUCAUCUCAACAGACAAAUUACACGGAUAAUUGCUUCGCUACAUCAGAAGUUCUAGUUAAUCUCACUGAUUUUAGUAUAAAAAGUGAUUAAUUUAUGAUGACUCCACUUGAGAAGACACGCCAAAUACUUUUCCCUCUAAUCUAAAGGUAAAAAAAAAAAAAUGCAUGUUGCAUCAUCAUAAACAACCAAUAGACUUACAGGGAGAUCAGAAAUAACUUGGCUGAUCGCACUGCAAGCAGCUGCAGUUGCACCAGUCUGUAUGGCAUUCAUGGAAACAUCUAUCAGGAAGAAAUACACAGCAGGCAUUGGAUCCCGAACCUGAAAUACAAGAAAAAAUUCCAAGUUAUUACUGCAAAAUAAAAUGAGUCACAAAAUCAAAUUAAGGAAUUCUCUAGACCAAAGACAGGAGUGCAUCUACGAAAAAGGAGAGCAUCAAAUCAACUUGCAACAUAGAGUAGGUUCUAAGCUAUAUCUACAUUGAUUUAGAACUCUGUCAAAUGUCUCUGUGGAAGUAUUAGUUUAAUUUUCUAAACUUGAGAUCCUACUCGUCCACACUACCGACCCCCUCAACCCAUGCGCUGUUAACAGAUUGCAUAGUACUCUAGGAGCAGUAAAUUGACAAGUCUGCCACAGUUCAACAUCUCAUGUAUCCCGCUCAUUGCUCAGUGGACCUUCUCCUUCUCACCAUAUUCCUCUUUAGCUUCUCUCUGUAUAUGUUGUUUUUUUACUACUUUCAAUGCUGAAAAGAAUUUUGUAACAAAUUAUAUACAAACCAACUGUUUCCUCCUAAAGUCUAAAAUCAGCAACAGAAUAGCAGGCCGAUAGCAACAACCUGGUGCUGGAAAACUACACAAGAACCGGCAUUUGGAAUAUAUCGAAAACGGUGCUAGUGAACUGCAAACUUUCCGCAUACCAAUCCACUGUGACUCAAUCUCAAGUUAGUGUUUUAUUUUAUUAUUACUUAUUUGCCCACAGGGUAUGUUGUUAUUGUUGUUGUAUUUUUAUACCAGCAUCAAUCCCAAUAGUUAAUAUUGCAAUAUGAAUCCAGUGUAGUCAAGUCACUCUGUUCUGGUUAGCUUCAGCAAAUACCAAAACAACUUCAGAUGUUAGAUUUGAAAGCACAAAGCUAGCAAAACAGAAAGUUCAGAGCUUGGAAUGUCUACUUAAUAUGGCAUUACUCCUAUAACGUCAUGCAAUCACAUCCCUUAACCAAUGUGUCCAAAAAGUACCAACCAUAUAUUCCUUCGUAGCGACAAACUCAACAGUUCCUCGGCAUAGUUCAGGCCUCUCAUCAGCAUCCCUACGCCUGCCAUCUGGACCUAAGUUGCACUGAUAGUCACGAGGAGUUUCAUCGGUAUGUCCUGCAACAAGGACGGCAAGAAACAUGAGAUAAGAGCUGCAUAACAGCACAUUUUCAUUAAACAUGCAGUAUUAAGAAAUUGAAAUGGUUUUUACAUUUCAAGUUAUGUAUGCGAUUGAUUGAUUAAAUCUGAUGGCCUUUGUCCUCACUUAAAAGUUGAGGAACCUGAAAAGAGAUAUCAGUAAAUGGAAUAGAGAGGUGUGUGGCAAACUAGACUAUCAGAGGAAUAAGGUUCUGGAAGAGCUGGGAUUCCUUGAACAAAUUGCUGAACACAGGGAAAAUACAAGAGAAGAGAAAUUGAAAGCUUUAAGUCUGAAACUAGACCUUAAACAGAUAGCAAUUGCUAAGGAAAUUUCUUGGAGGCAAAAGUCCAGAUGUCUAUGGCUAAAAGCAGGGGACAAGAACACUAAGUUCUUCCAAAGAAUGGCAAACUCACACAGAAGAGGCAAUAGUAUUGACAAGCUGAAAAUUGAAGGAGAAAUCAUUGAGGAUGCGGAUGUGAUAAAAGAAGGCAUCCUUGAUUUUUACCAAAAUCUUUAAAAGGAAUCUGAACCAUGGAGGCCAUCUGCAGAGUUUGAAAACAUCUCAACUUUAAGGAUUGAGGAAAGGGAUGAGCUAGAGCUACCAUUCAAUGAACUUGAAGUUCUUAAUGCACUCAAAUCAUGUGCCCCAGACAAAGCUCCAAGCCCUGAUGGCUUUACCAUGGCUUUUCUACUGGAAAGAAUGGAUUUUCAACAAAGAAGACAUCAUGAAUGCCUUCAGUUAUUCCAUCGAAACUGUCAAUUGGUGAGAUCCUGCAAUGCUUCCUUCAUUGCCCUCAUCCCAAAGAAGAAGGUGCUUUGGAACUCAGGGGCUUAAGACCAAUCAUCCUCGUAGGAAGCAUUUAUAAAUUGGUGGCCAAAGUUCUGGCUGAGAGGUUGAAAAAGGUGGUGUGCAAUUUAGUUUCGGGUCAACAAGGUGCUUUCAUGAAGAACAGGCAGAUUACUGAUGCCUCACUUAUUGCUAAUGAAGUGCUAGACUGGAAGAUCGAAAGUGGGGAAACUGGCAUUCUAUGUAAGCUAGACAUAGAAAAGGCUUUUGACCAGUUACAAUGGAGCGAUCUAGCUAAACUUCUAAAAACGAUGGGCUUUGGCAACAGGUGGAUUAGAUGGAUAUACUUCUGCAUCUCAACUGUUAAGUUCUCAGUAGUGAAUAGAAGUCCAGUAUGGUUAUUCUCUCCCAAAAGGGUCUCAGGCACGGGAAAUCCCUCUCUUCUUUUCUGUUUAUCUUGGGAAUGGAAGAGCUCACUCAGUUGCUAGUUAGAGCUAGAGAACUUCAAUGGAUUCAGGGAUUCCAAGUUGGCAAUGACCCUAACACUGCUGUUACAGUCUCACAUCUGCUAUAUGCAGAUGACACUUUGGCUUUUUGGCUUUUGGUGGAGCAAACAGACAACAAAGUGCGGCAAAUCAACAUCACUCUCAUGGUCUUUGAAUCAAUUUCUGGACUUCACAUCAACAUGAUCAAGAACAAAAUCUACCCAGUAAAUGGAGUCCCCAACUUAAAUGAUCUGGCAGACAUUCUUAGUUGCAAAACUGGAACUCUUCCAACUACCUACUUGGGAUUGCCACUACGAGCAAAAUUUAAGGUUACUGAUGUUUGGAAUGGAGCAAUUGAAAGAAUGGAGAAGAGACUAGCAACCUGAAGAUGCAAUCUCUCUCUUUAGGAGGCAGACUUACACUAAUCGGCAGUGUACUUGAUAGUAUUCCCACCUACAUUAUGUCCCUCUUUCCCAUACGAGGUUCAGUGACAAAGCAAAUUGACAGCUUAAGAUGGUGUUUGGAUAAGAUUAUAAGUUAGGUCAACAUGGCUUACAAGCCAUUUUUUCCUUUUAGGAUUGUUUGGCAAAUUUAAAAGUUGCUUAAAAAAAGUUAAUUUUCGCUUUUUAAAAGCCAAAAGCUAGAAGUUGCCCAUUCCUUACUCUUUUUUUUUUAGCUUAUAAUCCAUUAAAAGUUGACCAAGUAAAAGACAUUUGUGUCCCUUAUAAUUCUUACUUAUUCCAAAAUUACCCUCUUGUAACCCCAAAACACACUUCUCUUUCACUACAACACACUUCUUCUUGUAUUAAUUAAACAUUUCCACUUUUUGUAUUUAUGGCGAACUUAACUCUAGCCAUACUAGUACCUCUUUUGUGUGAAACUUCUAAUUUAUGAAAUAUGAUUUUUAUGUAUUUUUUGAUAAAGAUUUUUUUUUUUUUAAUUCUNNNNNNNNNNNNNNNNNNNNNNNGCUUUUUGUAGUGCUAGCAGGAAUACAAGUGACCCAGUGAAAAAUGGGGUUGAUGGUGUUGGCUAAAAAAGGGGGAGACAUAUGAAUUUCUCUAAGAAAAAAAACAACUCACCAACCAAGAUAUAUGGAGAACAUUCACGGAAGAUAUACAACUUCAUGAACGAUUAGUGAACAACAACAACAACAACAACAACAAACCCAGUGUACUUCCCACCAAGUGGGGUUUGGGGAGGGUAGAGUGUACGCAGUCCAUACUGCUACCUCCAGAGAAGUAGAGAGGCUGUUUCCGAUAGACCCCCGGCUCAAGAUAAAGAAAAGUAGACCAAAGCGUAAUUAAAUAAGAAGCAAGAUGGAUGGCAUAACAUGACAAGGAAUAAGACUCAUAAAAAUAGAAGUCAGAACAAUAAGAAAUAAAAUAAAUAAGCGCAAUAGAAGAAAGAGACCCACGCCCGCCUGACCGGGCUCCUAUCUUUGGACCCAAUCCUAGGUUUACUAGCCCGACUCAACCUGAGCUCUUCUAACUACUUACUAAAUCCACGCACACAACCUAGCCUUCUACCCUUAUCCGCGACCUCCACACCUUCCUAUCUAGGGUCAUGUCCUCAGGAAGCAGAAGCUGCUCCAUAUCAUGUCUAAUCACUUCCCUCCAGUACUUCUUCAGCCUACCUCUCCUUCUUCUGAAACCAUCUAACGCUAACCUCUUGCACCUACGAACUAGGGCAUCCGUGCCCCUCCUCAUCACAUGCCCAAACCAUCUCAACCUUCUUUCGCGCAUCUUAUCCUCCAACAAAGCCACUCCGACCUUCUCCCGAACGGUCACAUUCCUGACUCUAUCCUCUCUGGUAAGUCCACACAUCCAACGCAACAUUCUCAUUUCCACUACCUUCAUUUUUUGAAUGUAGGAGUUCUUGACUGGCCGACACUCUGCUCCAUAUAGCAUAGCAUGACGGACUGCUGCUCUGUAGAAUUUACCUUUAAGCUUUAGUGGCACCUUCUUGUCACACAACACUCCCGAGGCAAGCCUCCAUUUCAUCCAACCAGCUCCAAUAUGGUUAGAGACAUCCUCAUCAAUCUCGCCAUUCCCCUGAAUCAUAGACCCAAGAUAUCUAAAACUAUCCCUCUUUCGGAUCUCCUGAGAAUCCAACCUUACCACGAAAUCAUCCUCCUGUCUCACCUCACUAAACUUACAUUCCAUAUAUUCAGUCUUGGACCUACUCAACCUGAACCCUUUAGAUUCAAGGGUUUGCCUCCAAACCUCCAAUUUUUCAUUCACACCGGCCUGCGUCUCAUCAACCAGCACUACAUCGUCAGUGAACAACAUACACCACGGCACCUCCCCUUGAAUACUCCGUGUCAACACGUCUAUCACCAACGCAAACAGGAACGGACGAAGAGUCGAACCCUGGUGCAACCCUGCCUCGACCGAAAAAUGCUCUGAGUCACCUCCCGCCAUUCUCACCCGAGUCUUUCCUCCAUCGUACAUGUCCUUAAUAGCUCUGAUGUACGCCACCGGGACCCCUUUGGCCUCUAAACAUUUCCACAGAACCUCCCUCGGAACUUUGUCAUAAGCCUUCUCCAAGUUGAUGAACACCAUAUGCAAAUCCUUCUUCCUUUCCCUAUACUGCUCCACCAAUCUCCUCACCAGGUGAUUGCCUCUGUCGUGAGCGACCAGGCAUAAAACCAAACUGAUUCUCUGAAAUGAACACGAUCCUCCUCAAUCUCAGCUCAACUAACCUCUCCCAAAUCUUCAUAGUAUGACUCAACAGCUUGAUACCUCUAUAGUUAGUGCAACUCUGGAUGUCUCCCUUAUUUUUAUAUAACGGAAUCAUCGUACUCCACCUCCAAGCCUUCGGCAUCCUUGUCGUCUUGAAAAUGCCGUUAAACAAAUCAGUCAACCACCUUAAACCAACCUUACCUAUAAACUUCCAAAAAUCCACCGAAAUCUCAUCGGGCCCCGUCGCCCUUCCCUUUCGAAUUCUACGAAUAGCAUCUCUGACUUCCUCCACCCUAAAACGCCUACAAUAACUGAAAUUACAUCUCUCCUCCAAGUGUUCCAACUCUCCUAACUCGAUGCCUCUAUCUCCCUCCUCGUUCAAAAGCCUAUGGAAGUACUCCUGCCAUCUCCUCUUAAUGUGGACAUCUUCCACCAAAAUAGUACCAUCCUCCCCUUUAAUGCACUUCACUUGGUCUAAGUCCCGACCCUUCCUUUCCCCAGCCUUCGCAAGCCGAUAUAACCUCUUUUCCCCGCCUUUCGCAUCUAACCCCGCAUACAAGCUCUCAAACGCUACAGUCUUAGCUGUCGUGACUGCAAGCUUAGCUUCCUUUCUAGCAACUUUGUAGGCCUCCCUAUUCACCCGCUUCUCCUCUGCAUCAUUACUCUCAAUCAACUUAGCAUAAGCCCCCUUCUUAGUCUCCACCUUUUUCUUAACUUCUUCAUUACACCACCAGUCCCCCUUAUGUCGACCUGCCCGACCCUUCGAAACACCAAAAACUUCUCUAGCAGCUUCCCUGACACAACUGGCAGCCCUAUCCCACAUAGUCUCCACGUCCCCCUGCACCUCCACACCCCCAAACCUGCCACCUUCUCCUCAAUCUCUAACGCACUACCCGGUGUCAAGCCAACCCACCUAAUUCUAGGCCGACCCUCUUUGGCCCUUCUCUUUUUGCCCUUCUUGAUAGUCAAGUCCAUCACCAGAAGUCUGUGCUGGGUCGAAAGAUGCUCACUCAGAAUGACUUUACAGUCCUUACAAAGAGCCCUAUCCUCCUUCCUAAGCAACAGAAAGUCAAUCUGAGUCUUGGCUAUCGUGCUUCGGAAGGUAAUUAGGUGAUCCUCCUUCUUCGGGAAGCUCGAAUUCACCACCACCAACCCAAAGGCCCUAGCAAAAUCCAACAGAGCAGCUCCCUCGUCAUCCCUAUCGCCGAAUCCAAAAUCUCCAUGCACAUCGUCAUAACCUCCAGGCAAAACCCCAAUGUGCCCAUUGAAGUCCCCUGCUAUGAAAAUCUUCUCCGAACUAGGCACGCUUCUCGCCACCUCAUCCAAAGCAGCCCAAAACCCCGCUUUCUCCUCCUUAACCAAGCCCACCUGCGGUGCAUAAACACAACACACAUUCAGCAAAACCCCCCCAACGACUAGAGUAAUCGUCAUCAGCCUAUCACUAACCCUCUUAACCUCCACCACCUGCUCUCUAAGCUCCUCAUCCACUAAGAUCCCCACUCCAUUCCGACGCCUAUCGCACCCAGAGUACCACAGCUUAUACCCAUCCACAUCCCUAGCCUUAGUCCCUACCCACUUAGUCUCCUGCACACACGCAAUGUUGAUCUUCCUCCUCUUAAGAACCUUAACCAGCUCUAUGGACUUACCCUGAAGGGUUCCUGUAUUCCACGACCCUACCCACAACCUAUCUACUCUCGCCUACCUCUACGAUCCCUCACCACACCAGCCCUAACACUCGACCUAAAUCCCCCACCCACCCCUGCCCUUCCCUCCUCACCCCCACCCAAAACCGACCCCAACCCCAACCCCCUCAGACAUGACCUUAUACCACCAUCAACCCCUACCUCCACCACUUAAGAACCAAAAACCAAUCCCUAAACCGAUAAACCACAAAACAAAAAUCAACAAAAGGCAGGCAGGAAACCAAAAAAGCAGCAGGGAAGCAGGGAUCGCACACAGAUAAAACUAUCCGGCCUAUCAGAGGACACAACUCUAAUCACAAGAAAUAGCAGUGCAAACGAGAACGGUAAAUAAGGCGAGAAAUAAUAACUAGUAAAAAGUAUGUAAAUAACAAAGGUUAGAUGUCAUCGGGGUAAUCUCGUGUGCUAAUGGUGCCGUUAAUACUGGCUUCGAAGUUGAUUGCUGAAAAUACAGUCGCCGAAAAAAUUCUGCCAGGCUCUAGCUGUCACUGGAGCGUGUCCUGGGUGUUACCAGAUCUGUGUUCUGGUGCCCGUUGACGCAGUCGAUCCGGCGGAAACCCUUGUUCCGCCGGCGAAAUCAGUGGCUAAAAUUUCAAAGAAGGGGAAGGAAAAGAGAAAUAAUUCGGGAGAGAUGGGGAGAGAGGGAGGAGAGGGAGAGAGCUUAAGGGAGAGAAACAAAGCAAAGGUACCCUUAAUUAAUAACAAUCAACUCUACAUAUUGUUAACAGCUUUAAGGGGAUUUUAGACAUUUUGACCAAAAAAAAGUGUUUCACAACACUUGUUUACCAAACAAAUCAACAACUUUUUUUCAGUUCAACACUUUUAUCCAAACACGUAACUGCUUAUUUUAAAAAUAAGUUUCAGCACUUUCAAAAGCACUUUUAAAGAACCUUUUAAAAGCCACUUUUUUUCAGCCUAUUCAAACGGGCUCUAAGAAAGAAACUUCUAUGGGAAGGAAAUAAUGUGUCUCAAAAAUUUCACUAGUCAAGUGGAAGAAAGUGAUCCUACCUAAGUCUCAAGAAGGUUUGGGGAUUAGGGACCUGAAAACUCACAACAAGGGACUGCUCAUAGAAUGGCUAUGGAGCUAUGGCCAAGCAAAGGCCAGAUAUUGGAAAGAUGUCAUCAUAGCCAAAUAUGAGGCACAGAAACAUUGGCGUACCAACAGGAUCGGAGAACCACAUAGGGUAGGGGACCUAGAAAUUUAUCAGUAGCUUUCAAGAGGUUUCUUUCAAAAGGUAUCCUACAAAGCUCACAAUGUCUAACCAAUGGCUCGGAAACAGUACAUUAAAGAAUGUUUUUCCUCGCCUUUAUCAAAUAGCCAACAACAGGGAAGCAGCCAUUGCACAAUACAGAGAUGGCAACAUAUGGAACACUAUUUUCAGAAGGAAUCACCAAGAUUGGGAACUCAAUGACCUGCUGCUCCUCUUAGAGUCCUUGGUGUCCUAUCAUAUAGAUAGAAAUGCUAACAGGAUCUUAUGGGGCUCUUCCAAUAUAGGAACCUACACAGUGAAAGAUUUCUACAGAGUAGAAUGCUCGCAGAAUAGCCAAAUUGAGCUUUGGCAUUGGAGCAUGUUUGGAAAACUAGACAACCUCUCAAAGUCACUUGUUUCACAUGGAUUGCACUAUAUGAAGUCUCUUUGACUCAAGACAAUCUCAGAAAGAAAGGCAUCAUCCUCACCAACAGAUGCUACAACGAACCAGUUAACCACCUUCUUUUGCAAUGCCCUGUGACAAUUGCUAUCUGGCAGCUUUCUUCUCUAUUUUUGGACUUUAUUGGGUGAUGCCAGGUUGAAUCAAAGAAGCAUAUUUUAGCUGGAUUUCUUGGAGAGUUGACAAAUUCAUCAAAAGAAUCUGGACCAUGAUCCUUGCAGUCAUAUUUUGGACCAUCUGGAAGGAAAGAAAUCAUAGACAUUUUGAUGGGAUCUCAACUCCCCCAAGCUCUCUCAAGGCCAAAUGCUUAUUAACCUUAUUCAGUUGGCACUCCCUAUCCCAUGUAAACAGUACCGAUACCUUUUUAGAUUUUGUUAGCACCUUAACUCUUAUUUAACGGAGUAUCAAGGUAGCAUUCUUUUGACUUUUACAGAACUUUUCCCUAGCUUCUGAGAUCAAAUGUUUCUAGGUUUUUGAAGCUAUUUUUAGUUUAGUCAGUUUUUUCUCUCUAGCUACCUGUACGAUCUACGUGAUGCCUUUCUAAUACAAUUAAUAAUUACUUUACCCCCCCAAAAAAAAAAGAAUUGCAUGUGUAAUGCCGAAGCCGGUCCGUCCACACCUUGACUAUUUAUCAGAGGUGAGUGGACUAUCCCCAAAAUGAAAGAGAGAUAGAGAGCGAAUCAACAAUUCUUUCCUUUUACUGUUCCACUUCAUAGCGCUAGUUAACUUAUAAAGUUGCUCACGGGAAGGCUUCACAUAUAGACUAACAUGUCAACCUGUAAGGAUUGUAUUGAUAUCUAUCAAUGUCACUUCCAAAUAAAACUUAUAUCUGAAUUAGGUCCAGAAAGGACUACGUUUAAAGAUAAUUUUCUUCUUCGCAGCUUAUGAAAUGAAAGGUGUAAGAGUAAGACUGCUCACAUGUUCUCAGUUAACCAGUAAGAAUGGAUAUUAGACGUCUGAGAAUGCGCUUAUGUGUUUUGCUAGACUAGUUGGAGCAAAAAAAUAUCAAUAACGAUGUAAAUUUGAUACUUCUGUUUGGUAUUCUGUAGUUUCACAAAAUAUCACGGCCAUGCUAUGUUGCAUUUCAAUCUUGAGUCUCUAAAUAAUAUAUAGAGCCACUCUAGACUCCAAAUAUCACAUAACUUCAGUGGAAAUAAAUAAAAUUCAUUCUUACCACAAAAGUUACAGAUGAAACGUCUUCCCUGAUCAAUGAACUUCAUGAAAGGAUUUAUAUAGCCUUUGCAACGGGAGCACCGAACAGGACCACUUUCCCCAAAAUCAACCACCUAUCAAGGAAAGCAACAAUUAGGUGAAAGAACUAACAAACUAUUUCAUUCUGCAGUUAAAUAAGCCACACAAACCAAUUUACAUGAUUGAAAUGACCCUACAUGUUUAGAAUAUAGAGCAAGUAGAAAUGAUAACAGAUAUAUAACAAACAUAAACAUAAGAUCCAUGAUGAUUAGUCAAAACGAUCUCCACUCUAGGGAUCACGAUCAUUCCUUUUUUUUUUUUUUGACAAUGGUAACAUUUGAAUUUAAAUCAGUACUUACAUAGUACUAAAAAACCAUAUUUACAAAUAUGAGAAAGAAGUAUAGUCUUCCCCAAAGCAAAACUAAAAUCUAGAUGGACCCUAGUACAUCUAUGAUUGACUCAGUCUCAUUGGAGUAAACAGUGGUACACCAAAAGCAAAACAACAAAACUCAUUUAAUCCUGACUUCUUGUAGGCUAUUGUCCCUAUUCUCAAAACAUCUAUUAUUUCUCUCUCUCCAUAUAGUCCACCAUAUACAAGCAGGGAUCAUCCUCCAUCUUUCUUUGUUUGUAGCCCCAACUCCAGCUUCCUCCCAACUAAAAGAGUCUUAUCAAUUUUACUAGGCAGGAAAUGCCUCUGAGAUUUAAGAAAAUCUGCCAGAGCUAGACAGUGAAAUUGUAGUGUAGGAAAAGGUGUCUCACUGUCUCUGUAUCCUUUCCACAUAAGGAGCACCUGUUGCAUAGAGAGAUACCUCUCUUAGCCAUAUUAUCCAAUGUCAAAACAGCUUCAUUGGCUAACAAUCAAGUAAAGCAUGCCACUUUAUGUGGCACUUUGACUCACCAGAUAUGUUAUAUGUUUCCCAGGCCAUUUGUGAACUUGAUUAUCACUAACAUUUGUGUCACUAAGACUUGUCUGUUUAUACCCUUCCUUUACCCUGUAUUUACCUUUGUUGUGCCCAUGCCACCAUAAAUAAUCCUCACCAGCCUGUGUUCCAUGAAAACUCCCCAGUAGUUGGUAAAGUUCGAUUAUUCUAUGAAUUUCCCAGUCAUUUAGAUUUCUUCUUAGGACCAAGUUCCAUCCUUGUUGCGACCACAUAUCAGCAAUUGUGUUCUGUUGAUGUUGAGCCAAAACAAAGAUGUCAGGAAAAAAAUCUUUGAGGCUCACAGCACCCAUCCAUUUGUCAGCCCAAAAAGUAGUUUUUUUACCAUUUAGAGCAUUUACCUCUUUAGUCAUCCUCUUUAGUCAUACACCAUAGUGCUUUAUCCUCUUGAUGAUACCUCCAUAGCCACUUCACCUUCAAAGCUUUGCUCUGGUUUUUGAGGUUCUUGAUACUUAAGCCAUCUUGUUUCUUGCUUCUGAGGAUAUUCUUCCAUUUGACUAAGUGAAAGCCUUUCCUUUCCUAAUUGCCUUGCCACAAGAAGUUUCUUCAGAUUUUGUCCAACCUCUGAAUUACUGACUGAGGUAUAUGAAAGAUAGAUAACAUAUAUGUAGGAAAAGCAUCUAGAAUUGAAUUUAUCAGGGUCAGUCUACCUCCCAGAGACAGAUAUUGGGAUCUCCAUCUAGCUAAUUUCUUUUCACACUUCUCCAAAAUUGAGUUCCAAAUGUUUAUGGAUCUUGAUUUUGCACCCAAAGGCAUGCCCAAGUAUAUUGAUGGCAAAUUUCCCACCACUCUUCCCAAAAUCCGAGAAAGAUGAUCCAUCUUUGGAACCACAUUAAUUGGAUACAAGUGGCUUUUGUUCCUAUUUAUAUGGAGCCCAGAUAUGGCUUCAAAGUAAACCAGUAUAAGUCUUAAGAUCAUCAGUUGCUCCUCCUCAGCCCCACAAAAAAUUAGUGUAUCAUCAGCAUACUGCAGAUGUGUGAUUUCCACACUGUUUCCCGCUACCUUGCUAACUUCAAAUACAUGGAUUCUUCCUGCUUCCUUGCCUAUAUUCAGCAUGUUAUUUAGCCCUUCCAUAGCUAUGAUGAACAAGAAGGGAGAUUGGGGGUCUCCCUGCCUAAUCCCUCGGUGUGCAUUGAAAAAACCUUGAGGUGAAACAUUGAUAAGCACAAAAAACUUCACAGAUGACAUACAAAACUUGAUCCACCCGAUCCAUCUCUCACCAAACCCCAUUUGUCUCAACAUACGUAGAAUGAAAUCUUAAUUCACGUGGUCAUAUGCUUUCUUGCUAUCAAGUUUGCAUAAUAUACCAGGUUUACUUUGGGACAUUCUAGAAUCAAUUGCUUCAUUAGCAAGAAGCACUGCAUCCAUUAUCUGUCUGCCUCAGAUAAAAGCCAUUUGCUGCUUGUCUACCAACUUAUCCACAACUUCCUUCAGCCUUUCUGUCAGUACCUUCGAGAUCAACUUGUAAAAGCUUCCAAUUAAACUGAUAGGUCUGAAGUCUUUGAGCUCCUUUGCUCCUAUCUCCUUAGGAAUCAAUGCUAUUUAUGUUGCAUUCUAGCUUUUUUCAAACAUCCUAGUAGAAUGGAAAUUGUGAAAAGCCUCCAUAAUGUCUUGUUUAAUUAUCUCCCAACAUGUUAGAUAAAACCCCAUUGUGUAACCAUUAGGGUCGGGGGCUUUGUCAAUGGCACACAUCUUUAAGCACUCAAAAACUUCUUGCUCCUCAAAUGUUGCCCGCACUGCCUCUUUCUCAUCCACUGUGAUGGUAGGAUGAUUGUUAAUAUUUUGAGAAGGCCUCCAGUCUUCUUGUAGAAGGAUAUGACUUCCUCCUUAAUUCUAUUAGGAUCAGUUAUCGUCUCUCCCUGCACUUCCAAUUGAUCAAUGUGAUUAUAUCUUUUGUGGACAUUAGCAGUUUGAUAGAAAAACUUUGUAUUUCUAUCCCUUCCCUUGAGCCAUAAGGUCCUUGAUCUUUGUCUCCAGGCCACUUCUUCAUUCUUUAAACACCUCUCAUACUUCAUAAACAGUGUUGCUUUCUUGGCGAUUUCCUCCUCUGUCAAGGCUCUAAUAUUCAACUGAGAUUCUAGCAUAGCCAUCUGAUUGAGAAGAUUGUUAUUGUCUACUCCAUUUUUUCAAUUUCCCUUUGAGAGCUUUGAGUUUACCUGCUAAGAUGUAGUCUGGCUUCCCAUAAAAUUCAAAUUCACUCCACCAAUUCUUGACUCUUUCAGCAAAACCUUCUUGAUUCAACCACCAAUUUUCAAACUUGAAGUAGGAAUUAGAUUGCUCCCAGUGUCCACAAAGCAGAGCUAUUGGGACAUGAUCAGAGGUCACUCUUUGCAGUGUAGUCUGUUUUAGAUUAUUGAAGAGAUUGUUUCAUUCUGUGGAAACCAUUAUCCUGUCUAUUCUUGAUGCAGUUGUAUGACUAUCCCCUCUAUACCAGGUAUACUUUCCACCGCUUAGCUGUAGAUCAAUUAGGUCCAGGUCCUCGAUGCAAUCUGAAAACUCCCUCAUUGCUGAAUUUCUCCUGUUCCAAUCCCUUUUUUCAAAGGGAAAUCUACAAACGUUGAAGUCACCACAGAUAGCCCAUGGCCCAUCAAACAAGCCUCUUCCAUCCAUAGGUGCAUUGCUAGACCCAAAGCCCUAAUACAGAUGGAUUUGGAUUUGUGAUUGAUAGGCACGCAGCCUGCAGCAGGGUUCCACCAUUCUAAUUUGAGUCUGAUUUUCUUCCACUGCCAUUCUCCCUGUAGAACUUGUUCCGCCAUGUAUCUAUUUGGAAACUCAAAGAGAAAACAGUUGUACAAUAUCUCUCAGACAUUAAUCCCAAACGCCUUCUUCCACAUCAUCGAGGACCAUCGUCUAACUUCUGAGAGAGCGGGUGUUUCAGGUUUUGCGUUACCAAAAGACCCAAAAAUACAUCUUCCCAGUACUCCUUGAUCUUUGAUUUUGGCUGCAACAUUGGUUUCAAUCUCUUUUCCUUUGGUUGUGGCUACCUCAGAGCUAUUGCUUUGCCACUUGCUGGUUGUAACUGCUUUUGCAUAAGUCAUAUUUAAAACAUUUGUCUUGCAUUGUGUUUGUAUCUCCUUCUGUGGUGGAUUUUUAAUGAAACUUUGAAUCUUAAAUGCCACACUUUUCCAACCAACAUUUAUGUUUGACUCAGGUACAAUAAUAACCGCUCUGUCCUCUCACUUCAGUGACAAGAUACUCAUAUAUCUCCCAUGGGAAUUGUAUUUCCUCGUACAGAAGAAAUCUGCCAUUUGGUCCUUGUAUCUCCGACUUCUGACCUGAUAUUUUCGAUCGGCUGAUGCUUCUGUAAGGAUGAAGCAGAUCCAUUCCAACGCCUUCUCAUUGAGUGUAACCCUUCUCAUCAUAUUUCUGCUCCUUUACCCCCAGUCGUACCAUACAACAUUGUUUGAAGUCCAUCUGGUUAUGUCAUAAGAUUGUCAUAAGAUUUAAAACCUUGGUUGAAAUAUAUAUUCUAUUAUCUCCCAUAGGUUCAGAAAUCAGAGAUCUUAGUAAAACAGAAAUCAGAAGAUGUAAAGACUGGCUUGUUUGAAAGAUAAAGGGUCAAUUCCGGCAAGUCCACCGAAAAAGGUCUUGAGUAACGGCCUGAAUCUGUAGUUAACAGCCGGAAAUUAGUGUUGGUGAAGCCUGAUAAUUUGAAAAACUGUAUGAAUGGUCUCACGCGCCGGUGCGUGAGGCGCAUGAUGGGGGUAGCUGGGAGAUCUGGGUGGCGCGUGAGGGCGUGUAGGGUAGUUUCCGGCGAUAGGUUUUCUGGGGUUUGGUCGCAACAGGGUGUUGGUGACUAUGGAGGGGGAGAAUUGAGAGAAAGAGGAAGUAAAAGGGGUAUUCUGGUGAUCAGAAGGACCACCGGAGAUGUUUUUGGUUGAAAGGGGGUCUUUUUCUAAAGUUACAUUGGGACCAAUAAGAAAAAGAAAAAGAAAAAGCACACUGCCCUGACCUCCCAGGGUCACUGCAGUCAAUUGUACAUCUUAGAACAAAUCAAGUCAGUCAUACUUCAAUAGAUAUCAACAAACACAAUUAAUUGUAAUAAUCACUUAUAAAGAUCUUGACACUACAAAUAUCAUUUGUUUGCACAUGAUAACUUAAUUUUCGGUUAAUCACAUAUAAGACAAUUCUGCUUUUGUCUUGCUUUGAGGCUAUAUCCUAGUUGUGGAUCAAAAUUAGGAAGUCCAAAAUAGUGCUUUUGUAACUGACGGAAUCCUAGCCCGUGGCUACCUAUUUCUUUUAAUAUAAAACUUGCUUACCUUCUCAAAAAAAAAAAAGAGUCCACAAUGAUUCAGUUGGAGAGGUACAUUAAAAUCAAGAUUAGCGGUUAUGUGGCAAGCUACUAUCAAAUUACUUGGGCCUACAACAUGGGUGAAAGUGCAAAACAGCUCUAGCUAUCAAAGGUUGAAAGAGAUGAGAAAAAACUGGAGACAUGGAAGCAAGGAGGAGCCAGCCUUAAAGAUACGGGUUUGGAAGAAUCCAAUAGCUUUGGCUCAAAACCCGUGCUUGAAUUUUAAGUAUAGAAUCUUUUUUGUUCACAAAAGGUCCCUUUUAUUCCUUCUCAAAAGAAGUCUUGUUGUUUCUUUCCUUCCAAAUUGUUAUUCCCUCAGGCUCUUAGGAUAAAAUAUAACAUAUAUCAUCCUUUAUAAAGGUAUGCCAUUAUUUACCUCAAACACUAUUUCUUUGCAUGUUCCGUCAAAGGUUUCACACUUUCAUUUUUAGCCUGUUCGAAAAGAAUGAUGUUACUCUACAUUUAGAAAUAAUUUCACUUUAAACUUCCUUUUUCACCCUCAAUGACAUGAUUUUAUAGCCACAUAAUUAUCACGGCAUGUUUAAGACCACAAAUUCUACAAUUAUUUUUCUCUCCACUUAAAUGUCAUGCCCAGACAGAAAGGUUCACAUAUAAUGAAACAUAAGGGUACAAAAAGGCUAUUAAAAUUAGAAUACAUAGAUGGCAAAAAAUGCUUUACUUGAAGGGGCUCUUCAGAUGGAUGAGGAAGAGCCAAGGGCUGGACCAAUAAAGCCAACUGCAUUGCCGAGGUUGUCAAAAGGUCAACAGUGCAUGGUAUCUGUUACACAAACGAUGAGGACCAAAUCAUCUACCAUUAGUGCUUUAAUUAAAAAAAUAUAUAUAUGGUUACUAAGCUACUCAUUCCAUAGAAUAAGAAAGAGUAUAAUGCAGAAACCAUAGAGAGAAGAAUAACAGAGACAAAAAACAACGCAAAGAGGUUUAUUACCUGAUUAAUAGUACACCUCAUGUACCGUGGGCUGCAAUUUCCAGUGUCCCUAACAAUAUAGUCACUUGUGGCAGGCUUCGAGUGGACGAAAAAGGAAAAAGGGAAAAAAGGAGACAGCAGCAAGAACAAAAAAGUUAGUUUAGUAAGAAGCUUUGGGAGGCAAGCAUAACCAUUUGAAGAAAAGAUGGUUCAGCCGUAUAUGCAACAGUACUAAAUAAAACAAUAAUUUACCGGAGGGGGAUUGGCUUGGUUGCCUUGUCGGGUUUCAUGUAGAACUACAGAAGCAUUUGGAAUAGGGCGCGGGAUUUGAUUUGGAUCAACUUUUGAUGGGAUGGAAUGGCCAACAGAAGAAGUUAUCGAAGCCACUGCCUGAUUUGGAAGAGGAGGCGCCAUCCCAUACAUACUUGGUGGUUGCAUGGAACCAGGAAUAGCAGAAGGUGGAGCCCCCUGUCAAUAAGUAAAAUCAGGAUAUGCCCUUCACAUGAAAGAGGAAAUGGAGUAAAAGCAUGCUGAAACCAAUUUACUUGAUCCAACAUGUGAUCCACAUUGGAAAUGUGCCAUGCACGUAAGGGUCUUUUUGAAUUAUAUAUAAGUUUUAUCAGAGAUCCUUUUACCUCUUCUGAUUAAGAAAGGAUAGCCAGGUUGUUGUAGCUUCAAAUGUGAAAGUUAUCCUUUUCAGAUGGUCCAGCCAAACAGAAAAGGUGGUGCAAUAUACUUUGAUACUGUUUAAAUUUUUCAUGCUUGAGGAAACUUGUGCACUUAAGAUUUUUCUUUUACGAGCACUUAUACACUCAAGAUAUAAUAUAGCAAUUAUUUAAAUAGCUGCAGAUUUUGAAACAAACUUAUGAAAGGGUUCCUCUAUUUAUAGUUUGAAUUGAUUAGACAAAGUAAAUAAGUGAUACUGAAUAUAUCUUUCUCAUUACUUUCAAGCAUAGAAAAAUACCUAGCCAAAAUAUAACAAUUAAUAAAUAAAAAUAAUUUUUAUUUAUGGAGUAAUCAAAUAUAUUAUUUAAUAACUUCGACUAAUGGAAGAACCCCAAACAACAUAUUCAAAGUUCAAAAGGAAAAAAGAAUUCAUGUAGGUAAUUUCGUUAAUGAGAAUUUGAACUCUGUUUUGUGUUGAUGAAAAAGAUAAAUUUUAUAAUGCACAUACUACUAAAUAAAAGUUAUUUAAAAUAGCAGCACAUUUCAAUAUUUUAUCACAAAUCCAUCAAAAUACUUCUCCGAUUAUCUCUGAAUGAAUAAAAUAUGACAUCAUUAAUUAUUAUGGGAGUAAUACACUAGAGGUGAAAUGAGUUAAACCAUAAAAGAUACAAAAAAGAAAAGAAGGUACAUAGAACGUAAGGGCACAGUAGACAUUGCAUGAGGGAAAAUUGCAUAAAGCUGGAGGAAUAUUUGACUUUUUAUACCAAGUUGGAGCGAGAAAAUUAUUUUCACCCCUUUCUAAAUUUUAAGUCAUGACAGCACUUCACAGUGUAGCUUUUUUCUUCACUUUUAGACCCUACUACUUCCACAACAAAUUUUCCGGUAUUACCAAUUGGUCACUAACAGAGUCUCGAUAUCAUUCUCACAUUACUCAUCAACAGCACCAAACAGUAACCGGUUUCUGAAUAUUAUUGAUCAUUCUAUCCUAAAAGUCAUGAAGCAUCUCUUCAACAUUAGCCCCCUUGAACCAUUGUAAUUCCUUGAUGCCAGAACCCAACAGGCCAACAUUUCUUGUUGGUUAUUAAAUAUAAUAAAUACACGCAUAGAAUUUGAUUAAAAACGCAUCUUGUGUGGCUUGUUGAUCCAAAAGAUGUUGGUGCAAAUUAAAAAUACAAAUCCUAGGACUUCUUUUGUAGUCUAGCACAGGCAAGAACUAAAUAUAUCUCUCAGCUCCAUAGAUUACAAAAUAAAUUACACAUCGCUAAUGAGUUUAGGGAAAAUUCUUAUUUUUCCUUCAAUAACAUAUGCACGUGAUAUCAAAUUUUUCUUUUGGGAAAAUACAUAGAUUUCACCUUGCAAAACAAGUACAGUAAGAUAGGCAUAUAAAGAUCACCUGAUGGGGUGGCAGUUGCCACGACUGUGUUCCAUAAGGAGCACCCAUGUGUGGAGCGCCCAUGGGUGGAGGCAUGGCUUGAGAAGGUGCUGCAAAUGGGGAGGAACCUGGGGGAGGUGGCACAUUCUGAAAUGAACCUGAAAAUGGUGGUGGUGGUUGUGCUGUAACUGGUGUCGUGCUGACAGAUGACGAACUUCCAAAGGGUGAGCGCAUGCCUAAAGGCUGAGAAGAAGCGCCUGGUGAAACCAUAGCUGAUGGAGGAGCUCCAAAUGGUGGCCUCAUUGCAUUGCUUGGAGGAGGAAAACGUGCUCCACCCUGCAUCAUUCCCGGACCCCCUAACGGUGGCCCAUUACUAACCGAGCUAGAAAUGCUUGAUGGUGGCGGCAUAGCAGGACCUGUUGUCAACGGCGAAGAAGAAAAAGGACCCGGAGGCCCGGGACGAGAACCCAAUCCAGAAGGCAAAGACCCAGGUGGCGGGGGUGCACCACCCAUAGAAGGAGGCAUUACACCAGGAGGAGGUGGCCGAGAUGCAAAGGUAGGAACAGACUGAGCCACGGGAGGAGACAAUCCAGUCUGUGGAGGACCACUAGGAGAUGCAGGGCCUCUUGGGAACACACCAGGCGGUGGAGGUCCCGGACGACUAACAGGUGGUCCACCAGCAAAAGGUGGCUGCUGCCCAAAUGGGGUAUUAUGCCUAGGAGCACCAGGUGGCUGAUUGGGCCUAUUUACUUGUAGAUUUUGCAUACCAUCAGCAAGUGCAUUAGGGUUAUAAUUGGGUGGAGGCGCAUUCCUUGGUCUAGGUCCCCCUGGAGCUGCCAUUGAUUAUUUCCAAAUUUCUCAAAACUCUAGAACGGAUGCAAGAAAAAAAAAAGGUUAAAUAAAUAGAUAAAAUCAACAGAAAGAAAACAUAAGAACAGCAAUCUUCACUAUAUCAAACAUUCAGCAAGCCAAAACAAAACAUAUUGAUUCAAAGGAAAACAAGUCCAUAAAAUCAAUCACAAAAUAAAAAUAACCAGACAAUACAUCUUUUUGGGGAAAAAAAUCAUCAGAUAUUAUCCCCCCCUCCCCCCCUCCUUCAUUUCAGCACACGCGACCCAAAGAACCUGGAAUACGGACAAUUAACACAUUGACACCGAGAAAUAGCAUCAGCGGAAAAGUCCAAUCGACAAAGGCGACCAAGUCAAACACCAACAGCUCCAAAACAACAGAAAUUAGCAAAGAGAACUCAAACAUCUCAUGAAACAAAAAUAGAGCUGACAGGUUUAAAGAGAAGAAGUGAAUGCAGAGAACGCUCUAGAUCUGGAAGAAGAGAAGAUGGACAGGAUAUGGUUCUUCCUGAGAGAAACUGAGAGACUACAGAGACAUAUGGAAAAACUGGUCUCUUUGGCAAGAACAGAAUUUCUGUGGUGAUAUAAAUGAGUCCCAACUACAGGAUACAAAUGGGAUUGAAUAAAGAGUGAGGAUACUAUGAGAAUCACUCAGCCUUUUCAGUUUUUUAUUCAAGAUGUACAGAGAGCUAGAGCACAAUAAGAUACUAACUAGCUAAACAGGGAUGACAUGCAUCGACAUACCUACCCGCUUUAGAACUAGACACAAACCAUAAAGGGAAGAGAACAGCAAAAAGCUAUUGAUAGAAGAACCCAAACUACCAUUCCGUAUCAUUUUAAGGAAGAUCAAGGGCACAUACUUUGUUGUGCUUGGCCAUUGGCGAAACAGAUCAUAUCACAAUAGAUAUAUACAAAAUCACUCGAAAAAAUAAGAAAACUAAUUGCCUCCAAAGGCAGGGAUCAAAUCUUAGAAGUACAGGCAGAAAAGAACAAAUUAAGAGAGGCUCAAUUGGGAAAAAAGCGAAAAAUUUAAGACAGCGGUAUGGGAGAUACACAAAUAAGGAUCCUAAGGCUGGAGAGAUAUAGAAAAAUAUGUGCCAUAUUUUUGCCAACUGACCUUCCUCUAUUUCUCUAUGGACUAACUUACUGAGCUAGGGCUUCUUUAAAUGGAUGUUAUCUAGCUCAUAACAAAGUAUAAACCAUUUCCCCCCUUAAACUUCAUUUAAAAAUAGAAUUUUCAUCUAAGUUUGUAUUCUGAAUGUGCUUCUUCUCCUUCAAUUUUGGGAUGUUAGUCCAAUUAGUUUGUAAUUCUAGAACACAAUGCCUAAUUUGCUCACUGAAGUAUCAACCUCUCUUUUUUGAAAUUUUAUAACAUGCUAAUUUAUUUUCUUUUUCUGAAGUUCUCUUCUCAUGGUAUUGAUUAACACAGCCUUAUAUAUAGUGUUCUUCUCCUCCAUCCACGAUAUUUUUUUUUUGACUUUGGUAACAUUUGUAUUAAAAUCAGUACUACCUUAGUACUGAAAAACCACAUUUACAAAUAUGAUAAAGAAGUAUAAUCUUCCCCAAAGCAAAACCAAAAUCUAGGUGGACCCUAGUACAUCUAUGAUUGACUCAGUCUCAUUGGAGUAAACAGUGGUACACCAAAAGCAAAACAACAAAAUACAUUUAAGCUUGACUUCUUGUAGGUUGUUGUCCCUAUUCUCAAAACAUCUAUCAUUUCUCUCUCUCCAUGUAGUCCACCAUAUACAAGCAGGGAUCAUCCUCCAUCUUUCUUUGUUUGUAACCCCAACUCCAGCUUCCCCCCAACUGAAAAGAGUCUCCUCAAUUUUACUAGGCAUACUCCAGGAAAUGCCUCUGAGAUUUAGGAAAAUCUGUCAGAGCUUGACAGUGAAAUUGCAGUGCAGGAAAAGUUGUCUCACUGUCUCUGUAUCCUUUCCACAUAAGGAGCACCUGUUGAAUAGAGAGAUACCUCUCUUAGCCACAUUAUCCAAUGUCAAAACAGCUUCAUUGGCUAACAAUCAAGGAAAGCAUGCCACUUUAUAUGGCACUUUGACUCAACAGGUAUAUUUCCCAGGCCAUUUGAGAACUUGAUUAUCACUAACAUUUGUGUCACUAAGACUUGUCUGUUUAUACCCUUCCUUUACCCUGUAUUUACCUUUGUUGUGCCCAUGCCACCAUAAAUAAUCCUCACCAGCCUGUGUUCCAUGAAAACUCCCCAGUAGUUUGUAAAGUUCGAUUAUUCUAUGAAUUUCCCAGUCAUUUAGAUUUCUUCUUAGGACCAAAUUCCAUCCUUGUUGCGACCACAUAUCAGCAAUUGUGUUCUGUUGAUGUUGAGCCAAAACAAAGAUGUCAGGAAAAAGAUCUUUGAAUCCAUUUGUCAGCCCAAAAAAUAGUUUUUCUACCAUUUAGAAUCUUGACAAUUACUGAUUAUUGAGGAAAGACCAGAAGAUUCUGAUUGACUUCCAAAGGCUAACACCAUGUGGAGCAUUUACCUCUUUAGUCGUCCAUUUGUUCAGUUCCUCAUACUUGCUCUUGAUCACCCUACACCAAAGUGUUUGAUUCUCCUGAUGAUAUUAGGGUCAGUCUACCUCCCAAAGAUAGAUAUUGGGAUCUCCAUCUAGCUAAUUUCUUUUCACACUUCUCCAAAAUUGGGUUUCAAAUUUUUAUGGAUCUUGAUUUUACACCCAAAGGCAUGCCCAGUAUUCUGAUGGCAACUUUCCCACUACUCCUCCCAAAAUCCGAGAAAGAUGAUCCAUCUCUGGAACCAUAUUAAUUGGGUACAAGUGACUUUUGUUCUAAUUUAUACAGAGCCCAGAUAUGGCUUCAAAGUAAACCAGUAUAAGUCUUAAGAUCAUCAGUUGCUCCUCCUCAGCCCCACAAAAAAUUAGUGUAUCACCAGCAUACUGCAGAUGUGUGAUUUCCACACUGUUUCCGGCUACCUUGCUAACUUAAAAUCCCUAGAUUCUUCCUGCUUCCUUGCCUAUAUUUAGCAUGUUAUUUAGCCCUUCCAUAGCUAUGAUGAACAAGAAGGGAGAUAGGGGGUCUCCCAGCCUAAUCCCUCGGUGUGCAUUGAAAAAACCUUCAGCUGAACCAUUGAUAAGCACAGAAAACUUCACAGUUGACAUACAAAACUUGAUCCACCCAAUCCAUCUCUCACCAAACCCCAUUUGUCUCAACAUACUUAGAAUGAAAUCCCAAUUCACGUGGUCAUAUGCUUUCUCGAUAUCAAGUUUGCAUAAUAUACCAGGUUUACUUUGGGACAUUCUAGAAUCAAUUGCUUCAUUAGCAAGAAGCACUGCAUCCAUUAUUUGUCUGCCUCAGAUAAAAGCCAUUUGCUGCUUGUCUAACAACUUAUCCACAACUUUCUUCAGCCUUUCUGUCAGUACCUUGGAGAUAAACUUGUAAAAGCUUCCAAUUAAACUGAUGGGUCUGAAGUCUUUGAGCUCCUUUGCUCCUAUCUUCGUAGGAAUCAAUGCUAUGUAUGUUGCAUUAUAGCUUUAUUCAAACAUCCCAGAUGAAUGGAAAUUGUGAAAAAAGUUCAUAAUGUCUUGUUUAAUUAUCUCCCAGCAUGUUAGAUAGAACCCCAUUGUGUAACCAUCAGAGCCAGAGGCUUUGUCAAUAGCACACAUCUUUAAGCACUCAAAAACUUCUUGCUCUUCAAAUGCUGCCUGCAGUGCCUCGUUCUCAUCCUCAGUGAUGGUAGGAUGAUUGCUAAUAUUUUAAGAAGGUCUCCAGUCUUCAGGUUCUGUAUAUAACUUCUUGUAGAAGGAAAUGACUUCCUCCUUAGCAGAUUGAUGGAAAAACUUUGUAUUUCUAUCCCCUUCCUUGAGCCAUAAGGCCCUUGAUCUUUGUCUCCAGGCCACUUCUUAGUGUUGCUUUCUUGGCGAUUUCCUCCUCUGUCAAGGCUCAAAUAUUCAACUAAGAUUCUAGCAUAGCCAUUUGAUUGAGAAAAUUGUUCUUGUCUACUCCAUUCUUUCAAUUUCCCUUUGAGAGCUUUGAGUUUACAUGCUAAGAUGUAGUCUGGCUUCCCAUAAAAUUCAAAUUCACUCCACCAAUUCUUGACUCUUUCAGCAAAACUUCUUGAUUCAGCCACCAAUUUACAAACUUGAAGUAGGAAUUAGAUUGCUCCCAAUGUCCACAAAGCAGAGCUAUUGGGACAUGAUCAGAGGUCACUCUUUGCAGUGUAGUCUGUUUUAGAUUAUUGAAGAGAUUAUUCCAUUCUGUGGAAACCAUUACCCUGUCUAUUCUUGAUGCAGUUGUAUGAUUAUCCCCUCUAUACUAGGUAUACUUUCCACCACUUAGUUGUAGAUCAAUUAGGUCCAGGUCCUCAAUGCAAUCUGAAAACUCCCUCAUUGCUGAAUUUCUCCUGCUCCAAUCCUUCUUUUCAGAGGGAAAUCUACAUACGUUGAAGUCACUACAAAUAGCCCAUGGCCCAUCAAACAAGUCUCUUACAUCAGCCAAUUCCUCUCAUACAAGCCUCCUCUCUACUUUACUAUUAGGAGCAUACACACCAGUUAUAUGACAUUCAAAAUUGCUCAACUUAGCCUUAAAUUGGCAAGAAAGAGUAUAAGCUCCAACUUGUAAGAUUUCCCCUUCCCAAAUUCUAGAAUCCCAAAGCAGUAAGAUUCCUCCUCUGGUUCCACUGGCCUCCAAACAUGCAUACGUGAUCCAUCUCCCUGCCCAAAUUUGCUUAAUUAUCUAAUGUACAUUGCCUUCUAAUUUGAUUUCCUGGAGACAGACUAUGUCUGCUUUCCAUUCCUGAAGCAGACUUCAUACCACUCUCCUCUUCCUCUGUUCUUUCAACCCCCUAACAUUCCAUGAGAUCAAUUUGAUCUUCAGGGAUUAUUCUGUGAGUUCCCUUUCCCCUUCCCUCUAUCACCAUUGCUUUUGAAUUUAACGUCAAAAAAAAUUAGAUUCUUUUAACUCUUGUGCUCCUCUAUUUUUUGUUCUUCUAACUACUCCCAAUUGCUCCAUUCUUCUUGCAUGCCUGCUUACAUCCACUUGCCUUAGGAGUUCAAGUGUUUCUUCUUCCAAUCCCUGAAAUCCACCCCAAACAUCUUAUGAAGUUUAAGCAAAUUUUGUUGAACCCACACUGUAACUUUUCUCUCCAUUUCAAUGAGAGCUUCUUGUUGCCACGUACAAAGAGGUUCGAUCUCCCGUACAUCCCAUAAUUCUCCACAAUUUACCAGCCCUAUUAUUUCUUGUCUGAACUCUAUGUCACCCGUGAUGAUCUUCCCUUGUCCUUUAUCUUCACUCUCUUCACUAUUUGCUGCACACAAUUGUUCAAGUUCUUUUUCCCCACCUUCUUCAAUUUGUAAUUAUUCAUCAAUAGCUGUCAGGGCAGCUUCUUUUGUUUUCUGAUCACUUCGCACAUAAUCAAAAGAGAAAAUCACAACUGUUUCAUCCACUAUAACCUCCUAGAGGAAAUCUUCAACGGGUUGUUGGUUAAAAUUAUUAGCAAUAAUCUUUGCUUGGUCCAGCCCAACCGAUUUUAAGGCCCAUUUGUUGUUUAAACUAUGUACCUACCCAUCACGUGCUCCUGCAGUUACUUUUAAACAAUCUCCAACUGUCCCCACAUAUGUCUCCCCUGUUCCAUCACCAUCAACAUGGAGUCUCGGGUAUAGAGGAUGAAGUCUCUGUUAUCCAAUGGUUCUUCAUUUGGGUUUUCUCAACUUUUCCGGCAACUGGGCCUUUUUUCUCCGGCGACAACUCGAAUCUUGUUUUCCUUUCUACCCAUAUCGGAAUAAUAAAGUUAACUCCAUCUCUGGAGAUGUUAACUUCUGUUGGCAUGUUCCAAACAUCCCCUCGAGUCUCGAUCCUAGCCCAUUUUUGAUAGUUUCUUAGUUUUGUUUCCUCCUCCGUAGCCAGCCACCCGCCACAGAGUUCUCCGAUUUCGCGACAAAUCUCUUCUGACCAGAGGUGCAUUGGUAGACCCAAAGCCCUAAUCCAGAUAGAUUUGGGUUAGUGAUUGAUAGGCACGCAGCCUGCAGCAGGGUUCCACAAUUCUAAUUUGAGUCUGCUUUUCUUCCACUGCCAUUCUCCCUGUAAAACUUGUUCCGCCAUGUAUCUAUUUGGAAACUCAAAGAGUAAACAGUUGUCCAACAUCUCAUAGACAUUAAUCCCAAACGCCUUCUUCCACAUCGUCGAGGACCAUCGUCUAACUACUGAGAGGGUGGGUGUUUCAGCUUUUGCGUUACCAAAAGAGCCAAAACUACAUCUUCCCAGUACUCCUUGAUCUUUGAUUUUGGCUGCAACAUUGGUUUCAAUCUCUUCCCUUUGGUUGUGGCUAUCUCAGAUCUAUUGUUUUGUCAUUUGCUGGUUGUAACCGCUUUUGCAUAAAUCAUAUUUAAAACAUUUGUCUUUCAUUGUGUUUGUAUCUCCUUCUGUGGUGGAUUUUAAUGAAACUUUGAAUCUUAAAUGCCACACUUUUCCAACCAGCAUUUAUGCCUGACUCAGGUACAAUAAUAACUGCUCUAUCCUCUCUCUUCAGUGACAGGAUACUCAUAUAUCUCCCAUUAGAAUUGUAUUUCCUUGUACCAAAGAAAUCUGCCAUCUGGUCCUUGUAUCUUUAUCUUCUAACCUGAUUUUUUCGGUCUGCUGAUGCUUUUGUGAGGAUGAAGCAGAUCCAUUCCAACACCUUCUCACUAAGUGUAACCCUUCUCAUCAUAUUUCUGCUCUUUUCCACCCAGUCGUACCAUGCAACAUUGUUUGAAGUCCAUCUGGUUAUGUCAUAAGAUUUAAAACCUUGGUUGAAAUAUAUUCUAUUAUCCUCCAUAGGUUCAGAAGAGGGAAAUUUUAGUGAAACAAAAAUCAGAAGAUAUGAUGACUGGGUUGUUUGAAAGUUAAUAGGUCAAAUCCGGCAGGUCUACUGGAAAAGGUCUUGAGUAACGGCCUGAAGCUGUUGGUAAUAACCGAAAAUCAGUGUUGGUGAAGUCGGACAAGAUGAAAAACUGGCUGAAUGGUCACACGCGCCGGCGGUAGCUGGGAGAUAUGGUGGCGCGUAAGGUAGUUUCCGGCGAUAGGUUUCCUGGGGUUUGAUCGGAAUAGGGUGUUGGUGACUAUGGAGGAGAAGGAUUGAGAGAAAGAGGAAGUAAAUGGGGUAUUCCGGUGAUCAGAAGGACCACCGGAGAUGGUUUUGGUUGAAAAGGGGUCUCUUUUUUUUUCAAGUUACAUUGGGAUUAGUGUCUGGAUUUUCAAUUUUAUCAAAUCUCCAUCCAAGAUAUUUUGAACAUUCUAUUAAUAAAACGAUGGAAUGGAAGCCUUAGAGUAACUGGCAAAGUUGCUGCCUUGUGACCAGGAGUUCACGUUUUCUGGGGCGUGGAACAGCCUAUUGCAGAAAUGCAUGGUAAGGCUGCAUCCAAU
rnacentral:lncRNA from 1 species